rnacentral:lncRNA from 1 species
AAUGUGGAUGAUCUAUUUGAAUAUCAUCUAGACGAUGAAGAUUUGUUCGAGCCUAACUUGAGGACGAGUUCUUUUCCAAGUGAUGGGGUCUGAUGUAGGAUGGAUGUGUAUUACAAGUGGGGUACAUUCUCGAAGGCAUAACUUAGGCUCCAGAUGUCCAUUUUCGGCAUAUAAUAUACCAUUCAAAGCUUGCGAUAAGACGAACGAAAAUCAAAACUACUUGUGUCAUGCCCUCUUGUGGUUAAGUUGGAAAUUCCACUUCUUUCUUAGUCAUGUUUCAGUCUUGAGAUAUUUUUUUAUUUUUUUUGUUUCUAGGAUUUUUUCCUUUUUUUUUUAGAAUUCAGAUUUGUAUGUUGUUUGUUUUCCUUUUCUUAUUUAGGCUAAAAGAAUUUAUCAUAAAAUAAUAUUUCAAAUUUGCCAAUUUACAAAAUUACAAUAUUUAGAGUUAACACACAAAGGGCUCAAAACCUUAGCUUUAUUAAUUCAGACUUAUUCAAUAAACUUCAUUAUUCAGAAACUUUUGUUUCUUUAUCUUUCAAUCUUAAACAUUUCUAUUUCGUCACAAUUGUCAAGGUUUCUACCCUAGAUUGUGAGGAUAAGAUGUUUCUUAAUAAAAAAACUCCAUAUUGUAGAUGUUGGGAUUUGACAUGUUUUGAGAUUAUUGGAAGUGCCUAUAUUGAAUAUUUGUUGAGAUGAAGUUAUUAGAUUUUUUUUGAUAUAUUAGAAGUGUUAAUAUUUUUUCUUUUAUGAUAAUUACUUGCUUAGUUGCAUUUAGGUGUAUUUCAGUGUCAUCUCAAUUCAAGAGAGUUCUUCAUUUUGUUUAGGAAAUUUUUGUUUCUCACUUCAUGUGGUUUAAUUUUAGGGAAAUUAUCACUACACCACCUCUAUUUUGCCUUAUGUUUAUCUAACCACCAAAAAAAAUUCUAACAUGUUCUCUACACCAUCUUUUUUUUUUAAAUUUGUAUCAAUUAGCCACUUUUGCACUAACACCAAUAAAUAAUUUAAAUAAAAUGAUAAUUUUACCCCUAAAUAAAUUAAAAGACCAUUUUAUUUUAUAAAAACUUUGAAAAAUAAAAAAUUACAAUUAUAAAAAUAACUGCAAAAUUUUGGGUUUUAAUAAAAAUUCCCUAAAUUAAUAACAUUUUGUGAUUUAUUUUUAAUAAAUAAAUUCAUUUAUUUUAAUAAAAAUUUUGUAAUAUUACAAUUUUUAAUAAAUAAAUUCAAGUAUUUUUAUUAAAAUUUUGUAAAAUUAUAAUUUUUUAAUAAAAAUAAUUAUUAAAUUUUGUAAAAUCUAACUUUAAUAAAAAUUAGUUGAGCUCCUCUAUUUGAGAUUUAUUUAUUUUAUUAAAUUUAGGGGUAUUUUAUAAUUAUAAAUUUUUUUAUUUUUCAAAGUUUAAUAAGAUAAAAUGAUAUUUUAAUUUAUUUAGGGGUAAAAUUAUCAUUUCGUUUAAAUUAUUUAACUGUGUUAGUUUAAAAGUGGCUAAUUGAUACAAAUUGAAAAAGAAAGGUGGUGCAGAGAACAUGUUAGAAUUUUGUAGUGGUUGGAUGAAAAUAAAGCAAAAUAGAGGUGGUGCAGUGAUAAUUUCCCUUUAUUUUAUUUUUGAUAAAAGUGACAUUUAUAAAAUAAAAAGAAAAAAUGAAUUAAUUAUGAAUGUACAUAAUUUGUUGGAAACAUUCUUAAGUAUGUUAAUUCCUAUUUGUCCUCAAAUAUAUAUAUUCAAUCAACAUUAGGAGAAAAUCAGGAGUCCAUUUAUCCGCUCCAUUAACUUUUGUAUAGAUAGUUCGUUACUAUUCAGGCUAUAGCAUGGGUUGCCACAAUUAUGUUUUCUUGGAAGUAAGGAAUGUCUUCCAAUUAAUCAUGAACAAGAAAAUUCAAUUUACUUUAUCUUCAUAGUAGUGUACUGGAACGUGCUAGUAUAAGAAACUUUUAUCACUAAUCAAAGUUGACGUGUUAGUAAAAUAAAGGGAAAGUAUCACUGCACUACCUUUAUUUUGUUUUAUUUUCAUUUAACUAUCACAAAAUUUUAACAUGUUCUCUACACCACUUUUUUUUUUAAUUUAUAUAAAUUAGUCACUUUUACACUAACACUGUUAAAUAAUUAAAACGAAAUGAUGAUUUUACCCCUAAAUAAAUUAAAAGACUAUUUUAUCUUAUAAAAGCUUUGAAGAAUAAAAAAAUUAUAAUUAUAAAAAUACCCCUAAAUUUAAUAAAAAAUAAAUCCCAAAAUUAGAAUUUUUAUUUUUAAUAAAAUUUUUUUAAUAAAAAUUAUAAUUGUAAAAAUAACUACAAAAUUUUGGGAUUUAAUAAGAAUCCCCUAAAUUAAUAAAAUUUUGUGAUUUAUUUUUUAAUAAAUAAAUUCAUUUAUUUUAAUAAAAUUUUGCAAAAUUAUAAUUUUUAAUAAAUAAAUUCAGUUAUUUUUAUUAAAAUUUUACAAAAUUAUAAUUUUUAAUAAAAAUAAUUAUUAAAUUUGACAAAAUCUAAAUUUAAUAAAAAUUAACUGAGCACCUCCAUUUGAGAUUUAUUUUUAUUAAAUUUAGGGGUAUUUUUAUAAUUAUAAUUUUUUAUUUUUCAAAGUUUUUAUAAAAUAAAAUGGUCUUUUAAUUUAUAUAUGGGUAAAAUUAUCUUUUCGUUUAAAUUAUGUAACAGUAUUACUGCAAAAGUGGCUAAUUGAAAUAAAUUAAAAAAAAAGUGUUGUAGAGAACAUGUUAGAAUUUUGUGAUGGUUAGAUGAAUAUAAAGUAAAAAAGAGGUGGGCCAGUGAUAAUUUCUCUAAAAUAAGUUACAAAAAUUUAGAAUAAUUUAUUUUUCUUUUCUUAUUUCUUACUGUUAAGAAUUUUCAUACCUAGGAUUGUUUCAAAUUACAAUUUAAAACAUGUGUAAUUUAACUUAAUGAUUAACAUUCAAAAAUAUAUCACUCAAAAAACUUUUUAAUUUAUUUGUAAGAUAACAACAAGAUUAUAAAAAAGAGAGCAUAAUAUUAGAUGGAGUUUUAACAAUAAAAAUUAAGUUAAAAAAUAAAAGAGUGAAUUUUAAAAAAAGAACGCUUUUGGAAUUAAAAAAAAUUAACUAAAAAAAGAGUUUUAUGGGGAGAUAUUGUUACACCGGCCGAAUGUAAUAAGCCGACGAUGGAGCUUCAGCCAUGUUUCUGAAAGGCCAAAGAGCAGUGAAAUUAGACGUUUAAGAAAAUGCUAUUUUCACGCAAUGCAAAAUAAGAUAUUCGAAUUAACGGACGAAGUAAUCGUUUCUCGUUCGUCCACAUAUGCCAGCAUCUCCAAAUGGAUUCCUAAGCCAGGGUCACCUUGCAUGAGUCAUGACAGCCAAUAACUCCGGGUGAAAUGCAUCAGCCAUCAAGCUUGACGGAUUAAAAAAUUCAUAUUCCUGUCGUAGCAUUUUAUGGAAGUUAUUGUUGAACCCUGAGGAACAGAAAGUAGAAUGGGAAGCCUAAAAUGGCACGCAGGGGCCACGGGUUUUGCUGGGCGGGCCCAUGGGCCUAUAUUUCUGUUAAAUCACCAAGUGAAACUAUUGGCACCUCCUUCCAUUGUGUUUGAGACCCCAAUGUCGGCGUGGUUCUCACAGACGGUCUUAAAAAAUGAAAAAUUGUUUUUCUAAAUCAUUCUCUAAUCCAAAUCCAAGUAAAAUGAGUAAAUUUUUCAAGGAGAAAAAUAAAUUGAGCAAUGGUUAUUCAUGAUGCUCAAAGAUUCAUGCUCAAUCAAAAAGACGAAAAGUUAAAAAAAAAAAAUCUCAUCCCAUGAACUGAGUGCGGAAUUUUUGGGUUGCUUGCUCUUAUUGUUUAAUUUCUUUAAAUAUAUUUGCUUAUUGAUGGCAUAAAAUAAAUUUGAUUAGCUAGAAGCUCGUCCUGUAAAUUCAACGCUGGAAUGUAAUCAUCGAAUAAUAAAGUGUCCGAAGUGUAAAGUGUUGGGAUUAUGUGCUCUUUAAAAUAUAUUUAUUUAUUUAUUUUCUUAUUAAUAAAAUAUUUGAGAUAUUUUUCAAAAAUCUUAAUUGCAUAAACAUUUUGAAUAAGGUCCGUUUAAUCAUAUUAUAUGUAUUUAUGUGAUCAUCAUAUGGAUUCAUAAAAGACAUAAAUAUAAGUUAUCUUAUUAUUAAAUAAAUUAAGUUCGCAGUUGAUAAAUAGAGUUGGGCGCUUUAUUUAUGUUUAGAUUGGAGUAAAUUCAUUAAAUGAUUUAUCUUAAUUAUGUGUGAAUUUACUGAUAUAAUUUGACUACAUUGAACUGGAUCACAAUGAGAUUUGAUUAACCUUAAAUUGACUGUCAAACUUAUUAAAUCUCAUAGGCAUUGAUUUUAUUACAAUAUCAAUCUUGAGUUAAUUAUAGUUUCAUGUUUGUGAUUGUCAUUUCAUUUAAGUUACCAAUGGGUGCGACAUAUAUUUGUAGUCAAAAUUACUUGGUAUCUUGGUGGAAACAAUUAUAAGCAGUGAGAUUGUAGAUUAAAAAUAUAGAAUUUGUAUAACACAUCUAUUGACGAGUUUUCGGUACUUAGUCAUAGAAUUCUCUAGCCAGAGUGUGUCAACAUAAUCAAUAUGUUGAUAAUGAUCAUUAGAGAAAACCAGUAAGUGUCAAGGAACAAGAUAUAAUUAAAUUGAUUGGAUAAUUGAAAUAUCAAUUUAAUUAACGAUGUGGUACAAAUGAUUAUUCAGUAAAGAAAUCAAUGUGGUAUGGAUCGAAUUAUUAUUCGAGAACACUAUCCUAAAUAGUAUAUAAGUAUGGAGGUCAGUUCCAAAUUUUUAGUGAAGUAAAUUUAGAAUUAAAUAAUUAAGCGAGUUUAAUUACAGGCCUAAUUAUUGUAGCCACUAUUGCUUAUACUCAUAUGAUCCCGGGUUAGCUCAUUUAAUUAACUGCAUCACUAUUAGAUUAAUAAGCAAAGUAACUAGUUAUUUGAGUUAAAAGCCUGAUUAUAUUAUUUAGUUGGAGGCUCCAUUUAAUAUACUUGCGUGUAAAGGGCUUUGUGUUAUAUUACAAGAUGGGCCCUUAUAAUAAGAACAAGUAACGUCAUUUUUGGUUUUAUUUUUUUAAUUUAAAUCAAAUUUGAUUUAAUAGAAUUAAAAAAAAAGAAUAUUAAUAUGAAGUCUAGGGUUUCCACUAAAUAGAGAUAUAAAAAUAUUUUUUUCUCUACAAAAGAGACAUAGGAGCUACAAUAUACAUAUCAAAGAAAAAAAGUUUUUCUCUCUAACUUUGAGAGAAAUAUUUUCUAUUACUAUUUGCUUUUUGUAGUGAUAAAGAUGUCUACACGUCAAGAGUAGAUCAAACUUGAAUCAUAACCUGAAAGAUUGUUGGUGAAGGAUCGUGAUUUAAUAAGAUUGGUGGCGAUAGAUCGUGAUUUGGCAGCCUAAAUUACUUCUAUGAAAUAGCAAAUGUACGAUUUCUAUAUUAUAGUACUUCUCUAUGUUGUAUGAGAAUCGCGAUCCAAAUAUUUCCUCUACAAAAUAUCUUUAAACCAACAAAAAGAAACAAUGACGAAACCUGUUAAUGACAAAGAACGUCAUGCACAAUUACAAGAAUCAUGUACUUUGCGAGAUCGCCUUUUAAUGUCACAACUUUGGUUGUUGAUAAGUUUAUUAACUAAUGUUUGAGAGGCAAAAGUUAAUGCAGUACACAAACUAGAGGUUACGUUACCUAGGGUUUGUGUGAUGUGCCUAAAUGGCACAUUAUGGUGCAUUAUAAUGUAUUAGAAUGAGUUUUUAAUGGCCAAACACAUCUUUGGUAUUAAAUUAAUAUCAACAAUAUUUUAAUACUCUAUGAUUCUAUGUUCUAAACACAGCCUUAUAGUACAAACUCGUUUUUUUCUUUUUUGCUAUUCACAAAAAAUUUAGUUAAGAACAUUCACACCAGUGAUUGGAUUUCAUCAUCAAUUACUACACUAUAUGUAAAAAAUCUCUCACAUAUUUAUUAACUCGGACUUUAAAUUUAAACUAAAAGUAAGUAGAAAUUGUCUUAUAUAUGUUAGGCUUAUGAGCUCAUGGGACCUUGCUAGUCAAUAUCUUGGAAUAAUACUCCACCCAAAGGUGCCUACCUAAUGCCAAUGUACUGUCGCUGUCCCUGGUGUAUUCAUCAUGAAGAAGCAUGGCGUUUGUAAUUGAUUCUAGAUGAAAGAAAAAUUAAAGAAAAUAGAAAGCCUAGCUAGUGAUUGAUGUACAUUGGAGAAUUUGUUGUCGCAGGCAAAAUCUUUUAACUACUUUCCUUAAGCGCACUUUUGACAAUUAUAAUUUAGUAAGCUCUUUCCAUUGUCAUCUACACAAAAAAUCAUCGUCAUAAAUGGUACUAGAUUUCAAUGCAAAGAUUCAUUUAUUUCUCAUUUUGAUCUUGUCUUAGAAAAUUUUGAUCACCUCAACUUUAGAUUCAUUAUAUUUCUCUUUGAGAUCUUCUCUUAGAAAAUAUUGAUUCUCUCACCAUUUUUUAAUUGAAUAUUGUUUUCAAUACAAUCACAGUCAAUUACAAUAGAAGUCUGCUAAAAUGGACAAUCGAUUCGGAGGUUUAUUGAAAUGUAUAAUCAACUCAUGAACCUAACAUAUAAAAGUCCACUAUGAAUGAAACUAAUUAAUUGAAGCCUAGUAUAAUAAUAAAUUUGCAUAGUCAUUAGGAAGACUCGAAUUCUCCACGUUAGAGUUAAGGAGGAUUUGUCGACUAACCCAUUCAAGAGGUUAUUCACAAUUCUCUUGCCAUUUUAAACAUUCUUGUGGAAUUUGUUAUUUAACAUAAGUGCAUGUUCAUGUGAACUAGUCUUAUGCUGUAGGUUUUAGAAUUGAUUGUAUUUUGAAUAAGACAGCAAAUCUUUUAUAUUUGUACGUUGAAUAAUCUCACCAAAAAAAUUUUAAAUUUAGACCAAUUUGAUUUAAUUUCCAAUCAAAUCUUUUGCUUAAGUUAGACCUUAUCAUUAUUAUUAUUACAAUAUAGUUCUUAUGCAUUAUUAUUAUAAUAUAUAUUCCUUGUCAUUCUGUCUAACAAGUGGGUAGAAAUGAAUCUAACAACAAGAGGUGUUUUAAUUACUUGUGCAUCUUUUAUAUAUAUAGUCCUUCUUUAGUGAGCGUAGACGCAUAAUAAAAUACAAAAAAUACGUAUUUAAAUUUAUGAAGAUUGUAUUUUUUUCCUGGUAUCCUCACUUUAUUAAAAUGAUGGUGUCCUCACUAAAAAAAAAAAUUAUUAUUAUUAUUAUUAGGGUAAAAGCUCGUUUAGUCCCUAUAUUAAGGUUAGUGUCCGUUUAGUCCCUAUAUUUUUAAAAAUACCUCAAAGCAUCUCUAUCAUUAAAUUAUUGACAUCCUUGCCAUUACCUUUUGUUCAUUUUGACUUAUUUUUACAAUAUUACCCUAUUACAACAAUAUUCCUUUUUUUAAACAUUAUUAAAAAGAAAAAUUAAAUUACCAGUUUAACACCAAAAAAUAAAAUAAAAACAAUAUAUAUAUUAAGUUUUGUGGAACACUCUGCUGAGAAGUUAAAAUAUUAAUUUUUUUAAAAAAUUGAUAACUUAAUUUUUUACAAAAUUAAUUUUUUUUUGACACACAUGAGCUUCCACAAAAAUUAAUAUAUAUCUUUUUUGUUUUUUAUUUUAUUUUUGGGUUUAAUUUGAUAAUCCAAUUUUUUUAUUAAUAUCUAAAAAAGAAACAUUAUUGUAAGAGUGUAAAAUUGUAAAAGCAUGCUAAAAAAUAUAAAAAAUAAUGGCAUAAGUGUCAAUAUUUAAUAGUAAGGACGUUUUGAGCUAUUCUUAAAAAUAUAGGGAUUAAAUGGGCACUAAACUCAUAAUAUAGGAACUAAACAAACUUUUACCCUUAUUAUUAUUAUUAUGUGUGUGUGUAUAAAUAAGUAAAUGUUAACAUACUGCAAAAAUCUUUACUCGAAAGGAAACAAGUGGAAAUAAAAUGUGGUUUAAUUAAUGAGACAUGGGUAUGGAUGGUUAGGAAUUGCCUUUAUCACUUAAAUGUUGCCAUAGGUAUAUACAUACAAAAACUUCAAAUAAAGAAAAAUAUGGCCAACGUCUCCUAAAUUUUCAAUUAACACAUGUAAUGAAUCCCAAUAUUGCUUGCGAAUUCUUCUAAAAUUCAAAAAAAAUUCAAGAUCCUUUGAUCAGUGCCGAAUUCUUUUGAAUUGCACGCGGUGAAGGGAAGAUCCGGUAGGAUUCCAUUGAUACAUCUUAACCGAUUUUCACAACUAGAUCACAAUCAAACGGUUCAAAUACAUUAAGUUAGGACAUUGAUCGGAUACCGUAUUGGAUGGCUAGGAUUCAAAAUCAUCAUGCAAAUGGAUUACGAUCCUCUUUUUGUUUCAAAGCUGUGAUAUUUAAUACCCGAAAUUUAUUUCAAUAAUACCUCCUUUUCAAUUAACCUCAUUUAUUUUCAAAAUUACAAUUAUUUAUCAUUGUUUUUUCACAUCUCUUAUAAUCUCAUUCCUUAUAAAAAGUAUCAAUAUCAAGCAUAAUUUAGCUUAAACAAAAAACUGGCCUUUCUGAAUUGUGGAGCUGGAAGUGCAAUUAGCAGUAAUGAAAGGAAAAUGUGUAAAAAAUCGACAUAGUCAAAUCAAUCAUAUGUGAUCUUCAUUUGCUUCCUUGGGUUUCUCCUCCUCCUUUUUGAUGGUAGCUGGUGUACCAUCUCUGUCACCACUAGUGGCAACACCAGGACAACUACUACUGAAGUGCAUCACCAUAUCCAAUCAUUCAGAAUCAAAGAGCUCGGAGAACAAACUCUACAAUUAAAGAGUCAAUAUUCACAUUUGCAACCUUGAUCAAUAUUCACAUUAGUAGAGUUUAUUGGGAAAUGGGGGCUAAUGAGAUAACUGACAUAAGUUAAAUAUCAAUACUCCUUAUUUUAUUCACUCUUAACUUUUCCUUGACUUUAUAAUGAAAAAUAUAAAAUUAGACGGUCAAUAUUGAAUUAUACAGUAAUUAGUAUUUUAUUGAUAAUUAAAUUUAUAUUUCAAUACUUAUUUUUUUGCGUUUCUCUCAUCAUGCUUUUGUCUCGUCACAAUUUUCUCUAUCAUUGCAAUUUUCUCUCUAAUUAUAGAACUUCUGUAACACCCUAGGCGAAUCCCACAUCGGCAAAGCACGGGAAAGAUGCUGGGUUUAUAAGGGGUGAUCCACACCUUAGUUGGCAAGACGCGUUUUGGGGUGUAUGGGCGCCCCAAGAAAAAAUCCGUGCGGGCCUUGUUAAGGCCCAAAGCGGACAAUAUCUUGCCAGGUCUGGGUUGGGUCAUGACAUUAUGGUAUCAGAGCGGCUCCGCGUCUCCUCUUGAGCGAUGGUGGGGCAAACCUCAGCGAGGACGCUGAGUCCCCAAGGGGGGGGGUAUGUAACACCCUAGGCGAAUCCCACAUCGGCAAAGCACGGGAGAGAUGCUGGGUUUAUAAGGGGUGAUCCACACCUUAAUUGGCAAGACGCGUUUUGGGGUGUAUGGGCGCCCCAAGAACAAAUCCGUGCGGGCCUUGUUAAGGCCCAAAGCGGACAAUAUCUUGCCAGGUCUGAGUUGGGUCAUGACAUUAUGGUAUCAAAGCGGCUCCGCGUGUCCUCUUGAGCGAUGGUGGGGCAAACCUCAGCGAGGACGCUGAGUCCCCAAGGGGGGGGUGUAUGUAACACCCUAGGCGAAUCCCACAUCGGCAAAGCACGGGAGAGAUGCUGGGUUUAUAAGGGGUGAUCCACACCUUAAUUGGCAAGACGCGUUUUGGGGUGUAUGGGCGCCCCAAGAACAAAUCCGUGUGGGCCUUGUUAAGGCCCAAAGCGGACAAUAUCUUGCCAGGUCUGGGUUGGGUCAUGACAUUAUGGUAUCAGAGCGGCUCCGCGUCUCCUCUUGAGCGAUGGUGGGGCAAACCUCAGCGAGGACGCUGAGUCCCCAAGGGGGGGGGGUAUUUAACACCCUAGGCGAAUCCCACAUCGGCAAAGCACGGGAGAGAUGCUGGGUUUAUAAGGGGUGAUCCACACCUUCAUUGGCAAGACGUGUUUUGGGGUGUAUGGGCGCCCCAAGAACAAAUCCGUGCGGGCCUUGUUAAGGCCCAAAGCGGACAAUAUCUUGCCAGGUCUGGGUUGGGUCAUGAAAUUGUGGUAUCAGAGUGGCUCCGCGUGUCCUCUUGAGCGAUGGUGGGGCAAACCUCAGCGAGGACGCUGAGUCCCCAAGGGGGGGUGUAUGUAACACCUUAGGCGAAUCCCACAUCGGCAAAGCACGGGAGAGAUGCUGGGUUUAUAAGGGGUGAUCCACACCUUAAUUAGCAAGACGCGUUUUGGGGUGUAUGGGCGCCCCAAGAACAAAUCCGUGCGGGCCUUGUUAAGGCCCAAAGCGGACAAUAUCUUGCCAGGUCUGGGUUGGGUCAUGACAACUUCAGUCUUCUCUUUCAUUGUAAUUUUUAUUUACUCAUCUUUAAUCAAGAAUAAAAGGAGUUAUUUUCUUUUUCACUACUUCAAAAAUUGUGAAAUAUUAAAUAAGAAAUAUAAAAUAGCUAAUUUAGAGACCAAAGUCUUGUCUUCUUGACAAGUGUGUUUGUCUUGUCUUUUGAGAAGUUGACUUUUGUUCUUCGUUUCUUAAUAUUUUCUUAGUCGCUAUAUCGGUCUUCUAUGAAUUGUUUCAAUUUUGUCACAAAAAUGGCUGGUAUGAGCACAGACACUGAGGGUUGACCUGAACAAUUCUUAUGCACGGUUUACUCUCGCUGAGGAGGAGGAAGGGGGGAUUCUUGUGGCGGGUGCAGAGGAUGAUGACAGUGAGGCGCUGUUGGUGUAUAAAUAUUAAUGCUAUUGGUGUCAAUGUGCAAGUGUACACAACAAGUAAUAAAGUGAUGAGUAUUUAAGAUUGUCUCCACAGGGAUUGUUGUUAUUAGAUUUGCUACAACAAUCUUAACAAUGCAGAUUUUGUGCUAAAAUAAAAUAAAACAAUUAAUGAAACUAAUAUACUAAUUAAAUUAAAAACGCAAUAAAUAAAAUGCAACAAAGUUAACUAUCACGUUAAGCUCAAGGAUAAAACUAAUGGGAAUAUAUAGUAGUUGAGUGAAUAAACUCUCCUAAUGGUCUUGACUAUUUUCUAAUGGUUAGCUCGGUUGCUACAGUAUUUGCUACAAUAGUGGGCAGAAUCCUUAUGUAUCCUUAGCCGUCGCAUGUUUGAUAUCUUAUAUCUAUAUGCAAUCUAAUAGUGAUCAGUUGUUAUGCCAACAUAAGAUAUAGCAUUACACGCUUAGGUUCUAUUUACCCUACAAGGUGAAUCCCUAUAUCUAGUUCAUCACUAAUUUUAGAUUAAGCAUGACCCUUUUGGAAUAAGUUAAACUCAAUCUAGGAAACUCAAUCUAAAACCAAGUAUUGCUCUUAUAUAUUCCACUAAGAUAGGCCAUUUUGCGGCUCUCUCCUAACUUGUAUCAUUAAAUGGGUGAUCAACCGAAAUAAUGAAUAAAAAUAAAUACUAUCAAAACAAACUGCUAGAGCAAACAUGCAGCAAUACAUAUAUUCAGUCAAUAAACCAUCAAAAUUGUUUAUCACUCAACCACAAAUAAAUUUAGUUCAUGGUUUGUAAAAGAAAAAUAAAGAACAAAGUUUCAGCCAUGAAACACAUCCCCAUAAAUAAAUAGAAAACGAGAAAACAAGAGAAGAAUAAGAAGGAUUGAGCUCCCAAUUGAUUUCUGCCAAUUCUCCUCUUGUGCAGUCCUUAAUCUCUCUCUUGAAUCUUGUUUUUCUCAUUGGGUGACGGCUCCCCGUUUUCCUUAUGAUGUGUGCUUCUUUUAUAGUUAAAAAUAAGGGUAAACAGAAGCCUAGAGCGCGCAAAAAUCAGAUUAGGAAACUGCAAAUUGCAAUGUUGCAAGUAUCCCGCGCGGGAUUUUCUUUGUCGUUGUUCCAGGAUUGCUACAACAAUGGUUACAACAAUGUUGCUACAGCAACGACUACAACAAUUGCACUGUUCCAGAUUUGUUUCAAUUCUUUUAUAGCUAAGUUCUUCCUCAUUUUUGCAAGCCUAUUGCAUCAGCAUUCCUUCCAUGAAUUAUAAGCUUAUGGAAACCUACAAUUAUGCACACAAUUUAAGCACAAAUUACUUUAAAUUAAGCAAAACUCAUUAAGACUAAACUAAAAUGAAUAUUUAUGCAAAAUGUAACAAAAAUGCAAUAGAAUUACAUCAUUUACUCUCUAAGUAAUAUUAAUUUAAGUCUAAAAGUGCUAUGAUAACUCUCAUUUCAUAGAGUUAUCACACCCUCAAACUUAAACUAUUACUUGUCCUCAAGUAAUGACAACAACACUAACACUUCAAUCACACAGUCAUGCAACAAAUAACUUAACUUUAUUAUCAAAUUUUCAAGAAUUCUUCCACCCUCAUAUCACAUUCUUAAUCAUGCAAAAUAGCCUUAGCAGUUCAGUUUUAGACUUUGGCCUCAUUCUGUCCAAAGUGUGUAUGUGCCACUUUGAUCAAAUUCCAGAGGUGCUACAACAUUACAGAGACAUUGCAUAUAAUUCAAAGGUAGAACACAAAUAUAUUCACAUAUGGGGGAGCAGAAAUCACAAAUAUACUCAAAUUGUGCUACAACAAUAAUAAUUUUUUUUUUCAGUUAAACCCUUCAAUGCAACAUUGAGCUUUCAUGUGAUUGCCUAUCACUUGUAAUGACGACACCCAAUUACUCAUUCAAAGUACAUGUCAGAGUUGCUACAUCAACGCAUUCAGGAUGUUAUAUCUAGGUCUUACCUUUGGACGCCUUUGACUCAAGGCUAAACAUGGGGCUCAUGAACAGACCGGGUUACUCAGUAUCCUAGGCAGCAGACCUCUUUAUUUUUUAUUCCUUCAUCACAAUUUAUUUUUGCUUUUUUUUAUAUAUAAUUGCUGCAGCACUGCUCAUAACUCUUGUUGCCUUUGGACUCAAGUUUGCAUAUGGGGUGCAUACUCAACCUUGGUUACUCAACAACUUAAACCAUUUGAGUAGAAUUUAUUUCAUAACAGGCACAGUCCAACAAAAAAUUUCCCCAAAACUUGAGAUAUUUUCUAUUUUUUUUUGUUUUCCUGGCUCUGCUACAGCAUUCUCAUAAAACUCAACCAAAGUCUAAGUGUCGGGACAAAAUUUCAACCUCCAUCUAUAACUAUCUCUACUUAGCAUUCUCAUAAAUACUGAAUAACACUCAAUUUAUCUUCAUUAGGUUUUCAAAUCCAUACACAAAUAUUAAAUAACAGAGCUUCAUACAACACACAACACAAACAUAAACACAUGCACUCAGAAACACAACCUCCCAAACUUGAGUGGUGCUGUGUCCUUACAAGCACACAAAACAAAACCACAUAAACCAGACAUGCAUACACUAAAUAAAAGGACAUGCAGAAUGAAUUAGAAAAUUAAAACUAAAUGAAAGAAAAGUUUGUGCAAAAAGAAGUAAGAUAAACUAGCGUGUAUGGGGUACUGCCCCAUUGCUGGAAGCACUGCUACAGCAUAGCCUGUAAAUGAUUACUUCUUAUUUGAUCCACUUCUCAAACGCUCCUUAUCAUAAAAUCUUAUCAAUCUGUUUACUGCUGUAAAAGCAAGAAAUGCCUCUAUUGUUUGAGAGUCUUCUGUUAUAUGUCAUGUUGUAAGUGGUGCUGCAGCAAUUCCCUCAUGCUCUUUUUGCCCACUUUUUUUUUUUUUUUUUUACUUGCUGCAAUGUAACAUAAAGACAUAAAAAAUUAGAUGCACACUUAAAAUAAAAAAAGACAUUAAAUAAUUUAAAAGCUAAAUUCAAUGCCAUAAAACUUGAAACAACUUCCCUUAUUGGGUUGCCUCCCAAUUAUCGCUUGCUUUUAGGUCUUUUAGCCUGACCUUUCUUGUUUCCUCAACCUGGAUCCUUCAAGAACCGAUCAUUCUUUAGGCUGUUCAUAUCAUCUCCCAUAUAGUGCUUCACUCUCGGCCUAUUAACCUUGAAUUCUUGUUGGUCUGGAGUGAAUUCCCUUUGCUGGAUUUGCUCGUCAAUUCUGAAGGGUUGCUUCUCCCCUGACCAUGCUAUGUUAGCUACUUCAUGAUCUUCAUCAUCAAGUUCUUCAAAUGUUACAGCAUUGAUUUCUUCCUUACUGCAGCAACUGUGCAAUCUCUCUGCUACAACAAAGUCCACAACACUGAUAAAAUUACAAUCUUCAAUCUCAUCGGGACUCUUCAUGACAUCCAGCACAUUGAAUGUAACUUGUUGGUCAUUCACCCUCAUUGUUAAUUCUCCUUUUUGAACAUCAAUUAAAGUUUUCCCAUGGCUAAGAAAGGUCUCCUAGAAUGAUUGCCACUUCUUUGUCUGCCUCAAAGUCCAGCACAAUGAAAUCCACCGGAAAAAUAAAUUUAUCCACCUUCACCAACACAUCUUCAAUAUUUCCUUCUGGAUAUGCAUGAGAUCUGUCAGCAAGUUGUAAAGUCACUGUUGUUAGUCUACAUUCACCAACUCCCAAUUGCUUAAACACUGAUAAAGGCAUAAGAUUGAUGCUAGCCCCCAAAUCACAAAGUGCUUUGCCAUUGUAUUUAGUGCCUAUGGAGUAAGGGAUUGUGAAGCUUCCUAGAUCCUUAAUCUUCUGCGGUAUCUUACUCUGAAGUAUUCGGCUACACUAUUGUGUUAGAGCAAUUGUCUCAAAUUCUCCAAGUCUUCUUUUCUUUAUCAAGAUAUCUUUAAAAAAUUUCGAAUAAUUUGGCAUUUGCUCUAGAGCUUCCACAAAAGGAAUAUUGAUAUGUAGUUGUUUCAGCACUCCCAUGAUUUUGCUGAACUGCUUAUCUUGUUGCUGCUUCUGAAAUCUUUGAGGGAUGGGUGGUGGGUGCCUAAACUGUUGUGCUGCAACAGGUUGUGCAUACUGCUUCUCUUUUGUCAUGUUCUGGGUUGGUGCUACAGCCUCGUUAUCCACAGGUGUUGGAUCAUUAUUUUUGGCAAAUGCCGCAGCUUGACUGCUCUCACCAGUGUGCUGUGAAGUGGAAGAUUGUGACUCUUUUUCAAUUUGCGUUUCUUUCUAGAUUGAAGUGGGCUCAGCUCUUCUUUUUGGCACCCCAACGGGACUAUGAACAUCCUUUCCAGAUCUCAAGUUAAUCACUUUGUAGUGCUCUUUCCCUUCUCUUCUUGGGUCUUCUGUAUUACUGGGUAAACUACCUUGAGGUCUGUUAUCUAAUACUGCAGCAAGCUGUCCAAUUUGAUUUUUCAAGUUUCUCAAAUAUACAGUAUGACUUUGGACAACUGCUUCAUUCUUCACAAUAUAAUCCUUAAUCAAACCUUCAAGGGAGCUGAGUUGAUCAUUGUUGAUGUUUAUUUUCUGUUGAUUUUGUGGAUAAAAUCCAGGUGGUUAAGCAGGUCUGUUCUGUCUACUGAAUGCUAUAACAGGCUGAUUCUUAUUACUCUAUGAAAUGUUCGGGUGCUAUCUUCAUCCAGGGUUGUAAGUGUUUGAAUAUGGAUUGUCUUGAUUCUGUCUAUUGAAGCUGCCCACAUAAUUGACUGAAGUUGGAUUCCCAGGACAAUUGUCGAAUAAAUGCCAUUCUCCACAAUAAACGCAAGACACAUAAGAAAUUUGGUUAACAGUUGCUGAAGCAUUAGUCAUAACCUUUACCAUAUUUGUUAAUGAAGCUACUUGGGCUGAGAAUGUUGUCAAGGCAUCUACGUUAUGGACUCCUGUUAUUCCUCUUACUGCAACUUGUCUGGUUGAUUACGACUGAUAGUUAUUGUUGGCUAUCAUUUCCAAAAUUUCAUAAGCCUCAUUGUAAGACUUAGAUAACAAGGCCCCAUUUGCUGAAGCGUCCACCAUCAAUCUAGUGCUUGGGUUGAGAUCAUUAUAGAAAGUUUCCAACUGUAUGCAGCAAGGAAUACCAUGAUGAGGACAUUUUCUAAGUAACUCAUUAAAUCUCUCCCAUGCGUCGCACAAGCUCUCAUCUUCAAGUUGAUGGAAAGAUGUGAUCGCGUUUCUCAAUUUUGCAUUCUUGGUUGGCGGGAAGUAUUUCAUCAAAAAUUUGUCAGCCAAAUCAUUCCAUGUAGUGAUAGAAUUUGGUGGUAGAGAAUUCAACCAUGCUUUUGCUCGAUCUCUUAAAGAAAACGGGAAAAGUAUGAGUCUCAAUGCUUCCUGCGAUGCUCCAGCAAUCUUGAAAGCAUCACUUACUUCUAAAAAUAACUUAAGGUGUAGAUGAGGAUCUUCGGAUGGAAAACCAUUAAAUUGUCCCACUGUUUGAAGCAUUUAAAACAUCACGGGUUUAAGUUCAAAAUUAUUAGCUUGAACGUCGGGUCUCACUAUUCCCGGAUGUAUGGCUUGAGGAGUCAACACUGCGUAGUCUCGAAUGGCUCUAUCUUUAUCGUUCGCCAUGUGAAUAAUGUUGUUGUUCCCAGGUUGCCUUUGAACACAUUGUCCAUUCAGACCUUCAUGUACAUUGACUGGUUAUAUCCCCUCUCUAUGGUUCAAGUUUCUCAAAUCUUGCAAAUCAUCCAUUGCUACAGCAGCUUGUAAUUCUAGAUGCUCUCUUCUCAAUCUCCUUGCAGUUCUUUCAAUUUCUGGAUCAAACUGGAAGUCAACAGAUUUAUAUUUGCGCAUGCAAGGGUUGCUAGAUCACAUAUGUCAACAAAAUAAACAAAUUAAAAUAAAAUAAAAAAUUAGCACUGUUAAAACUAAUUUCACAAAUCACAAUGAACAAUCAAUCCCGGCAACGGCGCCAAAAACUUGUUGGUGUAUAAAUAUUAAUGCUAUUGGAAUCAAUGUGCAAAUGUACACACACAAGUAAUAAAGUGAUGAGUAUUUAAGAUUGUCUCCACAGGGAUUGUUGUUAUUAGCUUUGCUACAACAAUCUUAACAGUGCAGAUUUUAUGCUAAAAUAAAAUAAAAUAAUUAAUGAAACUAAUAUACUAAUUACAUUAAAAACUCAAUAAAUAAAAUGCAAUAAAGUUAACUAUCACGUCAAGCUCAAGGAUAAAACUAAUGGGAAUAUAUAGUAGUUGAGUGAAUAAACUCUCCUAAUGGUCUUGACUAUUUUCUAAUGGUUAGCUCGGUUGCUACAGUAUUUGCUACAAUAGUGGGCAGAAUCCUUAUGUAUCCUUAGCCGUCGCAUGUUGGAUAUCUUAUAUCUAUAUGCAACCUAAUAGUGAUAAGUUGUUAUGCCAACAUAAGAUAUAGCAUUACACGCUUAGGUUCUAUUUACCCUACAAGGUGAAACCCUAUGUCUAGUUCAUCACUAAUUUUAGAUUAAGCAUGACCCUUUUGGAAUAAGUUAAACUCAAUCUAGGAAACUCAAUCUAAAACCAAGUAUUGCUUUGAUAUGUUCCACUAAGAUAGGCCAUUUUGCGGCUCUCUCCUAACUUGUAUCAUUAAAUGGGUGAUCAACCAAAAUAAUGAAUAAAAAUAAAUACUAUCAAAAUAAUCUACUACAGUAAACAUGCAACAAUACAUAUAUUCAGUCAAUAAACCAUCAAGAUUGUUUAUCACUGAACCAUAAAUAAAUUUAGUUCAUGGUUUGUAAAAGAAAAAUAAAGAACAAAGUUUCAGCCAUGAAACACAUCCCCAUAAAUAAAUAGAAAAAGAGAAAACAAGAGAAGAAUAAGAAGGAUUGAGCUCCCAAUUGAUUUUUGCCAAUUCUCCUUUUGUGCAGCCCUUAAUCUCUCUAUUGAAUCUUGUUUUUCUUUUGUUUCUUUGUGUUUUUCUCCUUGGGUGACGGCUCCCCGUUUUUCUUAUGAUGUGUGCUUCUUUUAUAGUUGAAAAUAAGGGUAAACGGAAGCCUAGGGCGUGCAUAAAUCAGAUUAGGAAACUGCAAAUCGCAAUGCUACAAGUAUCCUACGUGGAAUUUUCUCUGUCGUUGUUCCAGGAUUGCUACAGCAAUGGCUACAAAAAUGUUGCUACAGCAACGGCUUCAGCAACUGCACUGUUCCAGAUUUGUUUCAAUUCUUUUAUAGCUAAGUUCUUCCUCAUUUUUGCAAGCCUAUUGCAUCAGCAUUCCUUCCAUGAAUUAUAAGCUUAUGGAAACCUACAAUUAUGCACACAAUUUAAGCACGAAUUACUUUAAAUUAAGUAAAACUCAUUAAGACUAAACUAAAAUGAAUAUUUAUGCAAAAUAUAACAAAAAUGCAAUAGAAUCACAUCAUUUACUCUCUAAGUAAUAUUAAUUUAAGUCUAAAAGUGCUAUGAUAACUCUUAUUUCAUAGAGUUAUCAGGCGCCUAAAAUUGAUUUUCAUUACUGCUUUGUGGGUAGGUUUUUUACGGACAAAGUGAUUAACUUUCCAGCCAUGAAGAACACCAUGGCGUCAUUAUGGAGGCCUGACAGAGGUGUUUGUAUUAAAGAUUUAUCGUCCACACUAUUUCUCUUCAAAUGUUUUCAUGAAAUUGACAUCAAAAGAGUGAUAGACUCGGGGCCGUGGACGUUUGAUCAGCAUAUUGUCAUUGUUCAGCGGCUGGAGAUGGAUGAACAACCUCAAAAUGUCCCCUUAUUUCAUACGUCUUUUUGGAUCCAAAUCUACAAUCUUCCUAUCGGAUUCCAAUAAGAGAGGAUCCUACAAAGUAUUGGUAAUUAUGUGGGCAAGUUUGUGGAGUCGGACGAAAACAAUCUUACAGGAUAUGGAGGAACUAUAUGAGGAUUCGAGUAUCCAUUGAUGUUAGGUAGCCUCUCAAGCGUAGGAUGUGGCUCAAGAAAGUAGGUAGGGAUUGGAUGUGGGUGGAUUUCAAAGAUGAAAGAUUGAACGUAUUUUGCUUUCUAUGUGGUCUUCUUGGGCAUACAGCAAAGAAUUGUCCAUCUUUGUAUGAGCAAACCACGGCUAUUAUAGCCAGGCCGUAUGGCCAUUGGAUGAAGGCGCCUACACGAAGAAACUUGAUGAACUCCAGCAACCGUUGGCUGCGCUCAAAUCCACUAGGGGAGGAGGAGAUGAAACUUGGAAAUUGCACUAAUUCCGUUGAGGUUAUGGUAGUUGAUUUGGAAGGUGCCGUGAAAUCAGGCUUAAAUGAAGGCAAUAAUAAUGAUAGGGGCAAAGCUAAUGGGAUUGUGGAUAAUAUAGCAGGAUCUCUACAAUGCCUGACAAAUCGUGGUCAACUGCUUGAUAAAGGAAAGGAUGUGGUAGUAUCUCCUAAAGUUCUGGGUCAACUGCAGGAAUAUACUGAAGAGUUUAAUUCGGGUAUUAUUAUUACAGAUGCUAAAAGGAGAAGGGCUCACAGUGCAGUACAGCAUGAGUUGAGCUGUGAUGAGGCUUAAAACACCCAAGUGAUGGAUAAUGUGGUUGAGUCAAAAAAUGGAUUAGUGGUGGGUCCUGUUUCACAGGCCCACCGAGAACAAUGAGUUCCAUAAGUUGGAACUACCGUGGGCUGGGCCACCCACGGAAAGUUCAGGUGUCGAUGGACUUGGUCAGAAAUAAAAAGACGGAUUUUCUCUUUUUAAUGGAAACUUUAUGUAGUCGAGAAAAAUUAGAGAGUUUGAAGCUUAACUUAGGUUAUGUUAAUUUGUUUACAGUAAAUAAAGUGGGCCGAAGUGGUGGGCUUGCCCUUAACUUGAAAUUAGCUUACAAAGUUUAGCUGCUUAAUUUUGGGCGUACUUUCAUUGACGUUCAAGUUGAAAAUGCAGAAGUUGGAAAAUGGCGGUAUACUGGGUUCUAUGGCUUCCCUGAGAUGAGUAGAAGGCGUGAUUCAUGGGAGCUACUUCGUUCUUUAUCCUCGGUUUCCUCUUUACCUUGGAUCUACAUCAGUGAUUUCAACGAUCUUUUGCAUAUCAGUGAAAAAUGGGACAGGUGUGAGCAUCCAAAUUGGAAGCUUAAUGGGUUUCGAGCUGCUGUUUCGGACUUUGGAUUGGUCGAUUUAAGCAUAGAUGACUAUCAAUACACAUGGGAGAGUUUUCGGGGCACGAUUGACUGGGUGGAGGAGUGUUUGGAUAGAGCUUUGGCUUUCAGCGCUUGGAUUUCCCUUUUCCCGAGAGCUAGAUUGCUGAGCUUGGAGGCUAUGUGUUCCGAUCACUUGCCAAUUUUUCUGGACCCAUUCCCGCAAACUCAUUAUCCUAGGAUUAAACGAUUCAGAUUUGAGAAUGUUUGGCUUCGUGAGCAGGAUUGUGUGGAGGUUAUUACAAAGAGUUGAGAUUUAUCAGUUGGUCUUUCAAUUCAAUCUAAACUUUCUCUUUAUGAGGCUGAGCUUAUGCAUUAGGGUGGUCACCUUGCUUGUGAUUUUAUUAAACAACUAGCAUCUUGCAAGCAAAAAAUGGGGUCUCUUCAGGGGUGCCAAUAUUCAACAAGUUUGGCUGAAUUUGUGGAAACACGGAAGCGUUAUAAUGAAUUGUUACACAGCCAUGAGGUGUUUUGGCAACAAAGGUCGAAGUCGUUAUGGUUGAAGGAGGGAGACAUGAACUCUCGGUAUUUCAAUUCCACUGCUUCUAUAAGAAAAAAAAGAACACGAUUGGGCGAUUAUAGAACAAUUCUAGUCAUUGGUGCACUAAUUCGUCUGAGGUAAAUUCUUUAGUUAUGGAGUAUUUCUCAAAUUUGUACCACUCAGAAGGAAGUGCUAGUGAGGAUAUUUUAUCCUGUGUUGCAACGAAGAUUACAACGGAACAGAACUAGAAUUUAUUAGAGCCUUUCACGGCUAUUGAUGUUCGUGAUGCACUCUUUAGCAUGCACCCUGAUAAGUCCCCAGGGCCGGAUGGAAUGAACCUUACCUUCUAUGAGAUGUUUUGGCACAUUGUUGGAGGUGACGUGACUGUUGCGUGCUUGAGUUUCAUUGAUACAUGUGAGUUCCUUGUUGGAUUAAAUGCUACUGCAAUAGUGUUAAUUCCAAAAAAAUCUCAACCUGAGUAUUUAACAGAUUUACGACCAAUAGCUUUGUGUAAUAUUCUUUAUAAGAUUGUGGCUAAGAUGUUAGCUAAUCGUAUGAAAAGUGUUCUUAGCUCGAUUAUUUCAGAAAAUCAAAGUGCUUUUGUGCCUGGGAGGGCCAUUAUUGAUAAUAUCCUAACCUCGGCAGAGAUUAUGCAUUAUUUAAAGCGGGAGAGGCAAGGGAAGACAUGGACUGCAGCUUUAAAAAUUGACAUGUCUAAGGUGUGUGAUAGGAUUGAGUGGGGUUAUUUAAAGACUAUGGUGUUGAAGUUGGGAUUUGCCGAGAGAUGGGUUAAGUUAAUCCUUUUGUGUGUUUCUACUAUCACUUAUAAGGUUCUCCGAGGCAACGAGGAAGUGGGGCCUAUCGUCCCUAGUAGAGGUUUGAGCCAAGGAGAUCCUUUGUCUCCAUAUUUGUUCAUCAUUUGUGCGGAAGGGUUGAGUUUAUUACUUCGAAAGCACGAGAGGGCAGGUUUAAUGCAUGGAGUUCGGUUGGCUAGGGGAGCUCCGAUAGUGACUCAUCUAUUUUUUGCAGAUGACCGUUUUCUUUUCUUUAAGGCAAAUGCACAAGAGGCUCGGAUCAUAAAACAGUCAUUGGCUAUCUAUGGGGUAGCCUCGGGUCAAGUGGUGAAUUACAAUAAAUCAUCGAUAUCCUUUAGUGCUAAUGUUAGUGCUGCCGCGACUCAGCAAGUGUGCGACAUUCUGAAGGUAGCAGUUAGUAGCAAUCAUGGAUCCUAUCUUGGCCUACCAUCUUCUAUUGGGUGAAACAAGAAUGAGGCUUUUUGAUUUAUUCGUAACAAGGUUUUACGACAUCUCCAAGGCUGGAAUCAGAAGCUGUUAUCUAGAGCGGGGAAAGAAAUUCUAUUGAAAAUAGUUGCACAGGCAAUGCCUAACUAUGCAAUGAAUUUAUAUAUUUUUUCGUUGGAUCUUUGUCGAGAGCUAGAGAAAAUGAUGAACUCAUUUUGGUGGGGUAAUAAUCGAAGUGGCAGCAGAGGGAUAAAUUGGAUGCGGUGGGAGAAAUUUUGUAAGCCUAAAGUUCAUGGGGAAAUUGGCUUUAAGCAGCUCCACUCUUUUAACAUUGCGAUGCUUGGAAAGCAAGGCUGGAGGCUUUUAUCUAAUCCCAAUAGUUUGGUGGCGCGCAUCCUUAGAGCUAGAUACUACCCGCUGUCCUCUUUUGGUAAAGCUACUAUGGGUAGCAACCCUAGCUACGCUUGGUGGUCUAUUAUGGCAGCACAUACAGUGAUUAUCCAAGGUAGCGUAUUCAAAUCGGUAAUGGAUGUAAGACCACGAUUGGGGGCUCUCCUUGGCUUCCAGAUCUGGACCAUGGUUAUGUUACUACUCCCUGCCUGAUGUAAUAGAAAAUGCUCCAGUAAGCAGCCUCAUGAUACUAGGGCAGUGCAACUGGGAUUUGGAUGUGCUGGCUGAUAUCUUCAAUGACAGAGAUUGAGAUCUUAUUACCCAAAUUCCUCUGAGUAACAAAAGAGAGGAAGAUGCCUGGUACUGGUCUACUAAUGCUAGAGGGGCACGAUUGGUUAUGGGGCUGUAAUUCGUAAUUCUGAGGGUGAAUUUAUAGCUGCAAGGAGUAAUUGGCUUAUUGGCAGUUUUGGUGCUCUAGAGGCUGAAGCUAUUGGCGUGCAAGAGAUACUCAGUUGGCUCAAGGGGUUACCCUUCCUUCCUGUUAUUAUUGAAAUGGAUAGCUUACAAGUUUUCACUGCUUUAACUAUGGCUAGUUUUAGUCCUAAUGGUUUUAGUCUUAUUAUUGAUGAUUGUAGAGCAUUAGUUUAAUCUUUAGGAGAUGUUACUUUCUCUUUUGUUAGGAGAACUUCGCCAGUCAUUCUGUUGCUAGGGUGGGGGGUUCUUUGUCAGGUCCGGGAGAGUGGAGGCAUGUUCCCCCUCCUUGGUUGGUUUACCAGUUAUCGAUUUAAUGAAGUUCUUGUUUCCCUAAAAAAAAAAAGAAAUAUUAGAUUACAAGUUUACUAUUAUAUUUUUACAAAACUAAUUAUUUUAUUCUAUUUUCAUCAAUUGAUCAGUUAGUUGACUAAUAAAAUAUUAAUUUUAUCUUUGAAAGAAUGUACACAAAUAGGAUAUAAAAUAUUAAAUUUAUAGGCUUAUAUGGAUUAUUUUUUGCUAGUUUGUAUUUUAAAGGAAACAUUACAAAUUCUGCCUUAGAUAUAAGUUAGAAACACUUGUACCCAAAUUUAAAUGGGUUGUCAUUCCUACUCACUUUAAAUUUAAAAGCAAUAGACUUAAUCCCUUGAAACAAUUUAAGUUAUUUUUCAAUGAAGUAGUCUUCAAUAUUGCCCCUAAUCAUCAAUUAAGUUAUUUUACAAACCGUAAACAUCCAUUAAAAUGAAAUAUUAUGUAUGUAUUGUGAAAACACUUUAUUUAUAUAUAUUGAAUUAAUUACCUAAUUUACCUUAUUUUUUAUUUUUUAUUUUCAUAUUUUCUUGGCUUAAAAAUUGAAAAAUGUAAACAAAUUGGGCAUAUAGUAUUUGAAGCUUUGAUGAAGCUUAUUUUAUGUGUUAUCAAUGAGAGAAUAUUUUAUCUUAUGCGAGAAAUAAAAUUAAUAUAUAAUCCAUGAUGUGAUCAAGGUGGAAUAUAAAAAAAUUAUCUUUUUUAGAAAAAAUAAAAAAAAUGCCAAUUUUUUUAAAAAAAAACUAGGUAAUUAACUUAUCAAGAACAAUAUUGUCAUAUCACACACAAAAAAUAUUUCAUUUUGAUGGAUAUUUACGGGUUGUAAAAUAACUUAAAUCGAUUAGGGACAAUAUCAAUAUUUUAAUUGUAAAAGUACUUAAAUUGUUAAUGUAAGAGGGUUAACUAUAGCAUUUUUAAAGUUGAAGGAGGCAGGUUUCAUAGCCCAUUUAAGUUUGAGUGUAAGUGUUUCUAACUUAUAUUUGAGGGAUGAAUUUAUAGUUUUCUUAGAUAUUGAAUUUGUAAUAUUUAAUACUUUGCAUUUUUUUGACAAAAAUUUUUGUUUAAAGGAUAAAAUUAAUUUUUUAUUAGUAAACUUACUAGUCAACUAAUAGUACUAACAGAAUUUUGAUUUUUUUUCAAACUUUUGAAAUUAAAAUCACAGUAUGAUAUGGAGAAAGCAUUCCACAUUGAAAAAGUAAAGUUAGUAUUGUUAUAAAAAAAUUAUAAAAAAUCCAAAAGCCGACCAAAAAAAAAAAAGAAAUGUCCAAUAAAAACUUUCUGCAUGAAAUGAGUUAAGUCCAUUCUCCAAAAGAAUGACCUAGGUACUUAGAAAGAAUUUUAUGUAAAUCACCUAAGCACAAAAAUCGACAAAACACCUAAGGGCGUUAUUACACAAUGAUUUAGGUUUAUUAUCUACAAAAAUGACUUAUGUACUUAGAAAGCAUUCUUUGUAGAUUGGAUAAAGGGAAUAAUGUACAAAAAAGAAUAAAUGUAUCAUUAUUGUAGAGAUUAGAUCUAGAUCCAUAUAAUGUACUUCAUGUAAACAACUUAUCAAACAUACAUUCUACAGAAAAAGCCUAUGAGCCAUUAAACAUUUUAUGAAAUGCGCCUAUGAGUAAACAAGUGUGCUAUAGAAUGAGCCUACAGGUCAAUAAAAAUUCUAUGGAAUGAGCUUACAGGCCAAAAAUAUAUUCUACAAACUACACUUAUAGGGUAAACAUUCAUUUCACACAAUGAGCCAACGAUCUAACAUAUAUUCUACAGAAUGAGCCUACAGGCCAAUAAACAUUCUGUGAAAUGUGCCUACAUGCCAAAAAAUAUUCUAUGGAAUAAGUCUGUAGACCAAUAAAUAUUCUAUAGGGAAAAAAUAAAUUCUAUAGAAUGCGCCUGCAAGACAAAUAUACAUUUUAUAAAAUAAGUCUACACGUAAACAAACAUUCUGCGAAAUGAGUCUGUAGGCAAACAAACAUUUUACAUGAUGUACUUAUAGGCAAACUUUUACAAAUGCGGCUACGAGCAAAUUUUGUUCGAAAAAUGCCAUAGGCCCAUUCUCCAAAAGAUUGGAUUAAGACCAAUUACUUAGAAAAUAUUCUAAGUGCCUACAGGCAAAGACUUUGCAAAAAUUCAAUAAUGAGUGAUAUUACGGGGUAGGCAGAAUUGAACUGAACCUGUCAAAAAUUUGGUUUAAUUCGGCUUUUCGGUUUCACUUCAAUAUUUUAUAAUUAAAAUAUUGAAUGAAUUAAUUAGAAACCGAACUGAUUGAUUUGCUUAAGUUUUUGGUUCAAAAUUUUAAAACCGUUACCAGGCAAAAUCUAAAGAAAAUUUUGUAAUUUUCACAUAAUACAUACAUGCACAUAUAGUUGCCAAGGCUAGUUUUCUACUAAAUAUUCAAACCUUAAACCUAAGUUGAAGUUGUUGCCACUGCCGACUACAAAAUUGCUAAAAUAAAUAACUAUCUUUGCUUCCUUCUGGCUUAAUGAAUUGCUGUCGUUGCCAACUGAAUCAUGAUCUACCAGACAUUGCUCCUAAGGAAAAUCAACAUAACGAUCAACUAUAGAUCUACAUAAACAACUAUAGAUUUACAAAAGUGACUUAGGUACUUGGAAACAUUUCUAAGUAAAUGGCGUGUCUAAAAAACUCUAAGGGCUUAAAUCUAUGAAAAUCGACAUACAUCAAUUGCAAAUGGCAAGUCUUCGAUAAAGUGUCAAUGGCAUAAUUCUACAAUGAUUGACCUAGGUGCUAAGAAAAUACUUCUAAGUGAAGUACCCAAAGGGCGAGUUUUCUAAAAAGCACUAAAGGUAUAACUCUGCAAAGAAUAACUCAGGUUCAUUCUUUGCAAAGAAAAACCUAACUAUUUAGAGUAUGCUUUUAAGUGAGAUGCCUAAAAGACGAGUUUUUAACAAAAAACCAAAGACAUAAGUUACAAAGAAUGACCUAAGCCUAUUUUUUUACAAAGAAUAACCUAAGUACUUGGAAAGUACUUUUAAGCAAAAUAUUUAAAGGGUGAGACUUCGACAAACCACUAAAGGUAAUUUUAUAAAGAAUGACCUAGGUUUACUAUACAAAGAAUGGCCCAGGUAUUUAGAAAUCUUCUAAGUAAAAGUACCCGAAAAGCUAGUCUUUGACAAAAUGCAAAGGGCAUAAUUCCACAAAAAUUAUCUAGGCUCAUUUUUUAAAAGAGUGACCUAGGUACUUAAAAAAAAUUUUAAGUCAAACAUCUAAAGGGAAAUGAUUGUCAAAGGCGCCGAAAGGCAGGUGCUUACUAAAUUGCCUAAGGAUAAAUAUUGACUAAAACACCUAAAGGAAAGUGAAAGUUAGAGUGCUUAAGGGUGGAUGCUGACUAAAAUGCAUAAUGGUGUAUUUUGAAUUAAAUGACUAAGAGUGAAUGUUGACUAGAGCGUGUAGAGGGGAUGUUGGCUAAAACACCUAAAGGUAAUAGUUGACUAAUGAGCUUAAAGGUAUGUCGUCAGAAUACGCCUAAGGGAGUGUUUUGGCAAAACACAUAAUGCCAUGUCUUGACAAAAUGCCUUAGGAUAAUUACUGAAUAGUUUCUUCAAGCCUAUUCUUUAUAGGAAUAAUUGAUCAGACAAAUCCUUGCAAAAUAUUCUAAGGAAAAAAUUCCCUAGGGUGUGUCUUUAAAACAUUGGUUAAAAGCGAGUAUCGACAAAAAUAUUUCAAAAUGCCUAAGGGCAAUUUAUCUACAAGGAUUGCCUAGGGAAUUCCACUACUAGAAAAAUGGUCUUUACUGACACUUGGUUUGUGACACUUUAUUAAAAAGUAUCAGUAUUUUUAUACAUAUGGGCCAUUUUUCGUGUUUAACACAUAAGUAUCACAAAUUAAUGAUACUAUGGUGUCUGAAAUUUAGACAUAAAAAAUCUCUGACAUACAGUAUUAAUAAUAAAAAUAAAAUAAUUCUGAUCAUGUAACAGAUGGAAUUCGAACCGAGGACCUCGAACAUCAGAGCAUUUAAAUUUAAGAAAAAGACCAUUGGGAUUUUUUUUUUGUGACACUAAGGUAUCAGUAAAAGAAAAUAAAUUUUGAAUCUCAUUUCAAACUGACAUUCAAACCCAAGACCUUUCAAAGCCAAAGCUUUUAAGUUUAAAAUUAAAACCGUUGUGACUUUUUGUUAGUUUUGCUACUAAAUCAGUAGAAUAUUACGUUUGUGAUAUGAAGAACUUGAAAUGUAUUGAGUGCACCUGAGUGAAACUUUUAGUGGGUUUUGACUGAAAUUUUACAAAUAAAUAAUAUAUUUUUAAUUAGAAACGGUAUCGCCUCACUUAGAAAAAAUAAAGAUAAGUAAAACACAUCGUUUUUCCUAACCCUAAGACUAAAAUCGAACUUAAUUUUUUUUCUAAGUCAUUCACUCAUCAUUGUUCACAUCUCGAUUCUCCUUCUCUGUCAAAACUAAGUAAACAAAACCCUAAUCCUAUCCCCUACUGUUGAUACUGCACAUUCUAAUCAAACUUGAUGUCAAUCUCGACAAAGCCCGAAGUAGAGGAAUUCUUUUCUAUCACGAUUUGGUUCUCUCUCUCUUCCCACUGCAAUAAUUUCAUUUAUGAGGGUGCCAUUUAUUUAUUUUUAAUUAUUAUGUUUCCAAUUUAUAGUGCCUAUUUUCCUCAUGCAUGUCGGUUUGUUGCAGUUUAACUAUAGAAUGGGUUUUAAAAUUCUAAAUUUUUUCUGUAAUCUUGAUUGUUUAUAAUUUGGGACCAGUGAAAACAUAGCAAAGAGGUAAAGGCAAUUGAAGUUGAGUUAUUGUACCAGAAGUUUUAAUUAAGAGUGGUUUUAUAAGCGCCUGAUUCAAAUAAGCUUUCUUUCCUCUCUUUCUUUAGUUGCCAUGUCGCUGGACUUUGAAUUUCAUGUACACUUUAACUAGAAUUGAUGGAUACAAUGUCAAUGCAGAUUUCAGUUUUUCUCCUUUUCCCCAUUUCUCGAAAUUGCAUUUAAAAUUUUGCAUGAUGCUUUCAAUUUUGGGCCUAACUUGUUCCAUUUAAUUAGUCAUUGAUAAAGAUACAUAUUCAAUUUGGGUCAAUUCAUCAAUCCUUUCCCUAUAAUGCACUUGCGAGACUUAGUAUAAAUGCAAUAUCUCACAUGCAAAUCCUUCAACAACAACAAGCAUUAUCCUUAAUUGUUUUUCUAUGUGAUUUCCCUUGUACAGCUCUUUGACAUAGUAAUUAAAAAUAUAAUUAAAUCUUCAUUCAUAUGUUGACAUGUACAAUAGCCUUGGCCAUUUUAGUGUUACAACUACAUGCAGCUUGUUUGUUUUUUUUUUACAUGAUCUUUAAAUUAAUAAACUUUUGAAAGGGACCUUUUGGUUGUUUGUAUAGGAAACUUUUGUUUGCAUUUUAACAUUGAAUUAUUGACUUUCGACUAAAAUGUUUAGUUUGUUAUUACUUUUUCUUAUAUCUUACAUAUUUCAAUUGAGUAGCUCUAAUAAGUGGAAUUAAUAUGUUCAGUUCAAUCUUUGGCUUCCGAAGAAUCACAAAAGUUUAUGAUGUAACACCUGUCUUCAUUUGGUAAUUCUUUUAAAUCACUCUUUUUUUUUUCAGUUUCUAUUAUCGUUGUGUUCUGAGUUUUACUUGUACUGACAUGUUUUAAAUAUUGACAAGCAUUGUUUUAGUUUCAUUUUUGUUGCAUAGACUCUUCUGGAAUUAAAUUGUUUGUUCUAAUAUGAAAAUAAAAUUUUGAAAAAUGUGGAUGUGGCAUGUUUUGUUGGCUUGCUAAAUGUGUACAUGUAUAUUUUGCUGGCUUGGUGAAUGUGUACAUGUAUGCUCUGUUGGCUUGUUGAAUGUGUACAGGUAUGCUCUAUUGGGUUGCUGAAUGCUUACAUAUAUGCUCUGUUGGGUUGCUGAAUGCGUACAUGUAUUUAAGUGACUCUAAAUAAUAGAACUUAGAUUUAUUUUGCAAUUUGUAUUUUUAAUUUAAACUUAAAAGUUUGAAGUUAUUUGUGCAAUUUAAUUAAACUUAUUAAGCUAACAACAUCUAACAAAUGAACAGGUAAUAAUACAUAUUAUGGACAAAACUUGGAUAUUUUGUGAUAGAUUGUCUGAUGAGUAUAAUGAUGGCGUUGAUGAUUUCUUGGAGUUUGCCAUUCUUAAUUCUGAAAAUAGAAUGUCAAUUAGAUGUCCUUGUAUCUCUUGUUGUAAUAUGGAGUUUUUAACCCCUGAACAAGUGAGGCUACAUCUGUUUAAAAAACAUUUUCUAAAAAAAUAUUUAGUUUGGAAUUGACACGGUGAGGUGGACCUGAAACCUACCUCUAUAAACUGCCAAGACCAGCCACAAAAUUAACGUUUUAGAUGUCCGGAUUAGAGUUAGGUAGAUGACAUGGUUCAUGAUGUUUUUUAGCAUUGUAAUAAAGAUCCUAGUGCUUUUAAAGACAUUCUUGAAGAUGUGGAAAAGCCCCUAUAUCCAGGUUCAAAGCAUUCAAAGUUAUCGGGUUUAAUGAAACUGUACAAUAUAAAAGGACUUUAUGGCUGGUUUGAUAGUGGAUUUUCAGUUUUAUUGGAAGUGUUAAAUGAGAUAUUGCCAAAUGAUAAUAGUUUGCCUAAGUCCAUGUAUGAGGCCAAAAAAUAAUGAAGCUAUGAGGCUUAGAUUAUGAGAAAAUACAUGCAUGUCAAAAUGAUUGCAUUCUUUAUAGGAAUGAGUUCAAGAAUCUUAGUGAAUGCCCAAAGUGUGGAACAUUUAGGUGGCAAAUAAGAAAAGAUGGAUAAAAAAAAUUAAAAAGGGGGUCCCUAAAAAGGUGUUAUGGUAUUUUUCUAUAAUUCAUAGGUUCAAUCACCACAAACUACUGAGAACUUAACAUGGCAUGAAAAUAAAAGAAUUAGAGAUGGCAAGCUUUGCCACCCAGCAGAUUCACCAGCUUGGCAGUUAAUUGACAAGAAAUGGCCUGAUUUUGCCCAAGAGCCGAGAAAUCUUCAAUUGGCUUUAUCAUCUGAUGGGAUUAACCCACAUAACACACUUAGCACUACUUAUAGUUCUUGGCCUAUUACAUUGAUAACAUUUAACCUUCCUCCAUGGUUGUGUAUGAAGAGGAAGUUUAUGAUGUUGUCUCUACUGAUAUCUAGCCCUAAACAACCUGAAAAUGACAUAGAUGUAUACCUAGCACCAUUGAUUGAGGACUUAAAAACCCAAUGGGAUGUAGGUGUCGAUGUGUUUGAUGCUUAUAAGAAACAAACUUUUAAUUUACGAGCUGUGUUGAUGUGGACGAUUAGUGACUUUCCAGCUUAUAGAAACCUGUCUGGGUGUACUGUUAAGGGAUACUAUGGUUGUCUAGUUUGUGGGAUAAACACAUAUGCAUGUCACUACCACAUAGUUGGAAAAUGUCAUAUAUGGGCCAUAGGCUAUUUAUUGAAAAUCCUCUUAGGCCUUUGUCUAGUAUAAAGAUCUUAAACUUGGUGGUUGGCAUUGACACCAAGUUUGGGAAAAAGGUCCAAAACAAGCAAAAACUGUGUGAGAGUGAGGGUCACAAUAAGGGUAAAAGUGAGGGUGAAGGUGAGGGUGAGGAUGAGGGUGAGGAUUGAAAAAAUUGAUACAAUAAUAUUUCUUGCUUGAUUGAAUUACAUGGUAAUUAGGAUAAUACAUACAAUGAUGAUAAGGAAUUCCCGUAACAGUUCUAAGGCUUGACAUGAGUGAAUUUCCUAUUGAGUGUAUUAUAAAAUAUGGAAGGCUAGAGAGAUUCUUGUCGAAAUUAUCAAGAAGUUAUUGUCCUGCUAUCAAUCAAAUACUUGGCCGUUAUAGAUGAUUCUGGAACUUGAUAUGCUGUUGGCUUGCACUUUCCUUCCAUAGGUUUUUAAUGCUUGAUUGUUGCUCAAAUUCAUCCUGUGUAUGAAUCUCAUCAGCCCCCCUCAAAUUAGGAACGGUCAUGAGGCGAGUUCUGAGUUUGUGCCCAAAUUUUAGGAAGAGUUUCUUAGAUAGAGGCUUAGUUGCUGUACAAAAAAAGAUCAAUCUUCUUUGAUUUAGAAUAUUGAGAACAUUUUUUAGUUUUCCAUCAACUAGAUGUGAUGCAUAUUGAGAAAAAUAUAUGUGAGAUCAUCUAUGGCACAUUACUCCAUCAACCGGGGAAAACAAAGGAUGGAAUUAAUACUAGAAAAUAUCUUACACGUCCAGAGCUUAGAGAGAAAAUUAACAAAGCAUUUAUUGCAUUAGCUCCUGAUGAACAAAAUAAAGUCAUGCCCUCUACCCCACACACUUUAAGUAAGAAAAAAAAAUGUUCUGUGAAACCUUGCAAGGUGUCAAAGUUCCUAAUGGUUAUUAUUCUAAUUUUAGAAAUAUUGUUUCAAUGGAUGAUUGUCGUCUUCAUGGGCUUAAGUCUCAUGAUUGUCAUACAUUGAUGCAACAACUACUACUAUUAGCAAUUCGCAAUUGUUUGCCUCAAAAUGUCAGAUUUGUCAUAAUUAGGUUGUGCCUCUUCUUUAAUUCUUUGUGUUCUAAGGUAGUAGAGCCCAAUUCUCUAGACCAAUUGCAAAAAGAACUUAAAAUCACCUUAUAUAAUUUAGAACAAUCUUUCAUACUUACCUUCUUCGAUAUAAUGGUCCGUUUAAUAGUCUAUUUAGUUGAAGAAGUUAGAUUAUGUGGCCCGAUUUACCUUCGAUGGAUGUAUCCAUUUGAGAGAGAAAUGAAACCUAUAAAGGGUUAUGUACGCAACUGAUACCAUCUUGAAGGUUGCAUUGUAGAGUGCUAUAUUGCUGAGGAAGCACUUGAAUUUUGUGCUGAAUAUCUUUCAAAUUGUAAAUCAAUCGGACUACCUACUGGUUUUCUAAUUGAUUUUACAGUCAAAAGGCCACUCGGAGGUGUAAAUAUUUAGGUGGUUGAUGCCCCUACAUUGGUGCAAGCACACCGAUGUGUUUUGGUGAACACCCUCAAUAUUCAACCAUGCAUAGAGUAUGUGACUUAAAAUUUGCACUUCUUUUUCGUUAAGUUUUUUUUUUCAAUUUUAUUAAUUCUGUUGUAUAAUUUUAGGGAGAAUUUGGCCUUAAUGCAAUCAAAACACCCUCGUUAAUUACAAAAGCCUUUAUGGUUACCAACCGAGUACUCCUGUACGUUUGCUGAUUGGCUUAAACAAAAGGUCAAAUUAGCUUCAUUAGGUCUAAUAAAAGUAUCCAAGUAAAGGUAAACAAACUUUUCUCUUUCAACUAAUUAUUGUGGUUUCAUUAAUUGAACAAUAGGUAACAACUGAUAAAGCAAAUAAUGUAGCGGUUGACGAAAAAGUAUGGUGGCUGGCAAACAAACCUCGCUCAAGCAUGGUUACAUAUGAAGGCUACUGUAUUAAUGGUUUUAAUUUUGCUACGAGAGAUCAGGACAACAACUACAUAACAAAAAACAGUGGCGUUUAUGUGGUUGCUAACACUUUACAGAUUUCAAGUUCGAAAGACAAAAAUCCCCAUUCUAAGGAUAUGCCUUUUUAUGGGGUUGUCAAUGAAAUUUGGCAACUUGAUUAUCUGGGGGUUAAGAAGGUACUUUUCAAGUGCGAUUGGGUAGAUGAUAUAGGGGUUAAUGUUAAUGAGUUAGGGUUCACUGAAGUCAAUUUAGAUCGAAUAGGCUACAAAUAUGACUGUUUCAUUCUAGCUGGUCAUGCAAAACAAGUGUUUUAUGUGAAAGAUCAGUUAGAUAAUAGUAAAUCAGUUGUUUGUUGAGUGAGUGAAAAAUGUAAUUAUUCAAAUGAGACUAUGUGUGAUGGCAUCGAUGGGUAUAUGCCAUUAUCCAACAAUUUUCCAAAAUGUAAGUUAGAUUUGAGUGAUGAGGAAUUUGUGUAAGAUCAAUUGUUGAUGUUUUUCAUGUAAAUGUUGAUGCAGAAAAUAAAUAAUCUAACUAUUAUGCCUUAUUAGCAAUACUUUUUGUAAGUCAACAACUAAUUUAUUUUUUAUUAUUUUAUUAUUAUAUUGGGAUAUUAUAUUGGUAUCUGGUGCACUCAUCCACUUUUAUGUAUUUGCAAGUUUGUUGGAGACAUAGCAGAAAAUGCGGAGCCAACAUAUGAUCCAGAUAUAAAAGGAAGACCAAGACGAAACCGUACAAACAAGAAAGACUUGUAGAGAGGAGUUAAUGAUGAGACUGAGAUUAUGUAAAAUUCGUAUGGAGUUCCAGUUGGAAAUAAGAGAAACGAUAUGAGGAACUACAUUGGGGUGAUUCUAUGGGAAAGAGUUCUAAUUAUAUAUGAUGAUUGGAGGAAAGUGCCACUAGACAUCAAUGAGACGUUAUAGACUGAUUUUCAGGAAAAGUUCAAGUUGAGUCUUAAGGAAAAAACCCAAGUGUUCAAGUGGAUGAGAAUUGCAUUAAGGAGCUUUAGAUAUAAGUUGGCCAAUGAAUAUAUUCCUGCCUAAUGCAAACAACUUGAGUUCACUGAAAAAGCCUCCUCUUGAGUAUGAAGGCAUUAGAAAAGAAGAUUGGAAGAGCUUUGUUGAUAAGAUUUUAUCCGAAGACUCUUAGGUAUGUUUAAAAUUCUGUUAGUUAUAUAAUAUUAUUGAGUUCCUGUAACCAUUUUAAUCAAUAUCCACUUUGUACAGGAAAAAAGUAAGGCAGCAAAGGAAAAAAGAGCGAAGAAUGUGUGCAAUCAUCACUUGGGCAACACAUGAUAUGCUGGGCUGUUGCAUAAAAGAGUAAGUACAAUAACCACUCUAUACAAACUUAUGACAUUUUGAAUACAAAUAAUAGGAUGAUUCAUAGUAGUUUUGAAUUCAAUUUUUAUUGAAUUAUUGCAGCAGUUGGACCUCGGAGUUUCUGAACGCGAGUUGACUGCAGUGAAGCCUAGUUAUUGGCUCACAGGAAAAAAGAUGGAAUACUUGAUGUGUAGCAAGUGGCUGAAAGAAUUGUAAGUUUCCACCACUGCUAAAAAAUACCAAUGCAAAUAGUUUGAAACUAAAAGAUGCCUGGAUUAUUUGAUAAUACAAGAUCAUGUAAAUUGACAAAUUAAAUUGCUUUGUUUAUUUCAAAAAAUGCUGGUAAUGCAAUGUAUGUUUAAACUAUCAUUAUUUAACUUAUUUUUUUCCUAUUUUUUUAUCAAAUAUUUUUGUAUUUAUUCUGUAGAGUGAGCUAACAAGCCAAGUUGAGCAGGGAACGUUCCAAUCCCAAGGACCGAAUGACAUCUUUGGUGAAGCCCUUCAAAAGAAACCUAAUGGAAGUCGGGUGCAAGGAUUGGUUUAAUUCAUCACCCCAUCCAUGUAUUUCAAUAUUCCUAACCCUACGAAGUUGGCGCGAGAAUGGAGAAUAUAUUAGGAAAGUUUUAAGUUUAUGCAAGCUCAAUUAGAGCAAGGAUAAACGCCUGCAACAACACUGAAGUUGGCAGUUCCAACUUUCCUAACUCCAACGGUGGUUGCAGUGUUAAGAUAGAGAUAGAUCGUCAAUCACCCAGCAAAGUUACUCCAAAGUCAGUGACUAACAACCCCAAAGCUACCCAAAGUCAAUGACCAAAGUUACUCCAAAUUCAGUGACCAAUGACCCCAUUGUUUGUCGAAAACUUGACAAAAACAUAAACACACCUCCCUUGCCAUCCCCUGUACAGAAUCCACCUCCAGUAGAUUGUGAAGCCACUUCAAAAAUCACCCUAAGAAGAUCUUCAAGAUUAACUCCUUCAAAGAGAAAAGUCGAUGGCCGAAAGUCUUCUAUAAAUGUCGUGAUAUAUCUGUAUGAAUAGAUAGGAACAACAAAGGAACUCGUUGUUGUAACACCAGUGAUAGCAAGGAAACUUGUUCUAAGAAAGAAUACUUGUGGAGCUGUGAAAGUAAGAAAAGAGAACAAAAGUUCAUAGAUGAACAUCUUUUCUUUGAUGAUUGAGAGCUUCCUGCCACAGUCGAUUAUGAUUGCACAUGAUUUGAAAAGUUUUGGUGUCUACUGGGAGAGUAUAUUGGACAAGCAGAUUUGCAAUGAAGUCAUUGAGUUUACAGAGCUCUCAAAUUCUAUUUUGGAGAUAUGGAUCAAGUAAGAAAUAAAAAACUUGAUUUAUGUUUUUAUUAUGUUUUUUGAUUUUGUAAAUUGUCAUUAAUUUAUUUCUUAUAUUCAUAUGUCAUAAAGGUUUCUUUUUUUAAUACACUUUAUGAGGAGAUGGAUAAUGGCAGUGAUGUUAUUCCAAUUCAAUUUGGAUAUAUAGCUAAGUCAAGCAAGCUACCCAAAUAGGUGUUCCUAUAUUUCAAACCUUUUGGACAAGAUACAAAUAGCCUAGAUAAUUGUAUUCCCAUAUAACCCAGGGUAUAGUUUAUUUAUUUUUUUGUCUAUUUUCUUUUUUUUUAACAUAAAUGAUUUAAAUUUAUCUUGUAAUCUUUUUUUUAGUUGUUUAUUUAGUGGCCAAUGGGUGCUAGUAGCAAUUGAUAUGGUGAGGCGAAAAAUAUUUUAUCUUGAUCCAUUAGGUGAUAAUCCUGAUGAUGAGUCGAAGCAGAUGGUGAAUGAGUAAGUUUAAUUAGUUUACUUAAUUCUUUUUUAAUUUUUUAUGUUGUGGAUUAAUUUGCUGCAUCUGUUAUUUAUUACUUAUAGUGGGAUAACAAUGCAUCAAGUGAAGACUAAUAAAAAGAAGGUUGUGCAAUGGGUGGUCUCUGUGAAGGUAUUAAUGAAACAAAGUUAUGACUUCCAUUGUUAUUUCAUCAGUAUAUUUGAAACUAAUUUUUUACUUUUUUAGUGUCCAAAACAAUCUGGAACCUUUAAAUGUGGAUUCUUGAAAACAAUGUGAGUUUCUCCAUAACUUUUUUAAUAUUUUGUCAAAGAAUGCAUUGUGGAGUGAAUUUUCUUAAGAACAAUGUUUAAUCGAUCGAUUGCCACUAUGUAUGGAAUACUACUUGUCAAUUAUGUGAAUUUUCAAGAUGUUUAAUGCAUGAACAGUUUGCUACUUUAUGCUUGAAACGAGCAAUAUAAUCAUAUCUUGUGUUAGGGAUGAGAGGAAGUGUUGUGUAUGUUUGGAAAAAUUGAUGCCAAUUUUUAGUGUGUUCUACUAUGUAUUUAAGGCACUUUAGUGCAAACCAAAAUGAUUGGAGCUGUUGCAUGUACAAAUAGAAGGCAUAUAAAUCCCAAUGCUGAGUGUUAAAGUAAUAUUGAGUAAAGCAAAAUAAUAUAUUAUAAAUUAUCAGCUUCUUAGACUGCUUUGGUAACCGUUAUUUGCUAUGGUGAUACAAUUUAUUUGCAUGUUAUUCAUUUUUUAUAUUAAUCAUAACAAAUUUAAAGAUAUAUGUAUUUAUUUUAUUGUUUUAUUUUAGGACAUAUUUUAAAAUAUAUGAAUACAUUUUGUUGCUUUAUUUUUUAAGUUUAUGGGCUGUGAUGAAUACACUAUGGACGAUCUUUCGCAACUUCGCGAUCAGUGGGCCAUGCAUGUUGCAAAGUUAAUUGUAACAUACAAUAAUCAGGUAAAUUAUAUUUUUGGUUGUAAAUAUUAAAGAAUUGAUUUUUGUAGCAUAGUAGCUAAUUGAUUCUAUAUACUACAUUUAUAGGUGGGAAAGGCAAAAGCAAAGGCUAAGGUCAAAGAGUAGAUGUACUGAGAAUAAUUGUUUGUUUUCCGCAAAUUGUCAUUAUGUUGUUUCCAAACUAUGUUUAAGAUGUUUUCAAACAAUAUUUUAGAUAUUUGUAUUAGUACUUUAUUUGAUACCUAUUUAAAUUUUAGUAGGAAUUUUAUAUACUUAUAUUUAAUUAAAUAGUUUCGUACUUUAGUUUAAUUUUAAUAUUUUCUUUGAAUAUCAUCAUUUGAUUGGCAAAACUAAAAGAACAAUGAAAAUAAUAGAGUAACAACAAUAAUGUUUGAGCAUCUUUUCUUUAAAGCAAUUGACGCUAAAAAAUGUAUCGGAAGUAAGAGCUCUAUUGCGUCAUAAUACUAGUGAUGCUUUAAUAUUACAAAUUACUGACACUAAAGCAUUAGUAUCCAUUCAUUCUAUCAUGUCAUCUCCUUGAUGUAAAACAAACCAUUGACGUGUAAUAAUUGUUAGUAAACAUUAUCACUAUAGUGUCAUAAUAUUAUUGAUACUAUAGUGAAAGUAACUUUUAACCAGCGAUCAUUAUCAGUACUACUAAUACCAUAGUGUCAUAGAUUUGGUAAUAUUAUAGUAAUAAUAAUCACUGACACCACUUACAAGUGUCAUUAUUUUCUGAUUGCCAGAUUACUGACACAAUUAGCAAGUGUCAGUGAAAGUAAUUUUUGACAUUAUUCUAAAGUCAGUAAAGAUCAUUUUUCUAGUAGCGUUCUCUAAUAAAGUUGAUUAUCUUCAAGGCAACUCAAUUUUAAAGUGACAUCCUUUAGUGACAAGAUUUAGAUUGUACAAGAAAGAACCAACAAAAGAACAAAUGUUGAUGAUGCAUAGAAGAUAAAAAUAUAAAAUAAAGAGGGGGUAAAAGAAGGAAACACAACAUCUUGCUAAUGAGUAGUAAAAGAGCUUCAAUAGCACAAAUUCUCACUCACACUCUAGAAAAUCAAGUGUCUUUUCCAAAAAAAAGAUACUUUCUAUCUUUCUUUUUCUUCAUGAAUUUUAAUAAUUAUUAGGUUAAGAUAAAUUCUACAAAGCUAUUAGUAAGCUAUUUAAGAUUGGUUAUAGACCAAAUCUAGUAGGAUAAAUGUGUUGUGCAAAUUUUAAUGUACUCGCAAGCGCACUAAUCUAUUGUAGUAUAGAUCAAUGGUGACGAGUGUCGAUCCCACGAGGAGGUAGCUUUUAAUUGUGUGUAGAAUUAAUUUUGUAAAUGGGUGGUUGAAAUUAUGGUGGAAGUGAUUUAAAUUAUCCUAAAAUUGGAAUUGCAAUGGCGAGAAUAAAUUGAAGCGAAAUCUAUUGAAAUGACGUACUUGGGUAUCUGGAUCCGUAUCAACAUGCAUCAUGGGCUAAAUAAUCCGUAUUAAUGCCAAUUAAAUCAUGAGGGGGGAAUCCACACCUCAUGAACCACGCUCCAAUCAAUAUGGUGCUAAGGGCUUAUCGUGCCAAAUAAUAAUAACCUUGUACUAGAGGGCCGGUGAAACCAAGGCGGUACUAGACAAGAAUAUUAUUAUUUAUCGACGAGAAGUCAAAACAUCCACAAAAACUAGAGGGGAAGAGAAAAUAAAUUUACCAAAUUAAGCCCAUGACACAUGUUGAGACUUCACCUUCAACCCAAGCUUGAAAAAAAAUUAGCCACUCAUAAUUGAACUAGGCGCAAAAUGGGAAUUUAUUAAAAUACGAAGAAAAUACAAGAUGGAGAAGGAAUUAUAGAAAAUGGAUCCCAAAAAUGGAUUCAGAGAUAUCAAAUUAGGGGGAGAGGCCCCCUUUUUAUAGAUACAUGGAGUAAAUCAUGGCCAUCGGAUUAAAAACAGUUUGGAUGCUCAGGAUUGCGCCACGUCAUCAGUCAACAGUACGCGGUUUGACCACGCGGAUGAACAGUAACACGGUUCGACCCGGAUGAAUAGUAACGCGGUUUGAUUGAAAAUAAUCCUGUGUGAUGCAUGUACCGUACGCGAGAUUUUUCGUCCACUGAUAUGCUGCCACGUCACCAUCAACAGUACAUAAGAAUUUUAGCCCAACAGGAUCGUGACACCUCAUCAGUCAAUGCCACAUCAUCGGUCAAUGCCACGUCAUCAGCCGUCUAUGUGAACAGUGUCAUGAACAGUAACGUAUACAGUACCGUACACGUGAAUAGUACCGUACAUGUGAACAAUGCUAUUUUUCCUUUUAUGCUCCUCCAAGGUUUUUGACCAUCCUGAGUUCAAAAAUGAUGUCCGUUUUGCCAUCUGAUCUCUCGUUUAUUGUGAAAUGACUAUGAUGCCCCUAAAAUACAUAAAAUACUUAAUUAAAAUAAAACAAACGGAAUUAAAUCAAAAGAAGGUUAAAUUCAUAAAAGUAAAGGUGUUAGUAAGACUUGAAAUGUAAAAUGACGGUUUUCUCCUUUAUAAAUAUGCAUUUUCUAACACUCAACACACCCCCCAACCAGCUUAUUGCUAGUCCCUAGAAAAUGAAGCGAAAAUAAAAUUCAAAUUCAAAUUCAAAAUGAUUUUUUUUUAAACUUUAGAAACACUCAUGUUUAUUCAAUCAGAUUAAUGAUAGCAAUCAAAUAAAAGUAUAAGCAUUAUCUUCAGUCUAAAGCAACAUCACACUCACAUCAACCAUCCAUAUGAAUUAGCCCAGUAGACUUUGUUAUAUCUACUUUCAAGAAUGACAUGUCAAACCCCAAAAUCUCACUAGAAGUAGUGACACUCUCACAAAUAAAUUAAAUCCACUAAAAUUAGUCACUCCAAUGAAUGGUAAUUGAGAGAGAAAAUAAUAAAGAAGUGAUAUCACAUGCUCUCACUAAGAUGAAAUAAAUAUGCCCUUAGCUUAGAAAUAAUACGAUCUCAAGUCAAACAAAAAUGCUAGUCAACCCACUUUAUUUAUCUUUUUUUUUAUUAUGCAUCACUACAUCUUUUUAGCUCAUAUAACUAGCUUCUACUUCAAACUAUAGUUCCCUAAAAUCAAGAAGGACUUUUAUUAGAACGUAACGUAGGCUGGGGACAUGGCUAACAAAGAAGGGAAAUAAGGAAAACAAAGUGUAUGUUUGAGAAAAAUGCAGAGAAUUUUUUUUUUUAGAAGUUGCAAGGUGGAUUUCACUUAUUAUUUUUAUUUUUAUUCUUUUGAAACAACUUUUGUUUUUUUUUCUCUUUUGUUUUUUUUUUUUUGGCAUAACUUCACUAAACAAAAUAAUUAUUUACAUUUUUCUCAAACAUAAAUAGGUGAUGGAACUUAUAAGAUAUCGGGUAAUACUCCAAAUCGGAGUGGGACAAGAUGAUAAGUUGACAAAGAAAAUGUUUUUUUUUUUUAAAGGCUCAAAAGGGUUAACUAUGGAUAUUUAAUAAAAGGAAUGGCUAGAAAGGCUCAAACGGAUCAAAGAUGGCAUUUCCAUCGUCUUUUAGGGCUCUAAAUAAUCAUCCAUAUCUACUAGUUAGAUAGGCCUCCCAAUGUAACAACACACAUUUUUUUCUUUUUUUUAUUUUACAAUUUUUUUAAGGGUUAACUCAAAAGCAAUUUAGAGAUCGUGUGUAAAAUAAUAAAUUACUAAGCUGUAUAAAGAGUGGGCAAAAUGGUUAUUCUCCAAAAAAAAAUAAUAGGCUCAAAAACUCACUUAGUACUUAUUAUGACAUGUUCAUUCCUUCAAGCAACUCACAUUUGUCUCCGACAUCAACAUGUAGAGUAGCAAACAUAACGUAACAUCACUUAAAACCAAAGAUAAUACAAAUACUAAAAUUUGAAAUUAAUCAUGUCAUCCAAUGUUAAAACAAAUCACACAAAUUUUUUUUUUUCAAACAACAUUCUACUCCCCAACCUAUUCUAAGCAUGAAAGGAAAAUAUGCAUGCAGAAAUGUGAAAAUGAUGCAUAAAAACUAAUUAGAAAAGUUACACGUAAAAUGAUAGAAAAUGAAAAUGGUUUUUUUUUUUUUUAAAGAAGAUGCGUUUCUAGAGGAACUACACUCCAUAUUCAGCCAUCUUUGACUCAAAAGUUGGAAAAUGUAUAUUUAUAGAGGAGAAAUUAAAAAGAAGAAGAAAAAUGAACAUCAAAACUUAAUAAAGAAAAAGAAUUUUUUUAAAUUUUUUAAUUAAUUUUUUUUAAACGAUGAAGAUGCGUUUUUAGAGUCACUACCCUCCAUAUUCAGCCAUCUUCAACACAAAAAGUUAGCAACAGUUAGUUUCUACAACAAACAAUUAGUAAAAACUUAACCAAAAUUCUACAAUUGUCGACUAUUCCCUCCCACCAACCAGAAUGAAACAUUGUCCUCAAUGUUUGAAAGGAAAGAAGUAGAGUUUAGAAGACAUCACCUGGGUGGUGCAACACAGAAAAAAAUAUUUACAAGCGGAGAGUUAAAUCUAAUUUGUACUUCUUACUGCGGCUACUGUUACCAUCAUUAUUUGGGCGCUCCAACACAAAGGUCCAGGGGUCUGGCUCCAGUUUAUAAGCUUGUAACAUAUCAAGUAGCUCAUUAGCAGUGUGAGCACAAAUAAAGAGUUUUUUCGCAUUAGAGGGAAUGAAAUAGUUUUUUAUUGCAUGGUUAAGAAAUGCGAUAAAACCUUCAUAAAAGUUAUUGACUUUUAACAAACCGAUGGGUUUCUGGUGGAUGUGCAGAUGGGCCCAAUAUGCUAGUGUGAUAAGUGCCUCUAGUGUUGCAAGAUCUCCUGGAAGGAAAAUAAAAGCAUCAGCAUGAUUAAGCAUUUCAGUUAUUCUUUCUUGCAUACCUAAGACGACUAACUCUUCUCUAGUUGAUGAGUCAGAGGAACUACCCAAUGGUUUUAGGACUCUUGGCUGCCUCUGAUAAAAGCUGCUUCUGAGAUCAUUUUUUAUAACCCUCGAUUACCUCCUCCAUACACCAAGUGUAAUUUUCUCGCUGCUAUGCUUCGACCAAGAUCUAUGGCUGCCUCAACGAACUCUUUAUGUUUGCCAUAUGUAAAUCCAGAAAGCACACAAAUGUUCUUGAAUUGUCUAUUGGGAGUAGAUGCCAUUGUGAUACUUCUCAAAAACAAUUUGUGAGUGCUUGACAAAAAAGAAAUCACAUUUAAGAAUCUUGGUGAUAGUGGAUCACAGUUGUGUAUGAGGUAACAUGUCAGUGUCAAAUAACGCGUAAAGCACGUGGCUCGCUAGUCAAAAGAGAAACAGUAAAAGGGAAAAAGCAAACAGUAAUAAGGAAAAAGCAAACAGUAAUAAAAUUAUUAAAGACAAUAAUGCACACAAUAAAAUAAUAGUGAAAUAAAAUAACAGUAAAGUAAAAGGAUAUUUACAGGUAGUUGCGACUGUGGCUCACAUCUUCCUCUGGUUUUUUCCAGAAACGGCUUGAAUGCCCUCUAUGGGUCGAGGAUAGCCUUCCCAUUCAGUUUUCUUAUAAACUGGCAAACAAGGUCGUUUAUAGUUAGAUUCCCGAGACUAUAUCGUGCAUGCUCUUUCUGGAAUAAUGGUCAUAACUGGAGAAUCGCUCCUUGCACAUAUCCACUGGGAUGCGUUUCAAGAGACAAAAGGAUAUCAUCCAAUGACUCCUUAUUCAAGCCAUCCCUAAUGAAUUGAAUUUUAUCUUCCCUGUUAUCAGACACCAUUCCUAAAGAACAUGGAUUUUUAUUGCAACUCAUUCUGGCACAUUUAUGACAAGCAAUAGAAAUUCUUCGAGCUCGUCAUUUUCUUGCAUAAUUUCCUUUACCACAACCAGGCAUGUAUGCAAUAAAUUUUGGAGGUAACUCACUUACCGAUCGUACUUUCGCCUCAAUUAACCAACGAAUAUCAGCAGGUAUGUUAUUCCUCAUAAGCAAUCGCAUGCGUUCAGACCGAGCUUUAUAGAUCGUAAAGAGGGCAUUCUGAGGAAGUGAAGGGAAUAGCAUGUGAAGCUUCGCUAGAAUCUCAUUUCUGUCCAUACUUUUGCCUCAGAAUAUCAGUUAUUAUGGGAAACUGAAGUAACCAACUUGAUUAUCACGGAGUACCGUUAUCCGCCACUUCACCGGGGUAACAAACUAAAGCACACAAACAGAAAAACAAAUUAAAACACACAAAGAAAAUUAAAAUCAUCCUCUUAUUGAAUUCACCUCAAGCUCCAACUGGAUGUCAUAAACACUUCUCUCAAUAUCUCUGAGUUGGCUUUCUAGACCCUCAACAUAGGCUACUAACUCUGGUGGUUGUAGAGCUCAAAUGCGAUGUGUUUUACAAAAUUGAAUCUACCUUUUGAGAUGAGUUUUGACACGUUGAAGUGGUUUAAGAAUGUUCAGGAGGAACGGUCUAAGUAAGGUACUCAUGAUUAAAAAUGAUAAGAGAAAACUUAAUAGUUAAACAAACACACUUAUGCAAAAAUAAUUUCAAUUAGUAAAAGAAUAAUAUAAAGAAAGAAAGAAAGAAAAAAUCAAAUCACCAAAAAGAAAAAAAAUCAAUUCAAAUUUGGUGGGUCACUCAAAUUUAUUUCGAUGUCUUCCCCAUGUGGUUGGUAUUCUAGAUAUGGCUUUAAUAUUUGACCAUUAACUUUAAACGUGACACCGUUCUUUAGGUCCUUAAUUUCAAUUGCCCUAUGUGGAAAAACAAUAUGAACAAUAAAUGGGCCAGACCAACGAGAGCGUAACUUACUUGGGAAUAGGUGCAAGCGAGAAUUGAAUAAAAGCACUUUCUGACCUAGAGUGAAUGAUUUUCUCAUAAUUUGCUUAUCAUGGAAGACUUUCAUUCGUUGCUUGUAAAUCUUGGCAUUUUCAUAUGCAUCAUUACGAAUUUCUUCAAGUUCUGCCAGCUGUAAUCUUCUUUCUGAGCUGGCUUGCUGCAUGUCAAAGUUGAAUUUCUUGAUGGCCCAAUACGCACGAUGCUCGAGUUCCACAGGUAGGUGGCAAGCUUUUCCAUACACUAGCCUGUAGGGUGACAUCCCAAUCGGGGUCUUGAAAGCCGUUCUAUAUGCCCAUAAUGCAACAUCAAGUCUUAAUGACCAAUCUUUCCUGUCUGGCCUCACCAUUUUUUUCUAAUAUGUGCUUUAUUUCUCGAUUGGAUAUCUCAACUUGGCCACUGGUUUGCGGAUGAUACGGAGUCGCCACUUUGUGUGUAAUUGAAUACUUUGUCAAAAGAGCUUUGAAUGCUUUGUUACAAAAGUGGGCACCACCAUCACUGAUUAUUGCUCGAGGGAAUCCAAAGCGUGAGACAAUAUUGCUUUUCAAAAAUCCUAUCACCACCUUGUGAUCAUUGGUUCUGCAUGGAAUUGCUUCUACCCAUUUCAUUACAUAGUCAACAGCAACCAAUAUGUAUUAAUGGCCAAAAGAAGGGGGAAAGGGUCAUAUGAAGUCGAUACCCCAUACAUCAAAAAUCUCAACUACUAAAAUUGGAUUUAGUGGCAUCAUGUUCCUUCGUGUAAUGCUCCCCAUUCGUUGACACCUAUCACAUGAAGAACAAAAAGUGUAAGCAUCUCGAAAUAUAGUUGGCCAAUAAAAACCACAUUGCAAAACUUUAGUUGCUGUUUUCUUAGCACUGAAAUGGCCUCCACAAGCUUGUUCAUGGCAGAAUGAAAGAAUAUUCUGAAUUUCAUUUUCUGGGACACAUCGUCUAACAAUUUGGUCCGCACAAUACUUGAACAAAUAUGGGUCAUCCCAAAAGAAAUUCUUUAUCUCUGCAAAGAAUUUAGCCUUAUCUUGCUUGGUCCAAUGCUCUGGAAGUUUACCUGUAACAGGAUAAUUAACUAUAUCAGCAUACCAAGGUAAUACUUCCACACUCAUUAAUUGUUCAUCUGGAAAUGACUUAUUCAAUAUUAAUGGCUUUAUAAUUGUGUCAAAAUGGAGACGAGAGAGGUGGUCCGCCACAACAUUUUCUGUGCCUUUCUUAUCUUUGAAUUCCAAGUCAAAUUCCUACAAAAGUAACACCCAACGAAUUAGUCUAGCUUUUGCAUAUUUCUUUGUGAGAAGAUAUUUAAGAGCAGCAUGAUCUGUGAAUAUAAUUAUUUUACAACCAAUGAGAUACGAUCGAAAUUUCUCUAAUGCAAACACUACUGCUAACAUUUCUUUUUCAAUAGUUGAAUAGUUCAACUGUUCAUCAUUCAAUGUCAUACUAGCAAAGUAAAUAACGUAGGGAAUUCGAUCAACUCUUUGUCCUAAUACUGCUCCUACUGCAUAAUCAGAUGCAUCACACAUGAGCUCAAAUGGUAAGCUCCAGUUUGGGGGCUGAAUGAUGGGUGAUGAUGUCAACAACUGCUUUAGUUUUUCAAAUGCCACAAGACAUAAAUCAGUAAAGAUAAAAGGUACAUCCUUAGCAAGUAGAUUGCAUAAGGGUCUAGAAACUUUGCUAAAAUCUUUAAUGAAACGUCUAUAGAAACCAGCAUGCCCAAGGAAAGAUCUUACUUUUCUGACUAUUUUGGGUGGAGGAAGAUUAGAAAUGAGAUCCACCUUGGCUUUGUCAACCUCAAUACCUUUGCUCGAAAUGAUGUGACCGAGAACAAUACCUUGUUUUACCAUAAAAUGGCAUUUCUCCCAAUUUAAGACCAAGUUCUUCUCGAUACAUCUCUGCAGAACUAGUGUUAGAUGAUGUAAACAUUGAUCAAAUGAAUCACUAAAGACAGAAAAGUCAUCCAUAAAAAUUUCAAGGAAUCGUUCAACCAUAUCAGAAAAAAUGCUCAACAUGCACCGUUGAAAUGUAGCAAGUGCAUUACAUAAUCCAAAUGGCAUUCUCCUAUAUGCAAAUGUGCCAAAAGGGCAAGUGAAAGUAGUUUUCUCCUGAUCUUUUGGUGCUAUGAGAAUCUGAUUAUAUCCUGAGUAGCCAUCUAGAAAGCAAUAAAAUUCAUGGCCUGCUAAUCUAUCAAGUAUUUAAUCAAUAAAUGGUAGAGGAAAAUGGUCUUUACGUGUGACAGAAUUCAACUUUUAUAAUCAAUGCAUACACGCCAUCCUGUAGUCACUCUAGUGGGUAUCAAUUCAUUAUCGGCAUUGGUAACUACAGUGACUCCUGACUUUUUGGGGACAACUUGCACAUGACUGACCCAUGAACUAUCAGAAAUGAGGUAAAUGAUACAUGCGUCUAAUAGCUUAAGGACUUCUGUUCUAACAACUUCUUUCAUGUUAGGAUUUAACCGAUGUUGCAUCUCCCUAGUAGUUUUAGCAUUUUCAUCAAGGUGAAUGUAAUGCAUGCAGUCUACUGGGUUUAUACCUUUAAUGUCUGCUAUGGUCCAUCCUAAUGCCCCUUUGUGCUCUUUCAAAACAUCCAACAACUUACCUUUUUGUUCGUCAUUGAGGGAUGUUGAGAUGAUUACCGGUAGAGUACUUUCUUCUCCCAAAAAUGCAUAUUCCAAUGUGUUGGGUAAUGGUUUGAGCUCGAGUUUUGGUGGUGAUUCUGAUGAUGAGAUGAGUUUCUUCUCUGAUGGUGCUAGUUGUUCAACUCUUGACUUCUAUUUAUUAGUGUCCAUAGAUGGUGUUGAGUCAAGCAGGGCGUUGACCUCAUCAACCGAUCUGUCAAUAUCAAAAUCAAAACCAAAGUAAGUUAAACAUGUUUGUAAAGAAUCAUCACUAAGGUUUGAAAGAAAAGUGUCAUCAACUAUUGUUUCAAUUAAAUCCACAUCAACAAUUCCAUCAUCUUCAUUGUGAAGUUGUUUGGCAAUGUUGAAGAUUUUCAGCUCCAUAGUUAUGUUGCCGAAGGACAACUGCAUAUUUCCAGUCCUGCAUUGAAUGUGAGCAUCCGCAGUUGCUAAGAAAGGUCGGCCUAGGAUAAUAGGGAUGUGCUUCCUUGAAUCCUGUAUUGGUUGAGUGUCAAUUACAAUGAAAUCAAUAGGAAAAUAAAACUUGUCUACUUGGAUAAGCACGUCUUCCACAAUACCACGAGGUAUUUUCGUGGACCGAUCUGCAAGCUGUAACACCACUGGAGUUGGGUGUAAUUCUCCCAGUCCAAGUUUCAUGAAUAGUGAAUAAGGCAGCAGAUUUACACUAGCUCCUAAAUCCAACAAAGCAUUCUCAAUUGUGUGGUUCCCUAUACUACAUGAGAUUGUGGGGGAGCCUGGGUCUUUGCAUUUUAAAGGAAUUUUAUGUUGGAGUAUAGAACUAACAUUUUCUGUUAAAAAUGCCUUCUAUUGAACAUGCAUAUUUCUCUUUUUAAUACAAAGGUCUUUAAGAAACUUGGCAUAAGAUGGAACUUGUUUAAUAGCAUCAAGCAAAUGGAUGUUAACACUUACCUGUUUGAAGAUUUCAAGAAUCUCACCUGUGGAUUUUCCCUUUUUUCCUUUAGCUAACCUCUGAGGAAAUGGAGCAUUGGGGACAUAUUCUUGUGGGUUGUUUUCUUCUUUCUCCUCCGGUGAUGAGUCCUCAACAUUCACAGGUACAAUUUGAUUUUCUUUCGUCACCGGCAUCUCCACUUUGUUGUCGACUUCUUUUGCUUUUCGCAAGGUCAUGAUUGCUUUGACCUCUCCAUGCUGCUGUGGUGAACUAGUACUUGCUUCAUGUACUCCUUUAGGAUUAGGCACUGGUUGACUUGGAAAUUUGCCUUUCUCAACAGUCAUUGCCAAGGUCUGAACUGAAAAAGCAAGUUGUCUCACCAUCUUCUCGAGGCUUGAAACUGAUUGGGCUUGUGAAUUGAAGCCCGUUUUCAAUUCAUUUCGCAGUCCAUCAAUGGUGCGGUUCUGUUGCUCAAUCGUGGAGUGAGUAACAUUCCUGAAAUUCUGGAAUGCAUCCUCCCAUGGUCUGGGUUGUGAGUAGUUCUGGUUUUGAUUAUAUGGUCUAAAUGGGGGCUGAGAGGCUUGAGGAUUUUGUGGAAUUGGUGGAACUGGUGGAACUGGAGCUGCUGGUCCAUUCUGUUAAAGUCCUUGAGACUAUGAAAAAUUUGGGUGGUCUCUCCAUCUAGGGUUAUAUGUGUUGGAGUAUGGAUUGUAAUUCGAUGGUUUUCUCAUUACACCUAUGGCAUUGGCUUGAUCUGAGUAUAAGUCAUGGUCAUGUGGCUCUGUUGAUUUAGCAGUCGAUAACGAUGCUAUUUGUCGAGAGAGACCUUCAAUUAUCGCUUUGACUUCUUUAAUUUCUGAACUUGACUCACCAAUGUGAACCUCAUUUACUCCCUUAAUCCUUCUAGUAUUCAUGAGUGAUCGACUCGGUUGUUGAGAAUUAUCCACUUGUCGCUGGAAGAAUUCCCAAAUCUCUGAUGCAUUUUUUGACACUAGCUCUCCUCCACUUGUUGCCAUUAGCCAUUCUUGCACAUUCGGCAAUAAUCCCUCCAAAAAGUAUUGGCAUUGGUGCCAUUUCUCGUACCCAUGAUGUGGACACUUCAAGAGUAGCCCAUUGAAUCGCUCCUAUGUUUCGAAAAACUGCUCGUCUUCUCUCUGAGUAAACUCUGAGAUUUCCCUGCGGAUAGCAUUGGUUUUAUGCACUGGGAAAUAUUUAUUCAAAAAUUUUGUUACCAUUUGUUCCCAUGAUGAAAUGCUAUUAGCAGGUAAAGUAUUUAACCAUGAACGAGCUCUAUCUUUUAAAGAAAAUGGGAAUAAUAUGAGUUUAACAUCAUCGUCUGAAAAAUUCUCAUAUUUAGAAGUUUGACAAAUGGCAUGAAAAUCAUUCAGAUGAUUAUAUGGGUCCUCAUUUUCUAAGCCAUAGAAUGUGGGGAGACAAUUUAGCACACUAGGUUUUAGUUCAAAGCUCCUAGCAGCUACAUUUGGGUAUCUUAUGCAUGAUGUGCUCAAAUUAGCUAAGGGACUAAAAUAGUCCUUAAAUGGCCUCUCCUGUGGUUGCAAAUCCAUUUCAAAUUUAUUUUUAAUGUGCUUUUGUGUACGAAGUGUUUUUUCUAAUUCAAGGUCUCUAGGUUCAAGAUUAGGUAAUAAUGACCUACGACCAUGCAUGCAAAACAAAUAAAAUAAAAAUAAAGAUGGGAACAAAACAAAUAAAAACAAAGAAGAGGGAGAAAUUAUGAUACUAACCUUAUUGCGCUAUUACAACCUUUCUAUAAAAAUACACAAAAAUAAAUACGUGAAAUAAAUUAACUAAAAAUUAAAUUAAUAAAAAAAAUUACAAAGAAAAAUAAAUUGAAAAAUAAAUUACAAAAUUUUAAAGAAGAGAAAAAGAAAAAAAAUACUAACCUUUAAAUGUAGAUUCACUUUAUUUUUCUUUUUUUUUAAUAAAAAAAAUACAAGAAAACAAAUAAAAGAAAUUAUUCACAAAAAUUAAUUCUGUGAAUUAAAAUUACUUACCUCCCCGGCAACGGCGCCAAAAACUUGUUGUGCAAAUUUUAAUGUACUCGCAAGCGUAUGAUCUAUUGUAGUAUAGAUCAAUGGUGAUGAGUGUCGAUCCCACGAGGAGGUGGAUUUUAAUUGUGUGUAGAAUUAAUUUUGUAAAUGGGUGGUUGAAAUUGUGGUGGAAGUGAUUUAAAUUAUCCUAAAAUUGGAAUUGCAAUGGCGAGAAUAAAUUGAAGCGAAAUCUAUUGAAAUGACGUACUUGGGUAUCUGGAUCCGUAUCAACAUGCAUUAUGGGCUAAAUAAUCCGUAUUAAUGCCAAUUAAAUCAUGAGGGGGGAAUCCACACCUCAUGAACCACGCUCUAAUCAAUAUGGUGCUAAGGGCUUAUCAUGCCAAAUAAUAAUAACCUUGUACUAGAGGGCCGGUGAAACCAAGGUGGUACUAGACAAGAAUAUUAUUAUUUGUCGACGAGAAGUCAAAACACCCACAAAAACUAGAGGGGAAGAGAAAAUAAAUUUACCAAAUUAAGCCCAUGACACAUGUUGAGACUUCACCUUCAACCCAAGCUUGAAAAAAAAUUAGCCACUCAUAAUUGAACCAGGGGCAAAAUGGAAAUUUAUUAAAAUACGAAGAAAAUACAAGAUGGAGAAUGAAUUACAGAAAAUGGAUCCAAAAAAUGGAUUCAGAGAUAUCAAAUUAAGGGGGAGAGGCCCCCUUUUUAUAGAUACAUGGAGUAAAUCAUGGCCAUCAGAUUAAAAACAGUUUGGACGCUCAGGAUUGCGCCACGUCAUCAGUCAACAGUACGCGGUUUGACUACGUGGAUGAACAGUAACACGGUUUGACCCGGAUGAAUAGUAACGCGGUUUGAUUGAAAAUAAUCCUGUGUGAUGCAUGUACUGUACGCGAGAUUUUUCGUCCACUGAUAUACGUCACCAUCAACAGUACAUAAGAAUUUUAGCCCAACAGGAUCGUGACACCUCAUCAAUCAAUGCCACAUCAUCGGUCAAUGCCACGUCAUCGUCCGUCUAUGUGAACAGUAACGUAUACAGUACCGUACGCGUGAAUAGUACCGUACAUGUGAACAGUGCUAUUUUUCCUUUUAUGCUCCUCCUAAGGUUUUUGACCGUCCUGAGUUCAAAAGUGAUGUCUGUUUUGCCAUUUGAUCUCUCGUUUAUUGUGAAAUGACUAUGAUGCCCCUAAAAUACAUAAAAUACUUAAUUAAAAUAAAACAAACGGAAUUAAAUCAAAAGAAGGUUAAAUUCAUAAAAGUAAAGGUGUUAGUAAGACUUGAAAUGUAAAAUGACGGUUUUCUCCUUUAUAAAUAUGCAUUUUCUAACACUCAACGAAAUGCUUUAGAGAAAUUUUUUAUUUUAAAAUUCAAUCCAUAGAAGGAAAAGCCCAAUAAACCCUAAAGGAAAACAAAAGAAAAAGGUCUUACUUCUCAAACUUGAAAAGUGAGACUUAGCAUGCCUCUUCUAUACCAAAUUAUAAAAUGCCCAAAAGUCUGUAAAAAAAUAGACCUAACAAAAACUUUAUGCAUCAAAUGACCUAGGUCCGUUCUCCACAAGAGUAACCUAGAUACUUAGAAAAUAUUCUAUUUAAAUUGCCUAAGGGAAUGAUUUCACAUAAAUGACCUAGCCAUGUUAUCUACUUGAACAACCUAGGUACUUAGAAAGUAUUCUAUUUAAAUUGCCUAAAGGCAAGAAUUGGCAAAACGCCUAAUCAUAUGAUUCUACAAAAAUGACCUAAAUCUACUCUCUGUAAGAUUGACCUAAGUAUAUAGAAAUUAAUUUAUGUAAAGAGCCUAUAGGUAAACAUAAGUUCUACAUAAUGAGCCUAUAGGCCAACAAAUAUUCCACAAAGUAUCCAUAUGAGCAAACAAGCAUUUUAGAGAAUGAGACUAUGAGUCAACAAAGAUUUCAUCGAAAGACCUUACGGGCCAAAAAUAGAUUUUACAGAAUGAACUUAUGGGCAAACAAACAUUCUACAGAAUGAGUCUAUGGGUCAACAAAUAUUAUAAGAAAGAGCAUAUGAGCAAACAUAUAUUUUAUGAAAUGAGCAUGCAGGUAAACAACCAUUCUAUGAAUGAACCUAUGGGCAAACAAACACUUUAAGUGAAGUGCCUACGAGUAAACAUUCUAAAGAAAGUACCUAUGGGCAAACUUUUACAAAUACGCUUAUGGAAAUAUUUUGUUAAAAACAUUCUAAAAUUUUGCUAAAAAAAUUACCAAGGACCAUUCUUUACAAGAAUGGUCUAAGGCCAAUUACUUAGAAUUUUAAGUGCCAAUAGGUAAAGACUUUGUAAAAAUCCACUUAUGGGCAAUAUGCUACUAAAUCAAUCCUUUCAACGAGUAAUGAAUAUAAGGGCCAAAGUCAAUUCCAUGCCCAUUAAAAGUUAAGAACCAAAAAUCAAGACAAGUCCAUGUCAUUAUGCAUGGGUUUUGUGGACACUUGUCAUAAGAUGCCACAUGUCAUGAUAACUCCUUCACCUCAAUGCUUUAAGUUGUCUAUAUAAAGGCUAAGCCCUCCCACAUUUGGAGUUAAGACAUCAAAUGAAUACAAAAUUAUGUCUACUUCCCUAAACUCUCUAUUUAGAAAUUGAAUACCAAGAAUUAACUAGAGUAUUGGAGAGAUAUAGUUAGUAAUCCCAGCACUCUUUGAUAAUUAAUUUUUUUGCAGGACAAUUAACGACAAGAAGACAUAUGAUUAGAGAGCUUCACUUCAAGGAGAAAAUAGUUUACAAAACUUGAUAUGAUAUAAAUUCUGGGAAAAUAAAAAGUUACUGUUCAUUCAUAAAAAUUGCAUCAACAAUUACUAUACUUCUAAGUUUUGUUUUAGUUUUAUGACAAUUGGUAUAAAAAAUAGUCAUAUAUUGAGUCAACACUCGUGUCCCAGUGCCGAGUGAAAGGAUUAAUAAAAUGUAAGUCAAAAGUUACAUAGUUUAUGUUGUAUUUAGAAUAUAGAAUAGAAGAAUGUCAGCAAAUCUUAUUGCGGUUGGAUGGCGGCCAAGAAACUGGAAAAUUGAACUUUUGGCAAAGCUCUAUUCUCGUCAAUGCAGAAAAUUCAGUGGUUUCAUAAUCUCAUCCAUUAACUUACCUUGCAUCAAUUUUGUUUAGUCUUCUUUACCCUGAAGCUAUGGCUACAAGUUGUCCAAUUAGAAUAUAUUUUACGGCACUAUUCAUCAUAAGCUUGGUAACACCCGCUAUAUAUAGCAAUUUCAGUGCCUCACCAGCUCAUAGACGAGUUUCAUACAGACUCUGCUGCCAUUGAAUCAGUCUAUUUACGGCCGCAUUGUAAUUAGUGCAAUUGAGUUGUUUAAUUAUUUUGUAAUUGUGUAUUUUAACCUAAAAAUGGCGUGGCGUGCGCCUUUCGUUUACGCACGAAAAGGAGAGUUUGUGACUUGCUCCCCUAUUCUGAAUUGAUUACGCAGUUCUAGGAGGUUUUUAUUAGGCCAGAUUGAUAAAAUAUUACUAGACCAAGAGUCGUCACCAAGCCGGCCAAAAAGAGGAUUAUACUUGUUCUCGUUUGUAAUCAAAUCAAUGUAUUUAGAAUAAGAAGCGUUUGCAAACUAUGUGCUAAGAAAUUAAAAUAUAUAUUAAGUGGUUUCUCAAAGUGGUUUAAUUAAAACUGUUUAAUGAUGAUGACGGUCAGAUCAUGACCGUAUAAAUGGUCAAAUAAAUAAAGAAACGCUUAAAAAACUUCAAAAAAAGAUCAGACGAACUACAACAAAACAAUUCAAGAACAAACGGGAAUGAAAUGAACUCAUGAGAUUUACGUGGUUCAGUUUUGUUAGUCCUGCUUCCAUGGGGACAAACGCACCGCUAUUUAUUUUAUUAAUAAAUUAUAACAAAAAAUAACAAGGGAACUGUCCUUUACAAAGGUUAAGAGCUCUCAAACUCUUAUAAAAAUAAAAAAUAAAAUCUGACAAGAGUUUCUCUCUAAGGUUUGAGACCUUAACAAUAACUCUAGCCACCUCACGGUCUCUACUUUUCUCUCUUAAAGAUUUAACCACCCUUAGAAACACUGGAAAGCCCUUUUUGACUCUUGAAACCUAAGCCUCUCACGAUUCCUUAUUUAGGUAGCAGAGACUGCAUCCGAUUGGUUGGACAAAAUUAGUUAAUGUUUUCACAUGCAGGGAUAUCAAAGGAUAUCUAUGUUUCGAGAAAUUCUAAAAUACAUAUGAAGUACCAUGUCAUCCAUACAACAAGCAAUUAUACCAUGACAUGUGUGCAUUUAUUUUGAACCACUAUCAUGCAAGUGGUGAUUGUAUUAAAUUUAAUUACACUUGUCAUGCAUGCAUCAAUUGGUUGUAGUACAUCUGAGGUAUUCUAGAAUUUCUCCUCUGUUUCAUUUCCAAAUUUUGAAAAUUGACUUACAGAUCUUAAAGUGCGUGUGAAUUUUGAGAUUUUAUCGGAAUAAACACGAGUAAUGAAAAUACGGAUGAGUAUAGAUAUCCUAACCAUAUUCUAAGCCUAAAAAUUGCCAACUCCCUACGCAUGAAUUGUACUCUUAUAAUACUUGUAUGAAUAUUUAAAAAAUCAAAAGUCCACGUACACAAUGCACAUGAUAAUAAUUUGUAAAUUGUAUGGAAAGUAGUAAUGUUACAGACUCUUCUUGCAUAGCAUCGUGCGUAUUUGUUUUCUUCUGCUUUUUAAUUUUUAUUUUUAAGUAAUGUUAUAAGGAAGAACGUUCUUUAAUACAUAAUAUAUUGCUUAAUCAAUUUUUUAUACGCAUUUAUCUUUUAUAUUAACAUCUCGUCAUAUGGGAGAUUAAUAGCUUUUCUUCCCCCAACACCCCCCCCCCAAAAAAAUAGGGAGUUCUGUAAACUCUCCCUUAAUUUACAGCAUGUUCAUGGUAAAUUUAAUGAUCUAUAUGUCAAUAAACAGUGCUAAUGAAAAUGUCAUAAAGUGAAAAAUUUUGUAAAAAUAUAAUAGUACAAUAAUAAAUAUCAAUACUUAUUGUAGUUAUUUGAUAUUUUUCCAUCUCGAAGUAAUCAACAUGAAAAUCCUUUAAUAAAUUAGUCAAAAUUCUUGCAUUUUUUUGCUAUUAGAUGUAACUUUUUAGGGUAAAAUAUUAUUUUGAUAUGAGAUAAUAUAAGAGCAGAGAAGUUGAUUAUUCAUGGAAUUAGUGGCGAUGCUAGGAAUUUUAUGUAGGAGCAGCUAAGUUGUACAGCAUCACAAUUCAGUUUCUUUUUUCUUUUUUUCUUUUUUAAGUAUCAAAAUUAUAAAUUUCAAUUAACAAUAUUGUUUAAAUUCUAUAAUGGCUUGUAACUUUUAGUGGUUUACUAGUUUAUCAAUUAAUAAUGAUACUUAGUUAUAGGUUAAGGUUCUUAAUGUAUUAUUAUUUAUCCUAUGAUUAGAUUGAACUAUUAGUUCACUAAAAUUUAAAAAUCUUGAAAACUUUUAAUUUUACCUCCAAUAUGAGGGUGUAGCUAUAGUUUGUCAAUGGGUUUAGUCAUGAUGAUAAAUUAUUUAACAAUAGAAAGAGAGAUAAGAGAAAGAAAUUACCAUAAAUUAUUAUAAUUUGAUAUAAAAAAUUAACAAAUAAGAGGAAGAUAAGAGAAUCUAUUGUAACACAUAUAUGAUAAAUUUUAAUUUUUUAAUGUAAAAAGAAUAAAGAAGUAACUAAGACGAGAUAACACUUGCAUUUUUAAAAUUUCAUAAAUUUAAAAAAGAUUUUUAGGACAAUUAAUAAUAAAUAGAUCAUUAAAAUAAAGUAAUUUCAUUUUUUUUUAAAAGUCAGCAGUGGAUUCAGCCCUUCUCGCACCUUUUGGCACUGCCCUUGGAUGGAGUGGCCAAAGGGAGACAUCUUCUUGUGGGUCUGUGUUUUGGGGCGUGGGGGGAGGGGGGAGGGGGUGUUGUUUAUAUAUGUAAAUAACUCCUUUCAUGUCGAACUUUGUGCAAUUGUUAUGGCUUUGGAGGUAGCUUAUCAGUAGGGAUCAGGGGCGGAACAAGCCAAUCUUAGCCGGAGGGGCCAAAGGUUUUUUUUUCAAGCCUAUAAAAUAGGUAUUUUAUUAAUAUAUAUUUAUUUUAAUAUAAAAUAUUGAGUAUUAAAUUACUUUUUUUUACAGGGACCAUGGCCCAUGGCAAUCCCUUAAUAGAUCCGCCCCUAGUAGGGAUGGUCAGAUAUUUAGUUGGAAUGUGAAACAAGUAGAAGGUAACGAAUACUACAUUGGCUUUGAUUGGUUUUGUUGUAAGCUACAUUAUAUAUAGCUUAGCAAGACCCUCUGUUUUAAUACUUUUUCUUUCUUCUUAAAGCUUUGGCAUUUAUCCAAAUAAAACGUUGAUUAUAUUUUAAUAAAAACAUACUUUAAUGAGAAUAUAGACAUUUUAAGCAAUUCUUAAACAUACGUCAUGAAUUAAUUAAAUAAUUAACUCAAAUCCUUAUAACUAAAAAAAUUAUUUACCAUGCAUAGUUGUUUUGUAAAUUUUGUUUUGUUCGCUUUGAUUGUUGGAUAAGAAAGAGGAAUUAAGCACGUGCUUUGACUAAAUAUUGAUACGGAAUUAAAUCUCUAUAUAAACUUCCUUUCUUCUUGAACGCACUCUCUCAACCAACAACACAACAAAUACAAGUUUCUUUAUUCUUCAUUUUCUCGAAGCAAAUGACUACAAGUUCUCCAAUUGCCAUAUAUUUUAUCGCACUAUUCGUGGCAAGCUCUAUAACAUCUACCAUGUUGGCUAUUUCAGUGCCACCCGAGCUCACAGAUAAUUUGCACACAGACCCUGGUGCCAUUAAAUUAGCCUCUAUCGAUUAUGGCCGCAUUAUUAACGAAAAACCAUUUGCAGUUCUUUAUCCAUCAUCUUUAGAUGACAUCAGAACCCUAAUAAAUUUAUCAUACAGUUCUUCAUUUCCAUACACCAUUGCAGCAAAAGGCCAGGCUCAUUCCACGUGGGGCCAGGCUCAGGCCAACAAAGGCGUCGUAGUGCAGAUGAGUUCUCUGAACAGCUUCAGAAACGGGACGGGAAUCUUGAUCUCCGGAGACCGUUCUUCAGGAUUUUAUGCUGACGUUGGCGGCGAGCAACUUUGGAUUGAUGUGCUGAACGCCACUCUUGCUUGGGGUGAUAGGUCCCAAUCAAAGCCGUAAAUUAUAUAGUAACGAUAGUAUUCUCUUAGGGUGAGAAAAAGACCACAAUAAUUUUAAUUGGAUUCCGCUCCUUUAAUUAAUGACUAUCAAAGAAUUUAUAUACAAAAGAAAUUAACAACUAUUCCUAAUUCCUAGAUAAUAUCCCUAAGAAAUAGAACAUUAACGGGUAGUUAAUGACAACAAAAUCGCCAAAGAUUAUUCAAAAUAAAAUAAUCACUACUCAACCUAAUUUUAAGCUAAUAAGUUAGUGGACACGUAGUCAACAAACUGCACUCAACAACAUCCCAAAGUCCUUGCCACAAUAAUAAUUUUGCAUGCCCCACGCAUGGUUGCUUGCAUGUGCCCAUGCAUAUUCGUCAUAUUUGUUGUUGGGUUUUGCUUCUCACUUGGACUUGCGUAUACUCUUAUCAUGGGGGCUUUCGCCGGUUUCUUGGACGGAUUAUUUGUAUCUCACUAUUUGUGGGACCCUCUCCAAUGCUGGAAUUAGCGGCCAAACGUAUCGAAAAGGCCCGCAGAUAACAAACGUUCUUGAAUUAGACGUUUUAACAGGUACCUGCUAGCUAGUAUCUUCUCCAGUUUUUUUUUUUUUUUUGUCCUGGUCUCUCCAAAUCUUUCAUAUCUAGUAAAACAAAAUUGAUUUAAUAGUAAAUGAAACGAAAAAAAGGCUUGAUUAUUAACAUCCAAAUUUGAAAUUCAACAUUGACCACUUAUUUUAUUAGGAGAGACUAGGAGAGAAAAUCACACAAUAUGAUGCGUUAUUUAUUAAAACUUCUUUUUUUUACCACUUUGAUCCAUGUAAGAUAUUCAAACAGUGAAUAGAAAAAACAUAACAUAAAUUGGACCUUUUAACAGAUAAAUUAAUUAGUUUUAAUUUGUAGAAGUGUUGAAUAAUCAAUUUAUAUGACAAACUAUUUUCUUUUAAUGAUUUUUUUCUAAUUAAAAAUCAAUUAGGACUAACGUACUGAUUUGUAUUGAGGUGUUGUAAUGUUUAAGCCAUGGUUGCUGUAGAGAAAAAUUGUAAUUAUAAAAUAAAAGUUUAUAUUGUGUAAUAAUAUAAUUUUUAAAUAAUAAUUUUGAUAAAAUUAGUAAAAAUAUUAAAAAUUACUAUUGUGUAGUAACUAUUACUUUUAAAUAAUAAUUUUGACAAAAUUAUUACAAAUAUUAUAGUUUUUUUAAUAUAAGCAUAAGAUCAAAUCAAUUUGCCUUUUAAGACACAACAAGUAGUGCUUAUCAAAUACUUAAGUGCUAUAAUUUAAAAUUUUCACCUAUUCAACCUCGAUACCAAAGGGAGUAUAAAGUGAUAAGAACAAAUUCUAAAAGAGAGCAAAGUAGUCAUUCUCCACUUAGUUAAUUUUUGAAUGCUUUAAAUAAUGUAAAAUGUAGAAUUUUUUUUAAUUUAUUUUAAAUCAACAUAGAAAUUUUGUUUAAAACUGAAACAUAUAAUCUAGUUGGUAAUCGUAACAGAUCGACUGAUUUUAAUUAAUUACAUUCUUAAUGAAAAAGUCAAUAUGGUUGAUUUGAUUAUGUUUUUCUUUCACUAGAAAAUUUCAGGAUGAUCCAAAUCUAUCGACUUGAAGCUAGAUGAAUUGAAAAUUACCAACCACAUUAGUUUCGUACAGUUUAACACCUCUACUUAAAUAUAGGAUGCACAUCACCUUCAACAUUUUCGUCAAAGCUGGAAAUCAUUUUGUUGAGCUUGAUCCAAGCCAUAGACUUUUCAGGGGCUUUAUAUUAUAAGAGUAAUCCUAAAGAGAGAGAAAUAUGAGAGAAUUUGACUCUCUCUCUCUCUAUCUAUAAUGUAUCUAGUAUAUUAUAAGGACACAUCAUAAUAUUUCAUUAGAGAUUUUACAACUGAUAAUUAAUUGGAUUUAUUUUUUUGUUCAGCAUUCCUUUUAUAAAAACUUUAUUAUAAUCUAUCUGGCAGGAAAUUAGGCUUACAUCUUUUCCUUUUAUGGAAUUGAAAUUAAUGAAUUACUGGUGCUAGGUACAUUUAAUUUGUAUUCUAGAACAAAAAUGAAAUGAUUUAUGAGUCACAAUAUAAAUAACAUGUAAAUAUACAGACACGUUAAUUAUGUCAUCAUAUUUCAUAGACUGUUUACUUUUUUUUUUUUUUUUUAGUCAAAUGAUGGACUAUUUUUAUGUGACUGACCCAAGAUUUCUUGUAUCACCAUAAUAUAUUUUAACAGUUGAACUUACUAGUGACCACAAUAUUCACACCAAAUCAUAAUAUUCGAGAUUAUUGAAUGACACAAUGAUUAUAUUAAAAAUUUGUCUAGUAUGAGUGAAACCUAGCCGACAUUCAAUUUUUUCACAAGAAAAGAAUUAAAUCUUCUCCUUCAAUCGUCAUCAUAAUCUCUUUUGAAAUUACUUAAAGUAAUGUAAAAGAAAUUAAAAAAAAAAAGUGCCUCUAAGGACCUGACCGAGGAAUUUUUAAGCAGUUUUAUUUGACACGCAACUCGAGUUGAAAUCCUAAAAGAGUAGGAACUUAAUAUUUAUUUAUACUUUAUCCACUCCUCUAUAUUUUAAGAAAAAAACAACUAUACAAAUAAAAAUUAAAUGAAAAUGUUCUUGUAUGAAUGAGUUGUUUAAUUAUCUAAUAUUAAUUAAUUAUUUUGCUAUUGAGUCGAAAUAUUGUAACCAAAAAAUGGCGUGGCGUGCGCCUUUCAUUUUUACAGGAAAAGGAGAGUUUGUGACUUGCACCUCUCAGAAGGAUACAGAGUUGUUUUACGCAGUCCUAGGAGGUUUAGGUCAAUUUGGUCUUAUAACUAGAGCAAGAAUCGUCCUCGGGCCGGCCAAAGAAAGGGUACUUAAUUAGAUUUCUUCAGAACUUAAUUAAGCAUGAAUUUACACUUGCUUUUUCAUGCUUAAUUUAUGUUUAAAAACGAAUAAUCAAAUUGUACAUGGAUUGCCUUUGUAUCCAUUAAUUCAUUUUACUGUGGUUACUUUGCCUGCAGGUUAAGUGGUUACGUAUACUUUACAGUGAUUUCUCUUCUUUCAGCACUGACCAGGAAACUUUGAUCUCAACUACUGGACCUAGCCACAAAGUGAAGCCGGAUUAUUUGGAAGGUCAACUUUUAAUGAGCCAAAGUCCUCUAGAUUUUUAUCCACAGUCACAACAUCAAAAGAUAACUUCCCUCAUAAACCAAUAUGGCAUCGUUUACCUUAUUGAGGUAGCCACGUAUUACGACAACAAAAAUGAGGAUAAGGUAAGCCAUCAAUCAUCUUAUAUACCGCAAUAAUACACACACAUUCUCAGGUAUGGCGUCUUCAUUUUUCAUUCAAUGUAAAUACAUGGUUAAGCCAUGGAAUAUAAUAGAGUUAUUUUUUAUUACAUUAUAAAGUCAUGCAGUUUAAUAGCAUUAAAAUUUGACUCUAUUAAACCGUAUGACUUAAAAGUGUGUCUACAUGAAAAAAAAAAGACACUUUAUAUAUAUAUAUGUAAUAAUAUGUACAUAGAAAUAAAGUGUGGAAACCCUCACCAAAACAUUAAUGACUCAUUUGAAUCUUUGUCUAUUUUAUUUUUAUUUUUCAUCUUUUAACUGUUGAAUCCCUUAUUAUAUAUAUAUAUAUGUAUGUAUGUAUGUAUGUAUGUAUAUGUGUAUAUAUAUAUAUGUAUGUAUGUGUGUGUGUUUGUAUGUAUAUAUAAUGAUAUUCAUUAAAAUAUUAAUGUUUCAUAUAUUUGUUGACAGAGAGUGAAACAAAUGCUGAAAAGCUUAAAGGGUUUUGUUCAUGGAUUUGUUUUCGAGAAGGAUGUAACAUACCUAGAGUUUUUAAAUAGAGUUCAUGAUGAAGAGAGAGUCCUUCGGAAGAAAGGACUGUGGGAUAUCCCUCAUCCAUGGCUAAAUAUCUUUAUACCAAGAUCUCGAAUCACAGAUUUGGACAAUGGUGCCUUCAGGAACAUUCUUCUUAAGCGAAACUUUACCUCGUCAACUGUUCUUGUUUACCCUCUGCUCCGAAGCAAGUAAGACUGAAAGAAAUAUAAUAAUCAAGAAAAAUACUAUUUGAGCAAAAGGGUGAUAAAAUCACCGUCAUUUUGCUUGACAAUAGUCAAAACGACAUGUUUUGACUAUGGUUUUGUCAGCUUUUGGCCUAAAUAGCAAUGCUCAAAUAUUAAUAAUAUUGUUUUAAUUCCUUGCAGAUGGGAUGAAUGAAUGUCAGCAGUUAUACCAGAUGAAGAAGAUGUUUUCUACGUUGUGGGGUUUUUGGAUGCCAGUGCUGAUGACUGGGAGACCUUUGAUAACAGAAACAAAGAUAUAUUGCAGUUUUGUGUUAAUGGUAGCAUUAAAUUUAAGCAGUAUCUUGGCCAUCAUGCAACUAAAGAAGAAUGGAUUAACCAUUUUGGCUCAAAAUGGAACACUUUUCAACAGAGGAAAGCUCGCUUUGACCCCAAAAUGAUAUUAUCACCUGGGCAGAGAAUUUUAAACAACUGACAGCUUCUGUAAUAACAUAUCUAUUGAACAUUUUACUGCAUGUGUUAAUAAAACUCUCCAAUAAAGUUCUCUUGAGUCUCACAUUAUUACAAACACUUGAUUUAACUUGUUACAAUUUUAUAUAUUCUCUUUAAUUUUUGUUUGAAAGCCAACUAAACAUAGAAUUUGUUUAAACAUUUUUUUUCUUAAAAUAUUAAUUAUUAUAUUCACCGAAUUCGAUAUUUUCAACUGGAUCUUUACAGAAUCAAGAGUGCAUUCAUGUAAUGGAAUUAAGUUUUUAUGUUAAUGGUUGCAAGUUAAAAUGAAAAAAAAAAAAAAAAGACUUUGCUUUUUUUUUUUUUUUUGGAGAAGCUUUGUUUGUUGUUAUAAGAGAUUUGAGAUUUGAACCCUCUAAUGAUGGGUAUUGUGUUCACUAAUAUCAAAAAUUUUCAUCUAGUAAAUUCAUAUAUUUUCAUGUUAUAUUUCAUCUUCCCCUCCUGUUACUCUCUCUUCUACUCUUUCUUUGCCUCGCUCUUGCACUUCUCAUACCACCAAUAAGAUUGAAAACCUUGUAGAAUACUCAUAUAUCCCUGAAUCAGCCCAAAUCAGUGAGUCCUCCUACCCUCUUAUUAGCCCUUAUCAGUUGUACAAACGGCCUAGCUCCUUUACCCGCAGUAUCCGCACCCUCAUCUCUACCAGACACCUUCAACCUAAAGAAUAUAUCCAGUCUUCCCGCCUGGAUCAAUGUGCUCUUCAAGCCACCUCUGCUGAGCAAUAUGUCACUCUGGAGAUUCCCUCCGAGUUGCUUUCCAACUGGAAAAGAGAAGGCUGCACUCACCUCCAUCUUGGAGGCAUUAGAUUAAUCCUUACCCUUCACGGGAGAAAAAGAUUACCGGUUACAGCUCGCCUUGCUAUGCUUGAUACCGGGUUUAAACAGUACCAAGAUGCUGUUAUUGGCACUGUCCUCACAACUCUCCAUGUCGGCAGUGUUUUACUCACCUUCUAUCCCAACUUUAAUCUUUCCCUUUAAGACCCCAAUUUGCCCACAACCUUGAAAGUCCAAGUUCAGAUCCAAGGUGCUGAACAAAUUUCUUCUGCCAAAAUUGCCACCUUACACCACCAAUUGGUCUAUAGGCUUCAAAAUCAUGCCUUAGAUUUACCCACUCCUGAACAUCAUUCUGAUACCCUCAUGGUCUUAGCCGAAUCUGACCAGAUCCCAACCAUAAUCCAGAUCCCAAGACAAAUUCCCCGUCAUGAGCUCAUCAAGCUUAUGCCUCUUGAAUGGAUCUCCAACUAUAAACAGUUCCAUAACAAUACAGCUCCAAUUCAGACCUCUGAAAGCAUGUUCGAAAGACGCCAAGAUGGAACAGUCCGAAUGACUUUUAAACGACCUCCAAGUGCUCCACAAGAGCCUCCUCGGCUCUCCUUUACUUAUUCUUCAAUGAUCACAGCUAUUCAGACAGCCCAAGAAGAUCUGCCCAUUAUAGGGUUCACUUCUGCAGGUUACCUUGUUUAUCCAGCCAAGCAAAAUGGCCAUUUCCUAUGGGAUGCCCUUGGCUCGGGCAUGUGUGAUCCAAAUUGUCCCUACUGGGAUGAUUGGGAAGAAGAUGACGAUUAUGCCACCACAAGGAAAAAGAAACCCAAAAAGAAAAAACCUCUGGUUUCCUGCCACCACUAUGAUCCCAACCACCAUAAGAUCAUCCACCUCCAUCAGCUCCAUUACCCUUUUACAAAAAAGAACUCAAAUGGAUUGCAAAGCAUUGCAAAUCUGAGAUUCCAUCACCAAUCUCAAAUCCCACACCACCACUGGCUUGUAUGAUGUUCUCAUCUACUUCAUCCGACUAUUCUUCCUCUUUUCCUCCUUUAGACACUCACACAGAUUCCCAACGAAAUGUCGUGUCCAAACCCUUUGUCCCUUCACCAAUUACCUCAUCUGGCCACCUAGAACCUCCCAAACCUUUUGAAUCAGUCCUCAACUGGCAAACCCAAAAUGCCAGAGCACAGAAUGAUACUUUGGUAAAUAUCAAUUCCAAAGUUGAGAAAAUCAGUUUACGAAAAAAUCAGUUUACGAACUGAACAACUUGAGACAAAAGUUGGCUCUAACUCUGCACAGAUGCAGCAGAUCCACCAAAAUCUCCAGUCCAGAAUUGCUCAACUCGAUUAUGAGUUACGAGUUAUGCUUGCCCAACGCUAUUAUGGCCCAGAAUUUGACCAAAAGGAACGAGAAAUCAGAUGUUUAAAAGCUGAGCUUGACCAGAUUGAAUCUGAAAAACAGCGACCUACCCUUUUCACCACAUCACCUCCUAUUCCUUCCAUUAGCCCAACUUACCACCCUUUUGGCUCUAUGCUUUCCCCCAUCAGACAAUAUGAUCCUUCCAAGUUAUUUGGCAUGACUCAUACUCUCUUUCGGGAUAAUCCCUUACCACCAUCACCUAAACCUAAACCAAAGCCUAAACCUCAACCGCGACCCGUCACAUUCCAUCCCUCAUCCAUUACCAUCCCUGGCCAACAUUCUCCUGGUCCUACUCCAGCAUCGUCACCAGUACCUCCACCACCAACUGAAUCCCAACCACCUUCUCAAUCCAAGGAUAAACAACCCAUGCACCAGUUUAGUGCCCAUACAGUCGCCCACUCUUCUACCACAGAUGACCAAACUUCUGAUUCUAAUCUAGCUAUUUCUGAUAACCAUACUAAGACUGACACAGAAUCUUCAGUAUCCACUAGUAAUUAUGAAAAGUCCUACGCUGAUAUUACCAGAAUCUUGAUGGCCCAACCUGAUCAACCUCCUCAAGGCCAAACCUCUUAUACAGAACCAUAUGUUGAUAUUCCCUCCGAAGUUAAGGAAGAAAUGUCUGAAUCUUCAGCCACAAAUCAACCUCCUCCAGCUCAAACCCAGACCGGUUCCACCAGUAAAAAAUCAUCGAAUGGUCCCUGGUUCACAUUUGAUGAUCUUCCAUCUCAUAAAUGGCGUGAUCGCCUUAAUGAAAUGUCUGCCUGGAUUGACCUCCAAAUGCUAUGUCCAGGAGCCACAACCCAAUCAGUCCUUAGAGAAUUUGCUACUCGUUUUACGGGUGCUCUAAGAGAUUGGUUUGAUUCUUUAGGCCGAUAUCGCCAAUUACAGUUUGUUGAUCUACCAGAAGUCUCAAGUGCCCUUGCGGUUCUCCAUGAUCAAUUCCUUGGAGACUCCUCUGCAGUCUUUGAAGCUGCACGACGAGACUAUCUCAACAUGAAAUGUUGUUCCCUUAAUGCUAAGGAUCUUGAUUUCCAUUACAAACGCAUGUCCCUGCUGUUCUAUAAGCUUAAUGGAUUCAAUGAGCCGACAUUAAAGCAUGUAUUUCUGGCUUCCCUUCUAGAUGAACUCCAACCAGAUAUAUAGAGACAACUCACCGCAUCCAAUCUUUCCCUUGACAACAUCUCUCUUGGCAAAAUCUUCCAGUUUGCCAAAACUUGUCUUGAUAAACUUUGUGAGCAGAAGCAGUUUUUCAAAGAACUGUUGAAAGACAAAGAGCCAUUUCGGAGUGCUUGCAAAAAGCCUUAUUUGCAGAUCAAAUGCAAAAAGAAAAAGGAUUGUGAUUGCAGUCCUAAAAAGAAAAGGCAUUUUAAGAAAUUCAGAAAUCCAGAAUUUUCAUCCAGACCUCGUCGAUCCAGAAAGCCUUACAGAUUCUUCAGAAAGAAGUCAUCUUUUUCUAGAGAUUUCCAAAGGCAAAAAUCAAGCAGAUGUUUUAUCUACAAAAGAAAAGGUCAUUAUGCCAAAGAUUGUCCCAACAAGCGAGAAAAAUCUAUUCAGUUAGUUGAGCAUCUCCAAGCCACUACAGAUUAUUCUCCAGAAAAGGAUGAACUGGAAUUCUAUUUCUCUGAGCAAGAUGAACCCAAUGAUGAAACUGUGUUCGCCCUACAAAAUUCCUUUGAUGACUCAGACAGUGAUCAGUCCCAAGUCAUUUUCCAUCAACAGUUACUGUCCCUUGACACUACUGUCCCUAUACCUUCCAUCAAACUCCAGAUUUUACCCUCAAAAUUCCAAAGGCCCAUUCCAGCAAUUGGUCUCAUCGACACUGGUGCCCAGCGCAGUAUGUUAAACCCCCAUAUUCUCCCACCAGACCACUGGAUAGAAUCUGAAGAACAUUUCAAAGCUGUCAAUGGCAAACUCUUCACCACUUCUUUGAUUACCAAAAAGCCCAUUGGUAUUCAAAUUUUCCCCAAUUGUGUCAUUUGGACCAAAGUUAUCGAUUCAACUCUUCCUAAUAAGGACAUCUUAUUAGGUUUUGACAUCCUUCACCAGAUCAAACACCUCCAGAUCAUUCCCACUGGAAUCCGAGUCAAGUCCAUGUUCAAACCAUUUACAAACAUUCUGAAGCUCUACAAUCUGUCUAAAACUCCUCCGUCCUACCAGGAUAUUUCAACUAAACUUUUGAGUUUCUGUCCAGAGUCCCAUAUUGAGUUCACCCAUCCAACUCCAUUGUGGAAAAACAAGUCUUUCUUCAUUAAGUUACCGUUCAUAACUAAAUGAAGAUAUUAACCCAACUAAAGCUACCCAUCCAGGAAUGAGUCCUUCUGACUUACUCUUAGCCCAACAGGAAUGUUCCUAAUUGCUAGCCCAAGGCCUUAUCGAACCCACAAAUUCUCAAUGGGCUUGCCAAGCCUUUUAUGUUGAAAAACAUGCUGAGAUUGUUCGAGGAAAGAAACGCCUCGUCAUUGACUACCAGCCAUUAAACAUGUUUUUGCAAGAUGACAAGUUUCCUUUACCCCGUCGACAAAGCAUGUUUACUUUUCUCAAAAAUACCCAGAUCUUUUCAAAAUUCGAUUUAAAAUCAAGUUUCUCGCAAUUAGGCAUUGAACCCUCUGAACGGUACAAAACUGCUUUUUGUAUCCUAAAUGCCCAUUUCCAAUGGAUCGUCCUACCCUUUGGCCUCAAAACAACCCCAUCCAUUUUUCAAAAAUCCAUGGUCAAAAUCUUUCAGCCAAUUCUACAUCAUGCAUUGAUUUACAUUGAUGAUAUCUUACUUUUUUCAGGAUCACAUGAUGAACAUUGCCAGCUGUUAACUCAGUUCUAUGAUAUUGUCCAAAGUCAUGGAAUCAUGUUAUCGGUAAAAAAAAAGCACCAUUGCGACAGACAAUAUUGAAUUUCUUGGUAUGGUCAUAAAAGAUGGCCAUUAUCAGCCAGGAAAACACAUUGCCCAAGAAUUGCUUCACUUUCUAGAUCACCAACUUUCCAAAAAGCAAGUUCGACAGUUUCUCGGCAUCAUCAAUUACAUCAGAGACUUCAUCCCACAUGUGGAUCACUACACUCAUCACCUCUCGGCUUUAUUGAAAAAGAAGCCCCCAGAGUGGAAUGCUGACCACACAACUGCUGUCACUACUCUCAAGCAAAUUGCGCAAAAUCCGCCUCCAUUAAAGCUGAUUACUGAUGGAAAGUGCAUAUUACAGACAAAUGCAAGUGAUGAAUCAUGGGGUGCCAUCCUCCUUGAAGACAUCUUCCACACCUCCUUAGGACCUCAACAUGACCUCAUCAUGAUUCCUACUCCAUCCGCCAUAUUCAAACCAAAGUCCACAGGUAUCAUUAUCAAGGAAGAAAAACCAGACUACACUGACUUCCUGUUCCAAGAUUCCCAAGACCCAUGGGAUGCAUUUCUCCCUCUAAGUCAACACCUCCACUAGUUUCCCCAACCGACAAUGGAUGAACCCGGACCCUCUCAACCAGGAUCCUCCUUCCAACCAGCACCACCAACUCAACCUACCAAAGUUGACAAAGCCACCCAAACUUCCCCUCAGUAUACUCUAAAGUGUACUCCCAGAGACUAUAAUUGCCCUCGUCCACCAUGCCGUGGUCCCUCUUGUAAGCAUCCAAAGCUUUCCAAAACCUUUUUCCCAAAGCAUACGGACCCAGAUACAACGGACAGCUCAUCCGACGAUGACUACCUGAAUCUCUUCUCUCCAUAAAGUAGUUUGUCUUGUUGUAAUAAUCGUAUUUUACUUUAUGGUUUUGUCUUGUAUAAUUAUUGCACUUUGCUUUUACUUUUGUCAAAGUCAUGCUUUAAUUAUUAAAGCACUUUGUCUCUUUGUAAUAAUUAAAGGUGUGUCAUGAUGUACCUUUUACUUUUACUUUUGUAAAAGAUAGGGAUCCUGUCCUAUCUUCCCUGAGAUUUCUCCUAUAUAUAGGAAUCUCCCCUUUGCUUGUAACAUAUAGAAGCUUGUAAGAAGUUUGAAGCAAUAAACUCGUGUUUUUCCUCAAACCAUGAAUUUCUAAACUGUCAUCUCUCUGUCUGCAAAUGAAGUUCUAAAGAAAGAAAAAGAAUAAAGAAUUAAAUUUGUUCAUUUUGAAACCUAAGGAAGUAUGCUCUGCACUUGCCUUAUUGCAAGGAUCCUGUGCAUCAGAAAACUUUUGAUCGUUUUCUUAUCUGGUUUGGUACCUUGUUUUAGACUAAAGGAAAGUCUGUUUUGGGUUAUAUAACCCGAGAUGAAAAAUAUUUUAGAGGUUUUUCUGAUUCCCCAUUUGAGUAUAUCGACGAGAAACCGACGACGUAAAUUCCAGAGGUGAUCCUGAAUAGGCACUAAUCUGGUCUGCACUGUCGGAUAACAAGUCAUGUACCUAAGUGGUAUCAGAGCCAUACCCAUCCUUGAAACUUUCAUGUUUUCUAAAUCCCUGUUUUCUUGCUCAAAAUGGUAUAAUUUAAGUCUUUAUCCCUAAUUUGCUCUUUAGACUUCAGGCGCAGAGAGAACUUCUCAUUCAUGGCUUCCACUUCAUCUUCCCCUCCUGUUACUCUCUCUUCUACUCUUUUUUUGCCUCGCUUUUGCACUUCUCAUACCACCAAUAAGAUUGAAAACCUUAUAGAAUACUCCUAUAUCCCUGAAUCAGCCCAAAUCAAUGAGUCCUCCUACCCUCUUAUUAGCCCUUAUCAGUUGUACAAAUGACCUAGCUCCUUUACCCGCAGUAUCCGCACCCUCAUCUCUACCAGACGCCCUCAACCUAAAGAAUAUAUCCAGUCUUCCCGCCUGGAUCAGUGUGCUCUUCAAGCCACCUCUGCUGAGCAAUAUGUCACUCUAGAGAUUCCCUCCGAGUUGCUUUCCAACUGGAAAAGAGAAGGCUACACUCACCUUCAUCUUGGAGGCAUCAGAUUAAUCCUUACCCUUCACGGGAGAAAAGGAUUACCGGUUACAGCUCGCCUUGCUAUGCUUGAUACCCGAUUUAAACAGUACCAAGAUGCUAAUUAAACCUAAUUAAUUGGUAAUUGUACAGUAGUAAUAAUUAAUUUACUACGUGGAUUCAUUUAAAACUGAGCAACGAUACAUUGAAACAAAACGGUGAUAAAAUCACCAUAAAAAUGGCAGCGUUUUAGCUUUGUUUUUUUUUGUUUUGGUCAGUAAGAAUAAUAAUGAUGCUAGAUUAUUGUAUUUACCCUGUUUUCUGCACAUAUUAUUUUUAAACCGAUGACAGAACUAUAAACUCUUGUACAAACAAAUAUAAUAUAAAUUCAUUUAUUCGAUGAAAAUAUAAAUUAAUAAAAAUAAUUGUGGACCAAGAGAUAUUUAGAGCCUAUUUGGAAUUGCUUUUGAGAGAAGUAAACGUGAUUUUAAAAAGUUAAAAGCUAAUUUUAGUGUUUGGUAAUUUUUUAAAAAAAUUACUUUUGGUAAAAUCUCCUCAUCCUACAGUAGAUUUUAAGAAGUAUGAAAGGGAUAGUUUUUUAAAAUUUGAUUAUAAGAUUUAUUUUUAUAUGUAAUACAAUUUCAUCAUUAUCCUCACGUAUAUUAUAAAAUUUUAAAAUUAUAAUUAGUCAAUUAAGAAAUUAAAUUAUUAAAUUUAAAAAAGUUAUUAUUAUUACCAAUACCAAUUAUAUUGAGAUAAAAAUAAAAAAUUAUUUUAAUUAUCAAUUAUUAAUAUACACCAUAAAAAUAUUAUAUAUAUAAAUGUUUAUGAAUGUGUAAAUAAGUUUUCUUUAACAUCCACUUGAGCCAUUUGCAUUCUCACCAUAGUACAACAGAAAGAUUUACUAAACAUAUACAAUUACUUUUAAUACUCACAACACUUUUGAAAAGAAAUUUUACCAAACGUUUAAUUAAUUAUUCUUAAAACCGAUUAUUUCUAUAGUCUAACUAAUAACAAUUAUUUUAAAAGUUACAGUAUUACCAAAUUAACCCUUGAUCGAGCCAAUUGAAUUAUGCCACAUCAAUUUGUUUGUACAAGAAUUUAUAGCUAUCAUUACUCUUAUUUUUAAAAUGAUAUUUACAAUGUUAUAUGCACAUAUUCUUUUUGGUUAACAUUCGUGCGAUAUUUUCUUUUUAAAAUGAUAUUUACAAUGUUUUGUGGGCUAUCCAAUUUUUGUGUCUAUUUGUGACUUCAGCCUCUUAUUGUUGGAUUUAAUGGAAAAGUUGAUUGAAUGGUGGGGAUAUAUUUAUUUAAUUAUUAACAUUGUACGAUCCUUGUUGUUUAUUGAAAUUUUAAAAAGGUUAAAGAGUUCAAACUUUUAUCAAAUGAGUUUGAUUUGUUUUAAAUUUGUAAAUAAUUAGACAAUUUGAGGGCUACAACCUAGCUCUUUUACGUCAGUCUAUUACCAGCCAACAAAAUCAAUGCCUAACACUACCAUAAUUGAUCAAAAUCUAAAUGAUAUUUGAAGAUAAUCUUUAGUAAAUAUUAUUGAGACAAUCUUCCAUCAUGAUUAACAAAUUUAUUUUUGCUAAGUCUUUUUAGCCACAUCAUAUCCUUCUAUAAAUCAUUCUGCAGAUUAAAAAAAAAAGAAAAAAAAUCUAAUCUUUAUCUUCUUCAGGCCCUAAUCACAUAAACUAACAUCUCCAAGUUUGUUUGUCCAUUUUCUUUUCUAUGAUUCAAGCAAUCAACCUUGUCUAUUUAUUUUCUUUGAUUUAUCAGUUUAAAAAUUACAUAAUCAUGAAAGUUCAUAAACUUUAAAACAUUAAGAAUCUUUAAAAAAAAAAAGAAAAAAGAAAAUUGUUGGUGGUAAAAUGUAGACCAUAGGUAUUGAGGCCAUAAAAAAUGGGGAAUAUGACUCAAGAUUGUGAUAAAGAAUGAAGGGGAAGCUAAAGAGGAAGGAUGAAAAGGGAAGAUUUCGAAACCAGUCUUAACUAUCUAAAUUGUCUGAGAGUAACAGAAAAAUGCAUCCUAAAAAAUAUUUUAGUCACCAUAUGUCUAUAUGGGACGAUGAGAUAGUGACAGCCAAGCCAUUACAAUACAACCCACACUUGAACUGUCUAUAAAAUAUCCCUCCAACCCAAGAAAGCUUAAGAAGCUUCCGUAAGAGGGAUUAAAUUACCCUUAAACCCCUACCUGAGGAAGAAAAAUACCAAUAACUGCUCACUACAUGUCCAAAAGGACACAAAGAUUCCCUCAAGGGUAUUCCACCUUAAAAGGUCUUGUUAUUCUCAUAAAGAGGGUAAGUUCACUCAUUCACCAAAGCAUUAGACUUUUCUUCUAGUCUAGGGUUUCUUAGAAACCCACCAUCUCCUUCAACCUCCCACUGACUUGACCAUCAGAUUGCUAUCACCGGGCACCGCCGGUGCCACCUUCAACGGUUGUUUCUCGUGAUUUCUACUUCGUUUUAGCCAUCGCCAUCCCCAAGAAACUAUCUCCAUGUCGUCUAGUCUUCGUCUUCACUAGAAAACCACCAUUUGUAGAGAAGCUCUCACAGUGUUUUGAACUGAACCAAAAUCAAAUCAAAACACAACUAAAUCCUAGUCACAUAUCAAUAUGACACUACUAGAAAAAUGAGCUUUACUGACACUUCGUUAACUUUGCAAAAAGUGUCAGUACUUAUGUACAUAUGCACCAUUUUCCACUUUUGACAAAUAGGAAUCAGAGAUUAAUGAUACUAGGGUGUCAGUAAAUUAAACAUCAAAGAUUACUAACACUAAAGUAUCAAUGAUAAAAAAAAUUCAUAAAAAUUUUGUUUUAACUCCAACUCAAACGUGAGAGCUCUAAGAUUUAAAGCUUUAAUGUUUGGAGCACAGACCAUCAAAUCUCGAUGAGUCAAAGUCAUAAUAAUAUUUAAAUUAUUAAAAAAUAAAAUAUAAAUAACAACAACAUAAAACACACUUGACUUUUCCCCAUCUACCCAGACUAUAUGGACUGUCUCUAUCUUGCUUUCAUCGUUCACUUUCUCUUUCGUUUUUCUCUUCUCGAUCUCUUCUGUUUUGCACUAUCCAUUUAUAAAUUAAAUUCAAUUAAUUUAGAUAGAUAAUGAAAAGCUAAAACUCUGUUUCAUUUUUCCAUUUUCCCCAAAUUGAAACACAAACCAAAACCCUAAUCGCUUGUUAUCGAAAGGGUUUUUAUCCAACUAAACCAUCCAGUGCCUAUACUAGGCAAGCAAGUAAAAGCCAUCGACAAGGGGUGAAGUGACACCAUCAGUUGCGUGUUCAGGUAAUCUCAUUCUCCCUGACAAGUUAAGUCUAGAGAAAGAACUGUAGAGGAGGUUAUCAGCUGGUAAUGGCAGAAUAUUUUAUUUGUUUGGGCAAUUUAAUUAUUGGGUUUGUUUUAAUUUGGCUUAUGAAUAAGAUUUUUGAAUUUUUAUUUUUGGGUCGUUUCAGAUAUUCAGAAAUUGAACAGUAGUGCGACCCUGGUGGGUUUUGUUUCCCAAAUCUUUUUUUUUCUUUUAUUUUUCUAUAUCUUCACUCACAUGCAGUCAAAAAAUACGGGCAUUUUAAGUGGUGCAUUACUUAAACUCAAAACACUUGUUACUGCGAGUCUGUUUUGUCUACCACAUUUGAGGUCAGUUUCAAACUUUUGUGCAUGUGAUUUACUAUCAUUGUUAUUUAAAACUAAGAAUGUGCAUUUUUUUUAGUUUCUGAAAUAAACUGUUAGCUCUGUUUCUUAACUUUGAGCAAUAAGUUAGUUGAUUUUGAAUGUACUAAAAUAUGAAAUUUCAUUUUAGCUUUUGCCUUUGUGAUUAGGAGAUGAUUGUUUGGGUGUUAUAUUGGCUGAAUGACUGUGUAUUUAGUGGUUACAGACUAUUUACAUCUCUGUUUCAUGUGAAGAGAGGUAAAUUUUGUUAUAUAAUCCUACUUGUUUAUUUAUGCUGUUUUGGUUGGAAGAUUUGUAAUAGAGACAAUGACUAUGAUAUGAAUUAAUUAAGUUCGUGCUUGUGAGUAUUUUGAGAUUGUAUAAAGUUGAUGAUUUGUGUUUGAUUCAAUAAAGAAAUGUUUGUUUUAAAGUAGUUCUGGAUGUUUUAUUUGAAGUUAAAAAAUGAUUUAUAGAAUCUUAAAAAAUGGCUUGCAAAGUGGUAUGAAGACAUUAUUUAUUUGAACUCUUAACUUUUGUUAGUUACUUGACUUAUGAAUUAGUUCGACUACUUAAAAAGCCAUUAGCACCCAUCUUACCUAUUAAUCUCCUAUUUAAGUUUCAAAACUUCUUUUGUUUCAAUUUCAGAAUUUUGUCUAAAUUAUUAUUAUAAUUAAUGAUUUAUCGGGGCUAUUAAUGAUUUUCCAGAAUUAUAAGUUUAUUAUUGCAACUAUAAUCAUAAUAACAUUGAACUUUAAAUUAAUCAUGCAAUUUAAUUAAACUUAAACUGACAUUACAUAUGUGAACAAGUAAAAUAUUUGAAAUGGACAGAAGUUGGAUAACUUGUGAUAGAUUGUCUAUAGAGUAUCGUUCUGGAGUUGCUGAUUUCUUAGAUUUUGCCAUUUUGAAUGCUGAAAAUCGAAUGUCAAUUAGAUGUCCUUGCACAUUUUGUUGUAAUAUGGAGUUUCAUACUCCUCAAUAGGUGAAAGAUCAUUUAUUUGAAAAAGAUUUUCUCCCAAGAUAUAUUGUUUGGACUUGGCAUGGUGAGACUGACUCUAAGUCUACAUUUACAAACUGUGAAGACCAUUCACAUAGUCAAAGAUUUAGAUGUCAUGAUUACAGUAAUAUAAUUGACAUGGUUGAAGAUGCUUACGAGCAUUGUGAUAGAGAUCCUAGUUCUUUUAAGGAUAUGCUUGAAGAUGCUGAAAAGCCUUUGUACCCAGGUGCAAAACAUUCAAAGUUAUCUAGUUUAAUGAGACUUUACAAUGUGAAAGGGAACUAUGGGUGGUCCGAUAAAGGGUUUUCUACUUUGUUAGAAGUCCUUGCUGAUAUUUUGCCAAAUUAUAAUACUCUACCUAUGUCAAUGUACGAGGUUAAGAAAACAAUGAAAGUGCUAGGCUUAGAGUAUGAAAAAAUACAUGCAUGUCCAAAUGACUGCAUUUUGUAUAGGAAUGAAUUUGCUGAUCUUGCUGAAUGCCCAAAUUGUGGAGCAUCUAAGUAUCAAAUAAAAAAAGAUAGCUCAACAAAAUUUAGAAAAGGGGUUCCUAAAAAGGUAUUAUGGUAUUUUUCACCUAUUCCUAGGUUGAAAAGAUUGUUUCAAUCACCACAAACAGCUCAAAAUUUAACAUGGCAUGCUAAUAAAAGAAUUAGAGAUGGCAAACGUCGCCAUCCAGCAGACUCACCAGCCUGGCAACUAAUUGACAAUAAGUGGCCAAAAUUUGCACAAGAACCUAGAAAUCUCCGUUUAGCUCUCUCAACUGAUGGGGUUAACCCACAUAGUACACUUAGCACUGCUUAUAGUUGUUGGCCUGUUAUAUUAAUAACAUAUAAUCUUCCUCCAUGGUUGUGUAUGAAGAGAAAGUUUUGAUGUUGUCACUUUUGAUAUCUGGCCCUAAACAACCUGGAAAUGAUCUAGAUGUAUACCUAGCACCUUUGAUUGAGGACUUAAAAACUCUAUGGGAUGUAGGUAUUGAUGUUUAUGAUGCUUAUAGAAAAGAAACAUUUAAUUUAUGGGCUGUCUUGAUGUGGACAAUCAGUGACUUUCCAGCAUACGGAAACCUCUCUGGUUGUACUAUUAACGGCUAUUAUGCUUGCCCAAUUUGUGGGAUAGACACUUGUGCAUGUUGGCUGCCACAUAGUAGGAAAAUGUCAUAUAUGGGCCAUCGCCGCUUUCUACCACUCGGUCACCUAUUUCAGAAACUGAAAAAGGUUUUUAAUGGGAAGCAAGAGUGGAAUGAGCCUCCUUAAACUUUGUCUGGUGAGGAAAUCUUUAAUAUGGUGGAAGAUAUAGAUAUUAAGUUCGGGAAAAAGAAGGCCAAAAAGCGAAAACAUGAUGGCGGUGGUGGCGGUGAUGGUGAUGAGAACAUAAUUGAAAAAUUGUACAAAAAAAAGUCAAUCUUUUUUGAGUUAGAAUAUUGGAAGCAUUUAUUAGUUCGCCAUCAAUUAGAUGUGAUGCACAUUGAAAACAAUGUGUGCGAGAACAUAUAUGGCACAUUACUUCAUCAACCAGGCAAAACAAAAGAUGGGAUUAAUGCUAGAAAAGAUCUUGAGUCUCUGAAGAUCAGGGGAAAACUAGUUCCUGAUGAAACAAACAAAAAAAACAAAGUCCUACCUCCAGCUCCCUAUACUUUGAGUAAAAAAGAAAAAAAAUAGUUUUGUGAAACCUUACUGAGUGUGAAAGUCCCUGAUAGGUAUUCUUCUAAUGUCUAAAACCUUGUUUCAAUAGAUGAUUGUCGGCUUCAAGGCCUUAAGUCCCAUGACUGUCAUACUUUGAUGCAACAAUUUCUACCACUAGCCAUUCGAAACUGUUUGCCUAUAAAUGUGAGAAGGGCCAUAAUCAGGAUGUGCUUCUUUUUUAAUACAUUGUGCUGUAAAGUGGUAGAUCCUAAUACUCUUGACCAAUUGCAAGAGGAACUUGUAAUCACUUUAUGCUUAUUGCAGUAGUACUUCCCACCUACUUUUUUGACAUAAUGAUCCAUUUAAAAGUCCACUUAGUUGAACAAGGUAGGUUAUGUGGGCCUGUUUAUCUUCGAUGGAUGUAUCCUUUUGAGAGACAAAUGAAAACUCUCAAGGAUUAUGUUCGUAAUCGCUGCUGCCCUGAGGGUUGUAUUGUAGAAAGUUAUAUUGCAGAAGAAGCACUUGCAUUUUGUCCUGAGUACCUCUCAAAUUGUGAUGUUAUUGGGCUGCCUACUGGUUGUCCAAUUGAUUUAUCUAUCGAAAAGCCUUUGGGAGGUGCAAACAUAAAGGUGGUUGAUGAUGCUUUGUUGGCACAAGCACAUCGGUGUGUUCUAAUGAACACCCUUGAAAUCCAAAUAUAUAUCGAGUAAGCUAAUUUUUCCAAAAAAAUAUUACUAUUGUAUUAUUAGAUUAAUAUACUAGUUUUCAAAUCUUAAUAUGGUCUCACUGUAGGGAGCAUAUGCAUUAUUUGGCAUCAAGAAACCCCUAUAAGGCAAAAACAAAUCUGUGGUUGCAAAAUGAACACAUACGUACAUUUUCUGGUUGGUUACAAGCAAAGGUUAGAAUUACUUAACUAAAUACAACAUAAGAUAUAAACUUUAACAAGAUUUUUCUACAUGUUACUAAUUACUGUACUUGUUAAUUUAAAUUAUAGGUGGCACAUGAUAAAGCAAAUAAUGUGCCGAUUGACGAAAUAGUGUGCUGGUUGGCAAACAAACCACGCUCAAGCGUGGUGACCUUCUCUGGCUACGAGAAAAACGGCUUCAAUUUUACAAUGAGGGACCGGGACUGUAAUCAUGUGACCCAAAAUAGUGGUGUUAGGGUUGUUGCUAACACUCUACAGAUUUCAAGCUCAAAAGAUAAAACUCCUCAUUUUGGAGACAUGACAUUUUAUGGAGUCAUUGAUGAGAUUUGGCAGCUUGAUUAUCUAAUGGUUAAAAAAACACUUUUCAAGUGUGAUUGGGUAGAUGAUAGAGGGGUUUGCACUAACAAUUUAGGUUUUACUAAAGUUGAUUUAAAUCGGAUUGGCUAUAAAUCUGAUUGCUUUAUUCUGGCUUGUCAUACAAAGCAAGUAUUUUAUGUAAAGGACCAGCUAGAUAAUAAUAAAUCAAUAGUUUGUUCAGUGACCGACAAAGCUUAUAAGUUAAAUGGGGAAAGAUGUGAAGACGUGGAUGUAUUUUCUCCAUUAUCUAACAAACUUCCAGUAUGUGAGUUGGAUGAGAAAGAUGAUGAAGGAAUUUAUGACAGAAAAGAUUGUGAUGUUAUUCCAAUAGAUAUUGAUUUAGAAAAUCAGUGAAUGCAUUAUUGUAGUUAGUUUCCAGCACCAAUUUUCACAGUUUUCCAAUAAGUUAUUUAUUUAUUUCAUUAUAUGCUAUUGCUUUUGUAUUAACUUAUUAAUCUAAAUGAUAUACUUAUUUAUUUUAAUCACUUUCAGGAUUGUAGGAGAUGGGCUGAAGAUGUUGAGUUCACUCUUCCGGAGCUCGAUGGAAGACCAAGAAGAAGAAAACAAAAAAAAAAAAGGUUUGCAAAAACAAGAAGUUAGUCAUGAAGUUGCAAUUGAGCACAAUUCUUAUGGUGUUCCAGUUGGAAAGGGAAGAAAUGAUCUUAGGAGUUACAUUGGAGUCAUUGUACAUGAAACAAUUUCAAUUUUACUUGAUGAUUGGAGGCGUGUGCCACUGGAGAUGAAGGAAACUUUGUGGGUUCAUUUUUAGGUUUUGUUUACUUGUUUCAUAGUAUGUUUAAAGAUUUUAUAUAACUUCCAGAUUUGUUUAAAGUUGUUUCUAAUCUAUGUUAUUGGUUUACAUAAAAAAUUCAAAUUGAGCUUGAAAUGCAAAAGCCAAGUAUUAAAGUGGAUGGGGGUUGCAUCAAGAAACUUUCGAUGUGAACUGGCAACUGAAUUCGUUCUACCUAACAAGGACGAUUGAAAGUCACUAAGGUUGCCUCCUAUUGAAUAUCCAAGCAUUAAAAAGGAAGAUUGGAAAUUUUUUGUUGACAAAGUUUUGUCUGAACAAUUUCAGGUGUGUUGUUUGUUAAUAUUACCUGAUUUAUUUGUUGGUAGUUACUAAUAAUCAGUGGUAACCUUUUGUUCUUCAUAUAAACUGUUUGUGUAGGAAAAAAGUAAGAAGGCAAAAGACAAAAGAGCAAAGAAUGUCUACAACCAUCGCUUGGGUAGCACAGGAUAUAGUGGCAUGUUGUAUAGAAAAGUAAGUGUGGUAAAUAAUCUAAUUCCAGUUACAUAAGUAAUCUAAUACGUAUAAUAUAAUAGAAUCAAUUAUUUAUGUUUUAUGUCACCUUGUAACAGAAAAAGGAGAGUGGCGUUUCUGAGCGGGAGAUUAAUCGCAGUGAAGCUUGGUUAAUGGCACGAGCAGACCGAGAUGGCAAAUAUGCUUCUGAUGUGACGCCAAUUGCUGAGAAAAUAGUAAGUCACUUGUAUACUUAAUUCUUAUGAAUUUUCUUUAUAAUAUGUGUGUGUGGGGGCAGAUACUUAUGUACAUAUAUACUGCUUUUUGUAAUAAUUGUAUGGCAACAUUUACAAGUGACAGAAACUCAGUAAGAUUUUAUCAGAACUUAUUUCUUCGCAUAUAAAAAGGUUAAAACUUGUGUGAGGUCUUGUCUUGUAAUAUUUUCUGUAGUUUCAAUUUGAACUGUAUAUGGAUUUGCUCUUUAUUAAAGAUUCAAGAAGGAUAUUAGUUUAGUUUAGCUGAUGUCUUGUACUCGUAAUUGCGGAUUUACAAUAUAUAUAUUUUUUUAGUAGAAUGAGCUGAAGAGUCAAGUUGAACAAGGAACAUUCCAAUCACAAGGGUCACAUGACAAUCUAGGUGAAGCUCUUCAAAAGCAGCCAAAUGGAAGCAGGGUGCAAGGAGUGGGGCAAUUCGUCACCCUAUCUAUGUACUUUCAUGUCCCUGAUGCCACUGAGUUAGCAAGAGAAAGAAAAAUGUAUCAAGAGAGUUUCCAAUUCAUGUUUGCUCAAUUAGAACGCAUGAAUGCAAGGUUAAAUGCGUACAACAAUACUGAGUUGGAAGUUCUAACUUUCCUAAGCCCAAAACUCCCACUAGUGUUCAGAUUGACAAUGAUCAACAAUCCCCUGAAACUCUUGGAAAAAGAAAGGUAUAUGGCCUGUUGCAUGUCAUUAUUUUAUUUCCAUUUGUAUAUGCAUGUAUUACUACUAAUGGUAUGUAUUUUGAUUAUUGCAUAAGCUGAUUUCCCAUCGGGUAAGUUGACUUCAAAAUCUGUGAAGAGUAAAAUUAAGGACAAUCCCACCACAAUUUCCCAAGCAACUCCUCAACAAACCCCCGAAAAAGUAGAGUGUGAAAUUACUUCAAAGCCCACACUGAGAAGAUCUCCUAGACUAACUCCUAAAGUAUUGGAUAGGCAAUUCUCCUAUCAUGACAAAGUACCCAACAAAGAACCAGUAGUCAUCAGACCAGCAGAAGUACCCAAAAAAGAACUAUUGAUCAUCAGACCAGGUGUGGUAGCCAAAAAAGAACCACGAGUCAUCAGACCAGCAGCAAAAGACCUCAAGGUACAUGUGAAGAAUACACGGGCAGCAGCAUGAUCAAGAAAGAAUGACAGGAGUGAAUAUAUGAACAUGUUUACCAUGUUCAUCGAGAAUUCUUUACCUCGGUUGAUCAAGAUUUGGCAUGACACAACAACCUUUGGUGAAAUUUGGGAAACACACUUGGACAAAAUGAUUUGUGCUGAAAUCAUUUAGUUUAAAGAGGUCUCAAACUGCAUCAUUAACAUAUGGAUCAAGUACGGUAAAUCAUAGCUUAUGUUUUAGUAAACUUGGAGCUAUUAUUUUGUUUCCUAUAUUCAAACUUACUUCGUUAUAUAUAUUUGUUUCCUCUUAGACACCUGUAUGAGGAGAUGGAGAGCAAUGGAAGUACUAAACCAGUUCAGUUUGGGCUUUUUGAGAAGCUAUAUCCAAGGGUCAGCUUCAAAGACAGGACUCAAUACAUUUCAAAACUGUUAGGCUUGGCAGAAUUGGGACAAGUCAUCGUAUUCCCGUAUAACCCUGGGUAUAACCUUUUUCAUUUGCUAGUGAUAUUCUUUAAUUUGUAGAUUAAUCACGAAGUUAAAAACUUUUACUUGUAAUUCAUGUGUGAGAACAAUUUUUACUUUGUUUAGUGCCCACUGGGUGUUAUUGGCAAUUGAUAUGGUGAGACAUAGAACUUAUUAUCCUGAUCCUUUGGAAGGUAGUCCUGAUGAAGAGCUAAUGCAGAUUGUCAAUCAGUUAAGUUUGUUAUUUGUAUCUUUGAUCAUGCUGUUUUAUUUUUAUGUCUUAUGCUAAUUAUUUGCUAACGUUAGCUAUGUCUCUUAAUUGUAGGGGGAUUCGAAUACAUCAGAGUUUAAAUUUUGAUACAAAGGCCAAUGUUCAAUGGAUACCUGUCAAGGUAAAAAUCAGACAAACCUAAAUAAUUAUUGUUAACGUACAGUAAAAAAUUAAUGUAAUUUUGAUCUUGUAGUGUUCGAGGCAGCCGAGCAGCUUUGAAUGUGGUUACUAUGUGAUGAAAUACAUGCAAGAUAUCAUCACAAAUGUGAACGUUCUGAAAAAUAAUGUAAGUAUUGAAAAUGAUUUUUACAAUACUGCAUCAUAUUGUUUUAAUUUAUUGUGAAAUGAAUCAGCUCAAACACCUGUGUGCUUCUUUACAGUUAUCUUUUUAUUACGUAUUGUAUGCAUUUUAUAAACUGUGAGGGUAGUUAUAAUGGUGACUAUGUUGCAUACUGUUGAAUAGAUUAUAUGAAUAUCCAUAUAGACAUGAAUUAGGAUUUGGGAUAUACACAAUGUACUGCAUAUCCCAACACAAAACAAUUGUUAGUGGGGAUGUGCUAUGGUGUCUUUGCUUGUACUUUACUUUGAUGAGGAUAAGUUGUCACCCUAAUUAAGGUUUUGUAACUACAUCCAUAUUUGUAUUAAAUCGCGUACUGUUGGGGUUUACAAGUUGCUUCGGCUAUUAAAUAUUAUUGCUGUUGGGGUUCACAAGUUUUUUUUUUUUUUUGGAAUUACCAUGAUCAGGAUGUUCAGUAUUUACCUAUAUAAUUUUGGAUAAAACAGUAACAUUGUUGGAGUUUAUUUGUUGGCUUUAAUUGUUAACACCCAAAUAUAUUUAAAUGAAUGAUAAUUAAGUAGUUUAGUCAAGGAUUUUUGGUGAAUAACUUGUUGUUUUAAAAUUAAAGUUCAAGGGAGUUGAGGAAUACACUCUGAAGGACCUCUCGCAACUUCGUGAUCAGUGGGCUAUAUACGCUGCCAAGUUAAUUACAGCCUACAAUCGCGAGGUAACAUACAAGUAAUUUAUGAUUAUUUUUCCUUAAAAAUAUACAAGACUUAUUUUUUGUGGUGUGCUAAUUGAUUUUAUAUACUUGUAGGUGGAAAAAAAAAAUGAAGGCAUAUGCGGACUCCAAAAUCAGUAACUCCAAAAUCAGUGACAUUGUUAUCUAUUUUUUCUUGUUGGCUAAAUUUUCAGAAAUUAAUUUAGUACUUUAUCGUGUAUACUACUUGUUCAAAGCUUAAUUUAGUACUUGAACUUGUUUUUUACCCCCAAACAAUAAUGUAUUUGAACUAUUUUAAUUUAACUGAUGUAUUUGAAAUGUGUAUUAUGUGAAUUGCAUUACAAGAUUUGGUAUGUUUAAUAUAUUUUGGGUUUAUUUUAAUUGUAAAAUAAACAGGAAUAAUGUGAUUAAAAAAAAUAAAACACAACCGGUAUAGCACCGUUAAUACUGACACUAAUUAUUUAAAUGACGAUAAGAAUUUUUGAUGUUACUGAGUCAGUGGAUUCCUAAUACUGUAGUCACAUAAAUCAGUGACGUGUAAAUAGUAUCAUUAAAUGCUAACAUGAUUAAGUUACUAUCCUUGUGACUCUCUAGUGACACAAAAUACCGACAUAGAAAUAGUAUCAACUGAUACUAAUACCAUAGUAUCACUAUUGUGGUGAUACUAUAGCGAUACAAGAUACUGACGCAAAAAUCACUAACACCAAAAAUUAGUGUCAGUGUGUUCUGGCUUGAGCAUUACUGAACAAUUAAAAAGUGUCAGCAAAAGCAAUUACUGACACUAAAUUGGUGUCAGUAAAGCCCAUUUUUCUAGUAGUGUGAAAAGCCCGAAACCAUAAAACUUAAGGACCUAUGGUGGUAACAAGAAGAAGCUAAGAAAGAAUAAGAAAAGAAGAAGAAUUAGAGAAAGUAAAAAGAAGAAGAUGUAAACCAUAAAUACUAAAGAGAGGAAGGAACCAAACGAAAUUUAACUCUACAAAAAAACAAAAGAGGAGUACGGCACAACUGUAGCAGGGUAAGUGGAUUUUGCUUUGUGUAUAUAUUCUUUUUAAAAUGAUAUUUACCAUGUUUUAUGAAUAUUUUUUAUAUGCAUUCUUUUUAAAAGGGUGUUUACCUUGUUAUGUGUUCAUUUUGUGAACACAUUAUUUUUUUUAAUGAUUUUAGCUUUAUUUGUGUGCUCAUCUUACAAAAAAAAAUUAUUCGUGGACUAUUCUUUUUAAAUUGCAGUUUACUAUAUUUUGUUAAUAGACUUGGACCUCUUUUACUAUAUAUACAUACAUAUUAAUAUAUGGUUAAGAUUUGAUUAUUUUUAGAUUCUUAUCUAAUAACUAUAAAUUAUAUCUUUCUAAAAGGUUCAUAAAAAGGCCAACUCAACAAUUAAUUCAAAUUCUUUGUCAACUUGCUCCUUUCUUAUAUUUAAGCUACAUCAAAGAUUUAAGCUACGUUUCCAAUAUGUUACUUUCAUGAAUCACUAUGUUGUUAAAAUUUUUUGAAAAACAGUUAAUUAAUUACUUUUAGAGGGUAUAUUCACUAGCUUUCAAUUGCGUAUAUUUCAUUUUCUAGUAUAUUGAUCGACAAAUUUACAAAUUACAAGUUACAAAUGGUCUUCUUUUACUUGCUAAUCCAUGAAUAAUUUGAACAAUGAUUAAUUUUUUCUUUUAGAAGUCAAUCUUAUGGGACAAAUAUGUACACAAAUUAAAAUGGAAGUAAUCGAAAUGUGUGGCAAGAUAAGUGAUUUUCAUUUUAUGAUACGACUAAACGGAUUUCCAUGAUAUUUCAACAAAAUCAACAUACUUUAAUUGCAAUAACAUUUUCUAAUUUUAAUAAAACAUAUUUAUUCAUAAUUCACAUUGAGCAUAUAUUAUUAUAAAGUAUGUUACUUAUGUAUUGGCAUAUGAUGGCAGGAUCUUUAUAAAUAAAAGAUUAUUCACAACUAUUAAGUAAAUGGUUAUUUCAUUAUGUAAGGCUGUAACUUUUUUACUUUUAUCAUUAAAUGAUUUUAUCUUAAUCACUAAAGUGGAGAUUUUGAAUAGAAUAGUUAAUAUGUAUCUGUGAUAUGCGUAUUGAACUGAACUGCGGUGAAUCAUAGUGAUAUGCGUAUUGAACUGAACUGCGGUGAAUCAUAAUCUAGCUUAACAAAUGUUGUUGAUCAUAAUUCACAUAAGCUUUAAUAAGCUUAAUCAACCAUAAUCUUGAGUGGGUAAUGAACUUACAUUCAUGUGUUAUAUCUUUUGAAUUAUCACAGAGUGACAUCCAUAUAAACGGUCAAAACCUCAAUAGCUUGGAGAUGUAAUUUCAUAGAUCAUAGGAUCAUAUACUUACAAGAUAGAAUCUAUAUUAUUGAUGCUUACUUAAGCUGUUGUGGUACUAAUCAUUUAAAUAUGUGGCCUUAGUUUAUUCCUUAAAUUGUUUAUUGAAUAAUAAUAUUUAUUUCUAAAUUUAUUUACAAAUAUAAAUAUAUUAAAAGUGACCAUUAGAACAAAUAGUGACUUAGGGAUAAAUAUGUAGCUAAUAAAGGCAUGACACUUAUCAAUGGCCUAGCUUUAAGUACAAGCAUCAUCUAGAGGGUUAAUUAUAUGGUUAUUAUUGGUGUAUAAAAGGAGUUUUAAUUAAUUGGGUUUUUAUUUAAUUACAUAGGUUACUGCAACUUUGAGCUUUUAAUCGAAUAGCUUGAGCUUAACUUAGUAAUUUUCUAUAUUUCAUGAGAUGACUGGGCCUUGACUAUUAAGUUAGAGCUAGAAAGCCAUGGGUCUACAGUCCUUUUGCUAGCUUAAUUCUAGUCAAACUCUAACUCUUAUAAGUGCCUAUAUAAAGAAGAUGAAAUUAGAAUAGACUAAUAACGUUUACGUAAGGAUUUUCUUAAAUAAGACAAAUCCUACACAAAAUUAAGGUUCUAUACAUGCCUACAUGUGUGAGGGAGAUGAUUAAGAAUAACAAAGAAGACUGCAACUACACUUUGCAGAUCCCAAUAAUGGUAGUGGAAAAGAUUGCAGUCAUCUUCUUUAGAUCUUCAAUACAAAAUCAAGGUAUUCCUUUAACCCUAUACAAAAGAAUACUCCUAGCACGUUGCAUGCACGACUCUGUUAGCCUAAAGGGCUACACAUAAUGUAAUUUUGAUGAUAACAAACAUGGGUCUUAAGUGAUUUGAUAAAUAUUGUAUUUCAGAUUUUACUAGUUCUUAAAGGAUAAUAUUUAUGUUGAAGUGAAUCACGUGAAAUCAAACUCAAGACACUCAACGGACAACGGCGAAAUCAAGAAUAAAGUUUAGAGUUCAAAGGACUAAUUAUUGAGACAAAUUCUUGUAAAGCCGGUAUGAUUUAAUUGAUGCAUGAUUUAGCGUUUGAAAAACUCAAGAUUUUAUUUAAAUCAUUACUUUUUAUAAACCAAAAGGUUUUAUAUUUAUAAGAUAAAGUAUUUUGUGGAAUUGAGUAAUUUGGACUAAAAUGAAAAAGUUUUGCAAUCUUUGAUUUUAUUAAGUACUGUUUUGAAUUUUGAAUUUGGACUUAUUUGUAAAUAUUUAAAACUUUUUGGGUCAUACUAUAAUUUAUAAAAGUUUGAGGACCCAAUGUAAUCCAAACAUUUGAAAUCUAAAAAUGGACAGAGAGCGAGCGGCUAACCGCCUGCUAGCAGCUAGCCGCCUGAGGAAAAUCUCAUAUUUUCAAAUUUUGGACUAAAUUGAAAAGAUUUGAGAACUUUGAAAUUUAUGGGUAUUAUGUUAAAUUUUGAAAAGGACUUCUUUGAAAAAUAUUAUUAUAUGUUGGGUCAUAUCAUAAUUUCAUAAAGUUUUGGGAAUGAAAGCAUUAUUUAUAAAUUCUGAAAUUGGUCCUAUUUGUAAAGUUUUAUGAUGUUUUGGGCCAUAGUAAAUGAUAGAAAGUUUUGGGUACAAAUAUAAUUUUGUGAACAGUGGUACUGUAGCAAAAUUCAAAUUUAACGGUAACAUCACUGUUCUUGAGUGGCUAGCCGGAUAAAUCAAGUGGCUAACCGCUUGAGCGCUGGAAUUUACCUAUAACGGCUAGUUUUCAGGCUUUAGCUAUAAAAACUCAACUCCAUCUUCAAUUUCAAGAUCUUUGCAAGCAUAAACAAGUGCACACAACAUAUAUUGAGCUUCAAUUUCUCAAAUUAUCAUAGAUUAAAUCUUUAUUGAGCUAUCAUUUCUAUAUUUACUCUAAAAGAGAGUUGUUUGUUGUAAUUUUCAUUUCUCAUCAAAUUGUGAGUGUACAAGUGUAACACCCUAGGCGAAUCCCACAUCGGCAAAGCACGGGAGAGAUGCUGGGUUUAUAAGGGGUGAUCCACACCUUAAUUGGCAAGACGCGUUUUGGGGUGUAUGGGCGCCCCAAGAACAAAUCCGUGCGGGCCUUGUUAAGGCCCAAAGCGGACAAUAUCUUGCCAGGUCUGGGUUGGGUCAUGACAUUAUGGUAUCAGAGCGGCUCCGCGUGUCCUCUUGAGCGAUGGUGGGGUAAACCUCAGCGAGGACGCUGAGUUCCCAAGGGGGGGUGUAUGUAACACCCUAGGCGAAUCCCACAUCGGCAAAGCACGGGAGAGAUGCUGGGUUUAUAAGGGGUAUGAGCCCUCCUUUUAUAGUCUUAUAGCCAUACACAUGAAGUAAGUAAUUAGUAAAUGGAUACACCAUUAGUCAUAACUUCUUAUGAGAUAAUGGGAGUUAUAGGAGACAAAGAGUUGUUUGAUAGAGAGACGAAGAGUUGUUUUGAUGAACAUCUACAUAAUUAUAAUUAUUUCAUAACACUCCCUCUUGGAUUUUCUUCCUACAAAGAAUAUGCCUAAUUAAAACCUUUGCUAGUAAAAAUCCUGAGGGAAAAAAAAAGCGUAGGAAAAAGAGUACAUUAUUUAUUUGUAUCUUAAGGAAGUGCAAACUGUCUCAUUAAAAACUCACUAGAAAAAUCUGAUGGGACAAAAAACUAGUCAAGGAAAAAGAGUACAAUGUGACAUGACUUAAAAAUGAUCUAUAACUCCCAAGUAUAAGAGUGUCUAGUUAUAAUAUAACUCGGUGAAUUCGAGGUCGAAUCACAGGGAAAAGAUUAAUUUUGUUAAUUUCCUUUAAUUAUCUAGAAAUUGAAAAUAUAAUUUAAGUACACAUUAUUUAAUUUGAGCGAAACUAUAAAAAUAAAUUAGUUGAAAUUAUGGAUCCACCCUUAGUAUAAAUAUAAUUUAACAAAUUCUUUUUCUUUUCUUUUUUUAUUGCCCAAAAUAUUAAUUGUAUAAAUUAUCAUUAUUUUUCUAUUAAUUUUAUUAUGGAUUAAGGACUUAAUAUGCUAAAGUUCAAUUUGUCUACAAUAAGUCAAAAUGCCACUUUACCAUACUUUAUACUAAGAUAUUAAGAAUUUAUUAUGCCAAACUACCUUAUUUGUCUACAAUAAAUCAAAAAUUUAAAGUAUAAAAUAUGAAUAAAAUUAAAUAGAAAAUAAUAUAAUUUAUAUUAAUUAAAAAUUUAAUUAAAUUAAAUCACAUUUUCUACUAAAAGUUUCACCUUCCCUAACUAUCAUUAUUUAGCUAAACAUAAUUGAAAUAAAAAUAAUUAUCAAAAUUAAAUUAUAUAAAAUUACAAAAAUAAAAACAACUAAAAAUUGAAAAUAACACUAAAUUUGUUUAUUGAAAUUACAUUACAAAAUAUUAAAACAUAAUUAAGAUAGAGGAAUGAAGAGAAGAAUUUGGAGAGAAAGAAGUGAAGAAAGGUAUAGAGAAGUGUAUUCCCCCCUCCAUUUAUGCAAAGUUAUGAUCAAUGUACAUUAGGGAUGACAAAAAUAUCUGAGUCUGGCCUGAAACUGCAAAGAUCCAAAAGAUAUGGAUCCGGAAAAAUCUAAAUCCGCACAUUAAAAAAUGUGGAUUUAGAUGAUAAAAGUUAGAAUCUGUGUAAAUCAAGGUCUGGAUCUGGAUGCAAAUGCAUCCAAAAAGCCAGAUAUCUAAAUCCACAAUAUUUUUUAAUUAAAUUAUUUUAUUGAUUUAAAAUUAAAUAAAAAAUAUAAGUUAAAUGAAAAACUAUAGUAGGAUUAAUUAAAAAUAUAUUAAGUUAUUUUAAAUUAAUAAAUAUAUCAAGAUCCACAUUAUAUUAUUUAGAUUUGUGGUGUUUUUAUAAUGUUACUUGUGGAUUUAUGGUGCUGUUAAAUUUGAAUUUAUGUUAUUCUUGAUAUUUGAUUUAUGUUGUGGCAUUUUUAUUUUUAAAUUUAUGGUGUUGUAUGUUACUUUAGGUGUUGAAUUGUUAAUUGUUGAAUUAUGACUGGAUUUUGUUUAAUAUUACUAGGUAAAUUAUUGAAUUUUAAAUUAUAUUUUAAAUUAUUGUAUUUUAAUAAAUGCGGAUCUGGAUAUUUGGGAUAUUCGCCUGCAAUCUGUGAGGAUAUUAUCCACAUCCAAAUCCAUAUACUUUUUUACAGAUCAAGAUACGGAUUUGGAUAUGGAAAUAUCAAUGUGAAUCUAGAUUCGGAUGCACCUAUAUACAAAUCCGGAUCUGGAUUUUGCCAUCCUUAAUCCGCACCACACACAUACACAAAGCCAAUUAUAUUUGGCCAUACAUUUGUUCCACUAUACAAACAUAUAUAUUACUCAAUCCACUCAAGCACAUCUAACUUAUUCCACUAACAAUUACCACAUCUAACAUGGUAAAAACUUUUAAUUUCACAAGUGCUACACUAAACGUGGUAAAAACUUAUAAUUUCACAACAAAAAGUCGCGGAUCCUCAUAAAAAAUGACCUAACUUUUCGAACCUCCAAAAUCUAAAUUUGACAUCUAUUUAUUUGUUUGGAGACUCGAAUUACGUGAAAUUAUUAUUUUUACAAAAUAAAUACACAAAAAUACAAGAAAUCAAAUAUUUAGAAACAUAAUUAGAAUUUCACAAUAUGACAUAAUUAUAAACGUAAUUCAUAAUAUAAGCACAAAAUAAGAUUUUUACCCUUUAGUAAACAUAAAAUUUUUAACACUAAUCACACACUCCCAACCAGCUUAUUGUUAGCUCCUAUCGAUUAAAACGCUAUAUUAAAUUGAGAUUUACAAAAUUCACAUGCAAGUUAAUGGUUGUUUAUCUAUUGUUUUAAACUACCAAAUGAACAAACUCUCCCAAAUUUCUAUAUCUUUUCAUUGUUCACUCAUUAUCCAACAUUUUGGUUCUAAAAUUCGUCAAAAUGCUAGCUUUAGGCAGUAUAUUAUUCACACAUAUUUUAAAAUAUUACAUUUUUAACCCAUGUAGUGAGUUUUAGGCCAGUGACUUUUUGACCAAUUGGCCUUAGGGCAUUAGGUGUUGGAACACCCCUACGGACUUAAUUACUUAGGUUUCUGAUAAAUAAGCAAACAAUAUAUCUACAACCCAUGUGACGAGUAUUGUGCCAGUGACUCCUAGAUUAGUUCACCUUAGGGCACUAAGUGUUGAAACGCCUUUAUGGACUUAAUUACGUUGGUUUUAUAUAUAGAAAAAUUAAAAACAUUCAAUUAUUUUCCCCAUUUUUUUGGAAUAUACACUUUCUACUACCUUAGAUAUUAUCCUUAACAAAUCAAUAGAAUGAACUGUUGUAAAAAUUUUAACUUACAACCCACUAGUAUGUGUCCUUUUGUGUGUGUGAGAAGAAUGAUUUAAUAAUAUCUUUUAAAUGAAUAAAUACAAAAUGACUUAAUAACCAAAUGGAGAAUUCACAAAUUUGAGCAAUUCAAAGAAAAUGGAACAAAAACAAAUUAUUAUGAAUUUCAAAAUCAAAAUAUAAUAAAAACUAGACUAUUAGAAUGUGUCUUAAAAGUAAUGACAUUUUACACAGCCAUAGACGCAAAAAAAAUUAUUGUUUUUUAUUUUUUUAAAAAAUAAAUAUUUACAAUUUGCGUCAACUAUCUCCUCCCUCUAACCUAUUUUAAACAUUAUCUUUAGCGAUUCAGAAUUUAAAGAUAUACAUGCAAACAGGUGAAAGAAUUAAAGAAAACAUAAAUAAUAAAAGGAAGAAGUUGGAAAGAUCACACUUGAACUGGCGACAGAUGAUACGUUUCCAGACUCACUACACUCUAUAUCCACCUUCGACUUAAAUACACAAAAAAAAUUAGUAAAAACAUCCCUAGCACUAAGAUAUUUCACUAUUUGUUAACUAUUCCCUCCCCUCAACGAGAACAAGGCGUUGUCCUCAAUGUCUUAAAGGAAAGAAAUAGAAUUUAAAAGACAUUAACUAAUUACUAUAAGAAAAUACUUACAAACAAAUAGUUAAACCUAAUUUGCACUUCUUACUAUGGCUAUUGUUACCAUAAUUAGUCAACCAAUCUAACACCAAGGUCUUGGGAUCUGGCUCUAGUUUGUAAGUUUGUAAAAGAUCAAGUAAUUCAUUAGUAAUAGAAGCACAAAUGCAUAGUUUUUUCCCAGAGAAUAAAAUGAAAUGAUUCUUAAUUGCAUGGUUAACAAAUAUUAUCAAGCCAUCAUGAGAGUUAUUAACAUUUAACAAACGAAUUAAUUUUUUAUGGAUGUAUAAAUAGGCCCAAGAUGCAAUUGUAAUUAACACUCUAGAGUUGCAAGAUGUUUUGAUAAGAAAAUGAAAGGGGCAGCAUGAUUUGACAAUUCGAAUAUUCUCUUUUAUAUACUUUAGACGACUAGCUCUUCUCUAGUUGGUGGGUUGGUAAUAACUCUAUGAAAUGAGAGUUAUUACAGCAAUUCUAGACUUAAAUCGAGACCACUUGGAGAUUAAAUGAUGCAUUUUUAGUAUAUUUUGGUUAUGUUUUGCAUAAACAUCCAUUUUAGUUUAGUCUUAAUAAGUUUUCCUUGAUUUAAAGUAAUUUGUGCUCAAAACAUGUGCAUAAUUGUAGGUUUUCAGAAGUUUAUAAUCCAUGAAGGGAUGCUGAGGCAUUAGGCUAGCAAGAAGGAGGAAGAAUAUGGCCACAAAAGAAGUGAAACACAAUCUGGGACAGUGCAGUGUUACAGCUAUUGCUGGAGCAACCAUUGCUAUAGCAAUCCUGAAACAACAAGGGAGAAAACUUAGCGCGGAAUAGCAGCAGAAUUGCGAUCUGCAGUUUCCUAAUUUGACUCAUGUACGCCCUAGGCUUUUGUUUUACCCUAGUUUGCAGUUAUAAAAAGGGGCGCGCAUGACAUAAAACGGCGGCAAUGAAUUAACAUAGAGAAAAAAGAGAGGAAGAUCAGAAUUCAAGGGAACUGAGGCUGUGUCAUUGAAGAAUCCAACAGAGUUAUUUGGAUUCACUUUUUGUCGUUCUCCACUUAUUCCUAUCUUCCCUCUUUGAUUGAACCGAUAUAUUUCGUGACCAAUAUGUUGAUGUUUGUUUUUCUCUUCCAAAAUAUGAACUAAACUUGCUUGUAGUUGAGUGACAAACAAUCUAAUGGGUUCUUGACUGUUCUUAUAAGUUGCUACAUAAUUUCUAUAGCAUUUUACUUUAAUAACUAUUAUUAUAACUGUUAUUUCGGUUGACCACCCAUUUAAUGGUUCAAGUUAAGAUAGAGCUGCAAAAGGGCAUGUCUUAGUAGAUAUUAUUAGAGUAAUACUUGAUCUUAAUUUGAGUUUCCUGGAUUAAGUUUAUCUUGAAUCCCUUAAGGGUUAUACUCGAAGUUAAGAUUUGUGACAACUAGACAUAGGUACACACCUUGUAGGGUGGAGAGAAUAAAUGUUCGCAAUGCCAUGCCAUAGGUAGAAUAAGCAACUGGUCAUUGCUAUGAUACUUAAAGGUAUGAGAAUUCCAACAAGCGACAGCUGAGGAUGCAAAGUAAUUCUGCCCAGUGCUAUGGACAAUGCUGUAGCAAUUGGUGUUAAUUUGAUGAAAAGCAGUCAACCUAUAAAGAGAGUUUGAUCAUUCAACUACCUUAUUCUCAUUUGAUUCUUGUUACGUAAUUUAUUUACUUUAAUUCACCACUGCAUUAUUUCGUUUUAUUUCCUCACAAUUAUAAAUUUCGGUAGUAAACAACUUCACAUUUGUUCAUUCGAAAUAAAGGUAGAUUGCACUAUUGUGAUUGCUGUAGCAUUUCUAAUAACAUCAAUCCCUGUGGAGACGAUUUUGAACACUCAUCACUUUACUACUUGUUGUGUACACUUGCACAUUGGCAUCAAUAGCAUUUGAUUAAAAAUUAACCAACAGUUGGGUAGGCAUCCCAAAGGUUUUAAGGCUUGCAGGAUAAUGCCUUCCACUUGACUUCCUCUAAUAAAAAUAUCUUCUGAGACAAGUUUUGAUAACCUUGGCCAUAUCUUCCAUAUAUCAGGUGUAGUUUUCUCUUUACUAUGACACAACCAAGAUCUACAGCUGCAUGAAUGAACUCUGUAUUUUCUAUAGUGAAAUCCAUAAAGCACAUAAAUAUUUUUGAAUUAUUUAUUCGUUGCCAUUAGAAUAAUCUUUAAAACAAGUUGUGAGUAUUUUAAAAGAAAAAAAGAAGCUCAUAUUUAAAGAUGUUAGUAAUAGACAUAAUGAUACACAACUAUAAAUGAGUUGGCGUAUUUGUUAAAUGUGCGUAAAGCUUGUGGCUCAAUAAGUCAAAAGUAAGAAAAAAAUAAAUAGUAAAAAAAAUAAAUAGUAAAAAAAAAUAACGAUUAGAUACAAAAUCACACCACUAAAAGCAAUAAUGCAAACUAUAAAAAAAUAGUAAAAUAAAAGGAUAUGUACUGGUAGUUGUAAUUAUGACUCACAUCUUCAUCUGGUUUUAUAUUUAGUAAUGGCUUGGACGCUCUCUAUGGGUUGAGGAUAGGCUUCCCAUUCAAUUUUCUUAUAAAUUGGCAAAAUAGGGUGUUUUAGAGUUAAAUUUCUAAGACUAAACUAUGCACUUUUUUUUUGGAAUAGUGUCCAUAAAUUAUGAAUCUCAUAUUGCACAUAUCUGCUUGGAUGUGUCAUAAGAGAUCAUAAGAUACCAUCUAAUGAUUAUUUAAUUAGGCCAUCUUUAACGAAUUUAAUUUUAUCUUUACUAUUUUCAUAAACCAUUCUAAAAUUUUAUAAUGUGGUCGAUUGCAAUCAAUCUUACACAAUUAAAAUAUUUUCAGCCAUGUUGAUUAGCUCUCUUUCUUUUAGUAAAUGUGCUUUUACCAAAAUGAGACGUAUAAGAAACAAAUGGAUCGACAAACUCACCUGCCAAUCGGACCUUUUCUUUAAUUAACCAACAAAUAUCAGCAGGAAUCCCAUUGAUCAUUAACAAAUAUAAUCGUUCACUGUAAAUUUUAUAAAUUUUCUUUAGAGCAUUUUGAGGGAGAGAAGGAAAACACUUAUGCAUUGUAUGUUGUAUUUCUUCCAUGCCUGAUUUUAGGGUUUCAGUUAUUAUCAGAAACUAAAGAUACCAGCUUAAGAAAUUAUGGAGUUCUGUUAUCCGCCAUUUAUAUUGAAAAGUAAAUUAAAACAUAAAUAAAUCAAUUCUACAAAAUCAAGUCAAACAUAAAGGCAAACAAAAUAACAAAAUGAAAACACACAAUGUUAAACAUGAAGGCAAACAAAAUAACAUUUAACUCACCUUCUCCUUUGUUUAGUUAAACUCAAGGUCCAAUUGAAUGUUAUAUAUACCACUCUCUAUUUCCUAGAGUUCUCUUUCUAAAUCCUUAAACAAGAUACUAACGUUUGUGGUCGUAAAUCUCAAACAUGAUAUUAUUUGUAAAAGUUCUCAAAGAUGUUUGAAGAGGAUCUUUCUUAUUAAGGUUCAUGCAUAUCAUUCAAGACCUAGAAAUAAACAAUCAACUAAUUCAAACGGUCAAAUAACAGUUAAAAAUAGUUAAAUCACCCAUUAAAAACGAAGAAGACUUAAUCAAUAUUUGGUGGGUCACUCAAAUUUAUUUCAAUGCAUUUUUUUAUGUAGUUAGCAUUUUCAAAUAUGGUUUUAAUCUUUGUCCAUCAACUUUAAAUGUGACAUCGUUCUUUGAAUUCUCAAUUUUUACGGCCCAAUAAGGAUAUAUAUUUUUUACAGCAAAUGUGCAACUACGCUUUGACUUUAACUUUCCUGGAAACAAAUGAAGAUGAGAAUUAUAAAGCAACACUUUUUAAUCAAUCUGAAAUGUUUUUUUGAAAGUUUCUUUUAUCAUGAAAAGCUUUUGUUCUUGCCUUAAUAAUUCUUAAAUUUUCGUAUGCAUCAUUCCUUAAUUUCUCAAGUUCAUUUAAUUAUAAUUUAUGCACAAAACCAGCAUCAUCAAAAUUUAAAUUAAAAGCUUUAAUAGCCCAAAAUUAUUUAUGCUCAAGUUCAACUAGUGAGUGGCAAGGUUUAUCAUAAACCAGCUGAGGGUGACAUUCCUAAAAGCAUCUUAAAUGCAGUACGGUAGGCCUAAAGUGUGUUAGUUAGUCGAAGAGAUCAAUCUUUGCGGUUUGGAUUAACCUUAUUUUUUAAAAUUUAGUUUAUCUCCUUAUUUGCUAAUUUAAUUUGGCCAUUUAUUUGAGGAAGAUAAGGAGUAACAACUUUAUGUGUAAUUCCAUAUUUAUUCAUUAAGGAAUCAUAUGACUUGUUACAAAAAUUAUUACCUCUAUCAUUGAUAAUGGUUCGAGAGAUUCCAAAUCAAUGUAAAAGAUUUUCUCUUAACAAUUUAAUCAUAGUUUUAAUAUCAUUAUUUUGGCAAAAAAUUACUAUCAUUAUUUGGCAAACAAUUUCUUCAAUUCAUUUAAGACAUAAUCGACUACAACUAAUAUGUAUAAAAAUCUAAACGAUGGUGGAAACGAACCUAUGAAAUCAAUUCCCCAACAUCAAAUAUUUCGAUCUCAAGUAUGGGAUUUAAGGGCAUCAUGUUUCUUUUAGUAAUUGAUCCCAAUUUUUGACAGUUUUCACAUGUUUUACAAAAUUCAUAUGUGUCUUUGAAUAUGGUGGGCUAAUAAAAUUCACAUUGCAAAAUUUUAGUAGUAGUUUUUCUUGAAGAAAAGCAUCCACCACUUGCUCUAGAAUGACAAAAAUUUAAUGACACUACUUACCUCAUUGUCUGGCAUACAUCGUCGAAAAAUUUGAUUAGAGCAAUAUUUGAACAAGUAAAGAUCAACUUCAAUAAAAUUUAUUUUCUUUAACCACAAAUUUCUUCUUAUUUUGAAUGUUCCAUUGCAAAGGCAUUUUACCUGUACUAAGGAAAUUAACAAUGUUAGCAUAUCAUGGCAUUGAAGUAACAGUAAAUAAAAAUUCAUCCAAGAAAGAAUGAUUGAUAGGUGUUAUGUCAAUGUAGAGUUCAGAUGUGAAUCUUGAUAAAUGAUUAGCAACGAAUUUUUGGCACCCUUUUUAUAUUUAAUAGUGAGUUCAAAUUCUUAGAGUAACAAAAUCCAAUGAGUUAUUCUUGGUUUGACAUCCUAUUUACUCAUUAUAUUUCACUUCAGUGUGGUUAGUAAAAAAAAAAGAUUUAGAACCAAGUAAAUACGAACAAAAUUUGUUUGAUAUAAAGACUGAGCAAGUAAUUCUUUUUCAAUUGUGGAAUAAUUCAUUUGAGCACUAUCCAAAGUCUUAGUCGCAUAACAAAUCACAAAGGGCUUACUAUCCAUUAUUUGUCUUAAAACAACACCAAGAGGAAAGUCAAUUGUAUCAAACAUUAAUUCAAAUGUAAAGAUCAAUCAAGAGAUCGCAUAAUAGGUGCAGAUGUUAAAAAACAAAUUAUUUCCCUAAAAGAUUUUUAGCAAUCAUUAGUUCAUUCAAAUGGCGCAUCUUUGAAUAAGAGGUUAUAAAGUUGUUUAGAUAUGACACUUAAGCUUUUAUAAACCUCCUAUAAAAACGUGUAUGUCCUAAAAAAGAUCGCAAAUCUCUAACUAUUUUUUGUUGUGGAAAUUUAGAUAUGACUUCUAUUUUUGCUUUGUCAACUUCAAUUUCUUUAAUAGAUACAACAUGACCCAAGACAAUUUUAGAAGUAACCAUAUAAUGACACUUUCUCUAGUUCAACACAAUUUAUUUUUCAACACAUCUUUUUAAAACUUUUUCCAAAUUUUAAGACAAUCAUGAAAAGAAUUUCCAAACAUAGUCAAAUUGCUCAUAAAGACCUCUAAACCAUGUUCAAUGAUAUCGCUAAAAAUACUUAGCAUGUAUCUUUGGAAUGUUACAAGAGCAUUAUAGAGUUCAAAUGACAUUCUUUUAAAUGUAAAUGUUUCAAAGGGACUUGUAAAUGUGAUAUUUUCGUGAUCCUCAAGUGCAAUAGGAAUUUGAUAAUAAAAGUAUCUAUCUAGAAAGUAGUAGUAGGGUUGUCCCGCUACUCUUUCUAAGAUUUGGUCAAGAAGUGGUUUUAUUUUCCUUUAUAUAAUAUAUGCACAUGCGCCUAUUAGAUGUAAUUUAUGUUAGGGUUAACUCGCCUUUUUUUUUAAUAUUAAUGAUUCCAGAUUUUUUAGGCACUACUUGUCUAGGGUUUACCCACUUACUAUUAGAGAUAGGAUAGAUAAUUCCCACAUAAAGUAAUUUUAAGACUUCUGUUUUUACUACUUCUUUCAUGAGUGGGUUUAAUCUUCUUUGAGGUUGUUGACAUGCUUCAGUACUUUCUUUCAAAUUGAUUUUAUGUGUGCAAAUCAAAAGAAUUAAUGCCUUUAAUAUUAUUUAAAGUCCAUCCAAUUACAUUUUUAUGGUUUUCCUAUUAAUUUUGUUAUGAAUUAAAUACUUAAUGUGCCAAAAUUCAAUUUGUUUACAAUAAGGCAAAAUACUAUUUUACCAUAUUUUAUACUAACACAUUAAAAUUUAUUGUGCCAAACUUUCAUGUUUGUCUACAAUAAAUGUAAAUUUCAAAAUAUAUAAUAUGGAUAAAAUUAAAUAGAAAAUAAUUUAAUUAAUAUAAUUAAAAAUUAAAUUUAACUAAAUCAUAUUUUUCUACUAAAAGUUUCAUUUUACCAUAACUAUUAUUAUUCAGCUAAACAUAAUUGAAAUAAAAAUAAUUAUCAAAAUUAAAUUUUACAUCAUUAAAAGAAAUAAAAACAACUAAAAGUUAAAAAUAAAACUAGAUUUAUUUAUUGAAAAUAUAUUACAAAAUAUUAAAACAUAAUUAAGAUAGAGAAAUGAGGAGAAGAAUAUAGAGAGAGAAGUAAAGAAAGAUGUAGAGAGGCAUGCUCUACCCUCCAUUUAUACAAACUUAUGAUCAAUCCACACCACACAAAUACACAAAAUCAAUUAUAUCUUGGCCAUACAUUUGUUCCACUAUACAAAUAUAAACCUAAUUUAAUCCACUCAAGUACACUUAACUUAUUCCACUAACAAUUACCUCAUCUAAUAUGGUAAAAACUUAUAAUUUUAUAGCUACCACACUUAAUGUGGUAAAAACUUAUAAUUUCACAGUAAAAAUCGCAGAUUCUCAUCGACAAUGACCUAAUUCUUUGGACCUCUAAAAUCCAAAUUUGACAUUCUUUUAUCAGUUUAGACCUUGAAUUGCGUGAAAUUAUUAUUUUUUUUGUAACAAACACACAAAUACACAAAAUUAAAUAUUUAAAAACAUAAUUAGAAGUUCACAAUAUUUUACAUAAUUACAAAUAUAAAUCAUAAUAUGAGCACAAAAUAACAUUUUUACCCUUAGUAAACAUACAAUUUUUAACACUAAUCAUAGUGAUGUAGUCUUCCAUAUAAAUAACUCCCCUUGUUAAAUAUGUUCCCCCUCAAAAUGACACGGGUCUUCAAUAAUCAAUCCUAUUUUUUUGUAAUACUUUGGUGAAAUAAUCUAUAGGAUCAACCUCAUCCUUUGAAAGCCUACCAAAUUGAAGAUACCAUCAUCUUGAAUUGAAGAAUAUUGCCAUGCAUAUAUGUUCAUAAUUUUGUUGAUCUUCUUAAACAAAAUUAAGCUUUAACGUCCAUAUCAAGGAAAAAGUAUGAUAUACUUUUCACACUAUUUUGACAUUUUCAAGUUUAUACUAAAAGAUACUUUAAUUUUUAAUCAUACAAUUUUUCCAUUGCCUUUGUAUGCACAAGUUGGAAUAAAAUGUGGUACUUUAGGACCAAAACAUAUAUAUUAUAUUUUAAAAUAGAAACAAUUUUUAGUAUGAAAUGCUUCUUGUAUUUCUAUAAUACCAAUAUUUCAUUCGAUAAAUUUCAAUCUAUAAAUUAAAAGAAGUUAUUCAUUUCCAGAUCAAUCGUCUAGAAUUUUAUUUCUAAAAGAAAUAAAUUCAUAAGCUCUUCAGGAGUUUUUUCAUGAUGAACUUAUUAACACAUUUUGUUAAGAUUACAAAUUUAAUUUUUUAUUUUUAAUAAAAAUCACAUAGCAAAAUGAAUAAUGACAUAUCUCACUUCUGAUGAAAUUUCGCUCAAGUUAUUAUACUUUAUAAGUCUAUAUUGCUAUGUUAUAUACAAGAAUGAUUAUAGCUUUAUGAAGAAUAUAUAAGGUGCAAACUUUUUUAUUUAGUACUUUGAGUAUUUGUUUCAAGCAUUUUAUCCUUCAAGGAUAAGUAUAUAGAUUCAUCAAUUUAAUUUUGACAUGCAAUAGUUCAGAUUUACAUUUUAUUAAUAAAUUUUACGACUUCAAGUGUAUGAACUACAUUGUUAGCCUAAAGGGCUAUACAUAAUAUAAUUUUGAUGAUAACAAACAUAUGUAUUAAGUGAUUUAAUAGAUAUUGUAUUUCACAUUUUCACUAGUUUUUGAAGGGUAAUAUUUAUGCAAGUGAAUCAAGUGAAAUCAAGCUCAAGACACUCAACGGACAACGGCGAAAUCAAAAAUAAAGUUUAGAGCUCAACGGACAAAUUAGUGCAAUAAAUUCUUGUAAAGCCGGUAUGAUUUAAUUGAUGCAUGAUUUAGCAUUUGAGAAGCUCAAGAGAUUAAUUUAAUUAAUUACUUUUUAUAAACUAAAAGAUUUUAUUUUUAUAAGAUAAAGUACCUUGUGGUUUUGAGUAAUUUGGACUUAAAUGCUAAGUUUUGAAAUCUUUGAUUUUAAUAAGUAUUAUUAUUAAAUUUCGAAGUUGGACGUUUGUACAAACAUUUGAAAUGUUUUGGGCCAUACUAUAAUUUAUGAAUAUUUUGGACUAAAGUGAAAGGUUUUGAGAACUUUGAAAAAUAUGGAUAUUAUGUUGAAAAGGACCUUUUUGCAAAAUAAUAAUAUUUUUGGGGUCAUAUCAUAAUUUUAGAAAGUUUUGGAAAGACAAUUAUUUUUAAGAAAUUCUAAAAUUGGACCUAUUUACAAAGUUUUAUAACAUUUUGGGCCGUAAUAUAAUUAUAGAAAGUAUUGAGCCAAAAGUAUAAUUUUAGUGAACAGUGAUACUGUAAAAAAAUUAAAAAAUAACUGUAAUAUCACUGUUCAUGAGCGGUUAGCCGGAUAAAUCAAGCGGCUAACCGUUUGGGCGCGGGAAUUUACCUAUAAUGGCUAGUUUUCGGGCUUUAACUAUAAAAACUCUACUCCAACUUCAUUUUAAGAACUAAUGCAAGCAAAUAUAAGAUCAUAUAGCUUCCAAAAUGCAAAUCAUCAUUGAUUGAAUCAUUGUUGAGCUAUUAUUUGCAUAUCCACUCUUAAAAAGAGUUUUUGUUGUAAUUUUCAUUACUUAUCAAAUUGUGAGUGCAUAAGUGUGAUAAACACUUGGGGUAAAGAGAUUGAGGAGAUAAUCUCUUGAUUGUAAAGGUUCACUGACACCUUGGAAGUCAAUUGCAAGAACUUGAAGCCUUGGGAAGCUUGGAUAGUGAAAUCCUCGAGCUUGGUUGGCUUGGAGGCGUGGACGUAGGCGGGGAUUGCCGAACCACGUAAAAAUCCGUGUGUUUGUUUUUCUCUUCCCUUACUCUUUUAUUUUUAUGCUUGUUUGAAUUUAUUAUUUUCUAUUUCAUUAAGGCGUUAGAUUGAUUUGUUGUGCGAAUUGUAUCGUAUAAUUUUUAAAAACCCAAUUCACCCCCCCCUCUUGGGUUGCGUUACUUGCAUUUCAAAAUGUGAAUUGAGAGACUCAAGCGUUUCAUUUGCAUUGGUUUUAUCUUCAGUUCAUUCCCGUCAUUUUAUUUUAAAUCUUAAGAAAAAACAAUCACUUCCAACCAACUCACAUUUACACCUAGAAAAUUAACCCUAAGCAUAAUUAAAUCUACCUCCUCGUGGGAUCAACACUCGUCAUCACAAAAUCUAUUCUACAAUAAAUUCGUAUACUUGUGAGUACAAUAAAAUUUGCACAACAAGUUUUUGGCGUCAUUGCCGGAAAGGUAAGUUAUUUUAAUUUGUACAGUUAAUUUUCUUUAUAAAUAUUGUUUAAAUAAUUGUGUCUGCAGGUUUUAAGUGUGUUUUCAUAGUAAGUGUCUAGCAGCGUGAUAAGGUCAGUAUUGUAACUUCUCUCAUCUUUCUUUGUUUUCAUCUAUUUUGUUUUUAUUUUUUACGUGCUCUUUGCCUGCAUGCUCGAAGGUCACAGGCACCUAAUCUAGAACCUGUAAACGACUGGUGUGUACAAUCUUUAAUACUAUAAGUGUCAAUAUGCAAGUGUACACAACAAGUAAUAUACUGAUGAAUAUUCAUAUCAUCUCCACAGGGAUUGAUGUUAUCAAAUUUGCUACGGCAAUCUUCGAUAGUGCAAUUUUGUUUUAAUUGAAAAUAAAGCAACUAAUAAAACUAAUAAACAAAUUAAAAUAAAAAUGUAAUAAAUAAAAUUCUCACAUCAAACACAAGGAUAAAACUAAUGGGAAUUGAGUAGUUGAGUGAAUAAACUCAUUUAAUGGCUUUGACUAAUUUUCAAUUACAGUACCGUUGCUACAUCAUCUACUACAACACUGGGCAAAAUCUCUCAUACAUCCUCAGCUGUCACAUGUUGGAUAUUUUAUAUCUAAUGCAACCUAACAGUGACUAAUUGUUACACCAACAUUAAAUAUAGAAUUAAUCGAUCUAGCUUCUAUUUACCCUACAAGGUGAAUUCAUAUGUCUACUUCAUCACUAAUUUUAGAUCAAGCAUGACCCUAUUCAAAUUGAGAUUCCCUGAACUUGGGAAACCUAAUUUAAAAGCACGUAUUGUCUUAAUGAGAUCAACUAAAUCAGACAUUUUUUAGACACUUUUUUAGCUAGUAUCCCUAAAUGAGUAGUCAGCCAAAAUAGAGAAUUAAAAGAAAUUUAAGUAAGAGAAAAUACUAUAGCAAACACAGAGCAACGUGCAUAUAUCAGUCAAUCAUCCAUUAAGAUCGUUUAUCACUCAACUAUAAUAAAAUUAGUUCAUGAUUUGUGAUAGAAAAAAAAAGGGUUUCAGCCAUCAUAUUCAUCCCCAUAAUAAAAUAGAAAACAAGAAAAUAAGAAGAAUAACUGAUUUCUAUUUUACUUUUCAAUUUCUCCUCUGUCCGCCUUUAAUCUCUCUCUUGAAUUUUGUUUUCUUGUUGUUUCUUUAUGGUUAUUCCUUUGGUUGACGGCUCUCCCUUUCUUCUUUGCGUGUGUACUCUUUUUAUAGAUUAAAAUUAGGGAAAUUAUCAUUCAUAUACCCUAUAUUUGCUCUGUUAUAAAAAAUACUACAACACUUUGAGGGUGUAUCAAUCGUCCACCCUAGUUGACAAAAUGUAUCAGCCGACCACCAAAUAGUUAGUUGUCGUUUGAAAGUUAACGGAGUUACAGUGAAUUGACGAUUUUACCCUUGAAAAUUAUCACUUGUAUAGCCUUAAUUCUCAGAUUUUUCAUGUGUAUACACGUACGUGGAACUUGUAUGAUAGGANNNNNNNNNNNNNNNNNNNNNNNNNNNNNNNNNNNNNNNNNNNNNNNNNNNNNNNNNNNNNNNNNNNNNNNNNNNNNNNNNNNNNNNNNNNNNNNNNNNNNNNNNNNNNNNNNNNNNNNNNNNNNNNNNNNNNNNNNNNNNNNNNNNNNNNNNNNNNNNNNNNNNNNNNNNNNNNNNNNNNNNNNNNNNNNNNNNNNNNNNNNNNNNNNNNNNNNNNNNNNNNNNNNNNNNNNNNNNNNNNNNNNNNNNNNNNNNNNNNNNNNNNNNNNNNNNNNNNNNNNNNNNNNNNNNNNNNNNNNNNNNNNNNNNNNNNNNNNNNNNNNNNNNNNNNNNNNNNNNNNNNNNNNNNNNNNNNNNNNNNNNNNNNNNNNNNNNNNNNNNNNNNNNNNNNNNNNNNNNNNNNNNNNNNNNNNNNNNNNNNNNNNNNNNNNNNNNNNNNNNNNNNNNNNNNNNNNNNNNNNNNNNNNNNNNNNNNNCACCCUGGAGAUGGUUGUUGGGAUAGAAGGGCUGAUCUCAAAAAAAAGGUACAUCACAUGAGUCAAAAAAUCUUUGAGACCAAGGAGAAUAACAAUUUACCUUUUGGGAGGGAGAAUAUCCGAAAAAUACACAUUAGAGAGCCCUGGGAUCAAGUGUACUUUGGUUGCGGUUGUUUAUUAUGGACUAAUCAUUGUGCAACAGAAUAUGGUAAGGGACAUAUGAAUGAUAAUUUCCCUAAUUUUAAUCUAUAAAAAGAGUACACACGCAAAGAAGAAAGGGAGAGCCGUCAACCAAAGGAAUAACCAUAAAGAAACAACAAGAAAACAAAAUUCAAGAGAGAGAUUAAAGGCGGACAGUGAAUUGACGAUUUUACCCUUGAAAAUUAUCACUUGUAUACCCUUAAAUUCUCCUUUUAUCACUUGUAUACCCUUAAAUUAUCACUUGUAUCAUAUGAAAAGACCAAAUUACCCUUUUGACGUCAUCAUACUUAAACGGCAACUAACGGUUUGGUGGUCAACUGAUACAUUUUGUCAACUUAGGGUGGACGAUUGAUACACCCUCAAAGUGUUGUAGUAUUUUUGAUAAUGGAGUAAACUAAUGGUAUAGAAAUGAUAAUUUCCCUUAAAAUUAAGGCAAUCGGAAGUCUAGGGCGCGCAUCUUUUAGUUUUGGAACCUCCAGAUUGCAAUCUUCUAACUAUCUCAUGUGAAAUCUUCUCUAUCAUGCUAUAAGAUUGCCACAGCAAUAGUGCUACAGCAAUGGCUACUUCAUCUUACUUGUUUCAAUUCUUCUGUAGCCAAGUUCUUUCCUUAUCUUUGCAAGUCUUUGAUAGUAAAAUGCACUUUUUGGCAAACCUUGGUACUGACAUGAUAUGUUAGUAAAAUUUUGGUAGUAAAAUGAUAAUAUCCCUUAAAUAAUCAAUUCAAAAUGUCAAAAACCAUAAAGAAAAUCAUGAAAAAUUAGACUUAAUGAAAAACUGAAAUAACUCCUUAAUCAUUGGGUUGCCUCCCAAUUAGUGCUUGAUUUUAGGUCUUUUAGUUUGACCAUCUUUAAUUGCUCAUGAUAUUGGAUCCCUCAGGAUCAAGUCCUCCUUUGGGUGAGUCACAACAACUCCCAUGUAAUGUUUUACUUUGUGCCCAUUAACUUUAAAUUCUUGACCCGUUCUUUCAUCUAAGAGGUCAACGGCCCCAUGAUGAUAUACUUUAAGAAGCUUGAAAGGUCCUGACCAUCUAGAUUUCAAUUUUCCAAGAAAGAGCCUUAAUCUAAAGUUGUGAAGCAGAACUUGAUUUCCUGGGAUGAGAUCCCUUUGCUGAAUUCUUUAGUCAUGCCAUUGUUUAGUCUUCUCCUUAUAAAUUAUUGUAUUUUCGUAGGAAAAUAACCUGAACUCCUCUAACUCAUAAAGUUGUAAUUUUCAUUGCUUUGCUGCAGCAGUCAUGUCCAUAUUCAAUUACUUGACUACCCAAUAUGCUUUAUGCUCUAGCUUCAAUGGCAAGUGACAUGCUUUUCCAUAAUUAUAAGCCCAUAUGCAGUCAUUUAAUCUAAGUGACUAAUCCUUUCUGUUGGGACUUACAACUUUCUCUAAAAUCUUCUUUAUCUCCCUAUUGGAUACCUCCGCCUGUCCACUUGUUUGCCGAUAAGAUGCUGUAGCAACCUUAUGCUUGAUUUUAUAUUUGGCCAAUACUGCAACAAAUGUUCGAUUGCAAGAGUGUGUUCCUUCAUCACUAAUUAUAGCUCUUGGAGUGCCGAAUCUAAAGACGAUGUUCUUUUGAAGGAACUUCACCACUGCCUUGGCAUCAUUAGUUGGUAAUGCUACAACUUCCACCCAUUUGGAGACAUAGACUACAACCACUAGGAUGUAUAGGUUGCCGAAAGAGGGUGGGAUAGUCCCAUAAUAUCUAUCCCUAAUACAUCAAAAAUCUCUACUUCCAAAAUGUUAGUGAGUGGCAUCUCAUGUUUUUUAGAGAUGUUUCCUGCCAUUUGACACCUAUCACAACAUUUAACAAACUCAUAAGUAUAUUUAAAAAUAUAGGGCCAGUAAUAACCUGAUUGUAGGACUUUUGCUGCUGUCUUAUGCCCUCUAAAGUGUCUUCCAUAUGCUGCAGCAUGACAUAAUUGCAGGAUGUCUGAAAUAUUUUCAUCUAGUACAUUGAUCACAUGGUCUGAACACAUAUUGUAUAAAUAAGAUCCAUUGGUAACUUUUUACAUCAUGAAGAAACCUCUUUUUCUGUUGGUAACUCAAAUCUAGCGGUAAUAGUCUACUCACCAAAUUAUUAGCAAAGUCUGCAUACCAUGGGAAUCUCGACUGUUGUAGCAUCUGAGAGUGCUGUAACAUCACCAAUUGCUCAUCCGAAAAUGUUUCUGUGAUAUCUUUCUUUGUCAGAGUGCUUUCAUUUGCUUCCAGCCUUGAAAGGUGAUAUGCUACUUGAUUCUCAGUGCAUUUUCUGUCUUUAAUCUCCAAGUCAAACUCUUAUAGCAAUAGGAUCCACCUAAUCAACCUUGGUUUGGCAUCCUUCUUCGAAAUCAAAUACUUUAUAGUCAAGUGAUCUGUGUAAAUAGUCACUUUGGUGCCAAUCAAAUAAGCUCUAAAUUUGUCAAAAGCAAAAACAACCACCAACAAUUCUUUUUUAGUAGUAGUAUAGUUGAGUUGUACAUUAGCUAAGGUCUUGCUGACAUAAUAAAUGAAGUGAAACAUCUUGUCUUUCCUUUGCCCUAGCACUGCUCCAACAGAAUGGUCGUUGACAUCACACAUCAACUCAAAAGGCAUACUCCAAUUUGGUGCUAUAACCAUUUGUGCUGUUACAAGAGCUUUCUUCAAUACAACAAAAGCCUUUUAAUAAUCUUCAUCAAAAUUGAAAGGCCUGUCAUGUUCCAGCAACAUGCAUAAAGGUUUAGUUAUUUUGGAAAAGUCUUUUAUGAACCUUCGAUCGAACCCAGCAUGUCCUAGGAAACUCCUAAUACCUUUUACUGAAAUAGGUGGCGGAAGUUUAUCAAUCACUUCUAUUUUUGCCUUGUCCACCUCUAUUCCCUUUCUAGAAACUUUAUGGCUUAUGACUAUCCCUUCUUGUACCAUAAAAUAGUACUUUUCCUAAUUUAGCACCAAAUUAGUCUUCUCACAUCUCUUAAGCACAUUUUCUAGGUUAUGCAAACAAUCAUCAUAUGAUUCCCUAAAAAUCGAGAAGUCACCCAUGAAUACCUCAAGUGUUUGCUCAACCAUAUAUGAAAAAAUAGACAUCAUGGACCUUUGGAAAGUUGUGGAGCAUUGCAUAGCCCAAAAGGCAUCCUUCUAAAGGGAAAGGUGCCAUAAAGACAAGUGAAUGUUGUCUUCUCUUGAUCCUUCGGUGCUUAGCAAUCUGGUUGAAGCCCGAGUAUCCAUAUAAGAAACAAUAGUUUUCUUUUCCAGCAAGUCUGUCCAGCACCUGAUCUAGUAAACGCAAUGGGAAGUGAUCAUUUCUCGUGGCCUUGUUUAGCUUCCUAUAAUUCAUGCAAAUUCUCUAUCCGAUCAUUGUUCUUUUAGGAGUAAGUUCAUUCUUCUCAUUUGCUACAAUAGUCACUCCACAUUUCUUUAGAACACAUUAUACUGGACUUACCCAUAAACUAUCUGCUAUUGAGUAAAUAAUUCCAGCAUCAAUCCACUUAAUGAUCUCCUUUUCCAAACUUCUUUUAUAAUGGGAUUCAAUCGUCUCUGUUGCUCCCUAGAAUUAUUAUAGCAUUCUUCUAGCAGAAUCUUGUGCAUGCAUAUGGAUGGGUUGAUUCCUUUAAUAUCUACCAUGGUCCAUCCAAUAGCCUUCUUAUAUCUCCUCAAUUGAUCUUCUAUUGAUCUACAUUCAAAGAAGAUGAAAUAAUUACCCGGAGUGUAUUAUUGUCACCAAGAUAAACAUAUUUUAAAUGUGAAGGUAAAAGCUUUAAUUCUAAAGUAAGAGGUGACAUAAUAGACAGAAUAAAUGGUUUUACUUCCCUGUUUGAGAGGUCUAAAGAUUCAAAAUGUUUGUCAGCCUUCACGAGUUGCUUCUCUCCUAACCAUGCUAUGUUAACUACUUGAGGAUCUUCAUCUUUAAGUUCUUCAAAUGUUACAACAUUGAUUUCCUCCUUACUACAGCAACUGUUUAACCUUUCUGUUAUAACAAAGUUCACAACACUGAUAAAAUUACAGUCUUCAACCUCAUCGGGAUUCUUCAUAGCAUCCAGCACAUUGAAUGUAACUUGCUGAUCAUUCACCCGCAUAAUGAACUCUCCUUUUUGCACAUCAAUUAGAGUAUUUCCCGUAGCUAAGAAAAGUCUUCCUAGAAUGAUUGGUACUUCUUUGUCUGCUUCAAAGUUUAGCACUAUGAAAUCCAUUGGAAAAAUAAAUUUAUCCACAUUCACCAACACAUCUUCAAUCUUCCCUUCUUGAUAAGAAUGAGAUCUGUUUACAAGGUCACUAUCGUUGGCCUAACCUCCCCAACUCUCAAUUGCUUGAACAUUGAUAAUGCCAUAAGAUUGAUGCUAGCCCCUGUUGUGCAAAUUUUAUUGAACUCACAAGUGCACGAAUCUAUUGUAGAAUAUAUCAAUGGUGACGAGUUUCGAUCCCACGAGAAGGUAGAUUUUAAUUGUGCGUAGAGUUAAUUUUCUAAGUGGGUGGUUGGAUUUAUGGUGAAAGUGAUUUAGACUAUCCUAAAAUUUAAAUUAAAAUGGCGGGAAUAAAUUAAAGUUAAAACUAUUGAAAUGAAGCGCUUAGGUCUCUGGAGCUCCACUCAACAUGCACCAUGGGCUUACUAUUCCUUAUUAGUGUCAAUUAAAUUAUGAACCUUACUUCAAUAAAUGUGGUGCUAAGUUCUUAUCUUGCCAAAUAGUAAUAACCUUGCACUAAGGAGACAAUUAUACCAGUGUAAUAUCUAGAUAAGAUUAUUGCUAUCUGUCGACGAAAGGUCAAAACAUCCACAAAUAUUAGAGGGAAUAGAAAGUAAAUUUACCAAAUUAAGCCCAUGGAACAUGUUCAGACUUUACCUUUAACUCAAACUUCAAAGAAAAUUAACUACUCAUAAUUGAAAUAAGGGUAAAAUAGAAAUUUAUUAAAAUAUAUAGAAAAUAUAAGAUAGAGAAGGAAUUACAGAAAAUAGAACUCAAAAAUAGAUUCAGGGGUGUCAAAUUAGGUGGGGGAGCCCCUUAUUUAUAGAUACAAUGAGUAAAUCAUGGCAAUCAGAUUAAAACAAUUUCGACACUCAAGAUUGCGACACGUGGCAAGUUCUAAUUGGAUAGAACACAUCAUCAGGGCUGUCAUUCCGUGCAUAUGCAUGUAUCACACGCAUGUUUUUUCAGUCCACUAACAUACUGUCACAUCACCAGUCAACGCCACAUCAUCAUUUUAGUCCAAUAGAAUCGUGACACAUCAUUGGUCAAGCCAUGUCAUCAGUCAAUGCCACAUCAUUUGUCCAAUCGAAUGCUGCCACAUCAUCGGUCAGUGCCACAUCAGCGGUUAAUGCCAUGUUAUCGUAUCAUAUAUGUGAACAGCAUCGUGAACAUUAUCAUGCACAGUACCGUAUAUGUGAAUAAUGUCGUUUAUCCUUUUAUACUCCUCGUAAGGUUUUUUACUGUGCGGAGUUUAAAAUUGUUGUCCGUUUUGCUAUCUGAUCUCUUAUUCAUUGUGAAAUGACCAUGUGGCUCCUAAAAUACAUAAAAUACUUAAUUAUAAUAAAACACAUAAUUAAAUCACAAAAGACUUAAAUACACAAAAGUAGGGAUGUUAGUGAGACUUGGAGUGUAAAAUAACGAUUUUCUCUUUUAUAAAAAUACAUUUUCUAGCACUCAACACACCCCCUAACCAGCUUGUUGUUAGUCCCUAGCAAAUUAAGCGAUAACACAAUUCAAACCCAAAAUGAUUUUUUUUAAUGGGAAAUUAUCUACCGUCCACCCGUUUUUUCGAACUUUUUCAAAAAUACACAAUUCUUUUUUUUUUAGCUGGAAUCCAUUUGAAGUUACAUUUCUUUUCACUUUUCCACUUCCGUUUGGAGACAGUUAAGAAAACUAAUAGAAUAUUGUUUAAAUGACUUUUUUUACCCUUAAAUGUAAAAGAAAAUUUAUCCACGGACCACCUGUUGUUUUCUUAUUUUUUCAGAAAUACAUAAUUCUUAAUUUUUUUUGUUGAACUCCACUUGAAGUUAUAUUGUUUUGCACCUAUCCACCACUCAGUCGUUGUGAAAUGAUGAUUUUACCCUUAUGAUGUUAGAAAAGUUAUAACGGUCUCCAAACGGAAGUGGAAAAGUGAAAAGAAAUGUAACUUCAAGUGGAUUCCAGCAAAAAAAAAAAGAUUUGUGUAUUUUUGAAAAACAGUGAAAAAACGGGUGGACGGUGGAUAAUUUCUCUUUUUUAAUUAAACAGUCAUGUUUAUUCAAUCAGACUAAUGAUAGCAAUCAAAUAAAAGUAUAAGCAUUAUCUCUAGCCUAAGGAAAUAUUACCCCGACAUCAACCAUCCACAUGAAUGAGUCCAAUAGACUUUGUCAUAGCUACAGUAAUCAAGUCACUUUCAAGAAUGACAUGCCAAACCCCAAAAUCUUACCGAUAGUAGUGACACUCUCACAAGAAAAUUGAACCCAAUAAAAUAGUCACUCCAAUGAAUGGUAAAUUGAGAGAAAAUAAUAAAGAAGUAAUAUCACACACUCUCACCAAGAUGAAAGAAAUAUGCCCACAGCUUAGAAAUAAUACAAUCUUAAGUCAAACAAAAUGCUAGUCAAACUAAUUUUUUUUUUGUACCACUACAUCUUUUUAGCCUAUAUAACUAGCUUCUACUUCAGACCAUAGUUUCCUAAAAUCAAGGACUUUUAUUAGGACGUAAUGUAGGCUAGGGACAUGGCUAACAAAAGAGGGGAAAUAGGAAAAAAAACAAAAUAUAUGUUCAAGAAAAAGUAGAGAUCUUUAGAAAUUACAAGGUACAUUUCGCUUAUUUAUUAUUAUUAUUAUUUUUCUUUCUUUUUCAUUUUUUUCUUUACUUUUUUUUCUUUUUUUUUAGUAUGGCACAACUUUACUGAACAAAAUAAUUAUUUACAUUUUUCUCAAACAUGAAUAGGUGAGGAACUUGUAAGAUAUAGGGUAAUAUUCCUAAUCGGAGUGGGUCAAGAUGAUAAGUUGACAAAGAAAAGUAUAUUUAUUUAUUUAUUAUUAUUUUAUAUAAAAUGAUAAAAAUGGUUAACUAUGGAUAUUUCACAAAAGGGAUGGCUAGAAAAGCUUAAACUUAAGAAAGAGUUUCAUAGAGUGUCUAGUUGCGAAAGUGCUAAUGAGAUUUGGCACAAACUUGAAGUUGUCUAUGAAGGCACGAACCAAGUGAAAGAAUCUAAAAUAAGUAGGUACACUUGACAAUAUGAAUUGUUCCAAAUGGAACAAAAUGAGAAUGUGUACUCUAUGUAUACUAGAUUUACGGACAUAGUGAACACUUUAGGAGCCCUAGGAAAGACUUUUUCAAAAUGAGAAAGUUAAGAAAAUCAUUAGGUCGCUACCUAAGGAAUGGAGACCAAAAAGGACUGCCAUUGAGGAAGCCAAAGAUUUAAAUGUUUUACCUAUUGAUGAUUUAAUUGGUUCUCUCAUUUCAUAUGAAGAAGAUUUGGCAGCUGAAAAAGGGCAUGAGGAAAAGAACAAAAAUAUUGCUCUCAAGGCUUCAAAACAUGAGAGUGAUGAUGAAAGCGAAAUGGAUGAUGAAGAGUUGGCAAUGUUGGCUAGAAGAUUCAGAAAAUUCUACAAAAAGAAUAAUGAGCAGAAAAAGUUCAGAGGCUACAAGAAUAAGAAGGAGAAGAAGGGGCCAAUCACUUGUUAUGAAUGCAAAAAGCCCGGACACAUACGACCGGAAUGUCCUCUUCUCAACAAACUCAAGAAGACAACUAUGGUGGCCACAUGGGAUGAUAGCGAUGAGGAAACAAGUGAUGAUGAUGAGCAACAAGAAAUGACAAAUUUAGCUCUCAUGGCCGUUGGGGAAGAAUCAUGUGAUGAACGUGAUAAGGUAAAUGUUCUUCCUACAUAUGAUGAAUUACAUGAUGCCUUUAAGGAUUUGCAUGAUGAGUUGAUGAAGAUUGGUAAAAAGAAUAUAUGUCUUAAAAAGAAGAUGAUAGAGCUUAAAAAUGAAAAUGAAUCAUUUAGUGCAAAGAUUACAUGCCUAAAAUUAGAAAAUAAAACAUUGCAUGAUAGCAUUGCAUUAUUUGAGAAUUCCAGCACUCCACAUGAGCACUUAGAGUCACACAUGAAUGACUUGAAAAGUGAAAAUGAAAUACUCAGAAAGAAGAGCAAUGAACUAAAUGAAAUUGUGCUAAAAUUCACAAAUGGGCAAAAGAUGUUGGACAAUUUGCUAAACUCACAAAAAUGUGUAUUUGACAAAAGUGGCAUUGGUUAUAAACCAAAUUUGAAACAAAAAAUUUUACACAAGUUAUAUUGUGAAGAAUACAUCUAUUAACAAUCAAAUUGUAUGUCAUUAUUGUAAUCAAGAUGGUCAUAUAAAAAAUAGAUGUGCAGUGAAGAGAAAUGCAUAUUAUGGUGUGAAAUGUGUUUGGGUUCCGAAAGGAACCAUUGCUAACUCUCAAGGACCCAAAAAGGUUUGGGUACCUAAAACUUUAGAUUUUCUCUAUAGGGCUUGAAGAAGAAGAAGAAUAAGUGGUACUUGGACAACGGUUGUUCAAGACACAUGACAAGGAAUUAUUCUUGGUUUUCAAGUUUUACUAAGAUCGAAAAUGGUGGAGAUGUAUCGUUUGGAGAUAAUUCAAAAGGAAAAAUCAUUGGGAUUGGAAAUGUCGGUAAUGUAUUCUCUACUCUCAUUGAAAAUGUGUGUUUGGUUGAAAACUUGAAACACAACUUGCUUAGUAUUAGUCAAUUAUGUGAUAAAGGAUAUAGAGUUAUCUUUGAUGAAUUAAAAUGUGUUAUUGAGAAUGCAUGUGAUGGCAAAGUCUUGUUUGUAGGAAAUAGAUGUGUUAAUGUCUAUACCAUUAAUAUAGAUUGUGCAUCAAUACAUGAAAAAUGUCUCUCCGCAUUGCAUAAUGAUGGUUGGUUAUGGCAUAGAAGAUUAAGUCAUGCAAGCAUGGAUUUGAUUUCAAAAAUCGGGAAAAAUGAUUUAGUUAAAGGUCUUCCAAAAAUCAGUUUUCAAAAAGAUAGAAUUUGUGAAGCAUGCCAAUUUGGAAAACAAAUCAAAACUUCCUUCAAAAGCAAGAAUCAUAUCUCUACUUCAAAAUCACUUCAAUUACUUCACAUAGAUUUGUUUGGUCCUUCUAGAUAUGCUAGCUUAAGUGGCAAAUUUUAUGCAUUUGUAAUUGUGGAUGAUUAUUCUAGGUACACAUGGGUAUUGUUCUUAGUUAAUAAGGAUGAUGUCAUUGAUGCAUUUUGAAUUUUCUAUAAAAAGGUUCAAAAUGAAAAAGGCUAUUCUAUUUCUUGUAUUAGAAGUGAUCAUGGUGGAGAAUUUGAAAAUCAUGCAUUUGAAAAUUUUUGUAAUGACUUUGGCAUUGAACAUCAAUUUUCAUCACUUAGGACUCCACAACAAAAUGGAGUAGUAGAGAGAAAGAAUAGGUCUAUUCAAGAAAUGGCUAGAACCAUGUUGAAUGAAAACUCUUUGCCUAAGUAUUUUUGGGCUGAAGCUGUCAACACCACUUGUUAUGUUUUAAAUCGUGCGUUGAUUAGACCUAAUCUUAAUAAAACUGCAUAUGAGCUUUGGAAAGAUAGAAAACCCAACAUUGACUAUUUUAAAGUUUUUUGAUGCAAAUGUUUUGUUUUGAACACAAAAGAUAAUCUUGGUAAAUUUGAUCCAAAAUCUGAUGUUGGUAUUUUUCUUGGUUAUUCAAAUUCAAGCAAAGCUUAUAGAGUUUAUAACAAAAGAACUUUAGUUGUCGAAGAAUCUAUGCAUGUUACAUUUGAUGAGUCUAACCCCUCCUCUACGGAGAAAGUCGUUGUUGAUGAUAAUGCAGAAGAAGAACAACAAGAAGAAGCAUCAAAUGACAACCAAAAAGACGCACUACAUGGAAUUCAAGAGGAACAUAAUGAAGAAAUAAAUGUAGAGCAAAAUGAAGGUACUUCUCAAACACUCCCCAAGGAGUGGAGAUAUGUUUCCUCUCACCCUAAAGAUGUAAUUUUAGGAGAUCCCUCAUGAGGUAUUACCACUAGAUCAUCUCUUAGGAACACAUGUGAGCAUGCUGCAUUUAUUUCUCAAAUUGAACCAAAAUCCUUUGCGGAUGUGGAAAAUGAUGAAUUUUGGAUUAUGGCAAUGCAAGAGGAGUUGAAUCAAUUUGAGAGAAACAAUGUGUGGAAGUUAGUUCCUAAUGCAGAACAUCAAUCCAUUAUAGGCACUAAAUAGGUAUUUAGAAACAAAAUGGAUGAAUCCGGUGUGAUUGUAAGAAAUAAAGCUAGAUUAGUGGCUCAAGGUUACAACCAAAAAGAAGGAAUUGAUUUUGAUGAAACUUUUGCACCUGUAGCAAGGUUAGAAUCCAUUAGGAUGUUGUUAGCAUAUGCAUGUCAUAAGGAUUUUAUUUUAUAUCAAAUGGAUGUCAAAAGUGCUUUCUUAAAUGGAUAUAUUAUGGAGGAAGUUUAUGUGAAACAACCUCUUUAUUUUGAAAAUGAAAAAUUUCUAGAUCAUGUGUAUAAGUUAUCUAAGGCUUUGUAUGGUUUAAAACAAGCACCUAGAGCUUGGUAUGAUAGGCUUAAAAACUUCUUGUUGGGUAACGAUUUUUCGAUGGGAAAAGCAGACACAACUCUUUUUGUUAAGCAUAAGAACCAAGACAUACUUAUUGUUCAAAUUUAUGUUGAUGAUAUUAUUUUUUGUUCUAUUAAUGAGUUGUUGUGUAAAGAUUUUUCAUCAUGUAUGAGCCAAGAAUUCAAGAGGAACAUAAUGAAGAAAUAAAUGUAGAGCAAAAUGAAGGUACUUCUCAAACACUCCCCAAGGAGUGGAGAUAUGUUUCCUCUCACCCUAAAGAUGUAAUUUUAGGAGAUCCCUCACGAGGUAUUACCACUAGAUCAUCUCUUAGGAACACAUGUGAGCAUGUUGCAUUUAUUUCUCAAAUUGAACCAAAAUCCUUUGCGGAUGUGGAAAAUGAUGAAUCUUGGAUUAUGGCAAUGCAAGAGGAGUUGAAUCAAUUUGAGAGAAACAAUGUGUGGAAGUUAGUUCCUAAUCCAGAACAUCAAUCCAUUAUAGACACUAAAUAGGUAUUUAGAAACAAAAUGGAUGAAUCCGGUGUGAUUGUAAGAAAUAAAGCUAGAUUAGUGGCUCAAGGUUACAACCAAGAAGAAGGAAUUGAUUUUGAUGAAACUUUUGCACCUGUAGCAAGGUUAGAAUCCAUUAGGAUGUUGUUAGCAUAUGCAUGUCAUAAGGAUUUUAUUUUAUAUCAAAUGGAUGUCAAAAGUGCUUUCUUAAAUGGAUAUAUUAUGGAGGAAGUUUAUGUGAAACAACCUCUUGAUUUUGAAAAUGAAAAAUUUCUAGAUCAUGUGUAUAAGUUAUCUAAGGCUUUGUAUGGUUUAAACCAAGCACCUAGAGCUUGGUAUGAUAGGCUUAAAAACUUCUUGUUGGGUAACGAUUUUUCGAUGGGAAAAGCGGACACAACUCUUUUUGUUAAGCAUAAGAACCAAGACAUACUUAUUGUUCAAAUUUAUGUUGAUGAUAUUAUUUUUUGUUCUAUUAAUGAGUUGUUGUGUAAAGAUUUUUCAUCAUGUAUGAGCCAAGAAUUUGAGAUGAGUAUGAUGGGAGAGUUGAAGUACUUCCUUGGACUUCAAAUCAAACAAAACGAGGAAGGAAUUUUCAUAAACCAAGCCAAAUACAUGAAAGAUCUACUCAAAAGAUUUGGCUAUGAUAAUGGAACCGCAAAAAGCACUCCUAUGAGUACUACCAUCUAGCUGGACAAAGAUGAGAAAGGUAAGGAAGUUGAUAUCAAGACAUAUCGAGGUAUGAUCGGAUCUUUACUCUACUUGACUGCUAAUAGGCCUGAUAUUAUGUUUAGUGUAUGCUUGUGUGCUAGAUUUCAAUCUUGUCCUAAAGAGUCUCACAUGCUUGUUGUCAAACACAUUUUUCGAUAUUUAAUUGGCACUAUUAAUCUUGGCCUUUGGUAUCCUAGAGGAACUCAUAUUUAUUUAACUUGUUAUUCAGAUGCCGAUUUUGCUGGAUAUAAGGUUGAUAGAAAAAGUACUAGUGGAACAUGUCACUUCCUAGACCAUUCUCUUGUCUCUUGGUUUAGUAAGAAACAAAACUCGGUUGCACUUUCAACCACUGAGGCAGAAUAUAUUGCCACAGGUAGUUGUUGUGCACAAAUUCUUUGGAUAAAACAAACCCUUAGAGACUAUGGUAUUAAACUUGAUCAAAUACCUAUCUUAUGUGACAAUAUUAGUGCUAUAAAUCUUUCCAAGAAUCCCAUUCAACAUUUUAGGACCAAGCACAUAGAAAUUAGACAUCAUUUCCUUAGAGAUCAUGUUCAAAAAGGAGAUGUUGUAAUUAAAUUUGUUUCCACUAAAAAUUAACUUGCGGAUAUCUUUACAAAACCUCUUAGCAAAGAGCACUUUAUAAAGAUAAGACAUGAGCUUGGAAUGAUGAUUGUUGAAUCCUAAUUUAUGUUUUACUACAUGGCUUGAUAUGUUUGUUAUCAUAUGGAUUUAUGCUUCAUGAAUUAGAUAGCUUGAUAUGCUUGUAAUUUUAUGAUUUUAUGUUUCAUGCAUUAAAUGGCUUAUUGAAAAGUUUUAAAUCUCAAACUGAUUUAAAAUUAAUCAAUUUUUAAAGCCAAAAAUAAAAUGGUGUGUGUAGUACAAGUAUAAGAGCUAGCCAAUAUUCAAUUAGAGCCAAAUAGAUUUCCAAGUCCAAACCGGUAAGCUGAAUCAUCUUUUGUUUCUCUAGGGUGAUCAUUCGGAUAACCGGUUUCUCAAUCCGAAAAACCGGAUUUGCUAAGCCUCAUCUUUGCCUCAUAACCGGUCUACCGGUUCUUCAAAUCCGGCAAAUCAAAUUUGGAAGGCAACUCACUGCCUCACAACCGGUCUACCGGUUAGUAAAACCGGAAAGCCGGAUUCGCGUGAAAACUUGCUGGAACAUAACCAGAUUACCAAUUCAAGACAAUUCGGAAAGUCGAAUUUAUGGAGUCACAAAUCUGUCUCGAAACCGGCUAGCCGGUUAUGCAAACCGGCAAGCCGAAUUCGCGCUUUUCACUCUCUGGACGAUAUCCGGGGGACCGGAUCACAAAUCCGGCAAUCGAUUUUCGGCUUUCACCUUUCUGCCCACUAACUGGCUAGCCGGUUAGUGAAAUCUGGCAAGCCAGAUUCGGGGGUUUCUUAACACUAUUCAUCUUUCUUCCUCAUUUGGUCUUCCGGUUCUCUUUCUCUCACUAAAAACUGAUUGUUCCUCACUUGAUUUCACUCCAAAAUUCAUCUUUUUCUUCCGUUUUCGCAUCAAUUUGAGUCUCAAAAAUCAUUUCCCAUCACUUUAUUUACUCAAAAUCAUCCUUAAACUCUAUUUUCAACAUCCAAAUAUCUAGAUCCCAAAUUUAACCUAAGUUUCAGGCUGAUUUUCCUCUCUCUAGAUUUCUCCCUCCUUAGCCGUUUUUUAUCCAAUUUGUUUCUCAAACUAUCUUUCAAUCUUCAUCAUCUACGUUCCUUUUGCUCUCUUUAACUUCAAAUCAAUCCAAAUCACAAUGUCAAGCUCUCGGCCAGUUCGAAGAAAAGGUAAAGAACCGGUUCAACCAACCAACCGGUCACGGCAAGCAGGGGGCACCUCCGAUCAAUCCAAUUUCGAGUCCACACACUUUCAGAACAAGAAACAUCUAGCCAAACGUUUUCACCAACAGUUCAUGACUCGUGAGGUACUCCAAACCUUUUUUGUUUUACCAGAUUAGUUAAAUCAUCUUAGUAUUAGCAAUAGAACUUUAUUGCAAUUGUUGGAAGAUGUUGGUUGGCUUAAUGCACUUGUUGUUGAGGAAAAUGUAUAUCCUGACUUGGUGAAAGUAUUUUACUCGAAUAUGGAUUGUUCCACGGAGAAAGAAAAUCGAGUAAUCACCACAGUUAGAGGAGUUUUGAUUGAAUUUGAUGAUUCGGAGUUGAACUCCAUCCUAGGAUCUUCCGAUGAUGGCCUAGACAUUUUUUCUCCUAAGAAACCUCUUGACAUUGAUGACUAUGUUUAUAUUGAUGCUGUUAAGAAUAUAUGUCGUCGUGUCGACCUUUUCGAUGAAGAUUGUACUGUCCAUUUUCGAACCCAAUGUCUUUGUUGUCAAACCCGGAUAUUACUUCGUUUUAUUCAGAGUAUUGUCCUUCCUAGAUCCGGCCAUUUGGAUGAGGUCUCUCAUAUGGAUGUCGCCUUGCUUGAUUGUAUUCUUAGACAUCAUCCAGUCGACUUAGGAUAUACCAUUGUCCGAAACAUGCUCAGUAUACCUAAGUUGAUUACCCGCUCUCUUCCAUAUGGUCAUUUCAUUACCCGAAUCUUGAAAUUUUUUGAUGUACCGAUUAAAGAACCGUCGUGUAGACCAUCUAAGGGUAUUGGGGAUGAUGUUAUUUUCAGCUUAGGCUUUGAGUGGAAAAAUGGCACUUGGGUCAAAUACAGUGAGAACAAGUUUACCUUUCUUGCUCUAAGUGAUGAUCGGCCACUUAAUGCUGUGGUUCCAGCCAAUCAGCUACCCAUUUCUCACUCUCAUUUCGAGGGCAGCGUAGACGCCGAGAUCCUCCUGUGAUUGCUUCAGCUCCUGGUAUCUCUGCAUCCACUUCAUCACCUCCACAGCCUCCUCCUGUUGAGUGUUAGAAAAUGCAUAUUUAUAAAGGAGAAAACCGUCAUUUUAUAUUUCAAGUCUUACUAACAACCCUUACUUUUAUGUAUUUAACCUUCUUGUGAUUUAAUUACGUGUGUGUUAUAUACCAAAUCAUUUCCACCACAAAUCCAACAACCCAUUUACAAAAUUAAUUCUACACAAUUAAAAUCCACCUCCUCGUGGGAUCGACACUCGUCACCAUAGAUCUAUAAUACAAUAGAUUCGUGCGCUUGCGAGUACAUUAAAAUUUGCACAACACCUCCCUCUGAAGAGGUUACUCUUUAGCAGCUUAUGGAUGAGGUGCGGACACUCUCGGUGCGGCAGACUGAGUUUCAGCAGCAGCAGCUCAUUCAUGGACAGCUCCUUCUCUUUGAGCACUUCGGCAUUCCAUAUCCAUAUCCACCCCCAUCACCACCAUCCUCACCACUUCCAUAGUCUCUUAUGCUUGUAUUUGGACACACCUACAUCUCAUUUACUGCAUUAUGUUCUUUUAUUUUCGACUUUAUGGAUGGUUAUUAUGCUUUUGGAUUAUGUAUUUGUUUUGGAUGAUAUGGUUUUAUUUUGGAUAAUAUAGAUUUAUUUUGAUUGUUUGUUAUGGAUUAUAUGGAUUUCCUUAUGCUUAUGGAUAUUUUUGAACUAAUGUGCUUAUUGCGAUUUUGAUGAUUGAUAAGGGGAGAUCUUAUUUUUUAAUUUAUUCUUUUAUUCUUUUUUAUGAUGAAGGGGGAGAAUAAUUUAAUAUGUGUUAUAAAAAGUGUUAUAAAAAUAUGCAUGUAUCCAGGGGGAGUAUGCAUGUAUGCAGGGAGAGUCUGUUUUAAAUCAAUUUUUUAACCUUACAUUGAUUAAGGGGGAGCUUUUCCUAACUAGAUUAAAUUUUUGUAAUGUGUUUUGUCAUGAUAAAAAAAGGAGAGAUUGUUAGCUUAUAUAGCUAUCGAUAUUGAUUUUGAUGAUAAGAAACCACAUGUAUUGAUUAAACAAUGAUUUAUGAAUUGUGUUUUUAUAAUAAGAAAAUGAUGUUAUAGAAUCAAAGUGUUUUGGACUAAAAUGAAUGUAUUUUAGAACCUUUGAUAUUGUUUUAAAUUUCGGAUUUGGACCUAGUUGAAACUAUUUAAAUAUUUUGGGUCAUUUUAUAAUUUCACAUAGUUUGGGUGAAAUCAUAAUUUCAAAAAGUUUUGGGAUUGACAAAGUAAUAUUUAGAAAUUCUGAAAUUGGACCUAUUUGCAAAGUUUCAUAACGUUUUGGGCCAUAAUAUAGUUUUAUAAAGUUUUUAGGUCAAACUGUAAAAUUAAAAAAUAUUUCACUGUAGCAGUUACUGUAGCAAGCGGCUAACCGGAUCCUGACAAACAGAAAUCCGGUUGUUGGGCAGUAAGCUUCUGAGUAUAAGCGGCAAUCCGGAUUUGACAAAGCGGCAUACCGGAUGUUCAGAAAUUUAAAAUUGUGGCUGUAACGGUAACAUUAAGCGGCUAACCGGAUGUCCAUAACCGGCAAUCCGGUUACGACCAAAAUGUGUAUAACGGUUAGUUUUUGAGCUCAAACUAUAAGAACUAAAAUCCAACUCAUUUUCAGUCUCUCCAACAAGCAUAAACAAAAAAGCUCUUGAGCCUUCAACUUGCAAAACAAAAAAAAAACCUUGAAUCAUUUCUUGUUCUUCAUUUUUGAAUAUCUACUCAUUGAGUGAGUUUCAUUGUAAUUUUCAUUUCUUCAUCUCAAUUGUAAGAGUUUGAGUGUGUGAGACACUUGAGUGAAGAGAUUGGGAGAUAAUCUCUUUGUUGUAAAGGUUCAUUGACACCUUGAAGUCAAUUGUAAACGGUUGAAGCCUUGGAAAGGCUUGGAUAGUAAAAUCCUCAAGCUUAGAUCGCUUGGAGUGUGGACGUAGGCGGGGUUUGCCGAACCACGUAAAAAUUCGUGUGUUUAUUUCUCUUAUCCCUUACUCAUUAGUUAUUGUGCUUUUAUUGAACUUAUUGCUUUCAAUUUUUAUUAAGACAUUAGAUUGCUUGUUGUGUGGAUUUGCUAGGAUAAUUUUUAAAAUUCCAAUUCACCCCUCUCUUGGGUUGCACACUUAUAUUUCAGAUAUCGGGUCUACUUGCAGUUAAAUAAAGUAAAGAUCCGAUCAUACCUUGAUACAUUUUGAUAUCCACUUCCUUGCCUUUUUCAUCUUUGUCAAGUUUGGUUGUUGUGCUCAUUGGGUGUUUUUGGUCUUUGAGUCAUCAAUGCCGAAUCUUUUGAGUAGAUCUUUUACAUACUUGGCUUGAUUUAUGAAAAUUCCUUCCUCAUUUUGUUUUAUUUGCAGCCCAAGGAAGUACUUCAACUCUCCCAUCAUACUCAUUUCAAAUUCAUUACUCAUGCAAGAUGAAAAUUCUUUACACAAUAAUUCAUUAGUAGAACCAAAAAUAAUAUCAUCAACAUAAAUUUGAACAAGUAUGUCUUUGUCCUUAUUUUUGACAAAUAGAGUAGUAUCCGCUUUACCCAUUGAAAAAUCAUUUUCUAACAAGAAAUUCUUAAGUCUAUCAUACCAUGCUCUAGGUGAUUGUUUUAAGCCAUACAAAGCUUUAAAUAACUUAUAAACAUGAUUUGGAAAUCUUUCAUUUUCAAAACCAGGGGGUUGUUUUACAUACACUUUUUCCAUUAUAAAACCAUUCAAAAAAGCACUUUUCAUAUCCAUUUGAAAUAAAAUAAAAUCUUUAUGACAUGCAAAUGCCAACAACAUUCUAAUUGAUUCUAGUCUAGCUACGGGUGCAAAUGUUUCAUCAAAAUCAAUUCAUUUCUCUUGGUUGUAACCUUGAGCCACUAAUCUAGCUUUAUUCCUUACAACCACACCGAAUUCAUCCAUCUUAUUUCUAAAUAUCCAUUUAGUACCUAUGACGGAUUGAUGUUCCGGUUUAGGAACUAAUUCCCAUACAUUGUUUCUUUCAAAUUGAUUUAACUCCUCUUGCAUUGCCAUAAUCCAAGAUUCAUCAUUUUCCGCAAGGCUACUAACUCUGGUGGUUGUAGAGCCCAAAUGCGAUGUGUUUUACAAAAUUGAAUCUUCCUUUUGAGAUGAGUUUUGACACGUUGAAGUGGUUUAAGAAUGUUCAGGAGGAACGGUCUAAGUAAGGUACUCAUGAUUAAAAACGAUAAAAGAAAACUUAAUAGUUAAACAAACACACUUAUGCAAAAAUAAUUUCAAUUAGUAGAAGAAUAAUAUAAAGAAAGAAAAAAAAAUCAAAUCAAAUUUGGUGGGUCACUCAAAUUUAUUUCGGUGUCUUCUCCACGUGGUUGGUAUUCUAGAUAUGGCUUUAAUCUUUGACCAUUAACUUUAAACGUGACACCGUUCUUUGGGUCCUUAAUUUCAAUUGCCCCAUGUGGAAAAACAGUAUGAACAAUAAAGGGACCAGACCAACGAGAGCGUAACUUACCUGGGAAUAGGUGCAAGCGAGAAUUGAAUAAAAGCACUUUCUGACCUGGAGUGAAAAAUUUUCUCAUAACGUGCUUGUCAUGGAAGACUUUCAUUCGUUGCUUGUAAAUCUUGGCAUUUUCGUAUGCAUUAUUGCGAAUUUCUUCAAGUUCUGCCAGUUGUAAUCUUCUUUCUGAGCUAGCUUGCUGCAUGUCAAAGUUGAAUUUCUUGAUGGCCCAAUACGCACGAUGCUCAAGUUCCACAGGUAGGUGGCAAGAUUUUCCAUACACUAGCCUGUAGGGUGACAUCCCAAUCGGGGUCUUGAAAGCCGUUCUAUAUGCCCAUAAUGUAUCAUCAAGUCUUAAUGACCAAUCUUUUCUAUCCGGCCUCACCGUCUUUUCUAAUAUGUGCUUUAUUUCUCGAUUGGAGAUUUCAACUUGGCCACUGGUUUGCGGAUGAUACGGAGUCGCCACUUUGUGUGUGAUUGAAUACUUUGUCAAAAGAGCUUUGAAUGCUUUGUUACAAAAGUGGGCACCACCAUCACUAAUUAUUGCUCGAGGGAAUCCAAAGCGUAAAACAAUGUUGCUUUUCAAAAAUGCUAUCACCACCUUGUAAUCAUUGGUCCUACAUGGAAUUGCUUCUACCCAUUUUGAUACGUAGUCAACAGCAACCAAUAUGUAUUGAUGGCCAAAAGAUAGGGGAAAGGGUCCCAUGAAGUCGAUACCCCAUACGUCAAAAAUUUCAACCACUAAAAUUGGAUUUAGUGGCAUCAUAUUCCUUCGCGUAAUGCUCCCCAUUCGUUGACACCUAUCACAUGAAGAACAGAAAGUGUAAGCGUCUCGAAAUAUAGUUUGCCACAUUGUAAAACUUUAGUCGCUGUUUUCUUAGCACUGAAAUGGCCUCUACAAGCUUGUUCAUGGCAGAAUGAAAGGAUAUUUUGAAUUUCACUUUCUGGGACACAUCGUCUAACAAUUUGAUCUGCAUAAUACUUGAACAAAUACGGGUCAUCCCAAAAGAAAUUCUUUAUCUCUGCAAAGAAUUUAGCAUUGUCUUGCUUGGUCCAAUGCUCUGGAAGUUUACCUGUAACAAGAUAAUUAACUAUAUCAGCAUACCAAGGUAAUACUUCCACACUCAUUAAUUGUUCAUCUGGAAAUGACUCAUUCAAUAUUAAUGGCUCUGUAAUUGUGUCAAAAUGGAGACGAGAGAGGUGGUCCGCCACAACAUUUUCUGUCCCUUUCUUAUCUUUGAAUUCCAAGUCAAACUCCUGCAAAAGUAACACCCAACGAAUUAGUCUGGCUUUUGCAUCUUUCUUUGUGAGAAGAUAUUUAAGAGCAGCAUGAUCCGUGAAUAUAAUUAUUUUACAACCAAUGAGAUAUGAUCGAAAUUUUUCCAAAGCAAACACUACUGCUAGCAUUUCUUUUUUAGUAGUUGAAUAGUUCAACUGUGCAUCAUUUAAUGUCAUACUAGCAUAGUAAAUAAUGUGGGGAAUUCGAUUAACUCUUUGUCCUAAUACUGCUCCUACUGCAUAAUCAGAUGCAUCACACAUUAGCUCAAAUGGUAAGCUCCAGUUUGGGGCCUAAAUGAUGGGUGAUGAUGUCAACAAUUGUUUUAAUUUUUCAAACGCCAUAAGACAUGAAUCAUUAAACAUAAAAGGUACAUCCUUAGCAAGUAAAUUGCAUAAGGGUCUAGAAACUUUGCUAAAAUCUUUAAUGAAACGUCUAUAGAAACCAGCAUGCCCAAGGAAAGAUCUUACUUCUCUUACUGUUUUGGGUGGAGGAAGAUUAGAAAUGAGAUCCACCUUGGCUUUGUUAACCUCAAUACCUUUGCUCGAAAUGAUGUGACCGAGAACAAUACCUUGUUUUACCAUAAAAUGGCAUUUUUCCCAAUUUAAGACCAAGUUCUUCUCGAUACAUCUCUGCAAAACUAGUGUUAAAUGAUGUAAACAUUGAUCAAACGAGUCACCAAAGACAGAAAAGUCAUCCAUAAAGACUUCAAGAAAUCGUUCAACCAUAUCAGAAAAAAUGCUUAGCAUGCAUUGUUGAAAUGUAGCAGGUGCAUUACAUAAUCCAAAUGGCAUCCUCCUAUAUGCAAAAGUGCCAAAAGGGCAAGUGAAAGUAGUUUUCUCUUGAUCUUUUGGUGCUAUGAGAAUCUGAUUAUAUCCUGAGUAGCCAUCUAGAAAGCAAUAAAAUUCAUGGCCUGCUAAUCUAUCAAGCAUUUGAUCAAUAAAUGGUAAAAGAAAAUGGUCUUUACGUGUGACAGAAUUUAAUUUUCUAUAAUCAAUGCAUACACGCCAUCCUGUAGUUACUCUAGUGGGUAUCAAUUCAUUAUCAGCAUUGGUAACUACUGUGACUCCUGACUUUUUGGGGACGACUUGUACAGGACUGACCCAUGAACUAUCAGAAAUUGGGUAAAUGAUACCUGCAUCUAAUAGCUUAAGGACUUCUGUUCUAACAACUUCUUUCAUGUUAGGAUUUAACCGACGUUGCAUUUCCCUAGUAGUUUUAGCAUUUUCAUCAAGGUGAAUGUAAUGCAUGCAGUCUACUGGAUUUAUACCUUUUAUGUCUGCUACGGUCCAUCCUAAUACUCCUUUGUGCUCUUUUAAAACAUCCAACAACUUACAUUUUUGUUCGUCAUUUAGGGAUGAUGAGAUGAUUACCGGUAGAGUACUUUCUUCUCCCAAAAACGCAUAUUCCAAAGUGUUGGGCAAUGGUUUGAGCUCGAGUUUCGGUGGUGAUUCUGAUGAUGGAAUGAGUUGCUUCUCUGAUGGUGCUAGUUGCUCAACUCUUGACUUCCAUUUAUUAGUGUCCAUAGAUGGUGCUGAGUCAAGCAGGGCAUUGACCUCAUCGACCGAUUUGUCAAUAUCAAAAUCCAAACCAAAGUGAGUUAAACAUGUUUGUAAAGGAUCACUAAGGUUUGAAACAAAAGUAUCAUCAACUAAUGCUUCAAUUAAAUCCACAUCAACAAUUCCAUCAUCUGCACUGUGAGGUUGUUUGGCAAUGUUGAAGAUGUUCAGCUCCAUAGUCAUGUUGCCGAAAGGCAACUGCAUAUUUCCAGUCCUGCAUUGAAUGUGAGCAUCCGCAGUUGCCAAGAAAGGUCGGCCUAGGAUAAUAGGGAUGUGCUUCAUUGAAUCCUGUAUUGGUUGAGUGUCAAUUACAAUGAAAUCAACAGGAAAAUAAAACUUAUCUACCUGGAUAAGCACGUCCUCCACAAUACCACGAGGUGUUUUCGUGGACCGAUCUGCAAGCUGUAACACCACUGGAGUUGGGUGUAAUUCUCCCAGUCCAAGUUUCACAAAUACUGAAUAAGGCAACAAAUUUACACUAGCUCCUAAGUCCAACAAAGCAUUCUCAAUUGUGUGGUUCCCUAUGCUACAUGAAAUAGUAGGGGAGCCUGGGUCUUUGCAUUUUAAAGGAAUUUUAUGUUGGAGGAUAGAACUAACGUUUUCUGUUAAAAAUGCCUUCUUUUGAACAUGCAUGUUUCUCUUUUUAGUACAAAGGUCUUUAAGAAACUUGGCAUAAGAUGGAACUUGUUUAAUAGCAUCAAGUAAAGGGAUGUUAACACUUACCUGUUUAAAGAUUUCAAGAAUCUCACCUGUGGAUUUUCCCUUCUUGCCUUUAGCUAACCUCUGGGGGAAUGGAGCUUUGGGAACGUAUUCUCGUGGGUUGGUUUCUUCUUUCUCCUCCGGUGAUGAGUCAUCAACACUCACAGGUACAAUUUGAUCUUCUUUUGUUACCGGCAUCUCUACUUUGUUGUCGACUUCUUUUCCUUUUCGCAAGGUCAUGACUGCUUUGACCUCUCCAUGCUGCUGUGGUGAACUGGUACUUGCUUCAUGCACUCCUUUAGGAUUAGGCACUGGUUGACUUGGAAACUUGCCUUUUUCAACAAUCAUUGCCAAGGUCUGAACUGAAAAAGCAAGCUGUCCCACCAUCUUCUCGAGGCUUGAAACUGAUUGAGCUUAUGAGUUGAAGCCUGCUCUCAACUCAUUUCGUAGUCCAUCAAUGGUGCGGUUCUGUUGCUCAAUCGUGGAGUAACAUUCCUGAAAUUCUGGAAUGCAUCCUCCCAUGGUCUAAGUUGAGAGUGGUUCUGGUUCUGAUUGUAUGGUCUAAAUGAUGGCUGAGAGGCUUGAGGAUUUUGUGGAAUUGGUGGAGUUGGAGCUGCUGGUCCAUUCUGUUGGAAUCCUUGAGACCAUGAAAAAUUGGGGUGGUCUCUCCAUCCAGGGUUAUAUGUGUUGGAGUAUGGGUUGUAAUUUGAAGGCUUUCUCAUUACACCUAUGGCAUUGGCUUGAUCUGGAUAUGAGUCAGGGUCAUGUGGCUCUGUUGAUUUAGCAGUCGAUAACGAUGCUAUUUGUCGAGAGAGACCUUCAAUUAUUGCUUUGACUUCUUUAAUUUCUGAACUAGAUUCGCCAAUGUGAACCUCAUUCACUCCCUUAAUUCUUCUAGUAUUCCUGAGUGAUCGACUCCGUUGUUGGGAAUUAUCUGCUUGUCGCUGGAAGAAUUCCCAAAUCUCUUAUGCACUUUUUGACAUUAGCUCUCCUCCACUUGUUGCCAUUAGCCAUUCUUGCACAUUCGGCAAUAAUCCCUCCAAAAAGUAUUGGUAUUGGUGCCAUUUCUCGUACCCAUAAUGUGGACACUUCAAGAGUAGCCCAUUGAAUCGCUCCCAUGUUUCGAAAAAUUGCUCGUCCUCUCUCUGGGUAAACUCCGAGAUUUCCCUGCGAAUAACAUUGGUUUUAUGCACUGGGAAAUAUUUAUUCAAAAAUUUUGUAACCAUUUGUUCCCAUGAUGAAAUGCUAUUGGCAGGCAAUGUAUUUAACCAUGAACGAGCUCUAUCCUUUAAAGAAAAUGGGAAUAAUCUAAGUUUAACAUCAUCGUCUGAAAAAUUCUCAUAUUUAAAUGUUUGACAAAUAGCGUGAAAAUCAUUCAGAUGAUUAUAUGGGUCCUCCUUUUCUAAGCCAUAGAAUGUGGGGAGACAAUUUAGCACACUAGGUUUUAAUUCAAAACUCCUAGCAACUACAUUUGGGUAUCUUAUGCAUGAUGUGCUCAAAUUAGCUAAGGGACUGAAAUAGUCCUUAAAUGGCCUCUCCUGUGGUUGCAAAUCCAUUUCAAAUUUAUUUUUAAUGUGCUUUUGUGUGCGAAGUGUUUUCUCAAGUUCAAGGUCUAUAGGUUCAAGAUUUGGUAAUAAUGACCUACGACCAUGCAUGCAAAACAAAUAAAAUAAAAAUAAAGAAGAGGGAGAAAUUACGAUACUAACCUUAUUGCGCUAUUACAACCUUUCUAUAAAAAUACACAAAAAUAAAUACGUGAAAUAAAUUAAAUAAAAAUAAAUUAAUAAGAUAAAAAUAAUUACAAAGAAAAAUAAAUUGAAAAUUAAAUUACAGAAUUUUAAAGAAGAGAAAAAUAAAAUAAAAUUCUUAACUCAAAAUGUAAAUUCACUCUUUUUUUCUUUAAUAAAAAAAAUAAAAUACAAGAAAACAAUUUAAAAGAAAUUAUUCACAAAAAUUAAUUCUAUGAAUUAAAAUUACUUACCUCCUCGGCAACGGCGCCAAAAACUUGUUGUGUAAAUUUUAAUGUACUUGCAAGCGCACGAAUCUAUUGUAGUAUAGAUCUAUGGUGACGAGUGUCGAUCCCACGAGGAGGUGGAUUUUAAUUGUGUAUAGAAUUAAUUUUGUAAAUGGGUUGUUGGAUUUAUGGUGGAAAUGAUUUGGUAUAUGCUAAAACUUAAAUUAAAAUGGCGAGAAUAAAUUCUAAAAUUGGAAUUGCAAUGACGAGAAUAAAUUGAAGCGAAAUCUAUUGAAAUGACGUACUUGGGUAUCUGGAUCCGUAUCAACAUGCAUCAUGGGCUAAAUCAUCCAUAUUAAUGCCAAUUAAAUCAUGAGGGGGGAAUCCACACUUCAUGAACCACGCUCUAAUCAAUAUGGUGCUAAGGGCUUAUCGUGCCAAAUAAUAAUAACCUUGUACUAGAGGGCCGGUGAAACCAAGGCGGUACUAGACAAGAAUAUUUUUAUUUGUCGACGAGAAGUCAAAACAUCCACAAAAACUAGAGGGGAAGAGAAAAUAAAUUUACCAAAUUAAGCCCAUGACACAUGUUGAGACUUCACCUUCAACCCAAGCUUGAAAAAAAAUUAGCCACUCAUAAUUGAACUAGGCGCAAAAUGGAAAUUUAUUAAAAUACAUAGAAAAUACAAGAUGGAGAAGGAAUUACAGAAAAUGGAUCCCAAAAAUGGAUUCAGAGAUAUCAAAUUAGGGGGGAGAGGCCCCCUUUUUAUAGAUACAUGGAGUAAAUCAUGGCCAUCGGAUUAAAAACAAUUUGGACGCUCAGGAUUGCGCCACGUCAUCAGUCAACAGUCCACGGUUUGACCACGCGGAUGAACAGUAACACGGUUUGACCUGACUUUGAACAGUAACGCGGUUUGACCCGGAUGAACAGUAACACGGUUUGGUUGAAAAUAAUCCUGUGUGAUGCAUGCACCGUAUGCGAGAUUUUUCGUCCAUUGAUAUGCUGCCACGUCACCAUCAACAGUAUAUAAGAAUUUUAGUCCAACAGGAUCGUGACACCUCAUCAGUCAAUGCCACGUCAUCGGUCCGUCUAUGUGAACAGUGUCGUGAACAGUAACGUAUACAGUACCGUACACGUGAAUAGUACCAUUUUUCCUUUUAUGCUCCUCCUAAGGUUUUCGACUGUCCUGAGUUCAAAAGUGAUGUCUGUUUUGCCAUCUGAUUUCUCGUUUAUUGUGAAAUGACUAUAAUGCCACUAAAAUAUAUAAAAUACUUAAUUAAAAUAAAACACAUGUAAUUAAAUCACAAGUAGGUUAAAUACAUAAAAGUAAGGGUUGUUAGUAAGACUUGAAAUGUAAAAUGACGGUUUUCUCCUUUAUAAAUAUGCAUUUUCUAACACUCAACAGUAGAUUAAAAGAAAAAAGUGUAAACAAAACAAAACCUUAGAAAAAUGGCAUAAAACUUGUAAAUUGACAUUAAGUGUUAAAUGAAACAAAAAGUUUGUAAACCACACAUAAAACUACUAAAUUGAUGGAAUAAUGAGUAAAUUAAUGUUGUUGUAAAUUUCAAGAAGAACUUGUAAACAAAACAAAAACUUUGAAAUAUGACAUAGAACUUGUAAAUUGAUAUUUACUGUUAAAUGAAAUAAAAAAUGUGUAAACCACAGAUAAAAUUAGUAAAAUGAUGGAAAAAUACGUAAAUUAAUAUUGGAGUUUUAAAUUGCAAGAAGAACUUGUAGAUAAAACAAAAACUUUGAAAAAUGAUAUAAAACUUGUAAAUUGACAUUAAGUGUGAAAUGAAAUAAAAACUUUGUAAGCCACAUAUAAAACUAGUAAAUUGAUGGAAAAAUAUGUAAAUUAAUGUUGAAGUUGUAAAUUGCAAGAAGUAAUUGUAAACAAAACAAAAACUUAAAAAAAUGAGAUAAAACCUGUAAAUUGACAUUAAGUGUGAGAUGAAAUAAAAAAUUUGUAAAGCACAUAUAAAGCUAGUAAAUUGAUGGAAAAAUGAGUAAAUUAAUGUUGGAGUUGUAAAUUAUAAGAAGAACUUGUAAACAAAAUAAAAACUUUGAAAAAUGACAUAGAACUUGUAAAUUGACAUUAAGUGUGAAAUAACACAAGAAAUGUAUAAAUCACAUAUAAAAUUAGUAAAUUGAUUGAAAAAGAGGUAAAUUGAUGAUAGAGUUGUAAAUUAGAAGAAAAAAGUGUAAACAAAACGAAAACUUAGAAAAAUAAUAUAAAAAUUGUAAAUUGAUGGAAAAAUUGGUAAAUUAAUGUUGGAGUUGUAAAUUGCUAUAAGAACUUAUAAACAAAACCAAAAUUUAGUAAAAUGACACAAAACUUGUAAAUUGACAUUAAGUCUGAAAUGAAAUAAAAAAUGUGUAAAUCACACGUAGAACUAGUAAAUGGAUGGAAAAAUAGAUAAAUUAAUGUUGAAGUUGUAGAUUAAAAGAAAAAAGUGUAAACAAAACAAAACCUUAGAAAAAUGGCAUAAAACUUGUAAAUUGACAUUAAGUGUUAAAUGAAACAAAAAGUUUGUAAACCACACAUAAAAAUACUAAAUUGAUGGAAUAAUGAGUAAAUUAAUGUUGUUGUAAAUUUCAAGAAGAACUUGUAAGCAAAACAAAAACUUUGAAAUAUGACAUAGAACUUGUAAAUUGAUAUUUACUAUUAAAUGAAAUAAAAAAUGUGUAAACCAUAGAUAAAAUUAGUAAAAUGAUGGAAAAAUACGUAAAUUAAUAUUGGAGUUGUAAAUUGCAAGAAGAACUUGUAGAUAAAACAAAAACUUUGAAAAAUGAUAUAAAACUUGUAAAUUGACAUUAAGUGUGAAAUGAAAUAAAAACUUUGUAAGCCACAUAUAAAACUAGUAAAUUGAUGGAAAAAUAUGUAAAUUAAUGUUGAAGUUGUAAAUUGCAAGAAGUAAUUGUAAACAAAACAAAAACUUAAAAAAAUGAGAUAAAACCUGUAAAUUGACAUUAAGUGUGAGAUGAAAUAAAAAAUUUGUAAAGCACAUAUAAAGCUAGUAAAUUGAUGGGAAAAUGGGUAAAUUAAUGUUAGGGUUGUAAAUUAUAAGAAGAACUAGUAAACAAAACAAAAACUUAGAAAAAUGACAUAAAACUUGUAAAUUGAUAUUAAGUGUAAAAUAAAACAAAAAAUUUGUAAACCAUGCAUAAAACCAGUGAAUGGAUGGGAAAAUGGGUAAAUUAAUGUUGGAGUUAUAAAUUGCAAAAAGAAUUUGUAAACAAAACAAAAACUUAGAAAAAUGACAUUAAGCUUGUAAAUUAACAUUAAGUGUUAAAUGAAACAAAAAAUUUAUAAACCACACAUAAAACUAGUAAAUUGAUGGGAAAAUGAGUAAAUUAAUGUUGGAGUUAUAAAUUGUAAGAAAAACUUGUAAACAAAAUAAAAACUUGUAACUGUUGCAUAAAAGUUGUAAAUCAACAAUAACUUAUAAAUGUUGCAUAAAACUUGUAAAUCACACCAAAAAUUAGUAAAUGUAACUUAGAACUUGAACAAAAAAUAGUAAUUACUUGUUACUUAAGUAACAUGUUACCCAUUUAUUUAGAAUUAAUGGUAUAAAUUUUUUAUUGAAAUCUAACGGUCCAUAUCCAUUACGGCAUCAAUGCCGUAACUUUAGUUACGGCAUUAUAGAAUAACACAUAUUAUUACAGAGGUUAUCAGUAGUUGAAAAUUCUCUGUCCUGGUGAUAAUAUCAUUCUAGGGUCAAAGCGAGUUUUCCUCUGUUGAAAAGUAUUCCAUUUGGAGCCAAAAUGGAUAAUCCAUUCUUCUUUAGUUGCAUGAUGGCCGAGAUACUGCUUAAAUUUAAUGCCAGCAUUAACACAAAACUGCAAUAUAUCUUUGUUUUUGUUAUCAAAGGCCUCCCAGUUAUCAGCACUUGCAUCCAAAAACCCCACAAAGUAGAAAACUUCUUCUUCGGCUGCUAUAACUGCUGACAUUCUUUCAUCCCAUCUGCAAGAAAUUAAAACAAUAUUAUCAAUAUUUGUGCAUUGUUUUUUGGGCCAAAAGGUGGCAAAGCCACAAUAAAACCAUGUCAUCAUGACUAUUAUCAAUCAAAAUGAUGGUGAUUUUAUCUCCCUUUUGUUCAAAUAGCAUUUUUCUUGAUAAUUAUAUUUCUUUCAGAGUCUUACUUGCUUCGGAGCAGAGGGUAAACAAGAACAGUUGAUGAGGUAAAGUUUCUCUUAAGAAGAAUGUUCCUGAAGACACCAUUGUCGAAAUCUGUGAUUCGAGAUUUUGGUAUAAAGAUAUUUAGCCAUGGAUGAGGGAUAUCCCACAGUCCUUUCUUUCGAAGCUCUAUCUCUUGAUCAUGAACUCUAUUUAAAAACUGCAGGUAUGUUACAUCCUUCUCGAAAACAAAUCCAGGAAGAAAACCCUUUAAGCUUUUCAGCAUUUGUUUCACUUUCUGUCAACAAAUACAUGAAACGUUAAUAUUUUAAUGAAUAUCAUUAAUCGUAAUACAUAUUUAUAAUCAAUAUCUAAUAAGAGAUUCAUCCAAUUUGAAAAAAAAAAGAUUCAAAUAAAAUACAUUGCAGUGGAGUGCGUAUAUUUCUUAUCUUUCAAUUUAUCUCAUAUUUUAUUAAUAUAAAGAGUCAUUAUUUUGCGAGCGUUCUUGCACUUUAUUUCUAUGUAUAUCUAUUCACUAAAAUUAUUCAUACAUUUUUUAUAAGUCAUUAUUAUUAUUUAGUGUGGACUUUAUUUCUAUGUAUAUCUAUUCACUAAAAUUACUCAUAUAUUUUUUAUAAGUCAUUAUCAUUAUUUAGUGAGGGUUUCCGCAUUAUAUUUCUUCACGUCUUUACAAUUUAAGAUGAUUGAUGGUUUACCUUAGCCUCAUUUUUGUUGUCGUAAUACGUAACUACCUCAAUAAUGUAAAGGAUGCCGUAUUGGUUUACGAGAAAAGUUAUCUUUCGACGUUGUGACUGUGGAUAAAAAUCUAGAGGACUUUGGUUCAUUAAAAGGUGACCUUCCAAAAAAUCUGGCAUCACUUUGUCGCUAGGUCCAGUAGUUGAGAUCAAAGUUUCUUGGUCAGUGCUAAAAGACGAGAAAUCACUAUAAAGUAUACGUAACCAUUUAACCUGCAGACAAAUUCACCAAGUAAAAUGAAUUAAUGGAUGCAAAGGCCAUACAUGUACAAUUUGAUUGUUCAUUUUUAAACAUAAAUUAAGCACGAAAAAGCAAGCGUAAAUUAGGGCGUAAUUAAGUUCUGAAGAAAGCUAAUUAAGUACCCUUUUUUUGGCCGGCCCGAGGACGAUUCUUGCUCUAGUUAUAAUACCAAAUUGACCUAAACCUCCUAGGACUGCAUAAAACAACUCUGAAUCCUUCUGAGGGGAGCAAGUCACAAACUCUCCUUUUCCUGUGAAAAUGAAAGGCGCACGCCACGCCAUUCUUAGGUUACAAUAUUCUGACUCAAUUGCAAAAUAAUUAAUUAAUACUAAAUAAACUAUUAAUUCAUACUAGAGCAUUUUUAUUUAUUUUGUAAUUUUUUUGGUUAAAAGUUUAAGGGAUGGAUAAGGUUCUAAUUGGUUUUUGAUCUCUAAAGGUCCUCUUUUCUUGUAAAAAUUGAACGUCGGCUAGGUUUCAUUCAUACUAGAACAAAUUUUACAAAUUUUUAAUAUAAUGGCUGAGUCAUUUAAUAAUCUCUAAUGUUAUGAUAUGGUGUGAAUAUUGUUGGUACUAGUAAGUUCAACUGUUCAAAUAUAUUAUGGUGAUAAAAGUAAUAUUGGGUCGGUGAUAUAAGAAAUCUGGAGUUCAUCAUGCAACUAAAAGAAAAUAUUAAUUAAAUGGUCUAUCAAAUACGAUGACAUAACGUGCUUUAUAUAUCUACAUGCUAUUUAUAUUAUGACUCAUAAAUUAUGUUAUUUUUAUUUUGGAAUACAAAUUAAAUGUACCAUGCACCAGCAAUAUUGUUUAAUGUCAUUAGAUUUCUUUUCCACAAAAGGAAAAAAAAUGCAAUUGCAAUUUCCUGCCAGACAGAUUAUUAAUAAACGUUUUACAAAGGAAAGCUGAAGAAAAAAAUAAAUCCAAUUAAUUUCGAAAGGACAAAUGACUGUUUAGUCUUUAUAUUUUAACUUAAGUGUUUGUUUAAUCCCUAUAUUUUUAAAGUACCUUAAAACACCCCUAUAAUUAAAUAUGCUAUACUAUUCUAACCCUCACCUUUAUUUCCUUUUAGAAAAAUACUCUUUUUCCAACAGUAUUAUUGGCAUUAAUUAAUUUAUUUAUGAAAAAGUUAAUGAACAAAUUAACCAAUAAAUAUUUAUUAGUAAAUAAUCAAUAAAUAUUAGUGAGAAAAGCUAGUAUAUUUUGUACACGCGCAACAAUCUUAUUGAUAGUUAUUUAUAAAUAAAUUAAUAUGGACGACCUUAAAGUAAUGUUUAAUAUGUUAAUAAUAUUUUACAAAUAAUUAUAUUAUAAAAAAAUUAAUUUACAAAAUUAAUCCUAAAAAUAAAAUAAUAAUAUAAAAGUUGUGUUAAUUUUCAUGUUACUUUUAAAGUUAAUUUAAUAAAUUAUAUUUUUUUUAUUAAUAUCCCCAGUAUUGUAAGGGUAUUAUGGUAAAAGGAAAGGUAAGAAUAGAAGUGUAACAUAUUUAACAGCAGGAUAUCUUAAAGUACUCUGUUAUUAUAAGGACUAAACAACCAUUUAUCCGUUUCAAAAUUAUCUAUAUAUAUCUGAAAUAUUAUGAUAUAUCCUUGUAAUAUACUAGACACAUUAGAGAUAGAACACUUGACGAGUAUGCAAAUAAUUUAUUCUAGUAUGGUAAUAACAUUGCGAAUUGGCAAUAAUACAUACUGGCCUAAAAAUGCUCAACUAUAUUGAAUUAUUUCAAAGCCCCUGAAAAGCCUAUGGCUUGGAUCAAGCUCGACAAAAUGAUUUCCUGAUGUUCGUCCUAUAUUUAAGUAGAGCUAUUAAAGUGCUAAAUUGAAAUUAGAGCUAUUAAAGUGCACGAAACUAAUGGGGUUGGUAAUUUUCAAUUCAAUCCAGCUUCAGUCGAUAGAUUUGGAUCAUCCUGAAAUUUUCUAGUGAAAGAAAAAUUUAAUCAAAUCAACCAAAUUGACUUUUUUCAUUAAGAAUGUAAUCAAUUAAAAUCCGUAAUCUGUUACAAUUACCAAAUAGAUUACAUUCUUCAGUUUUAAACAAAAUUUCUACGGCGAUUAAAAAAAUUAAAACAAAUUUUCUACGCUUUAUAUUAUUUAAAGCCUUUAAAAAUUAAUUAAAUGGGGAAUGCCUUAUUUGCUCUCUUUCAAAAUUUGUUCUUGUCACUUUAUGCUCCGUUUGGCGUUAAGGUUAUUGGAUGGCUAUAAUUUUUAAGUUGUAAUACACUAGAAUAUUUGGCAAACACGAAUUGUUGUCUCUUGAAAGUCAAGUUGAUUUGAUCCUACGCUUGUAUUAUAAGAAAAACAUAUUAUAUUUAUUUACUGCACAAUAUUAAUUUUUAUUUUAUAAUAAUAGCUUUUAAUAUUUUCAUUAAUUACAUCAAAAUAUUUAUUUAAAAAUAAUAAUUAUUACACAAUAUUAAUUUUUAUUUUAUAUUUAUGAAUUUUUUUCUACCACAGUCACUUCUUGAUACGAAAUAGUACCUUAGUCCCAAUUAAUUUUUAAUAAAAGAAAACAUUGUCAGAAGAUAAAAUAUGAUCUUUUGGCAUACAAAUUGCUUGUCUGACGCUUUUACAGAUUAAGACUAAUUAAUUUAUCAGUUAAAAGGCCCAAUUUAUGUUCUGUUUUUUCUAUUACUGUUUAAACAGUAGACAAGGAUUAAAGUAGUAUAAAAAAAAUUCUAAGAAAUAACACCUCAUAGUAUGUGAUAGAGAUAAGUAUAUUUCCCAGUAUUUUUCUCCUCUAUUCUUUCCUAGUAAAAUAUGUAGUUAAGAUUAAAUUUUAAAUUUUGACAUUGAUUAUUAGGUCAACUUUUUUCACUUUAUUUAUAAUUAAAUCAUUUUUUUAUUAAAUUUAAAAGAUGAAGAGAGAUUAGGAGAAAAAAACACUGUAGAGGAUCUAAUCCCUGUUAUAAUAAGUACCUGUUAAAACGUCUAAUUCAAGAACGUUUGUUAUCUGCGGGCCUUUCUGGUAUGUAUGGCCGCUAAUUCCAGCAUUAGAGAGCGUCCCACCAACAGUGGGAUACAAAUAAUCCGUCCAAGAAACCGGCGAAAGCCCCCGUGUAAGAGUGGCGUUCAGCACAUCAAUCCACAUUUGCUCGCCGCCGACGUCAGCGUAAAAUCCUAAAGAACGGUCUCCGGAGAUCAAAAUUCCCGUCCCGUUUCUGAAACGGUUCAGAGAAUUCAUCUGCACUACGACGCCGUCAUUGGCCUGAGCCUGGCCCCACGUGGAAUGAACCUGGCCUUUUGCUGCGAUGGUGUAUGAAAAUAAAGAAUUGUAUGAUAAAUAUAUUAGGGUUCUGAUGUCAUCUACAGAGGAUGGAUAAAGAACUGCAAAUGGUUUUUCUUUAAUAAUGUGGCCAUAAUCGAUAGAGGCUAAUUUAAUGGCGCCAGGAUCUGUGCGCAAAUUAUCUGUGGGCUCGGGUGGCACUGAAAUUAUUGAGGAAAAAUCAGGUUUUUUUUUUAAUUUUAUAAAACCUUUUAAGGACCACUCUUAUAUAAUAUAUAGGAAUACGUAAUCCAGAAAUCGUACCUUGAAAAUCUGAGUUGGCUUUUUCCGCUGAAGUGAUUUAGGCUCCUAGAUCACGAUCCGCCACCACCACUCCUGUUAGAUCACGAUCUGUCACCACCACGCUUGUUAGAUCACGAACUGUCUCCAAUGAUCUUCCAGGUUAUGACUCAGGUUCGAUCUGCACUUGACGUGUGGGCGCCUUUAUCACUACCAAAGCAACUAGCACGAGAAAAUUUUUCUCUCAACAAUGGAGAGAAAAAUCUUUUUCUUUGAUCUGUAUAAAGUGGCUUCCCUUUUUUUCUUUAGAGAAAAAUAAGCCUUUUAUAUCAUCUUUAGUGAAAACCCUAGGCUCCAAAUAAUGCCCAAAAUAAAACUCACGUUAUUUGCUUUUUCAAUAGGGGACCCACCUUGUAAAAUAACAUAAGGCCCCUUACAUAAAAGCUAAUUAAAUGGAGCCUCCCACUAAAUGAUAUAUUUAGGCUUUUGACCAAAAUAGCUAGUUAUCUUACUUAUUAGUCCAGUAGUGGUGCAGUCAAUUAAAUGAGCUAACCCGGGGAUCAUUUGGGAACAUACAAUAGUGGCUACGAUAAUUAGGCAUGUAAUUAAACUAGCCUAAUUAUUUAAUUCCAAAUCUACUCCACUAAAAUAUUGGAACCGACUUCCAUAAUUAUACGCUCGAAUAAUAAUUCGUCCCAAGCCACAUUGAUUUCUUUACUGCACAAUCCUUUGUACCACAUCGUUAAUUAAAUUGAUAUCUCAACUGUCCAAUCAAUUUAAUAACAUCUUAUUUCUUGAUCCUUACUGGUUUUCUCUAAUGAUCAUUUUCAACAUACUAAAUAUGUUGACACACUCUGGCCAGAGAAUUCUAUGAUCAAGUGCCGAAAACCCAUCAAGAGAUGUGUUGUACAAAUUCUAUAUUGUUAAUCCAUAACUCCAAUACUCAUAAUUGCUCCCACCAAGAUACCGGGUAAUCUUGACCACAAGGAUGUGUCGUACCCGUUGGUAACUCAAAUGGAAUAACAAUUACAAUCAUGAAAUCAUAAUUAACUCAAGAUUAAGAUUACAGUAAAAUCAAUGCUUAUGAGAUUUAAUAAGUCUGACAGUUAUUACAAAGUUAAUUAAAUCUCAUAUGUGAUCCUGUUCAAUGUAGUCGCACUACAUCAAUAAAUUCAUACAUGAUUAAGACAAAUCAUUUAAUGAAUUUAUUACAGUCUAUACCUAAAUAAAGUGCCCAACUUUAUUUAUCAACUACGAACUAAAUUUAUUUAAUCAUAAGAUAACUUGUAUUUAUGUCUUCUGUGAAUCCACAUGGUGAUCACAUAAAUACAUAUAAUAUGAUUAAAUGGACUUUAAUACAAAUAUUAAUGCAAUUAAGAUAUUUGAAUAAAAUACCUCAUUUAUUUUAUUAAUCAGAAAAAUUGUUUAUUACAAUUAAAUAAACACAUAUGCUUUUAAAGAGCAUAUUUUUCCAAUAGAAAUAGCCAAAAUGGUUGAUGUUAUAAAGCUUGUGAUGAAUAGUGCUAUAAAAUAUAUGAUAAUUGGAGAGCUUGUAGCCAUAUUGCUUCGAGAAAAUGAAGAGGAAAUGAACUUGUUUUUGAGAGAGUGCGGUAAAGUUUAUAAAUGAGAGGUCUUUAUAUAGAGAUUUAAUUGCGUAUCAAAUAUUGAUCAAAAGCAAUAUAUUUAGUCUUAAAAGCACGUGGUUAAUUCCUCUUUGUUAUCCAACAAUCAAGACAAAAUCUAUAAAACCACUAUGCAAGGCCAAUGAUCUUUUAGUUAUAAGGGUUUGAGUUAAUUACUUAAUUAAUCCCUGUAUGACUGUCUUUAGAAAUUACCUAAAAUGUCUAUUUAUCAAGUAACGUACGAUUUUAUUAAAAUAUAAUCAAUAUUUUAUUUGGAUAAAUGCAAAAGCUCUACUAAGAAAGAAAAAGUAUUAACACAGAUUAAAGGCUGUCAAAUCAAUUAGGAAAAUUGAUAGUUUGUUAAGACUUAAGAGUUCACUUUCAAACCUUGAAGAAUACUAGUAUAAUAAUCAUGUAAAAAUCCAAUAUUCGCCAAGCUAUUUACAAUUGAAUUUCCCUCCCUGAAAAGAUGGGGACAUCUGAAAUUAUAAGAGAUAAACAACGUAAACACUUCCUCCAAUGAAUUGUGAAAGCAAGCAACAUAUGCUAUGUGACCAUCCCUACUGAUAAGCUACCUCCAAAUAACAAUUGCACAAAUUUCUGCAUGAAAAGAAGUGUGUAUAUGUAUUCCCAACAAAGACACGGACAACCCAAGAAAGAUCCAUUGACAAGACAGACCCACAAGAAGAUGUGCCCGGAUUCCUUUAGCCACUCCAUCGAAGGGCGGUGCUAAAGGGUGCCAGAAGAGUUGAGGCCUCUGCUGAUUUUAUUUAAAUUAUUUUGGUUUUAAUGAUCCAUUUAUUUUUAAUUGCUUCCUUUAUAAGGUUAUGAAAUUUUUAAAAUUCAAAUGUUAUCUUUUCUUAGUUCCUUAUUUACUCUUUUCUUUUACCAAAAAAAUCAAAAUUUAUCAUUUAUGUGUUACAAUAGAUUCUCUUAUUUUCCUCUUAUGUGUUAAUUUCUUUAUCAAAUUAAGAUAAUUUAUGAUAAUUUCUUUCUCUUAUCUCCCUAUUAAUUGUUAAAGGAUUUAGCACCAUGACCAAACCCGUUGACAAACUACCGUUGCAAGCUUUUAUCAGAGAUAAAACUAAAAGUUUUCAAGAUUUUAAAUUCUAAUGAACUAACAGUUCAUCUACAUCAUAGGAUAAAUAAUAAUACAUUUAGAAAACCUUAAUCUAUAACUAAGUAUCAUUGUUUGAUAAACUAGUAAACCAAUAAAAGUUACAAGUAGGCACUUAUGGAAUUUAAAAAUUAUUGUUGAAUAAAAUUUAUCUAAGCAUCCCAUGUGAAAUACUGGAUAACAAAGAGUCAAAGACUUCCUAAGUAUUCUACGUAAAUAAUUUAAUAAAAGAUAUAAAAUCAAAGAUAAUCAUAUAUAAAUUUUAUAGAUCUAAGCAUAUGUAGAUAAUGAUAUGUAAACUUUAUAGAUCUAAGCAGAGGUUUAUUGAAUAUUAAUUUUAAUUAGAGCUGGUAAAACAAGUCAUUGGAUCGUGUUGGUAUCAUGUCAAAUUUAGGUCGAUCCAAACACGACUCAUUUAACAAUCGUGUUAAAAUAUUGAGACCCAAAUCCAACACAUAAAAUAAAUGGGUUACCCAAUAACCCCUUUAAUAACUAUAUAUUUAAAAAAUAUUACACACCCUGAAUUAUUACACAUUUGCACUAUUUAAAGUUUAAAUUAUAUAUAUAUGUAAAUAAUAUUAUAUAUCGAUAUCAUAAAAUAACAUGUGUAUCAAUAUUUUAUACACUUAUACUAUUAAAGUUGUAAAUUUAUAUUAAAUUUUAUAAAUAAAACAUUGUGCAGAUGUUUGUCUUCCAAAAAAGAUAAAAGAGAGAAUUAUGUCCAAUAUAUUUUGAUUAAUGACAAAAACUAAAUAUUAAAUGUAAAUUUAUCUGUCAUGUCAGGUAAUGGUAAAGAACUUUACCUACUGACACAGAAAAAAAUCGUGUCAACCCAACCCGGCCCAUUACAAUCGUGUCAAAUUUGACGACACAUAUCCAUUUAUUCAUGUCGUGUUCGUGUCGGGUAAUUGGGUCAUGUUAGAUUUUUCCUACUCUAAUCGAUGGAAAUAUUUAAUAAAAUUCAACUAAAUAUGUGAAAUAAGAACCAUAAACAUUAAAGUAUGCAUAUAGGAAAUUAAUUGAAUAAAAAGUAAUUUAUUUCAUUGUCCAAUUAAUUAAAUAAAAAGUAAUUUAUUUCAUUGUUCAAUUAAAUAAAUAAAAAGUAAUUUAUUUCAUUGAACAAUGUAUCAUUCUCAACCCCAGUAUUAGAGAUUAGAAAGACAUAAGCAGAUUGAGAAUAAUAAAAUCAAUAAAACCCAUCAUGUAGCUGCCACCUCUAAAUCUCCUCUCUGCCGUCCGUCUCUUCUUCCCCAAUCGGCAUGGUUUGCUUCUCUUCAUAUAUUACACAACUUGGCCGAAUCCUUGUCUAAUUUGAAUUACAAUUCUUAGAAGCUAAUUCACCUACUUAAUUUAAUUAAAUCCUAAAGCGAUAACAUAAGAUAACCGACUGUAAGAAGCCAAGUCGUAUUUCCAUAUGAUUUAGAUUUGUAACCAAUUAAAUUUUGGUUGUUUAACCUUAAAUUCAUUUACGUGUACGUUGGUCCAGUUGCUUCCAAAACCAAUUAUUCUUCAAUGCUUCACAAAUUAUUCUUAUUUACGCAUUUUUAUACAUAAUAUCCAAGUGUUUUCUUGUUCAAUACAAUAAUCCAACUAAUAAAAGUAUUAAAUAAAAAUAAUUAACAAAUAUAUAAUUAGGAGUAAAAUAUGUAUAAAUUAUAUGCUCAUCGUUUUCAGUUGCUAAACGUUUCUUUUAUUUGUUUGACCACUUAUAUGGUCAUGAUCUAACCGUCAUCAUUAUUAAACGGUUUUAAUUUUAAUUAAACCAUUUUGAUAAACCAAUUAAUAUAUAUUUUAAUUUCUUAGCCCAUAGUUUCCAAUUGCUUCAUAUUCUAAAUACAUUUGAUUUGAUUAUAAACUAGAACAAGUAUCCUCUUAGAACUGCGUAAUCAAUUCAGAAUAAGGGAGAGCAGGUCACAAACUCUCCUUCUCCUGCGUAAAAGAAAGGCGCACGCCAAUCCCUUUUUAGGUUAAAAUACACAAUUGAAAAAUAAUUAAACGACUCAAUCAUACUAAUUAAAAUAUGUUUUGAACAGAAUGACUAAGUCAUUUUUCAAUAGUUUCUAAUAUAUUAACGAAGAGACAUUGAUAAUUCUUUACCUUUAAUAUGUUCUUUACGUUAAUUACCUGCCUUAUCCAAUGCAUAUUGUAAGUGCUUGAAGAUUCAAUUAAUAAAAUCUUUCGUUGUGAUACAGGAAGUCUGGUUUCAAUCCUAAUGUCCUCACCUAAAUGUUACACGUACACUACUCAACUUUACUCAGCAAUGGAUCAAAAUUCAAUUAGUUACCUUUUAUUCGAAUAAUAAAAUAUAUAGAUAACUGAAAAAACACUGCAGCAUCUUUUUCGUACACAAUGCAGCCGUAAUCGAUAGAGGCUGAUUCAAUGGCAGCAACGUCUGUAUGAACCUCCCUGAGCUCGGGGCACUGAAAUUGUCAUAUAUAGUUGGUGUUACCAAGCUUACGAUGAGUAGUAAUGUAAAAUAUAUUUUAACUGGACAACUUGUAGCCAUUGAUGCAAGGUAAAGAAGACCAAACAAAAUUGUUGCUGCAGCCUGCAAGGGAAGUUAAUCAAUGAGAUUAUGAGGGCGCCGAAUUUUCUGCGCUGACGAGAAUAGAGCACAACAGAAGUCGCUCUGCCAAAAAUUCAAAUUUCCAGUUUCUUGGCCACCCUCCAACUGCAAUAAGAUUUGCCGACAUUCUUCUAUUCUAUAUUCUAAAUACAACAUAAACUAACUCAACCUAAGCUAACUAUGCCACCUUUGACUUACAGUUUAUUAAUCCUUUCAUCUGGAUCUGGGACACGAGCGUUGAGUCAAUAUAUUACUAUUUUUUAAUACCAAUUAUCAUAAAGUAAAAAAAAACAUAAAAGUAUAUAGUAAUUGUUGAUGCAAUUUUUUUAACAGUAACUAUUUUUUUUCAGAAUUUCAACUAUAUCAAGCUUUGAGGGUGUCCAAUCACGUGGUUUCCUGUCAUUAAUUAUUCUGCAAAAAAAAAUAAUAAUAAUUGUCAAAGGGUGCUAGGGUUAACAACAAUAACUCUUUGGUGCUCUAGUUAACUCUUUGUACUUAAUUUUUAGAUAGAGAGAGCUUAGAGGGAAGUGGAAAAUUUUUUUGUAUUCUAGUGCUCUAGUUAACUCUUUUUAUAUCUUACCUCAAAAUGUAGGGGUCGUAGCCUUUAUAUAGACAACUUGAAGCAUUGAGGUAGAGGAGUUAUCAUGACACGACAAGUGUCCACAAAACCCAUGCAUAAUGGCACGUAUAAAUAUGUGUGAAUACUUGUUUCUUGACUAGUAUUUUUGGACACUUGUCUUGAUUUUUUGUUGUUUUGAUUUUUGGUUCAUGACUUUUAAUGGGUUUGGGCUUGACUUUGGCCCUUAUAUUGGUUCCUCAUUGAGAGAAUUGAUUUAGUAUCAUAUUGCUUAUAAGUGAACUUUUGCAAAAGUCUUUACCCGUAGGCACUUAAAAUAAUUUCUACUGCACUUAAAAUAAUUUCUAAGUAACUAGCCUUAGUCCAUUUUUGUAUAGAAUGGUCCUAGGGAAUAUUUUUAACAAGAUUUUUCCAUAAGCGUAUUUGUAAAAUUUUGCCCAUAGGCACUUAAAAUGUUUGCCCCUAGCACUUUACGUCAAGUGUUUGUUUGCCCAUAGACUCAUUCGUAAUAUGUUUGUUUGCCCAUACACUCAUCGCAUAGAAGGUAUGUUUGUUCAUAUGCUUAUUCCGUAGAAUAUUUGUUGGCUCAUAGGCUCAUUUCGUUGAUGCCUAUAGGCGAAUUUUGCAUAAUGUUUUUUGGCCUGUAAGCUCAUCUAUAAAAUGUAUAUUUGCCAGUAAGCUCAUUUCGUAAAAUGUAAUUUUUCCCAAUAGGUACAAUCCAUAAAAUGUAUUUUUGGCCCAUAAGCUCAUUUGAUAAAAUGUUUGUUUGCUCGUGGUUCAUUCCAUAGAAUGCUUGUUUGUCAAUAUGCCUAUUUUGUAGAAUAUUUGUUGGCUUGCAAGCUCAUUUUGUAGAAUUUAUGUACCCAUAGGCUCUUUAUGUAAAUUGUUUCUAUAUACAUAGGUCAAUCUUGCGGGGAAUAGAACUAGGUCAUUUUUUUCAAAUCAUACAAUUAGGUAUUUUGUUAGUUCUUGCCUUUAGGCAAUUUAAAUAGAAUAUUUUCUAAAUACCUAGGUCAUUCUGGUAGACAAUAGCCGAGGUAAUCACUCCCUUAGGCAAUUUAAAUAGAAUACUUUCUAAGUACCUAGUUCAUUCUUAUGGACAAUCGACCUGGGUCAUUUUAUGUAGAAAGUUUUUGUUGAGUCUAUCUUUUUAUGGACUUUUGGGCUUUUUAUAAUUUGGUAUAGUAGAGAACCCCCAAGUCUCACUUUUCAAAUUUGAGAAGCAAGACUUUCUUUUCUUUUGUUUUCUUUUAGGGUUUAUUGGGUUUUUCCUUUUAUGGAUUGAAUUUCAAAAUAAAAAAAUUCUCUAAAGCAUCCAUCCUCUUAAAAUCAAUCUGUAACCAAUCUUAAAUAGCUUACUGACAGCCCUAUAGAAUUUAUCUUAACAAUUUUUAAAAUUCGUAAAGAGAGGGAGAGAGACAGAAAGUACCUCUUUUGAAAAAGACUUUUGAUUUUCUAAAGUGUGGGUGAUAAUUUCUACUAUAAAAACUCUUUGACCACUCACUAGGGAAGUGUUCAAUUUCCUUCUUUUGCCCUAUUUUUCUUCUAUCUUCUUAUCUUCUCUGAAUCAACAUUUGUUCUUUUGUUGGCUCUUUCUUGUAUAGCUGAAAUCGUUUCACUGAAGGACAUCACUCAAAAUUAAGUUGCUUCAAAAGAUAAGCAAUUUUAUAGAAAAGUGCUCUAGGCAAUCCCUGUAGAUACUUGCCCUUAGGCAUUUUGAAAUAUUUUGUCGAUACUUGCCUUUAACCAAUUUUUUAAAGACACCCUCGGGAAUUUUUUCCUUAGAAUAUUUUCAAGGAUUUGUCCCUUAAUUUUCUUGUAAAAAAUAGGCCUGAAGGACUUGGUGAAUUAAUAAUUGUCCUAAGGCAUUUUGUCAAGAUAUAGCCUUAGGUGUUUUGUCAAAACACUCCGUUAGGCCUAUUCUUAAGACAUACCUUUAAGCUUAUUAGUCGACUAUUACCUUUAGGCGUUUUAAUCAACAUCCAUGCAUAAGCCACUUUAGUCACAUUCACUCUUAGUCAUUUUGUUCAAAAAAUGCCUUAGUUAGCGCCUGCAUUUAGGUAUUUUAGUCAAUAUCUACCCUUAGUCGCCUUAGUAAGCACCUCAUUUGACUUUAAAUGUUUUAUUUACAAUAUUUUCCUAGUAUUAAUUAGGUCAAUCUUUUAAAAAGCAUACCUAAAUAAUUUUUUUAGAAUUGUAACCUUUUUGUUUUGUCGAAGACUAGCCUUUGUGGGCAUUUUUACUUAGAUUUUCCAAGUAUUUAGGUGAUUCUUUCUAAAGAGUAGACCUAAGCCAUUUUUUAUAGAAUUAAUUUUAGCUGUUUGUUGAAGACUUGCCCUUUGGGUAUUUUGUUUAAAAGUACUUUCAAGUACUUAGGUUAUUCUUUGCAAAUAAUGGGCCUGAGUCAUUCUUUAUAAAAUUAUAUCUUUCGCUCUUUGUCAAAGACUCGUUCUUUAGGCAUUUCAACUAAAAGUAUAUUCUUAGCAGUAAGGUAAUUCUUUGCAAAGAAUGGACUUGGUCAUUCUUUGUAGAAUUACACAUUUGGUGCCUUUUUGAAGACUCCCCUUUGGGUAUUUCACUAAGAAGUAUUUUCGUAGUACCUAGGUUAUUCUUUUUAGAAUUAUGCAUUUUGACAAUUUUUCGAAGACUUGCCUUUUGGACAUUUUAUUUAGAAAUAUUUUCUAAGUACCUGGAUCAUUCUUUUCAAAUAAUGUAUCUAGGCCAUUCUUUACAGAAUUAUGCCUUUAGCUAUUUGUCGAAGAUUUAUGCUCUGAGCAUUUUACUUAUAAAUAUUUCUUAAGUGUCUAGGUUAUUCCUUGUAAAGAAUGUAUCUAAGUCUUUUCUGUUGAAUCAAAGGCUUAGGUGUUUUGUCAUAUUUUACCUUUCUAGACACCUUACGAACAAUGUUUUUUUAACUUCUAAGGUCAUUCUUAUAGAGAAUGGACCUAGGUCAUUUUUGCAUAAUACGCUCGUAGGUUUUCUAAUACUUGCCCUUCAACAAUUUACUUAAAAUCUUCUAAAGAAUGGACCUAAGUCAUUUUGUGUAAUCACGCGCUUAAGCCCUUUAGCUAACAUCCAUGGUCCACCUUUUUCGUGCUUUAGUCAAAGUUUACAUUUAGGGUUUUUUUUUAAGCAUUCAUCCUCAUGCGCUUUUGUUAACACCUGUACUUAGGUGUUUUAAUCAACAUCCAUCUUAGGUACUUCAAUUAGCACCUGCACUUAAGUGUUUUAAUCAACAUUCACUCUUAGGUUCUUUAGACAAUCACUUGCCUUAAGAUGUUUUAGUUGACAUCCACCUUUAGGUGAUUUAGAUGUUUUACUUAGAAUUCUUUCUAAGUAUCUAGGUCAUUAUUGUAGUGUUAUGCCUUUGGUGUUUCAUCAAAGACUUGUAUUUUGGCGUCUUAUUUAGAAUUAUUUCUAAUUAUCUAAGCAAGUCUUAUAAAGAAUGGACCUAUGUCAUUUUUGUAGAAUUACAUGUUGGUGCAUUUUUUCAAAGACUCACCUUUUAGGUAUUUAAAAAAAUUUUCUAACUGUUUAGGUCACUCUUUAUAAUGAAUGCACCUAGGUCAUUUUUUACCGUUAUUAACUUAGCAUUUCGUAAAAGAUUUAUGCUUUUAGGUGCUUUACUUAGAAUAUUUUCUAACUACCUAUCUCUUGUAAAGAAUGGAUGUAGAUAAUCUUUUUUAAGAAUCACACCAUUGGCUUCUUUUUGGAAAACUUGUUUUCUUCUUGUUUUUGCUUAAAAAUAUUUUCUAAAUAUCAAGAUUAUUUUUGUAAAGAAUGGAACUAGGCCAAUUUUAUUAAUUACGCCCUUGGCGUUAUGUCAAAGACUCCAUUAUUAGGCGUUUUUGUUUAAAAAUAUUUUCUAAAUACCUAAGUCAUAUUUUUUAAGAAUGGACUAUGGUUAUUUUUGUGAAGAAUGAACUUAGAUUAUUUUUGGUGAAUUAUGCCCUUGGCAUUUUGUCAACUACUCACCAUUUGUCAUCUCACUUAGAAUAUGUUUUUAGUACUUAAGUCACUGUCAUGAAGAAUAGACCUAGGUUAUAUUUUGUGUAGUUACACCUUUCCUUCUGUUAAGUUCAUUAUUUAUAGAGUUGGCAUCAUAUGGCAAGUCUAGUUAAAUUAGAAUUUUAUUUAUUGCAUAUCUUGUAAUAGGGAUUAAUUUAUUAAUUCCCUAAUUUAGUGAGAUUCCAAUAUAUUAGGAAUAUUUGUUUCCUAAUUUAAUUAGAUGUCUAAUUUAGAAAGUCUAUNNNNNNNNNNNNNNNNNNNNNNNNNNNNNNNNNNNNNNNNNNNNNNNNNNNNNNNNNNNNNNNNNNNNNNNNNNNNNNNNNNNNNNNNNNNNNNNNNNNNUUAUCUGACUACUUAAAACUCCGUUUCAUUUAUUUUCUGUAAUUUAUUGUAUUUCUAGAAAAUUAAUUUUUUUAUGCGGAUGAAUAGUAACUGUGAACAGUAAUCAUGAACAGUAGCGGUAAAAAGUAUUUCUGAAAAUUAAUUAAGUUGUUAAUUUUUUUAAUUACCUACAUCUAUUUGCGAUACAUCUAAAUUCCUUUCUCUUUUUUUCUUUAAGACUCUUUUUUUAAGUGUCUUUUUAGAAAAUAAAUAUUUUAAAAUAUCUAUACCACUCUUUGUAAAAAAAAUAGACCCACACCAUUUUUGUAGUUACUUCCUUAGUGCUUUAUUGAGGACUCGCUAUUCUACCAUUUAGUUAAAAAAGAAAAGAAAAGAAAACUUCCAAGCACCUAGAUCAUCUUAUAAAGAAUGGACCUAGACCAUUAUAUAUAUAGAUUUACACCAUUGGCAUUUUGCGGAAGACAUACCUUUUGGGCAUUUUAACUAGGUCACUGUCGUAAAAAAUGCACCGAAGUCAUUUUUCAUAGAUCUAUGCCCUUGGCAUUUUUUUGAAGACACGCCAUUUGAGUGUUUUACUUAGAAGUUUUUUCUAAGAACCUAGGUUAGAAUGGACACAUGUCAUUUUUUGUAUGGUUAUACCAUUGGCAUUUUCUCUAAGAUUGGUCUUUUGGGCAUUUUACUUAAAAAAUAAAAUAGUUUCUAAGCAUCUAGGCCCUCUUGUAAAGAAUGGACUUACAUCAUUUUUUUUAGAUCUAUGUCCGAGGCAUUUUUUUGAGUACAUGCCUUUUGGUUGUUUCACAUAGAAAUUUUUUUCUAAACAUGUAAGUCACUUUUGUAAAGAAUAGACCUGGGUUAAUUUUUUUUAUAGAUUUAUCUCCUAGUCAUUUUUUUCGAAGACAUGCCAUUUCAACAUUUUCCUUAGAAAUUUUCUCUAAACACCUAGGUCCCUAUUGUAAAGAAUGAACAUAGGUUAUUUUUUUACAUAGAUUACGUCCUUGGCGUUUUCUCCAAGAUCACCUUUUGGGCAUUUUACUUAAAAAAUUCUAGGUCACUCUUAUAAAGAAUGAAACUAGGUCUGUUUUUUAAUAUAUAUUUAUACCUUUGCGUUUUGUCGAAGACAUACCUUUUAGGCAUUUUACUGAAAAAGUUUUUCUAAACUCCUAGAUUACUCUUCUAAUGAAUGGAGCUAUGUCAUUUUUAUAGAUUUAUGCUGAAGACACUUUUUGGGCAUUUUAUUUAGAAUUUUUUCUAAGGAUCUAAGCUACUCUUAUAAAGAAUGGACCUAUGUCAUUUUUAUAGAUUUAUGCCCUUGAUGUUUUGUUCAAGAGACGCCAUUUUUCCAAUUUACUUAUAAAUUUUUUCAAGCACUUGAGUUGCUAUUUUAAAGAAUGGACCUAGGUCAUUUUUUGUAUAUUAUGCCCUUGGCCUUUUGUCCAAGAUUCACCUUUUGAGCAUUUUACUUAUAAAAUAAAUAUUUUCUAAGCACCUAGCUCACUCUUGGAAGAAUGGAUUGAGAUCAUUUUUUUUUUUAUAGAUUUACUCCUUGGCAUUUUAUCGAAGACAAGCCUUUGGGUGUUUUACAUAGAAAUUUUUUUCUAAGCACCUAGGUCACUCUUGGCGUGUUGUCGAAAGUACACCAUUUGGGAAUUUUACUUUGAAAAUUUUCUACUAGCUUUCUAUUACAAGGAGUGGACCUAGCCUUUUUUUUUAUUUAUAGGUUCAUAUACUUGAUAAAUUGUCAAAGACACACCAUUUGGGCAUUUUAUGUAGGUUUAAACAUCCAGGUUAUAUUAUAAAUAAUGGACCUAGGUGGUAUUUGUUUUUAAUGCAUUUAUGCCUUGGCUUUUGCGAAGACAUGUUAUUUGGGCAUUUUACUAAGAAAUUUUUUUCUAAGCAUCUAGGUCACUAUUUAACAAAAUGAAUAUUCUUUUACUUAGAAAUUUUUUCAAGCACCUAGUUAACUAUUGUAAAAAAUGGACCUAUGUCAUAUAAACAAAAUGGAUAUCAUUUUACUUAGAAAUAUUUCCAAACACCCUAGUUAACUAUUGUAAAAAAUGGAUCAGUACCAUUUUUUUUUUAUAGAUUUACGCCCUUGUCAUUUUGCCGAAGACACAUGUUUUGGGUAUUUUGCUUAGAAAUUUUCUCUAAGCACCUAGCUCUCAUAAAAAAUGGACAUAGGACCUUUUUAUAGAUUUAUGCCCUUGGCAUUUUGAUGAAGACACACCAUUUAGGUGCUUUAAUUAGAUUUUUUUAAGCGCAAAGGUCAAUAUUUUAAAGUAUGAUCAAAGUCAUUUUUUUUUUCAGAUUUAAGCUUUUACUAUUUUCUUUAAUACAUGCCUUUUAGGCUCUUUAUAUAGAAAUCCUUUCUAACCACCUAGGUCAAUUUUAUCAAGAAUAGACCUAGGACUUUUUUUUUAAUAAAAUUUUGCCUUGGUGUUUUACUUAAAAAUAUACUUAGAAAUAUUUUCUAAGUAUUUAGGUCAUUCUUUAUAAAAAAAAUGGACCUAGGUCAUUUUGCAUAAUGAGUUACACAUCAUCGUUUAGUUGAUUAUUGUAUUUCAAGUCUCACCUAGAAUAUUUUCUAUGUACCUAAGUCACAAUUUGUAGAUAAUAGACCUAGUCAUUUUUGUACAAUAAAUUACAUCUUGCCAUUUUGUCGAUGAAUUGCCAUUUGACGUCUUGUUGAUGACUCACCAUUUGGUGUCUUACUUAGAAUAUUUUCGAAGUGCCUAGCACAUCAUUUGUAAAGAGUAGACGAAAGUAAUUUUUUGUAGUGUCACACCCUUAGCAUUCUAUUUUACUUUAAAAUAUUUUUGAAGUACCUAAAUCACUUUUGUAAAGAAUGGAAAUAGGUCAUCUUUUGUAAAGUUACGCCCUCACUAUUCUAUUAAAAACUUGCCCUUUAGGCACUUGAUGUAAAAAUUAUUCUAAAUUACUAGGUUACUCUUUGUAAAGAAUUGACUUAUUUUAUUCUAUUUUUGUCAAUACUUGCCUUUAGCCACUUAGAUAAUAUUAUAGGCACCUAGGUCACCUUUAUAGAGAAAUGAUCAAGGUUUCUUUAUAGAUUCAUGUCAUUGGGCAUUCUAUCAAUACAUGCCAUUACACACUUCAUUGAGAUACGCUUAUAAGCAUUUUGUCAAGACUUACCACCCUUGGGCAUUUUAUCAAUAUACAUCCUUGGGCCAAUGGUAGAGUUGCAACUAAGCAUAACAAUGAGGAUAAUGAAUCCCCUAGUUGUUACUUGACUCCACGGAUAAAAAAAUUAAGUUUUAUUAAAAGUCAAUAUAUGCAAUUCGCAGCCAUUAACCCUUGUCAUUAGAUAUAGAUCUCUACAUCCUUUGAACUUUCAUCAUUAGUUACAAUAUUAGGGUAUUUAUAAUUAUUGUCCACAAUCAAGAUAAACCAUUUUGGCCUUUUGUUCGUUCCUGACAGACAACGUCAAUUGUUGAUGCAAAUUUUUACAUAAUAAAUAGUAAUUAUUUUUGUUCUAGAAUUUCUUAUAUAUCAAAUCUUGUGGCCCAUUUUCUUUUUGAGGUGAGGAUCUCUAAUUACAUGGCUUCUUUUGGUGAAUUAUUCUACAAAAAAAAAAUGUCAAUGGGUACCAGGGUUGCCGGCGAUAGCCCUACAAAGCCCAAGUUUGUGUUUUGUACUCAAUUUCAAUAGAGAGAAUGUUUGAAGGGAAGUAAACAUUAUUUUGGUACUCAUUUUAUGUCUUACCUCCAAAUAUAGGAGGCCUUAGCCUUUAUAGAGACAACUUGAAGCACUAAGGUGGACGACGUAUCAUGACAUGUGAGGUUGCUAUCGUGACAAGUGUCCAUAAAGCCCUUGCAUAAUAACACCUAUCAAUAUAUGUCAAUACUUGUUUAUGACAAUUAUUGUUUGGAAACUUGUCUUGAAUUUUGGCUCUUGACUUUUAAUAGGCUUGGGCUUGAAUUUGGCCCUGAUAUUGAUUCUUCAUUAAAAGGAUUGAUUUAGUGUCAUAUUGCCCAUAAGUGAACUUUUUGCAAAGUCUUUUCCCAUGGCACUUAGAAUAUUUUCAAGUAAUUGGCAUUAGUCUAUUCUUGUAGAGAAUGGCCCUAGGGCAUUUUUUAAUAAAUUUUGCGCGUAGGCAUAUUUGUAUAGUUUUGUUUAUAAGUACUUUACAUAAAGUUUUUAUUUACCUGUAAGCUCAUUCUAUAAAAUAUUUGUUUCACCUAGACUUAUUUCAUAGAAAGUAUAUUUACGAUGUAGGCGCAUCCCGUAGAAUGUACUCUUAGCUCGUAGGCUGAUUCCGUAGAAUUGUUUUGGCUUAUAGGGUUAUUCCAUAGAAUAUUCUUUUGCUCGUAUGCGAAUUGAACAAAAUUUUUGUUGGCCCAUAGGCUCAUACGUUAGACUGUUGGCUUAUUCAUAAAAUGUAUGUUUGUCCAUAGGAGUCCAUACAAUAUAUUUUUGGCCGGUAAGCUCAUUCCGUAAAAUAUUUGUUUACCCAUUGUCACAUUUUAUAGAACAUUGAAUGGCCCAUAGGCUCAUUUCAUAGAAUUUAUGUUUGACCAUAGGAUCUUUACAUAAAUUAUUUCAUGUGUACCUAGGUCUAUUCUCUGCAAGAAUGAUGCACUAAUGUGUUUUUGUAGAUUGUCAACGUUACCCAAUUUACUUAGAAUACUUUCUAAGUACUCAAGUCAUUCCUGUAGACAAUAGACCUAGAUCAUUUUUGUAUAAUCACGCCCUUAAGGCAUUUAUCUAUUUUUUUGCUUAGGCAAUUUAAAUAAAAUACUUCCUUGGUUUGGUAAAAUAUGGGGUUGGGUCGGGCUUUUCCAAGCCCAGGCCCAAGCCCAUAUUAUUGACAAUAAGCCCAAGCUCUUCAAAAGGAUAGGCUGCGCUUGGGCCGAGCCUAGGCUUUUUUUUUAUUAAAUAUGAAAUAAUUUUUUAAUAAAUUAAUAAAUAUUUAAAUUAAAGAUAACUAUCCGAUACAUAAUAAAAUAAUAAUCCAAUAUAAAAGAUAUUAAUAACACAACAUAAUAAAUCACAAAUACUAAUAUAAAAAAUAUUAAUUUAAUAUUUUGAGUUUUUUCUUUUUUAUUUAAAUUUAAUUUAUCUAGUAUUUGUGACUAUAAGAGUUUAUUAUUAUACUAGGUUUUAGUAGGUUUCGAUUAUAUUGGGCAUUAAUAUAUUAGACUGCAUAGACAAACUAUGUAGUCUCCUAGGGCCCCUAUUAUAUGAAGACCCUUUUUUUUGGGUAAUUCUCUAAUAGUACUUGAAUUAAUCAAUUUUUUAAGUUAGGCAUUGUGGGAAAGCUUAUUUUUUAGACCUAUCUAUAAUAAAUAAUUAUUCCACAAUUAAGAUUGUUUUAUAUAGAUUCUAUAGAUUGACAACCUUAAUGUUAAAGAACUAUAAGUCAUAAUAUUGGCUAACCGUUAAUUCAUUCAUUAUUAUUUUUUCAAUAAAAAAUUAAAUUAUUUAUCUUUAUGAUUUAAAAAAGGAACUUAACUAUUUAAUAUUAAAAGUUUAUUGUGCUCUUCUCUACAAAGAAAAUUAUUAUAAAACUAUUAGCUCACUUUUGAAGUGAAAAAAAAAGUUUAUUGAAAUAAUGGUUAUAAUGGAUUAAAAAGAGAUCUUCUUUACUAUUUUUUUUUUUGGGAAUUUCUUAGUUUCCUAUUGAUCAUUGUUGAAAUUCAUGAUAUAAUUAGGGAUUGAUCCAAUUAACUUUUUUAUAUUUAUUUGAGUGUUGAAGUUGCUAAAUGUAAGGAAAUCUUAUAUAAAAAUUUCACCUAAGGCCCGUAAUACUCUAGAACUGACCCUAUUGGGCUAAUUGUAGGGAUGGCAAAGGGGAGAGGAGGAGAGGGGAUCGACAUCCAUGUAUCCAUCCCCAAUAUCUACAUAUGUCUUUGUCCCCUCCCCGUCUCCAUCAUAAUUGCUUGAGGGAAUCCCCGUCCCCUUCCCAAAUAAUAAUAGGGGAUCCCUGAGAGUCCCUGAUCCCCAAAAACCUUAUACGUUUUUUGUUUUUUAUUUUAAUUUAAUUAUAUUAAAUAAAAUUAAAUAAAAGUAGAGUUAAGGCAGUUGCUGGCUGUUGUUGAAAGUUAGAAAUUAUGUUUAUGAUUUUGCUUUAACUUUUUUUUAUUAGAUAAAAGUUUAAAAUAUUUAAUGAAUAUUAUAUUUAAAAACUUUUGGGUCAAUAGGAUCUUGUCUAGCCUUUUUAAUGUCCUAAAUAGAAAUUUAAGACUACAACUAGUCAACUAGGCCCAAAAGUUUAAUAAUAUAAAUAUUUUGAUAUUUGUUAUUUAUAUCAAUAUUUAAUAUUUUACAAUUAAAAUUUUAUUAUUUAUUCACUAAUAAUUUUAAAAAAUUAAAUUAAAUUAAAAAUUAAAAUGGAGAAAUGAGGAGGGGAUGAGGAUUCCACUUCAUCCCGUCCAUUUCCUGAAUAAGAAAUUAGGUAAAAAAUCAUUCUUGUCCAUUUCCUAAAUAAAAAAAUUGGGUAUAAAAUGGUUUGCAUAUCUUUUCCAAAUGGGAAAAUCCCCAAGGGUCGCCGUCCCCUUGGGGAUUUUUGCCAUCCCUAGUUAAUUGUACGUUUCUGUAAACUUCCUAGUUGAUUGUCUACUCAGUAAACUUUAGUUGUAAUUGACUUUGAUUAUUUUGUAAAUAAUAUUCAAUAAACAAAUGGCGAGAGAAUCAAUAUUUUCUUAAAGAAGAUCCCAAAAAGAAAUAUAAUGAAUCUAAAGGUAAGAUGAUCAAAACUUUGACAAGAUCACAAUGAGAAAUAAAUGAAUUUUUGCAUUGAAAUCUAGUAUCAUCUAUGAUAAUGAUUUUUAGUAGAUGAUAAUGAAGAGAGCUUAUUAAAUGAUAAUUAUCAAAAGUGGGGGCGCGGCUACAGUACAUGCAUGUAUCUCAUACAUGCAUAAAAAAAUAGCCAUUGGAUUAAAUUGGAGUAGAUUGAAUGACUGAGAUUUUUUAUUGUUAUUAAAUAUGAAAGAAAUGGAAACCUCAAAAAUCGGUAAACAUGAAACAUGAGACUAAUAAAUAUGAAACACCUACCAUUAACUUGAAACUGGAUCAUUAAACUUGAAACCAAAUGAACUUGAAACUAAGGGCAAUGAACUUGAAACCGAGGGCAAUGAACAUGAAUUUUAAGAUCCUUAACUUGCAACCCCGAUUAAUGGACCAAUAAACAUGAAACACCUACCAUUAACUUGAAAUUGGGAUCAUUAAACUUGAAACCAAAGGAACUUGACUUAGAGCAAUGAACAUGGAACUCGAGAUCAUUAACUUGCAACCCCAAAAAUCAUGUAAUUAAUGGACCAAUAAACAUGAAACACCUGCCAUUAACUUGGAACUAGAACCAUUAAACUUAAAACCAAAUGAACUUGAAACUAAGGGCAAUGAACAUAGAACUUUGGAUUAUUAACUUGCAACCCUUAAAAUCAUGCAAUUAACCAACAAACAUGAAACACCUACCAAUUAACUUGAAACUGAGACAAUUAAACUUGAAACCAAAUGAAUUUGAAACUGAGGGCAAUGAACAUGAAACUUAGGAUCAUUAACUUGCAACCCCAAUUAAUGGACCAAUAAACAUGAAACACCUACCAUUAACUUGAAAUUGGGACCAUUAAAUUUGAAAUCAAAUGAACUUCAAACUGAGGGCAAUGAACAUGAAACUUAUGAUCAUUAACUUGCAACGCCAAUUAAUGGACCAAUAAACAUGAAACACCUACCAUUAACUUGAAAGUGGGACCAUGAAACUUAAAACCAAAUGAACUUUAAACUGAGGGCAAUGAACAUGAAACUUAGGAUCAUUAACUUGCAACCUUGAUUAAUGGACCAAUAAACAUGAAAUACCUACCAUUAACUUGAAACUGAGAUCAGUAAACUGGAAACCAAAUGAACUUCAAACUGAGGCAAUGAACUUGAAAUUGAUGGCAAUGAACAUGAAACUUAGGAUCAUUAACUUGAAACCCUGAUUAAUUGACCAAUAAAUAUGAAAUACCUACCAUUAACUUGAAACUGUAACCAUUAAACUAAAAUUCAAAGGAACUUGAAAUUUAGAGCAAUGAACAUGGAACUUGAGAUUAUUAACUUGCAACUCUGAAAAUCAUGCAAUUAAUGGAUCAAUAAACAUGAAACACCUACCAUUAACUUGAAAUUAAGACCAUUAAACUUGAAACCAAAGAAACUUGAAACUUAGAGCAAUGAACAUGGAACUUAGAAUAAUUAACUUGUAACCCCAAAAAUCAUGCAAUUAAUGGACCAAUAAACAUAAAACACCCACCAUUAAACUUGAAACUAAUUUUUAAUUAUUAUAAAACUAAUUGUUUAUUAUUAUGUUGCCUUUAUUAUUAAAAUAAUUAUUAUUUUAUUUAUUACAUUAUUUUAUAAUAUAAUAUUUAUUAAGGAGCAAUGCUCCAAGGUUUUUUUUUAUGUUUGGCUGCCAAGUGCCAGCCAAAGAAUGGCCAUAUUUUUUUAAUUUUUUUAUUACCCGCAUGUAUGUGAUACAUGUGGGUAUUGUAGCGUGGGAAUGCCUAAGUUACGAUCAAUGUAUCUUACGAUUUUUGUCUUUUUCUUCUUUGGCUAAUUUCUUUUGGGUCCUUUUAUUUUUUAACUUUUACAAUUGUGGAUGUAUUUGAUUUCUUCCAUCCCUUCUACACCUAUUUCUUAUUUUUUCUAAGAUUUUGUUUAUUUCCUUAAAUAACAUUAAAUGGUUAUCAAAUUCAUAUAAAUCUAUAAUUUCAAAGUAGAUUUUUGGUCCUAAAUUUAUUAUUCCUAUUCUUUCUUGUUCUAGUAAAUCUAUUUUCUGAUUUAUUAGAGUUAUAUAUGUAUUUAAUAUGUUUUCCCAUCCUAAAAUCAUAUGAUCUAUACAAUCUGCUAAUUCAUGUAUUAUAUUAAAUGCAUGUUGAUUAUGAUUCAUAAUGCUUCCUUCUUAUACCAAUAUACUAGAAAUUUUAUAAAUUCAUCAAUAAACUUCAUUUUCUUUUCUAUUAAUAUUUCUCCUCCAGUUGUGUCUAUUUGCCUUUCUCUAAGUUCUUCUGUUAAUUCGAGUUCUAUAUUUCUUAUAUUAUUUUUAUUAGUUUUUAAAGCCAUUAUAAGGUUUUUUAUUUCUUCUUUGUUAUAUACUUUUAAAGUAUAUAUGCUAUUAACUAUUGUUUGUAUUGGAUCCAUCAAUUAGACUUAUAUGAAAUAAAAUAUUAUCAAAGUUUUAAUUCGUAAGAGUUAUGAUUCUAGUUAUGGCUCUGAUACCAUCGUGUUUCUGAUGAAACUAAGAUUUAAACAAAUUUAAACAAAACUAAGAUAAGAUUUAAACAAAUUUAAACAAAACUAAGAUUAACUAAGAUUUAAACUGAAUAUCAAAUUUAGACUGAGAAUUAAAAUUUAGAAUGACUGAGUAUUACAGAAAGAUAUAUUUCAUUUAUUAUGUGUAUGUCAAAACUUUCUAUAGUAUAUAUCUAUCAUAUCCCGUGUCACUAUUAUUUCUUAAAAAUAUGGCUAUAACUUGUUCUCCAUCAAUUGUUCUAGGGAAUGUAUUAGGAAGAGUAGGAACAUAUAAGUCAUAAUAAUUAUUAUCAGUUUCCAAAAUAUAUGUAGGAUUAAAACUUCCUGUUACAUUUUCUGAAUAAAAUAUUUCUACUUUUAUAAAAUAUAUAUUAUUGUUUAUUAUACUAGUGUAAUACCUGAUUUCAUUAUAAAUUUCCAUGAUUAUAGAUUGAUUAUAGGUACGUGGCUUGUUAUCCCAAAGUACAGAGGAUACUAACGCCCAGUCGGGAUCGUCUAUCCAAUUUACGUCAUGGGUUGCUCGCCUAUAUACCUUAUAAUCCUUAUAGUAUAUAUUUUAUAGUUCAAGUUCUUCAUUAUCUGAAUUUUCUAAGUAGUUUAUGUAUGAUGGUCCAAUUUCUCUACUUCCAUGUUUUACAUAUGCCAAGGCUAUGUCAAUUCCUUGUUCUACAGUUAACAUAAUUAUGUUAUGCUUUAAAGUGUCUAUUUCUAUAUGGUUUAUAAUUUUUCUUUUUAUUUCUUUUGGUAAUUCAAGCUUAUACACUGCUUGUAGUUCUCCUGUUCUAACAAGUUCGUCUUUAUUUAAAAGAUAAGAACUUUGUUUAAAUGAUCCUAAAUUAAAGUCUAUUAUUAUUGUAUAAUCAUUAUAUGUUAUCCUAGUUUUUGGGUUUACCAUAUAUUCUUUAGAAUUUCCUAAUAAGAUAUCGUUAUUCAUCAAAAUAUUUCACUUCAAAAAAUUAGCUCUUCCUCUAUAAAUCUCCUUAUCAACUAUCAUCAACAAACUUCCACCAACAGAUAAGGAUUAAGAAUUAGUACCUAAGUUAUUCUUGUUCCUUUACCUUAUGAUCUUUCUCUAGUGACCUGCAGCCUUGUUGUCCUUAUUCCCUCAAUGGCCUCCUUGCCUCAACGGGAUCAGCGGACUCGAGUGGCCUUACUGUAUGGAAUACGAUCGUAGUGCUUAGGAAUUUUGAAUAAAUUUAGGUUUCCCUUUCCUUUCUAUGGGAUUUUUGUUUUUGAUUAGUGAUGUAUUGAUUUAGGAUUCUGAGCUAAAAAGAGGUUUUAGCUGAUCAUUUUUAGAACGAAGAUGAUGGAAGAUAAUGGAGUUAUGGCUGAAUGAUAAAGCUCUUAGAGCUUANNNNNNNNNNNNNNNNNNNNNNNNNNNNNNNNNNNNNNNNNNNNNNNNNNNNNNNNNNNNNNNNNNNNNNNNNNNNNNNNNNNNNNNNNNNNNNNNNNNNNNNNNNNNNNNNNNNNNNNNNNNNNNNNNNNNNNNNNNNNNNNNNNNNNNNNNNNNAGUUAUGGCUGAAUGAUAAGCCCUUAGAGCUUAUUGCUAUUAUUUAUAUUCGAACUUACUUCGAGUUUAUGAUUACAUUUUUGCCCUUCUAUUAUUGGGCUUUUACAUGACUUCUUUUUCUUGUCAAGCAUCUGUCGAGCAUCUUCUUGUAGCUUUAUCACGCGUUUUGCCAAACAUCUUUAUCUUUUGUCUUGUUGUAGCUUUAUCACGCUUUAUCACAUGCCUUAUCUUGCCAAGCAUCUUUAUCUUUUGUCUUGUUGUAGCUUUAUCACGCUUUACCACAUCUUGCCCACCACAUCUUUAUCUUUUUAUGUUGUCGGCUAUAGCUUGUCAGUCAUUGCUUUAUGUCCAUGAGUUGAUAAGCCUGCUCUGUGGUUUUGCUGCUACUGGGGAAACGCAUAGUACUUAUCUCGUUGAUGAAAUCCAAUAACAGAUUUGAAGGUGUAUGACCGUCCUCAGAAGUUAUAAGGAUGUAAUUCUUAAAUUUAAUGAUGGAUCUGAAAUUUCUUUUAUAUAAAUCCUUAGCUAUGCUCCAUAUGGCUUUUAUUCCUCUGGCUCUCCGUGUUCUGAUCCAAGCUUCAUUUAUGUGAGGAACAUUUGUAUAUUCUGUUCCUACUUCGACUUUAAAAUUUUUUGUAAUAUGGCCUACAGAAAUCAUAUAGAAAGCCUGGUACUCUAUAUUCUGAUAGUAUUCUGGGCUUAUAAUGUAAAACUUCAAGUAUAUGGGUCUUUUUUGGGCAAAUCUUGAGACUUCUUUUAUUAGUAAAUCAUCAAGGCUGGCUAUUUCUCGAAGGUCUACACCAGGAUAUACUAAGUCUAAAUAGCCAUAUUUUGCUAUUUUCCCAACAAGGAGUGGGUCUGCUCCUUUUGUAAUAAUCAUCCUGGGGUACAUAUUUUUUCCAGGUGCUUUAAAAAUUGUAUUAUUAUGAGAACAAGUGGAAUAUACCCAUGUAGAAAAUUGUUUAUGGUCUUCUUCUUUUGGAUUUAAGGGUUUCUCCUCUUCUUCCAUGUAAGGAUUGUCUAUUUGAAUAAACUUUUUUGGAGGGUCUAAUUUUGGUGACUCAACUUCUAUGGAUAUGGUUUUAUUCGGAAUUGCGUCAGAGAUUGGUUUAUCUUCUCUGAAGGGUCCACUACUGCUUCCUAUAUUUGGGUUUGUUUCUAUUGGGCUCGUGUUUAUAGAGAGCGCCUUUGUUAAGUCGUCUAUGUAUGACUCUAACAAAUUUACUCCUUUCUCAUGAGCCUCAGAAGCUUCUUUUUUAUAUUGUAUUGCAUCAAUUAUGUCAGAUGCUUCAGCCUUGAGUCUUUGUAUCUCGGCUUUUAUUUUCCCGAUAGUUCUAUUUGCUUCGGGAUUCAUUCUCCAAAUUCUAUGUUCCUGCUUAGAAAAUCUGCAAGGAAAUUGUUAGUCCCUUUUAUAUGUACUAUCUUAAAAUUAUAAUAAGAUAGAUAAACUUGCCAUCUAUGUAAUCUUCUAUAUUGAGGUUCAUUUGGUAAAAUUUUAUUGAUAAGAGAAUUUACUUGAGAAUUAUCUGUUUCUACAAUAAAUUGUUUUUUAAGUAAAAAUAAUGAGAAUUUUUUAAUUCCUUUGUAUAUUGCAAGGAGUUCUUUUUCAUGUACUGGAUAAUUGAUUUGUGCCUGAUUAAAUGUUCCACUUGUGUAUCUACAAAUUUCAUUUAUAUCAGUUUUCAGAAUUGCUCCCCAAUAUAAAUCUGAUGCAUCUGUUUGAAUUAUUAAUUUAUCUUUUUCGUUAGGUAAUCUCAAUGCUGGGAGGUUUUUACAUUCUUGUUUUAAAUUUUUUACAGUUUCUGUAUGUUCUUCACUCCAUCCUCUAGUAUUAUUUUUUCUUAGUAAUUUCUAAAGAAUAUUUCUCUUUUUGAUUAGAUCUUUUAUAAAUCCUUCUGCAUAAUUUAAACAACCUAAAAAUUUUUGUAUUUGUUGUUUAUUUUCUUAUUUAUCUAGAAAUUUGAUUAUUUUUCUUCCUAUAUGGCUCUGAAGUCUAAUGCCUUGUUUGUCGAGUAUCAUUCCUAAGAAUUCUAUUUUCUUAUGUUCUAUAACUGCUUUUUUACUAGAUAAUACUAUACCUUCCUUAAUACAUAUAUUAAUAAAUUCUUUUAAAUGGUGUCUAUGUUCCUCCACUGUUUCUGAUGUUAUUAAUAUAUCAUCAACAUAUACUAUAAUAUAGUUAUAAUUUCUAAAUAUUUUAUCCAUUCUACUCUGGAAAAUUUGAGGGGCAUUUUUUAGUCCAAAGGGCAUUACUAACCAUUCAUAAUGUCCUUGUGGGGUGCUAAAAGCUGUAUAAGGAAUACUAUUUUCUUCCAUUUUUAUUUGCCAAAAUCCUGAUUUACAGUCGAAUUUUGAAUAAUAGGUCUUGUUUUUUACAAGAUUUAUCAAUACCUCUUUAUUAGGGAGGAAAUAUCCAUAAAAUUUUGUGUAUUUAUUUAGUUCUUUAUAAUUUAUUACCAUUCUUGCUUUUCCUCUCACUUGCUCUGCUCUUUUCCUGACCAUGAAUGCUGGGCUAUUAUGUGGGCUAUUGCUAUUCCUAAUGAGUUUUAAAUUUAAUAAUUCUUUUAUUUGGAUUUUGAAUUCUUCUCUAUCUUCUUCUGUAUACAUCAUGGGUUUUAAUCUUAUGAUUCUGUUUUCAAGUAAUUCUAUUUUUGCUUUAGGAUGAUCUGGUUUCCAUAAUGCUAACGGAUUUUCUCUAUAAACUUGUUCAAGUUGUGACUUUAUUGUUUCUAGUUGUAUAUUAUAACUCUGACCUUUUUGUAUUAAAUAAUAUUUUUCAUAAAUGUGCUUAUCACCACGCUGGGCUGGUUGAACUCUGUAGGGUCGAAAUUCACGAGGGAUGCGUAAAAUAUGAUUACAAGGGGUUUUUAAGGUGAUCAUAUAUGUAGUCUGCUGGUAAUAUUGAAAUUGUUGUAGAAAGUCAUUUCCUAAAAGUAUAUCACAAUCUAGAUUAUUCUAUUGAAAGAUUUGGUUAAUACUAAUUAUUUUACUGCCAAAUAAUAUUUCAAAGUUUAAUAUAGAUUGAUUUACUUGUUGUUUAUCGCCAGUAAUUCCUAUAAUUUUUAAUUUUUCAUUUGAUUCCCAUCUAUUAGAUAAAAAGGAUUUCAUAAUAGUUAUUUCACUACCUGUGUCAAUUAAAGCACAAGUAUCUAUGUCUUUUUCUAGUAUAUUUAUUUGGAUAUAAACAGACAUAGGGUAUUUUACAUAAGCUUGUUUUAACAUGUGUCGCAAACUAUUCUUUGACCUUGUAUAAGGAAAGUUAUUUUAUUUGGUUCAAUUUUGUAAUAUUCUAAAUCACUUAAAAAACUAUUUCCUAGUACUAUAUGUUUUUCUGGAUCUGUGGUCAUAAAUGAAUCUAUAUAACAAGGUACUAUUAUUCUAAGUCCUUCUAUGAUUAUAGGGACUUUGACUUCUUGUUUACAAAUAUGUUUAUUACCAUUGAAAUCAGUGUAUUCAUAAGGAAUUUCUUUUUCUUUUACUAAAAGUCCUUUAUUUUUUGUAUGGUUCAUAUAAUUAUGGCUGGUACCCGUAUCUAUUAAUAUAGGUAUUUUUGUUGUAUAAUCUAUCCCAUUAAAGUAUUGCCCUAAUAUUUUUAUUACACUAUUAGUAGGUAUGGAUUUUAUUAUUUGUUUAUCAGUGCUUAAUCUUCUAGAUGAACUUCCUCUUAUUAGAGUUCUUCCUGCAAAACUUAUAGGAAUUAUAGAGUUUUCAUUAUUAUUAUCUAAAAAUGGUUUUCUAUCAUCUAUUUUUAAUUCAUAAUUUAUGGGAAUUUUGUAAUCUUGAAUUACAGGUUCUAUAAAUGUUGCUAUAUCUUCACAAUCCUUAUUUAUUUCUAUAUAAGGUUUAUUCCCAUAUAUUUCUCCAUAAUUCGAAUUACAAAAACUAUACAAAGCUGAGUAGUGUAAUGUCAUUAUUCUAUUUCCUUCUUUCAUUAGAUUUUUCUUUAGUAAUUUAAAAUGUAAACUUAAUGUUUCAUCUAUAUUUUUAUCUUUUAUAUGUACGCAGUAUCUAGGGUGGCAGGUAAAUAAUAAUUUAGUGUAACAUAAAUUUCCUUCUAUCGUCCCUAAAUGUCCUAUGCUAGGGUCUGUAAACCUUUGAUCAUGUAAUGAUAGAACUAUGGGGCUAUCUAUUCCUUCUUUAAAAAGGGAUUUUAUUAAGAUUUGGAUUUUUGCCAAAUAUACAUAUUGAAUUUUUUCUUUAGUUGAUUCACUUUUUAUUUUUCUUAAUGCUAAGUCUAUUGAUCUUUUAUUGAGCAAACUGAAUCUAAUAUUUCCUUCAACUUGUGUAAUUGUUACAGCUUUUUCUUGUUCAUAAUAUUCAUGUAGUAUAAUUCUUUUUCUUUUAAAUAGAUCUCUAAAUCUAUGUAGUAUUCCAUAUUCUGGUUUUUCCAUAUUUAAUUUUAAAAGUUUAUUAUACUUUUCUUUAUUAAAAGUAGCUACAAGACUAUAUCCACUUUUAUUUUCUUCUUUUUCUAUCUCUUCUAUUUCUUCUACAUUUUCAUUUCCCAUUAUUUCUUCCCUAUUCGGAUUCAUCUUCUGAUUUUUCUAUCAUGUAGACCUCUUUUCCAUCAUGUUCUGAGAGAUUACUUAUUUCUUCUAAAUUACUUUCUAUAUUUUCAAAAUCUUCUUUUAAAAGUCUAACUUUCUUUUUUGUACAAUCUGUACUGAUGUGUCCCAAUUCUCCACAAUUCCAACAUUUACAUUUGGAUUUAUCUAAUAUUUUUCUUUGGUUUUUAUAUUUUCUUUUAUAAUAUUUUCUUCCUGCCUUUUUAUAUUUUCGUUUAAAAUUAUUAUAUUUCUUAUAUUUCUUAUAUCUUUUUUCUUUUUUGUAAGAUUUUCUGUACCGUUUAUGAGGUGUAUAACAUCCCCAUUGAGUAGGCAUUUCUGUUUUUUCACAACAUAUUUUUAUAAUAUUUUUACUCUUUUUUAUUAGAUUUCUUUGAAUACAUAUUUCACUUAAUCUUGUAUUUAAAAAUCUUAUUCUAGAUCCUAAUGUGUCUGGGAGUCUAUUUUCAUUAUUACUAGUAUAUUUUUCAUAUUCAUUAGUAAAAUAUCCAUUCCAAGGGUAAGGAAGUUUAGAAUAGUACAAAUUUUUAUAAAUAUUUUGGUCUUCAUGACUCAUAAACUGGGCAUAAUAGUAUUUAGAAAAUUCACAGGUAUAUUCUUUAACAAAACACAUAUUACAAAUUGUUAAAUUUAUUAGUUUCAUUCUUGCUUCUAAUUUAUCACGUUUUGAUUCAUUUUCUGAGUUUUGUAACCAAUCUUCUCCUAAAAAUUCACUAGCAAUAUAUUCAAUUAUUCUUUCAAUUCCUAAUCCUUUAUUUCUUCCUAAUGCUAUUUUGGUUGAAUCCUUUAUUAAUCCUUGUGUAUCUUCACUUAGUCCUUUCCACCAAUUAAAUACAUUUCCUGAGAAGCUUGCUAUUAAAAUAUCAGCAAAUAUAUUUAUUUUUUCUUCUUCUGUUUCAACAUUCCAAUCUUCUCUUGAUCCAUUAAACAGAAAAAAUAAUUUCAUUUGCAUUCCCCAUUCUACUAAGGCCUUUCGGGGGUCUGCUUUGCAGUCUAAAUCUAAAAAUGUAUCAGCAUUGCUUAUUGGUAUUAGAUGGUCAUUAUUAGGUUGGUAUUCUUUUUUCCAUUGGUUAUUUUUGGUGGGUGGAUAAUAUUCAAAAAAUGGUCUUUUCUUCUUAUGUGUUUCAUACCUAUGGCUUGGUUCUGCUACAUUAGGUUUCAUUUCUGGUCCUCCAGCAACAUUCAUUUUUACACAAUAUUCUCUUUCAAAUUCUUCCAAAUCACUUAGAUUUAUAUCACUGAAUUUUUCAAUUAAUUCUUCUAAUGUUUCAUCCAUCAAUCAGUAUCACUAAGUGAUGUUUCUUUUAUUUCUAGUUUUUCUUUACCUUUUUCUUUAGUUUUUAAUUCUGCUUUCAAUUUUUCUGUUUCUUCUAGUAUUUUUGGGUAUUGAAUCUUUACGAACCAGUCGUCAUAGCUGCCUGGUUGAGGUUUUUGUAUGGGUUCUUUAAAGCUUGUUCCAAUUAUUCUAGAUUUUAGUAUUUCAAAUUUUUCUACUCUUUUAUUUUUCUUUUGGCUUAAUUGGAUUACAGAUAAUUCUAUUUUUAUUUUUCCUAUUUCUUAUUUAAUUUCUUUUAUCUCUUCUUUGAGAUUUAAAAGUAGUUCUUUUAAUUCAAAUAGUGUGGUUUCCAUAAAAGUUAAGAAUUUUUAUUGAUAUUAUCUUUAUUGAACGUAUGUUACGUUCAACGUAACAUAGAGUUAGCCUUGUAGCGUUGGCCCAAAAGUGGGCUUCAGGAAAGUACUUAGAAGAUUUUGCGUGCGACAAGAAAUUCUCCAAUGUACAUCCAAUCACUAGCUGGGCUUUCAUUUUUCUUUAAUUUUUCUUUCACCUAGAAUCAAUUACAAACGCCAUGCUUCUUCAUGAUGAAUACAUGACAGAUAGCGACACUCUAUGGGCACUAGGUUGGUACCUUGGAUGGAGUAUUAUUCUAAGAUAUUGACUACCUGGGUCCCGUGAGCUCAUAAGCCUAACAUAUAUAAGUCAAUUUCUACUUACUUUUAAUUUAAAUUAAAGUUCGAACUAAUAAAUAGGUAAGAGAUUUUUUGCAUAUGGGCUUAGAUAUUCUUAACUAAAAUUUUCGUGAAUAGUAAAAAUAAAAAUUGAGUGUGUUAUGAGAAAAAUAAAAAGUAUUUAAGAAAUUAGAUUUUAACGUUAAACUCACUUGUGAUUAUGACCUAAAAAAAUAUUUAUCUAACAUAUGCUGUUGUAAUUUAGUUAAUUUAAAAAAAAUGAACCAGGAAAAAGAGGUCGAUAUGUUCAGAAUUAAUGAUUUAAUUAAAAAAUUGUUUGGUCUUUCUCUGUUGUUACAAUUAUUUUGCUAAUUGAAUUUCUCUAGCCGAGUGAUUAAUAGAUGGCUAUGAUUUUAGUUGAGUUUGGAGUUAAGUCUAAGAAGUGUGAUAAUGGUGAUGAUGAUGAUAAUGUUUUUAGAGUGGAGCCAUUGGCAAGCCAAAUUCCUCUUAAAACAUUUAUUGUAUAUAUUGACAAUUGUAAUCUUAGUUGAAAUUACAUAAGCGGACAAGAUAAACCUAACAAAACCUAAAAGAUCUUAUGGCUUGAAAAAGGCGAUCAAUUCUAUCUUUAUCCCUUUUUUAUUGACAAAGCAUAUAUUGAUUGAAUCUGCAUUCAACUUUACUAGUUAUUGGAUAGAAAUAUAAAACCAAUAAUAAAUCUUGGUCGUGUAUCACUACAUAUACAUGUGACAAAGUAAAUAUUUUAAAAAGAUACAAUUACUAGUUAUUGGAUAGAAAUAUAAAACUAAUAAUAAAUCUUGGUCGUGUAUCACUACAUAUACAUGUAACAAAAAAUUAUGAAAAAAAAAGUAGAGGUCAACUCAGCACUACUAAAUCUGAAUCUCAUCUUAUUAUUGGGACGUGGUUCUCACACAUUAUCGAAUAAACUUAUAAACCACCGAAAUACCACAUUAAAAGACGAUCUUGCAGAGUAACAAGGUUCCCGUAAUUGUGUAUCAAGUUCUUCUUCGUUAACAGUUCUUGUUGUUGUUUCCUUGCAAUUUGGACAGUUUAUUAUAUGGUAUUUACAUUCCAGCUUACAAGACAAGCUUCAAGCUAAUUAAAUUUAUUUUUACACCAUCAAUAAGCAAAUAUUUUUAAUGAGAAAUUAAACAAACAUUUUAAUGAAAUUAAACGAUAAGAGCAAGGAAUCAACAAAUUCAGCACCCAGUUCAUGGGAUGAGAAUUCAGUGGUUUUUUCUUGUUUUUUCCGUCUUUUUAGUUGAGCAUGAAUCUUUGAGCAUCAAGAAUAACCAUUGCUCAAUUUAUGUUUUUUGGGAAAAAAUUACUCAUUUUUACUUUAAUGAGAGAAUAGCAGAGAAAAAAUUAUUUAUUUAUUUAUCUAAGACAGUUUGUGAGAAUCACGCUGAUAUUGGGGUCUAAAAUACAAUGAGAUCUCUUGAGGAUUAUUUUUAGAAUUAAAAUUUAAGAGUGCCAAUUGGUAUUUAUAUUAUUUUGAAUUUAUGAUUGAAGAGGUCCCGAUGAUUUUACUUAUUUUUUAACAGAAACAUAGGCCCAUGGGCCCGCCCAGUAAAACCCUGGCCCUUAUGUGCUCUGCUAGGCCAGACAUUCUGCUUUCCAUCCCUGAAGGUUCACAAUAAUUUCCACAAAAUGCUAUGACAAGAAUAUUGUAAAAGAUAUGAUUUUUUAAAUGCAUUUCACUUGGAGUCCACUUGUUCCUUCCUUAUUGGCCCUCGUGCAAGGCGACACUCGCUUAGGAAUCCAUUUGCAGUUGCUGGCUUAUGUGGACGAAUGAGAAAUUACUUCGUCCAUUAAUUCGAAUACCUUGUUUUGCUUUGCAUGAAAAUCUUUGGGUAAGAGCAUUUUCUUGAACUUCUAGUUUCUCUUAUUCUUUAAGCUUUCAUAAGCAUGGCUCAAUUUCCAUCAUCGACUUAUUUCAUUUAGGCAUAAUAUUAGUUUUGGCGUAACAAUAUAUAUAUAUAUAUAUAUAUAUAUAUAUAUAUAUAUAUAUAUAUAUAUAUAUAUUAAAUAUUUUUCACAAAGAUAGUCUACUCACAAUCAACAUUGAGAGAAAAUUAGGAGUCCAUUUAUCCAUCGCAUUAAUUUUUGUAGAGAGAGUUUGUUACUACUCCGGCUAUGCACUUUAAAUAUUUUUUAAAUAUUUUUCAACAUUGAUAUUAUUGAAAGUGGCCAUAAAUUAAACCAAUCAUAUAAAAAUCAACAAAUAUUCAUAUAUGCACUUUCAAUAAUAUCAAAAUAUGUCAAAUUCAACUUCCACCAUCAACUAAAACAAAUCAUUUAAAAAUCAAUCUAUGGCAAUGGAAAUAUGUCAUGACCCCACCCAAAAUUUUGUAAGAUAUAUCUGCUGCACCAUAACAAGACCCACACGGUUUUGUUCCCGAGGCAACCAUACACCCCAAAAUGCGUCUCGCCAAUUAAGGUAUGGAUCACCCUUAUAAACCCAGUAUCUCUCCCUUGCUUUGCCGAUGUGGGAUUUGCUUAGGGUGUUACAUACACCCCAUUAGGGACUCAGUGUCCUCACUGAGGUUUGCCCCACCAUCGCUCAAGAGAACACUCAAAGCCGCUCUGAUACCACAAAUGUAACACCCCAAUUCCACUAACAAGGCACUAUGGUAGAAUUAAAGUGAAACUGCAUUUCAUCAUUCUCAUAUCUAAAACUCUCAAAGUAAUAACCAAUAAUAAAAUGUUCUAAACCUCCAAAAGAAUAUAAAUAAACUCAUUAAAGUGAAGUGCAUUUCAUCAUUCUCAUCAACAAAACUUUAUUUAUUUAAAACUUGUUUGAUAAAUUGUCUUAAAAAUGAAAACUUUUAUUAAAUUGUUUUAAUUCAAGUACUUUGAAAUGAUUAUCAAAUAUUUAAAUGUAAUUUACGGAAGCUUACAAAUGAUUAAGAGUUCAAGGAUGAUUUUAUAUGUUUUGGCUCAUUGUCUGUAGUGAUGUUAUGUUAUGUUAUGGAAGGCUAGCCGAAUUUUGUGCACAUAUGAUGUUAAUGUUAAUGAUUCCCGCGAGAUACAAUACCCUGAAUGAUGUUAUAUUGCUGGGUCACUGGGUCUAUAGGUGAUACUAUGUCACGUGAACUAAUUACAUUUUAUGUGUUUAAAAUGCUUUUGUUAUGUUUAAAGGAUUUAAAUGGCUUUAUGAUGAUGUGAUUUAUUUUUGCUAAAGGAUGAUUUACAAAGGUAAUUUCUCUUAUUAUUAUGUAUAUUUAGGGAAAGUUUAUUAAAUUAUAUUUUAAUGGCUUUUCUUUAUAGUAUUAUGCAUGAAUUUACUUACCGAGUUGACGGCUCACCCCUCAUUACCACAUUUUUGCAGAUAGAGUUAGAUGAUGUGAGCUCAUGGUCUUAGAAGGCAUAGUAAGAGCUUUGUUUCUUUGAAGAUUAAUGUUAUGUUGAUAAUCUAAGAAUAAUUUGACUUCCUAUAAAGUGAUAUUUAUUUGAGGAUAUGUUAUUUUAGAAUUUAUUUAUAUUCUUUUGGAGGUUUAAAACAUUUAUUAUUGGUUAUUACUUUCAAAGUUUUAGAUAUGAGAAUGAUGAAAUGUAGUUUCACUUCAAUUCUACCGUAGUGCCUUGUUAGUGGAAUUGGGGUGUUACAAAAUAAAUACGUAAGAUAAAUGAUUAUCCACAAUAUGGAAAUUUCUAUGAGGAAACCUUUGAUCCUCAUGAUCUAGGGAACCUUGACAUGUGAUUAUGUCCAGGGUAGAUGAAAUAAUUCACUUUGAAAAUAAUGUAAGUUUACAAUGAUAUGAAUACUUACAAAGCAUCGCACUCCUAAGCACCUCCCAUCUAAAUCCUAUUGUUUGAUCCCUUACGGUCCUCACAAACUUUCCUAUGUGUGAAUUAAGUGUUAAAAUCUCUUCAUGAAAUAAGGGUAAAAAGGCAAAAUGGGUGUAGAAAUAUUGUCUCAAAUUAACAAGACCAAGUUUGAAAAAAAAAUAAUAAUCUAUGAGCUUGACUAAGCUAAAAAAUGAGAGAAGAGAAUUGAGGCUUAUUUGACUCUUGGUGUUUAAAAAUAAAACUAGUAAGCAAUCACCUAAAAUUCCAAUCUAAACUAAAGCCUCUAACCCUUAAAAAUAUUUCUCUAAAAUCUAAGGUUUAAAAAAUAAAUUUUGGGAAUAAAAAUAUUAAAGUCACUCACUAAAAUCUUCCCCAAGUAAGGUGGCCAAAAUAAGUGUAUGUCAUCAAUUUGAGCUCAAAAGCAUAGCCCUCUUUUUUUGCUUUUGAUUCCCUAGAAGUGAUUCAUCUCUUAGGGCUGGUUGUGAUAAACUUAUACCAUUGGAUCAUCUAGAAUAAAAAACGUUCAAAGUUCAGGCGAUGUGGAGGCUUUAGGAGGGUAUGAUUGUGGUCAAAAUAGGCAAAUCUAGUGGUAGAAAAUGCUUGGUCAAAGUAGACCAACAAUGGAUGAUUUGGUCAAAAUCUUAUGAUGUGGUAGAAUUAACACUUAGAUCAAGAGCGAUCAACGGUUCAAAGGUGCAGGUCAAGGUAUUAGGUCGGGUCAACCAACGGAGGAAGGUACGGAUCCAUUUCUGGGUCCGUCAAAUCGACGUAAAUUGGGGGCUGCAAUCUGCUGCUUCAUGUAUACAGUAAGCUUGCUGCAGGAACCAAUAAUUGCUUCAGUCAAACUAAUGGUCAACGAUAUGCUCAAUAAUUCCCUGUACAUCAACACCAUAGAAACCUAACCUCUACCACUAUCCAUUUUCAAAUCUAUCUCUAAUUUAAUCCUAAUUAUCACGUAUCCUAAGGUUUUCAACGCUCUGAAAUCUAAAAAUUACAUCCGUUCAUCUAUCCAAAAACUCAAAAAUACUAAAAUGAUUAUUUUGCUCUAAACUUAUCAUUGAUGAUUUUUUAUACAAGCUUUUGACAAAUCUUAAUAUAUGGGGCGUUUCAUAAAUAAUCGUCUAAAAAAUAAUAAUCGAAAUAGUAAUGACACUUUAGGAAAAAUCUAGAGCAAAAAGUAGAGCACUAAUAAUACACCAACAAAUAGUGGUUUUUGUAUUAAUAAAUGCACUAAUCCUAAGUCCAACUAGCUAUGUAGGCCAUCAAUGCUAUCAAUUACUGCACGCUGGAGGUAAAGGUGUUUGAACCUCUAUAGAGUAAGUAAAAAGUCUAGUCUCAUCAUCGAAUCCUCGUUAGAAGCAACAUCUCGAUCCAACAGUGGUAAACCUAGAUGACCAUCACCACUUGGACAAUUACCCUUAGUAGUCAAAACAUCAUAAUCAUCAACAGCUAAAUAAAACUAAAUCUAAGAUGCAAAGUCAACCUAGGAGUCUUGGCCAACGGGAUUGUUGUGUAAAUUUUAUUGUACUCACAAGUGCACGAGUCUAUUGUAGAAUAUAUUUUAUAGUGAUGAGUAUCGAUCCCACGAGCAGGUAGAUUUAAUUAUGCGUAGGGUUAAUUUUCUAAGUGUAAAUGUGAGUUGGUUGAAGUGAAUUUUUUAUUUUUUUAUCUUAAGAUUAAAAAUAAAAUGGUGGGAAUUAAUUAAAAAUAAAAACAAUGUAAAUGAAACGCUUGAGUCUCUAGAUUCACACUGAACAUUGACCAUGGGCUUAAUAUUUCCUCUUUAGUUCCAAUUAAUUCAUAAGGGGGUUAUUUCUGCUCUUCAAAAUCCUCACUCUAAUAAAUAAUGUAUCAAGCGCUCAGUGUAUCAGAGGUAAUGAUCUUCCACUAAGUGUAGUGUCAAGAACACGCUGUGCCAGACGAGAAUAAUCCUUUUGUCGACAAUGUGACAAGACCAUUCAAUAAAUAGCUUAGAUACACUCUUUGUCGACACUGAGUCAUUACGACCUACAAAAUACUAUAAGGGAAUUUGCUCUCUAAUUAAUAUGGUGCUAAGUGCUCAUUGUGCCGGACAGUAACGAUCCUUCACUAGGGAGCGGGUAUACCGUGCAAAAUCUAGAUAGGAUACACUGUCUGUCGACAAUGAAUUAAAACAACCACAUAAAUCAGAGAGGAAAAGAAAAUAAACUUACCUAAUUAAGCCAAUGGAUCAUGUUGAGACUUCACCUUCAACCCCAAGUUUGAAACUGAAUUAGCUACUCAUAAUUGAACUAGGGUAAAAUGGUAAUUUUAUUAAAAUACAUAGAAAAUACAAGAUGAAAGGAGAAUUAUAGAAAAUGUACUCAAACAUGGAUUCAAGGGUAUCACAUUGGGGGGGGAGCCUGAUAUUUAUAGAUACAAUGGAUAAAUCAUGGCCAUCAAAUGAAAAUAAUUCUGACGUUUAGUAUUGCACCACGUGGCAAGUUUUGAUUAGUUGGAACACAUCAUCAGUUAACACCACAUCAGCAUUUUGGUCCAAUAAGAUGCUGCCACAUCAUCGGUGAAUGCUACAUCAGUAUUUUGGUCCAAUAGCAUCCUGCCACAUUAUUGGUCAAUGCAACAUCAUAGUUAAUGCCACAUCAUUGGUCCAAUAGAAUACAGCCACGUCAUCUGUCAAUGCCACGUCAUCGUAUCGUAUAUGUGAAUAGUACCAUAUACGUGAACAGUGCCAAAUAUCCUUUUAUACUCCUCAUAAGGUUUUCGACCAUUUUGAGUUAAAAAAUGCUAUCUGUUUCGCUGUCUGACUUCACCUUAGUCGUGAAAUGGCUAAAAUAUCCCAGAAACACAUAAAAUACUUAAAUUAUAAUAAAACACACCUAAUAAAGGCUUAAAAGAUUUAAACAUGUAAAAGUGAAAAUGUUAGUAAGACUUGGGUAUAAAAUGACAAUUUUAUCCUAUACAAAUAUACAUUCUCUAAUACUCAAUACACCCCCCAACUAACUUAUUGCUAGUCUCUAGCAAAUCAAGCAAUGUAAUCUAGCAAAAUUCAAAUUAAAAUCUUUUUACCAAAUCAAUGAACUUUUCCAAAAAAUUAUGCCCUUUUUCUUUUGCUACUCAACCAUCAAUCAAAACUUCAGCAGACCGUCUUUUGUGCUUAGCAAUAUUUGACAUAAUGAUUAUGGGUUCAGUCAAAAUAAAGCAAUACUUUUAUUCUUAUCGUCUCAUCAGAAUUCCUUCCAUAGACAAUAGAUUUAUUUAUAUUAUUUCUUUAACCAACUACACCUGUUUUACGUGAACACUCUUUGCUUAUUGAGGCAAGAGGCUCAGUUACUAAGAAAGAGCUGGGUUGAACAAAUCAAACUCUCACUGUUUGAUGCGAAUACUCUCCGCUUCCUGAGGCUGGAGGCCCAAUUACUAAGUAAGAGUUCUUACAAUUUUUAUCAUCUAUCAUUGUUUGAUGCAAAUACUCUCUACUUAUUGAGGCAGGAGACUCAGUUACUAAGUGAGAGUGUCUUUUUUCUUUUUCUUUUUUUCUUUUUUUUUUCUUUUUUUUUCUUCUUUUUUUAGGGUAUAAUGACCACUGCCUUUAGUUGUUGCUUAUGAAUGAAAUGAAAGGAUUAGGUAUUACAAAAUCUCAACUUACCACCACUAUCACUUGUUUUGUUUGUGUGUCUAGCCUGGUCUGUUAAAUCUCUUAAGAUAGCCAGGCAGACAAAGAGGGUUAGUCAAUAAUAUUGGGAAAAAAAUUCAACUAUUUGUAUUUUAUUAUUUUUUUCCUUUUUAAUAAACACUAAGACUGAGAAGAUGCGUUUCUAAAGUAGCUAAACUGCAUAUUCAACCAUCUUUGACUAAAAAAUUUAGAAAUGGUUAGUAACUAUAAUAGCACAACUAUAAUUUAUUCCACAAUUGUUAGAUAUUCCCUCCCCCCAACCAAAACAAGACAUUAUCCUCAAUGUCUUGAGGAAAGAAAUAGAAUUUAAAAUACAUCACCUGAACACUGCAACAAAAAAUAUUUAUAAAUGGAGAAUUAAAUCUAAUUUGUUCAACUUACUACUACUGCUACCAUCAUCAGUCGACCAAUCCACUGUAAGAGUCUUGAGAUCUAGCUCUGGUCUGCAAGUUUCUAAAAGAUCAAGUAACUUAUUAGCAAUAGGAGCACAAAUAAAGAGUUGCUUCAUUGAAACUGAAAUGAAAUAAUUUUUAAUUACGUGAUUAAUAAAUGUUAUAAAGCCAUAAAAAAAGUUAUUGACAUUUAACAAACUGAUGAGUUUUUUAUGAAUGUUGAGACAGGCCCAAGAAGUAAAGGUAAUUAGUGCCUCUAGGGUUGCAUGAUCUCCUAGUAAGAAAAUGAAAGCAUUAGCAUGUUUUAGCAUUUCGGUUAUCGUUUCUUGCAUACUUGAGACAACUAACACUUCUCCAAUUGGUGAGCUAGACAGAGCUUUUAGGGCUUUUGGGAUGAUGCCUAGCACUUGACUUCCUCUAGUAAAAGUGACUUUUGAAGCAAGUCUUGAUAAUUCUCGGUCACCUCCUGCAUAUACUAGGUGUAUCUUUCUCUCUGCUAGUACUUGACUAAGAUCUAUAACUGCUUGAACAAACUCUCUAUAUUUUCCAUAGUGAAACUCAGAAAGCGCACAAAUGUUUUUGAAUUAUCUGCUCGAAGUGGCUACCAUUUGGAAAAUCUCAAAAAUCAUAUGUGAAUGCUUGAAAAAAAUGCUUAUAUUUAAAGAUUUUGGUGACAGAUAUAAUGAUAGACAAUUAUAAAUCUGUUGGGUUUGUCAAAUGACGUGUAAAGCUCAUAGGCUCAUAGCUCAAUUAUUCAAAAGCAAACAGUAAAAAGAAACAAACAAUAAUUAGAUAAAAGUCAUACCAUUAAAAGCAAUAAAGCAAACAAUAAAUUAAAAGGAUAUGUACUGGUAAUUAUGAUUAUGGCUCACAUCUUCCUCUGGUUUUACGUCUAGAAAUGGCUUGAACACCCUUUAUGGGUCGAGAAUAUGCUUCCCAUCUAGUUUUCUUAUAAACUGACAAACAUAGUCGUUUAUAGUUAGAUUCCCAAGACUGUAUCGUACACGUUCUUUUUGGAACAUGGCCAUAAUUGUUAAAUUGCUCUCUGUACAAAUCCUCUCUGUACAUAUCCAUUGGGAUGCGUUUCAGGAGACAAAAUGAUAUCAUCCAAUGACUCCUUAUUCAAGAUAUCCCUAACGAAUUUAAUCUUAUGUUCCCUGUUAUCGGACACCAUUCCUAGAGUGCAUGACUUUCUGUAGCAUUGCUGGGUAAUAUCAAUUAUUGUGGGAAGCUGAAGAAACCAACUUUAAUAGUCACGGAGUACCAUUAUCCGUCACUUAUCCGAAUUGACAAUUGAUAAAAUACUAAAGAACAAAAUAAAUCUAGCAAAAACAAAACACACGUGAAAGCAUAGUAAAGUUUAUUUAAAAAAAAUAAAAAGUUAAAUCACCAAAAAAAAAAUAAUAAGAAAAAGUCUCAGUCUAGAUCUGGUGGUCACCCAAAUUUAUUUCGAUGUAUUCUUUGUGUGGUUGAUACUCAAAAUAUGGUUUUGAUUUUUGACCAUUAAUUUUAAAAGUGACACCAUUCUUUGGAUCAUUAAUUUCAAUAGCUCCAUGUGGAAAAACAAUAUGAAUAAUAAAUGGACUAGACCAUCGGGAACGUAACUUACCUAAGAAUAGAUGCAAACGAGAAUUGAAUAAAAAUACUUUAUGACCUGGUGUAAAAAAUCUCCUCGUAAUUUGCUUGUCAUGAAAGGCUUUCAUUCGUUGCUUGUAAAUCUUGGCAUUUUCGUACAUCUCAUUGCGAAUUUUCUCAAGUUUUGCCAGUUGUAAUCUUCUUUUUGAACCAGCUUGUUGCAUGUCAGUUGAAUUUCUUGAUGGUCCAGUAUGCAGGAUACUUAAGUUUUACAGGUAGGUGACAAGCUUUCCCACACACUAGCCUACAAGGUGACAUUCCAAUCGGGGUUUUGAAGGCCGUUUGAUAUGCCCAUAAUGCAUCAUCGUGUCUGAAUAACAAAUAUUUUCGAUCUGGUCUCAUCGUCUUUUCUAAUAUGUGUUUUAUUUCUUUAUUGGAGAUUUCAACUUGGCCAUUGGUUUACAGAUGAUAUGGGGUAGCAACUUUGUGUGUAAUGGAGUAUUUUGCUAAAAGACCAUUGAAUGAUUUAUUGUAGAAAUGGGUACUACCAUCACUGAUUAUUGCUCGAGGGAACCCAAAGCGUGAGACAAUAUUGCUCUUCAAGAAUCUUAUUACUACCUUAUGGUCGUUGAUUUUCCACGGAAUUAAUUUUACCCACUUAGAUACAUAGUCAACAGCAACCAAUUUGUAUUAAUGGCCAAAAGAAGGAGGAAAAGGUCCCAUGAAAUCGAUUCCCCACACGUCAAAAAUUUCGACCACCAGAAUAGGAUUUAGUGGCAUCAUGUUCCUUCGUGUAAUGCUUCCUAUACGUUGACACCUAUCACAUGAAGAACAAAAAGUAUAAGCAUUUCGAAAUAAAGUCGGCCAAUAGAAACCACAUUGUAAAACUUUAACAACUAUUUUCUUAGCACAAAAAUAGCCUCCACAAGGUUGUUUAUGGCAUAAUGAAAGAUAUUUUGAAAUUCACUUUUUGGGACACAUCGUCUGACAAUUUUGAUUUGCGCAAUAUUUGAAAAGGUAAGGAUCAUCUAAAAAAAAAUUCUUUAUUUCUGUAAAAAAUUUAGCUUCCUGUUUAGUCCAAUACUCUAGAAGUUAACUUGUAACAAGAUAGUUAACUAUAUCAGCAUACCAUGGUAGUACUUCCACACUUUUUAGUUGCUCAUCUGGAAAUGAUUCAUUCAAUGAUAAUUAUUCUGAAAUUGUUUCAAAAUUGAGGCGAGAGAGAUGAUCUGCCACCACAUUUUCUAUGCUUUUCUUAUCUUUGAACUCAAGGUCAAAUUCCUGUAAAAGUAGCACCCAACGAAUUAGUCUGACAUUUGCAUCUUUCUUUGUAAAAAGAUAUAUAAGAACAGCGUGAUCUGUGAACACAAUUAUUUUACAUUCUAUAAGACAAGAUCGAAAUUUUUCUAAUGCAAACACUACUUCUAGCAUUUCUUUUUCAGUGGUUGAGUAAUUCAAUUGUGCAUCAUUCAAUGUCAUACUGGCAUAGUAAAUGACAUGAGAAAUCUAAUCAACUCUUUGGGAAAUUCAAUCAAAUGGUAAUUCCAGUUUGAGGGUUGAAUGAUAAGUGAUGAAGUCAACAAACUGCUUUAAUUUUUCAAAUGCCUCAAGACAUGAAUCAUCAAAGACAAAAGGUACAUCCUCAGUAAGUAAAUUGCAUAAGGGUCUAGAAAUUUUGCUAAAAUCCUUAAUGAAAUGUCUAUAAAAAGAAGCAUGCUCAAUGAAAGAUCUUACCUCUCUGACUGUUUUAGGUGGAGUAAUAUUGGAAAUGAGAUCAACCUUAGCUUUGUCAACCUCAAUACCUUUGCUCGAAAUGAUAUGACUGAGAACAAUACCUUGUCUUACUAUAAAAUGACACUUCUCCUAAUUCAAGACCAAAUUCUUUUCUAUGGAUCUCUACAGAACUAGUGUUAGAUGAUGUAAAUAUUGAUCAAAUGAAUCACUAAAAAUAGAAAAGUAAUCCAUAAAAACUUUAAGGAAGUGUUUAACCAUAUUAGAAAAAAUGCUUAACAUGCAUCGUUAAAAUGUGGCAUGUGCGUUACAUAAUCCAAAUGACAUUAUUGUAUACGUAAAUGUACUAACAGGGCAAGUGAAAGUGGUUUUCCCUUGGUCUUUCGGUGUUAUGGGGAUUUGAUUAUAUCCUGAGUAGCUAUCUAGAAAACAAUAAAAUUCAUGACCUACUAAUCUAUCAAGUAUUUGAUCGAUAAAUGGUAACGAAAAUGGUCUUUACAUGUGACAUAAUUCAACUUCCUAUAAUCAAUGCAUAUGCACCACCCUAUAGUUACUCUAGUGGGUAUUAAUUUAUUGUCAACAUUGGUAACUACUGUGACUUCUGGCUUUUUGGGGAUAAUUUGCACAUGAUUGACCCAUGAACUAUCAGAAAUAAGGUAAAUGAGACAUGCAUAUAAUAGUUUAAGCAAUUCAACUCUAACAACUUCUUUCAUGUUAGGAUUUAGUCGAUGUUGCGUUUCCCUAGUAGGUUUAUCAUUUUCGUCAAGAUGAAUGUAAUGCAUGCAAUCUACUAGGUUUAUACCUUUUAUGUCAGUUAUGGUCCAUCUUAAUGCCUCUUUAUGACCUCUUAAAAUGCCCAACAACUUACUCUUAUGCUUGUCAUCAAGAGAGGAUGCAAUGAUUGCUGACAAAUUAUUUUCAUGUCCCAAGAAUGCAUACUCCAAAGUGCCAAGUAAUGGUAUGAGUCGAGCUUUUGUGGUAAUUCUAAUGAUGGGCUGAGCUUUUUCUCCAAUGGUGUGACUUGCUCUAUUUUUUACUUCGAUUUAUUAGUAUCCAUGGAUGGUAAUGAAUCGAGUAAAGCAUUGACUUCAUCAAUCGAUAUGUUAAUAUCAAAAUUCAACCCAAAGUAAGUUAAACAUGUUUGUAAAGAGUCAUUAUUGAGGUUAGAAGGAAAAAUAUGAUCAAUUAAUUCUUCGAUUAAAUCGACACCAACAAUUCCUUCAUCUCUAUGGAGAGGUUGUUUGGCAAUGUUAAAGAUAUUUAACUCUAUGGUCAUGUUGCUAAAGGACAACUGCAUAUUCUAGUCCUAUAUUGAAAGUGUGCAUUGGCAGUUGCCAACAAUGGUUGGCCUAGGAUAAUGGGGAUGUGUUUCUUUGAAUCCUGCAUUGAUUGAGUGUUAAUCACAAUGAAAUCAACAGGAAAAUAAAACUUGUCUGCCUAAAUGAGCACAUUGUUGUGCAAAUUUUAAUGUACUCGCAAGCGCACGAAUCUAUUGUAGUAUAGAUCAAUGGUGACGAGUGUCGAUCCCACGAGGAGGUGGAUUUUAAUUAUAUGUAGAAUUAAUUUGUAAAUGGGUGGUUGAAAUUGUGGUGGAAGUGAUUUAAAUUAUCCUAAAAUUGGAAUUGAGAUGGCGAUAAUAAAUUCUAAAAUUGGAAUUGCAAUGGCGAGAAUAAAUUGAAGCGAAAUCUAUUGAAAUGACGUACUUGGAUAUCUGGAUCCGUAUCAAUAUGUAUCAUGGGCUAAAUAAUCCGUAUUAAUGCCAAUUAAAUCAUGAGGGGGGAAUCCACACCUCAUGAACCACGCUCUAAUCAAUAUGGUGCUAAGGGCUUAUCGUGCUAAAUAAUAAUAACCUUGUACUAGAGGGCCGGUAAAACCAAAACGGUACUAGACAAGAAUAUUAUUAUUUGUCGACGAGAAGUCAAAACAUCCACAAAAACUAGAGGGGAAGAGAAAAUAAAUUUACCAAAUUAAGCCCAUGACACAUGUUGAGACUUCACUUUCAACCCAAACUUGAAAGAAAAUUAGCCACUCAUAAUUGAAGUAGGGGCAAAAUGGAAAUUUAUUAAAAUAUGAAGAAAAUACAAGAUGGAGAAGGAAUUACAGAAAAUGGAUCCCAAAAAUGGAUUCAGAGAUAUCAAAUUAGGGGGGAGAGGCCCCCUUUUUAUAGAUACAUGGAGUAAAUCAUGGCCAUCGGAUUAAAAACAGUUUGAACGCUCAGGAUUGCACCACGUCAUCAGUCAACAGUACGCGAUUUGACCACGCGGAUGAACAGUAACACGGUUUGACCGGGAUGAAUAGUAAUGCGGUUUGACCAGGAUGAACAGUAACGCGGUUUGGUUGAAAAUAAUCCUGUGUGAUGCAUGUACCGUACGCGAGAUUUUUCGUCCACUGAUAUGCUGCCACGUCACCAUCAACAGUACAUAAGAAUUUUAGCCCAACAGGAUCAUGACACCUCAUCAGUCAAUGCCACAUCAUCAGUCAAUGCCAUGUCAUCGUCCGUCUAUGUGAACAGUGUCGUGAACAGUAACGUAUACAGUACCGUACAUGUGAACAGUGCCAUUUUUCCUUUUAUGCUCCUCCUAAGGUUUUCGACCGUCCUGAGUUCAAAAGUGAUGUCCGUUUUGCCAUAUGAUCUCUCGUUUAUUGUGAAAUGACUAAGAUGCCCCUAAAAUAUAUAAAAUACUUAAUUAAAAUAAAACACACAGAAUUAAAUCAAAAGAAGGUUAAAUUCAUAAAAGUAAAGGUGUUAGUAAAACUUGUAGUGUAAAAUGACGAUUUUCUCCUUUAUAAAUAUACAUUUUCUAACACUUAACACACCCCCCAACCAGCUUAUUGCUAGUCCCUAGCAAAUAAAGCGAAAACAAAAUUCAAAACCAAAAUGAUUUUUAUUUUAUUUUAUUUAGAAACACUCGUGUUUAUUCAAUCAGAUUAAUGAUAGUAAUCAAAUAAAAGUAUAAGCAUUAUCUCCAUCUAAACCAACAUCACACCCACAUCAACCAUCCACAUGAAUCAGCCCAGUAGACUUUGUUAUAGCUACUUUCAAGAAUGACAUGUCAAACCCCAAAAUCUCACUGGAAGUAGUGACGCUCUCACAAAGAAAUUAAACCCAAUAAAAAUAGUCACUCCAAUGAAUGGUAAUUGAGAGAAAAUAAUAAAGAAGUGAUAUCACAUGCUCUCACCAAGAUGAAAUAAAUAUGCCCUCAGCUUAGAAAUAAUACGAUCUCAAGUCAAACAAAAAUGCUAGUCAACCCAAUUUAUUUAUCUUUUUUUUUCUUUUAUUUAUUUAUUUAUUUUUUUGUUAUGCACCACUACAUCUUUUUAGCCAAUAUAACUAGAUUUUACUUCAAACUAUAGUUCCCUAAAAUCAAGAAGGACUUUUAUUAGGACGUAAUGUAGGCUAGGGACAUGGCUAACAAAGAAGGGAAAUAGGGAAAACAAAGUUUAUGUUUGAGAAAAAUGUAGAGAAUUUUAUUAUUAUUAUUAUUUUUUAUAUAUAUAUAUUUUUUGGAAGUUACAAGGUGGAUUUUACCUAUUAUUGUUAUUUUUAUUCUUUUGAAACAACAACUUUUGUUUUGUUUUGUUUUUCUUUUCUUUUUUUUUUUUUGGCAUAACUUCACUGAACAAAAUAAUUAUUUACAUUUUCUCAAACAUAAAUAGGUGAUGAAACUUAUAAGACAUCGGGUAAUACUCCAAAUCGGAGUGGGUCAAGAUGAUAAGUUAACAAAGAAAAUGUUUUUGUUUUGUUUUAAAGGCUCAAAAGGGUUAACUAUGGAUAUUUAAUAAAAGGGAUGGCUAGAAAGGCUCAAACGGAUCAAAGAUGGCCUUUCCAUCGUCUUUUAGGGCUCUAAAUAAUCAUCCAUAUCUACUAGUUAGAUGGGUCUCCCAAUGUAGCAACACAUUUUUUUUUACCAUUUUUUUUAAGGGUUAACUCAAAAGAAAUCUAGAGAUCGUGAAUAAAAUAAUAAACUGCUAAGUUGUAUAGAGAAUGGGCAAAAUGGUUACUCUUCAAGAAAAUGAUAGGCUCAACAACUCACUUGGUACUUAUUUAUGACAUGUUCAUUCCUUCAAGCAACUCAUAUUUGUCUCCGACAUCAACAUAUAGAGUAGCAAACAUAAUGUAACAUCACUUAAGACCAAAAAUAAUACAAAUACUAAAAUUUGAAAUUAAUCAUGUCAUCCAAUGUUAAAACAAAUCACACAAUUUUUUUUUAAACAACAUUCUACCCCCCAACCUAUUCUAAACAUGAAAGGAAAAUAUGCAUUCAGAAAUGUGAAAAUGAUGCAUAAAAACUAAUUAGAAAAGUUACACGUAAAAUAAUAGAAAACGAAAAUGGUUUUUUUUUUUUUAAGAAGAUGCGUUUCUAGAGGCACUACACUCCAUAUUCAGCCAUCUUCGACUCAAAAGUUGGAAAAUGUAUAUUUAUAGAGGAGAAAUUAAAAAGAAGAAGAAAAAUGAAGAUAAAAACUUAAUAAAGAAAAAGAAUUUGUUUUUAAACAAUGAAGAUGCGUUUCUAGAGUCACUACCCUCCAUAUUUAGCCAUCUUCAACACAAAAAGUUAGCAAUAGUUAGUUUCUACAACAAAAAAUUAGUAAAAACUUAACUAAAAUUCCACAAUUGUCGACUAUUCCCUCCCCCCAACCAGAAUGAAACAUUGUCCUCAAUGUUUGAAAGGAAAGAAGUAGAGUUUAGAAGACAUCACCUGGGUGGUGCAACACAAAAGAAAAUAUUUACAAGCGGAGAGUUAAAUCUAAUUUGUACUUCUUACUGCGGCUACUGUUACCAUCAUUAUUUGGGCGCUCCAACACAAAGGUCCAGGGGUCUGGCUCCGAUUUAUAAGCUUGUAACAGAUCAAGUAGCUCAUUAGCAGUGUGAGCACAAAUAAAAAGUUUUUUCACAUUAGAAUGAAUGAAAUAGUUUUUUAUUGCAUGGUUAAGAAAUGCGAUAAAGCCAUCAUAAAAGUUAUUGACAUUUAACAAACCGAUGGGUUUCUGGUGGAUGUGCAGAUGGGCCCAAGAUGCUAGUGUGAUAAGUGCCUCUAGUGUUGCAAGAUCUCCUGGAAGGAAAAUAAAAGCAUCAGCAUGAUUAAGCAUUUCAGUUAUUCUUUCUUACAUACCUGAGACGACUAACUCUUCUCCAGUUGAUGAGUCAGACGAACUGCCCAAUGGUUUUAGGACUCUUGGGAUGAUGCCUAACACUUGACUUCCUCUGACAAAAGCUGCUUCAGAGACCAUUUUUGAUAACCCUCGGUUACCUCCUCCAUACACCAAGUGUAAUUUUCUCUCUGCUAUACUUCGACCAAGAUCGAUGGCUGCCUCAACGAACUCUUUAUGUUUGCCAUAGGUAAAUCCAGAAAGCACACAAAUGUUCUUGAAUUGUCUAUUUGGAGUAGCUGCCAUUGUGAUACUUCUCAAAAAAUAAUUUGUGAGUGCUUGACAAAAAAAAUUACAUUUAAGAGUCUUGGUGACAGUGGAUCACAGUUGUAUAUGAAGUAACAUGUCAGUGUCAAAUAACGCGUAAAGCACGUGGCUCGCGAGUCAAAAAGGAAACAGUAAAAAGGAAAAAGCAAACAGUAAUAAAAUUAUUAAAGGCAAUAAUGCAAAAGAUAAAACAAUAGUGAAAUAAAAUAACAGUAAAGUAAAAGGAUAUUUACACGUAGUUGCGACUAUGGCUCACAUCUUCCUCUGGUUUUACGUCCAGAAACGGCUUGAACGCCCUCUAUGGGUCGAGGAUAGGCUUCCCAUCCAGUUUUCUUAUAAACUGGCAAACAGGGUCGUUUAUAGUCAGAUUCCCGAGACUAUAUCGUGCAUGCUCUUUCUGGAAUAAUGGUCAUAACUGGAGAAUCGCUCUUUGCACAUAUCCAUUGGGAUGCGUUUCAAGAGACAAAAGGAUAUCAUCCAAUGACUCCUUAUUCAAGUCAUCCCUAAUUAAUUGAAUCUUAUCUUCCCUGUUAUCAGACACCAUUCCUAAAGAACAUGGGUGUUUAUUGUAACUCAUUAUGGCACACUUAUGACAAGCAACAGAAAUUCUUCGAGCUCGUCGUUUUCUUGCAUAAUUUCCUUUACCACAACCAGGCAUGUAUGCAAUAAAUUUUGGAAGUAACUCACCUGCCGAUCGUUCUUUAGCCUCGAUUAACCAACGGAUGUCAGCAGGUAUGUUAUUCCUCAUAAGUAAUCGCAUGCGUUCAGACUGAGCUUUAUAGACCGUAAGGAGGACAUUUUGAGGAAGUGAAGGGAAUCGCUUGUGAAGCUUCGCUAGAGUCUCGUUUCUGUCCAUACUUUCGCCUCAGAAUAUCAGUUAUUAUGGGAAACUGAAGUAACCGACUUGAUUGUCACGGAGUACCGUUAUCCGCCACUUCACCGGGGUAACAAACUAAAGCACACAAAUAGAAAAAUAAAUUAAAACACACAAAGAAAAUUAAAAUCGUCCUCUUAUUGAAUUUACCUCAAGCUCCAACUGGAUGUCGUAAACACUUCUCUCAAUGUCUCUGAGUUGGCAUUCUAAACCCUCAACAUAGGCUACUAACUCUGGUGGUUGUAGAGCCCAAAUGCGUUGUGUUUUACAUAAUUGAAUCUGCCUUUUGAGAUGAGUUUUGACACGUUGAAGUGGUUUAAGAAUGUUCAGGAGGAAAGGUCUAUGUAUGAGACUCAUGAUUAAAAAUGAUAAGAGAAAACUUAAUGGUAAAAUAAACACACUUAUGCAAAAACAAUUUCAAUUAGCAAAAGAAUAAUAAUAAAAAGAAAGAAAGAAAAAUCAAAUCAACGAAAAGAAAAAAAAAUCAAUUCAAAUUUGGUGGGUCACUCAAAUUUAUUUCGGUGUCUUCUUCAUGUGGUUGGUACUCUAAAUAUGGCUUUAAUCUUUGACCAUUAACUUUAAACGUGACACCGUUCUUUGGGUCUUUAAUUUCAAUUGCCUCAUGUGGAAAAACGGUAUGUACAAUAAAUGGGCCAGACCAACGAGAGCGUAACUUACUUGGGAAUAGGUGCAAGCAAGAAUUGAAUAAAAGCACUUUCUGACCUGGAGUGAACGAUUUUCUCAUAAUUUGCUUAUCAUGGAAGACUUUCAUUCGUGUGUGAUGCCAACGACCAUUAUGUUGGAGCAGUGUUAGGGAAAAGAAAAGACAAUAUAUUUCACUCUAUUUAUUAGGUACAAGUCCGUUCAGUCUACUCUAGCAAUGACAAGGUAUAAGAAGAUAAUCGUUCAAUUAAAGAAUCCUUCACGCUUCCAUAGCGAUGAAUCUGAGGAUAAAUUUGAAGAAUUUAUAGAGCCAAGGAAGAUUAUGGAGGAAAAGGGUUUCAUAUUUCCAGAGCAACCCACAAGUGUAAUGACCAGUAUCCACAGUCUGGUCUAGCAAGGCGAGGAUGGCUAAAAUUUUAUUCACACCCUCAAGACCCAGUCGUCCCGGUUGUAAAGGAAUUUUAUUCCAACAUGCAGCAGCGAGAUCAACGCACUAUUUUUGUAAGGCAAGUACAAGUCCCUUUAGACUGUAGAAUGAUUAAUGCUUUUAUGAUUUGUCACAUAUGAUUGAGUGUGAGUACUCAAAAUUUGCUAAGAAUAUAAUUGAGAAAAAAUAAUGGGAAAUUUUUAAGACCUUGACUGUUCCGAGAAGUAAUCGGAUGAAUGAGGAGGGAAGAGUGGUAUAUAUGAUUGAUUUAAAAGUGAAUGCCAAGGUUUGGGUAUAUCAUAAAAUUAUGAUAGACUUGUGACAUAAUUUUCAAUCUAUCAUGAAUUAAUGACGACUUUGUGAUAAAAUUAUUGUCUAUCACGGAUUAAUGAUGGUUUUAUGAUAGAAUUAUUUUUUUAUCAUGGAUUAAUGAUGGGUUUGUGAUAGGAUUAUUAUUUUUUAUCAUGAAUUAAUGAUAGUUUUAUGAUAGAGUUAUUUUUUAUAACAAAUUAUUAUUUUUUACUUAGCCACGUGUCGACUUAUAAUUUGUUACUUUAUAUGUGAACAAUUACACUAUAUAAUUUCUAAAGUAUUAAAUGAAAAAGUGAACCCUAAAUUUAACCUAAUUAAACACACUACUUGUUAAGUUGUUGUCGCUGCUCCCCUACUGCUCUUCAAUUUCAUUGCCGCUUCGGGAAAGAACAAGAGGAGUCCCCAUGCGGUUUUAGUGGAGAUGCCUGUGACGGCGCCGAGGACGGGAGGGACUUGUACGAGGUGCUGAGGGUGGAGCCAACAACGACAAUUUUGGAGAUUAAGAUGGCGUAUCGGAGUUUGGCAAAGGUUUAUCAUCUUGAUUUGUCGGGUAACGGUCGGGAUUUCAUCGAGAUCCAGAAUUCUUAUGCGACGUUGUCGGAUCCAACGGCUAGGGCUGUUUAUGACAUGUGUUUAGUGAGUAAGAGGAGGACGAGAAUUGCGUCGUUUGGGUGUUCGGGUCAGUUAGGGUUUCUCCCGACCCGUAGAUGGGAAACUGACUAGUGUUUGUAGGAAUUUUCAAUUUAGGGUCUAACAUUCUUGUUUAGGAUCAAUGCCGUUCCUCAACGGCCUUCCAGAAUUUUCCUCUCACGCUUUCCACGCUUGCUAUUCUUCUUCUUCACUAACAUCACUUGCGAGAACAAGAUACCGAAGGAGUUGCUUCAGUAAAACCGAAGCAGUGAAAGUUUAAUCGAUGUCUAAGAGUACAGUUCUUGUCACCAACACUGGUGGUCAAAUUGGUAAUUUUUUACCUUUUUUGUUUUUCUUAAUUAUGUGAAUAUCCAAAUUAAUUAUCAUUUUUAAGCUUGCUAUAAUAUCUUAUAUCCCGUGAUCAUUUUUGUUGGCGUCAGAGUGCGUAAGCUUUUCUUAAUUCUAAAUUUUCAAAUCUGAUGAAUACAAUUGAGUUGAUAAAUUAGGAGCCAAAUUGUUGUGUUUAAUAGUUUGUUUAGUACAUGAUUACAAAACAAUGACUAAGCAAAAUUGCUUCCAUCAAUUAAAAUUUGGCCAACAUGAGCUUGUUAGUUACCUACUCAACAAUAUGAGAUUUUUUGUUUUUUCCUUUUUCUUGAUUCUGUGCUGAAUUUUUAAUGAGGUAAAAUUACAAUUAGGCUCUAAAUAUGUAGGCAGGUUACAAGCCUAGAAUUGGUGAUGUUGGUUGAGAUAAGCUUCUCAAAGUUAGUUGCUUGGUUUCCAUUUCAUUUGUUGAUCAGUUCAACUGGAUCUGGAUGCCAUUGCUUUCUAUGACUUUAUGAUCUAUUUUUGUCUCCUCACACUGGUCUAUUGUUGUGGCUUCCUUUGCAUUUUUAGCUAGCUUGCUGAUUUUGAUGAAUUCAUUCACCAAAAGUAAUUUUAAUCCAUUAAGUAUGUACAUUUUGCUCAUUCCAUAAAAGUGAAGUCGGUUUAAAUGAUUAACAAGCUUGUUACAUGGUGAAUUUUAAGGGAUUGAAAAAAAAAACUACAUAUUCUUGCAAUUUUACAUCUUUUUUAUAUUCUUCCCUCUUGAAAAUAUUUGUUAUCUCUUCUCUCUUUCAGCACAAGUAUGAAAAUAUUGGUAUUAUUGGUUAUUGCUUAUAUUCUUCUUUUUUUUUUAUUUUUAAUGUCAUCUUUUUUUUUCCUUUUUUUCUCCUAUCUCUGUGUGAUGAAACUAUUGCUACUACACAUACAAUUGGAAGUACAUUGGCUAGUUUAAAUUAGUCGAAGAAUUCUUUAAGUUCUAGAUAUAAAAUAGUAGCUUAAUGUUAUUAAUAUAUAUUUUAUUUUUGAUGUAAUGCUUUUCUUUUCUAACCCCCCCCCCAACCCCCAAAUUAGAUUUUUUUUGAGUUUAGAGGUUAACCUACUUGAUUGAGUAAUAAUAUGAUGGAAAAUUUGUGGCUUCAGCCUUUUCAUAAUUGGAGAGUUAUACAUACACACUGACACAAUUUUAUGUAGUGGAAUUUAUCUGUUAAUACUUCAUGAAAUAUUUAAUGUUAAUAGAUGCCUAGAUUACUAUAUUUGAUGCCCACAUGUAUUGCAGCCUCUUAAUUUUCCAUAUUCGGCUUGGUGUUUGAAUCAAUUUUGUUCACAAGAAGCUUGCAGGUCACUUUGUAAGUUUCAAUUUCCGUUUAGAGUGCUAUCAGAAGAUGGUAUUGUUGCUGGAAUUUUUACAGGAAAUCUUGCUAGAAAUCUUAUUGUUGGAGUACUUAAUAUAUUUGAAAGUUUUGUUGGGUAACUUGGCUUGGUGGCCAGAAUUCUUAUUGCUUUUCUUAGAGUUUGAUUGGAGUUUGACAACAAUUUUAUACUUUGGGAUGGCUUUUCAAUUUGGGAUGUUUUAUUAUGCAUUGGUGGAGAUCACAUUGGAUAUUAGGUGUUUUUCUUUUGAAAUUAAUUUUUGGAUUGAAUAAAUGUUAUUUGAUUUUAAUUUUUUAUGAUAUUUGUUUUAUUAAUUAAUUAAAUUUGUAAACAGGAAUUCAUCAAUAAAUUAUAAUUAUAAUAUAAUUAAAAAAAAUAAAACUUUAUUAUGAAAGAAACCAUCAUAUAUUCUAUCAUAAAUAAUUUCCCACCAAAAUUGAAUAAUAAAUUUUCAAAUAAUAAUUGAAUUUCCCACCAAAAAUUUAAAAAAAAUGGUACGAAAAUUUAAAUAAAUUCAAUUUUUAAUUUAAUUAUUUUUACAUUAAAAUAUUGUGUGACGAAUAUAUGAUUAUGAAAUACUAUCAUGAAUUCAUGACGGAAAAUAUUAUGUCAUAAAUUAAUGACAGUGACAUAGAUGACGGAUGAAUUGUCUGUCAUACACCCCCUUUUAUGAUAGUUAUUUCCCGUCAUCUAGUGUAUGUUUUCUUGUAGUGGUGUCCAAACCUAGAUGGAAGAAAAUCAAAGGUUCUGGACUUACUUGCAGCAUAUAGAAGCCCAAAAACACCAAUUUACCAUGUACAUGAAGAGUAAAGAUGCAGAAUUUCUAGACUCAUUGCUGCAGCAAUUUAAAUUUGAAGAAGCUAAGGAAGUAGCUCCAGUAGACAAGGGUGAAUAUGCUGCAGUAGGAAAGGAGAGGGAAGGAGAGUGUGAGGAAGAUUACCAACCAGAGCAAAAAGAAGUGGAUGAUGCUAAAGCAAAAACAGAAAGCUCAGAAGGGGAAGAGGAAGAAGAGGGAGAAAUAGAAGAUGAAGACAGAGAGGAAGAACUCUCCAAGGUGACUGUUGAGUGUUAGAAAAUGUAUAUUUAUAAAGGAGAAAAUCGUCAUUUUACAUUUCAAGUCUUACUAACACCCUUACUUUUAUGUAUUUAAGUUUCUUGUGAUUUAAUUACGUGUGUUUUAUUUUAAUGAAGUAUUUUAUGUAUUUUAGGGGCAUCAUGGUCAUUUCACAAUGAACGAGAAAUCAGACGGCAAAACGGACAUCACUUUUGAACUCAGGACAGUCGAAAACCUUAGGAGGAGUAUAAAAGGAAAAAUGUCAUUGUUCACAUGUACGAUACUGUCCAUGAUACUGUUCACGACACUGUUCACACAUACAAAACGAUGACGUGAAAUUGACCGAUGAUGUGGCAUUGACUGAUGAUAUGUCACGAUUCUAUUGGAUAAAAUUUAUAUACACUGUUGAUCGGUGAUGUGGCAGUAUGUAAGUGGACCAAAAAUCGCGCGUACGGUACAUGCAUAUACACAGGAUUAUUUUCAACCAAACCGCGUCACUGUUCAAGCCGGUUGACUGUUCAAACCGCGUGGUCAAACCGUGUCACUGUUCAACCCGCAUGGUCAAACUGCGUACUGUUGACUGAUGACGUGGCGUAAUCCUGAGCGUCCAAACUGUUUUUAAUCUGAUGGCCAUGAUUUACUCAAUGUAUCUAUAAAAAGGGGGCCUCCCCCCCUAAUUUGAUAUCUCUGAAUCCAUUUUUAGACUCCAUUUUCUGUAAUUCCUUCUCUAUCUUGUAUUUUUUAUGUAUUUUACUAAAUUCCCAUUUUACCCCUAGUUCAAUUAUGAGUAGCUAAUUUUUUUUCAAGCUUGGGUUGAAGGUGAAGUCUCAACAUAUGCCAUGGGUUUUAUUUGGUAAAUUUACUUUCUCUUCCCCUAUAAUAUUUGUGGAUGAUUUGACUUUUCGUCGACAAAUAAUAAUAAUCUUGUCUAGAUACCGCCCUGGUUUCACCGGCUCCCUAGUACAAGGUUAUUAUUAUUUGACACGAUAAGCCCUUAGCACCAUAUUGAUUAGAGUGUGGUUCAUGAGGUGUGGAUUCUCCCAUCAUGUUUUAAUUGGCACUAAUAAGGAAUAUUGAGCCCAUGAUGCAUGUUGAUGCGGAUCCAGAUAUCUAAGCGCUUCAAUUAUAAUAGUUUCCACUUUAAUUUAAUUCCGCCAUUCCAAUUUAAAUUCUAAGAUAGUCUAAAUCACUUUUACCACAAAUCCAACCACCCUUAUAAAAAAUUAAUUCUACAUAUAAUAAAAAUACACCUCCUCGUGGGAUCGACACUCGUCACCAUUGAUCUAUUCUAUAAUAGAUUCGUGCACUUGCGAGUUCAAUAAAAUUUGCACAAUAAGUUUUUGGCACCGUUGCCGGGGAGGUAAGUUAUUUUAAUUCGUAGAAUUAAUUUUUGUAAAUAAUUUCUUUUAAUUGUUUUCUGGUAAUUUUUUUUAAAAAAAGAAAAAUAAAAAACGUGAAUCUACAUUUAGAGGUAAGAAUUUCUUUUCUUUUUCUCUUCUUUAAAAUUCUAUAAUUUAAUUUUCAAUUUAAUUUUCUUUGUAAUUUUUUGUUUAUUUUAUUAAUUUAUUUUUAGUUAAUUUAUUUCACGUAUUUUUUUAAGUGUGUUUUUUUAUAGAAAUGUUGUAACAGCGUAAUAAAGUUAGUACUGUAAUUUCUCCUUCUUGAUUAUUUUUAUUAAUUUUGUUCUCAUUUUUUUUGUAUUCAUUGCAUGCAUGGUCGAAGGUCAUUAUUACCUAAUCUUGAGUCUAUAGAUCUUGAACUUGAAAAAACACUUCGCACACACAAACACGUUGUAAUUAAAGAUAAAAGUGAAAUGGAUUUGCAACAACAACAAGCACCACCAGAGAGGCCAUUUAAGGACUAUUUUAGUCCCUUAGCUAAUUUGAGCACAUCAUGCAUAAGAUACCCAAAUGUAGCUGCUAGGAGUUUUGAAUUAAAACCUAGUGUGCUAAAUUGUGUCCCAACAUUCUAUGGCUUAGAAAAUAAGGACACAUAUAAUCAUCUGAAUAAUUUUCAUGCUAUUUGUCAAACUUUUAAAUAUGAGAAUUUUUCAGACGAUGAUGUUAAACUUAGAUUAUUCCUAUUUUCUUUAAAGGAUAGAGCUCAUUAAUGGUUAAAUACUUUGCCUGCUAAUAGCAUUACAUCAUGGGAACAAAUGGUAACAAAAUUUUUGAAUAAAUAUUUCCCAGUGCAUAAAACCAAUGCUAUUCGCAGGGAAAUUUCAGAGUUUACCCAGAGAGAAGACGAGCAGUUUUUCGAAACAUAGGAGCGAUUCAAUGGGCUACUCUUGAAGUGUCUACAUCAUGGAUACGAGAAAUGACACCAAUGCCAAUACUUCUUGGAGGGAUUAUUGCCACAUGUGCAAGAAUGGCUAAUGGCAAUAAGCGGAGGAGAGCUAAUGUCAAAAAGUGCAUCAGAGAUUUGGGAAUUCUUCCAGCGAUAAGCAGAUAAUUCCCAACAAUGGAGUCGAUCACUCAAGAAUCCAACUUCUGAAACUUUCUUUUAUUUAUUUAUCUUAACUUGUUCAUUUUGCAUUUUUUUCGUUCUAGUGUAUGCAUGUGUAGUUUGUUUUGUUUUGUGUGCUUGUGGACACAACACAUCAAAAGACUUGUUAAGGUCUCUCUUCAGAUUGUCAAUCUUACUAGCAUCUUGCUCAACAAUCAACAUGUCAUCCACAUAAAGCAAAAGAAUGAUGAAAUCAUUAUCACCAAACUUUUUCACAAAAACACAAUGGUCGCACAUAGUCUUACUGAAACCAUGAUUCUACAUAAAAGAAUAAAACUUCUUGUACCACUGCCUUGGUGCCUGUUUCAGCCCAUACAAAUUUUUCUUUAACUUGUACACGAGUUCUUCUUUGCCUUUGACACUGAACCCUUUAGGUUGCUCUAUGUAUAUUUCCUCCUCCAAGUCACCGUGCAAGAAAGCUAUCUUUACAUCAAGCUGUUUAAUUUUCAAGUUCAAGCUAGCUACUAAUCCCAUAAUAAGUCGGAUAGACGACAUCUACACCACAGGAGAAAAUAUUUCUUCAAAAUCAACACAUUUCUUAUGAUCGAAACCCUUCACAACCAAUCUAGCCUUGUAUUGAUGUUGUGAGUCAUUUUCAAUCUUCAACCUGUAAACCCAUAAGUGUGGUUCUCAUUCAAAGUUUUCAUUUUCUUUUGCAUGGCUUUAACCCACUCACUUUUAUACUGGUGAGAUAUGGCUUAUUCAAAACAUUCUGGCUCCCUUUCAUCUGUAAGCAUCACAUACUCAUGUAGAGAAUAUCCAGUGGAAGGUUGUUAUUCUCUAGUGGAUCUCCUUAAUACUGGCUCAACUGGUAGUGCAGGUGGUUCUGGAGGUGCCUAGUAAACUGCUUCGACUAGACCAUCAUUAUUAUCCUCUCCAGCUCUCCCAUGAUCAUUAUGAAUUACAAACAGAGAAACUGAAGUUGAAAUAAUAAGAAUCUCUAGAGAUGACUGAGGCUUGUCACUCUUCUCUACAUCACCAACUAUCUGAUCUUCAAGGAACACAACAUCUCUACUUUUGAUCAAUUUUCUUGCUACUAGAUCUCAUUAUAUGUAACCCAAUUAUUCAUGCCCAUAGCCUAAGAAAAUGCAUUAUUUGGUUUUAUCAUCAAGCUUCGAUCUCAUAUCUUUAGGGAUGUGAACAUAUACUCGGCAACCAAACAUUUUCAAGUGUUUAUAAGAAACAUCUUUCCCGGUCCAACUCUCUUAGGUACAUCGCCAUCUAAUAGAGCUAAAGGAGAAAGGUUAAUCAAGUCAACUGCAAUAUGCAGAGCCUCUGCCUAGAAAUGUUUAGGAAGCUUGGCAUCAUAAAGCAUACACUUAACCCUCUUUUUAAUUGUUAUGUUCAUCUUUUCUGCAACAACAUUCUAUUGCGGGGUUUUUGGUAUAGUCUUCUCAAGUCUUAUUCCAUGGAAUCUGUAAUACUUCUCAAAUGGUCCUUUGUACUCACCACCAUUAUCUGCCCUGACGCAUUUUAAUUUUCUUUCUGUCCCUCUCUCAACAUAAGUAUGAAAGAACUUAAAUAUAUCAAGCACUUGAUCUUUAGAUUUCAAAGCAAAAGCCUACACUUUUUUAGAAUAGUCAUCAAUAAAAGCCACAAAAUAAAAUGCACUUCCUAUUAAUCUACUUUGCAUCAUGCAAACAUCAGUGUGAUUCAAAUCAAGUAUUUGUUACUUUCUAGAUGGAGAAAAACUUUUAAAAGCUACUCUGUGUGUCUUUCCAACUAAGCAAUGAACACAAGUCUUGAGGGACAUACCUGUGAAGCUGGGUAAAAAUCCUUUUCUGGCAAGAGUUUCCAACCCUUUCUCACUAAUGUGACUAAGUCUUUUAUGCCAUGUCUCAAUAUCAUAAUCUUUUACGACCACAUUCACAUUUUCUUUCUUGAUCUUGGCUUCUAUCACAUAGAAAGUGUUUACUUUCCUCCCCUUAGCUAACAGUAGAGAGCCUUUGGUGAACUUCCAUUUUCCUUCAACAAAUUGGUCGUAUAACCAUCAUCAUCAAGUUUACCUGUAGAGAUCAAAUUAAGGCAAAUAUCUGGAACAUAUCUAACAUCUUUAAGUAACAACUUACAACCAAUGCUGGUUUCCAAGUAAAUAUUUCCUAUGUCCACAAUCUUGGAUGUCCCCUCAUUUCCCAUCCGAACAUGGCCAUAAUCACCAUUAACAUAAGAUGUGAAGUAAUCAAAACGUGCAAUAACAUGAAAUGAAGCACCUUAAUCAAUCGCCCAAUCAAUGGCAUGGCAGGGUAGAUUUACUGAGCUCUCAUCAUAAGUAAUACCAAAAUCGCAGUCAACUAUAGCUGCAGUGUUCUCUUUGUCAUUUUUUCGAGCAUCACUCUUUUCUUUCGCAUGUUAUCUUUUAAUUCACACUGAUGUUUGCAUGAUGCAAAGUAGAUCAAUAAGAGGUGCACUUUAUUUUGUGACUUUUAUUGAUGACCUUUCUAGAAAAGUCUGGGCUUUUGCUUUAAAAUCUAAAGAUCAGGUGCUUGAUGAAUUUACCAUGCUUAUGUUGAAAGAAGGACAUGAAGAAAAUUAAAAUGUGUCAGGACAGAUAAUGGUGGUAAGUACAGAGGACCAUUUGAGUAGUAUUGCAGAUCCCAUGGAAUAACACUUUAGAAGAUUGUACCAAAAACCUCACAACAGAGUGAUGUUAUAGAAAUGAUGAACAAAACAAUUGAAGAGAAGGUCAGGUGUAUGCUUUCUGAUGCCAAGCUUUCUAAACCUUUCUGGGCAGAGGCUAUGCAUACUGCAAUUGACUUGAUUAACCUUUCUCCUUCCGCUCCAUUAUAUGGCAAUGUUCCUAAGAGAGUUUGGACAAGGAAAAAUGUUUCUUAUAAACAUUUGAGAGUGUUUGGUUGCAGACUAUAUGUUCACAUCCCUAAAGAUGAGAGAUCGAAACUUGAUGAUAAAGUCAAGGAAUGCAUUUUCUUAGGCUAUGGGCAUGAAGAACUUAGGUACAGAUUAUAGGAUCCAAUUGUAGUGUAAAUUUUACUGAACUCGCUAGCGCACGAAUCUAUUGUAGAAUAGACUAAUGGUGACGAGUGUCGAUCUGUAACAUAUGUGAAUUUCAAAAUGAAAAUGAGGCGGUUAAGGCUUUUAUAAGUAAAAGAAUAAGCUGGAAACAAGGUAAAAGCAUGCACGUGUGAGAGAGAGUGAAGGAAAGCUGCCAAACCGACCCAACUAGAUUCUGUAGACUUUACUGUCUUUAGAAGAAUAAUUAUUCUUAUCUUUAUUAAAGUUAGAAUUUAUAUCUUGUAGGCACCAUCAUGCUUCGUCGUAGCAGUAGACAUGGCCGUGGCCGUACUAGGCCAAUAGCUGGAUUGACUUCUGGUAGUGUACCUACGGGGGAAAGUGAACCCGCGAAUGAGGGGAUAGUUGAAUCCUCUACCCAUGAAAUUGCACAACAGGCACCGGGGAAUGCCCCAAAUAUUGAGCAGUCAUUUGAUAGGCUGGCUCAGAUCAUGACUACAGUUGUGCAAAAUCAGACUCAAGCGCAUGUCGGUAACGCAAACACUAUUGAGCGAGUGAGGAGUUUAGGGGCGAGGAGCUUUAAUGGUUCCGGAGAACCACCUGAGGCUGAGUCAUGGUUUGUUAUGUUAGAGCGUAUUUAUUGAUGUGAUGAAGUGCUCAGAGGAUGAUAGAUUAUCCUUCGCCACUUUCUUGCUCAAUGAUAGAGCUUAUCAUUGGUGGCAGACUGUGGAGAGACGAUAUCAGGGGCAUGCUGCGAUUACUUGGGCCAUUUUUCGCAAGGAAUUCUACGAUCAUUAUUUUCCUACUGUAUAUCAGGAUAUUAAACGGAGUGAAUUCUUUCGGUUGGUUCAGGGAUCUCUGACAGUUAAGGAGUAUGAGAAGAAAUUUUUAGACCUCUCUAGAUUUGCUACAUCUGUAGUCGGUGAUGAGAGAGAGAGAUGCAGACGGUUCGAGGAUGGCCUCCGAUUUGAGAUUCGCAUCAUCGUGACUGCAUCACAAUAUACUGAGUUUGGAGAGGUAGUGGAGGCAGCCAAGAGAGUAGAGCACAAUUUUGCAGAAGGACGUAGAUUUCAUACACUGAAGCAGAAGCAUAGCCAGAGCUGGGCAGAGGGUGGCUCUAAUAGUAGGCCGCCCAAGAGAAGGGGUAUUCUUAUGAGUUAUUCUGAUAGUACGCAAAGGAGUCAGAGUACAGGCUUCAGGGGAGACUCGAGACAGGCUGUCAGUCACAGCUCUGUGCAACCAUCGGUGGGGAGUAAUACCAGGAAUCAGGGACAGUACGACUGCAAUGGUGGGGGAUGUCGUGAUAAUCGUUUUAGGAGUUUCUAGCACACUUCUUGCCCUUCAUGUGGCAGGAAUCAUCACGGCCCAUGUCAUAUUGGAGAUAGAGUUUGUUAUUUAUGUGGUUAGCCUGGACACAUCAGGAGAUUCUGCCCUACUUUAUCUCAGAGUGAUAGCUCUGCAGGAGGGACAGCCUCACAGUAUCGGCCUUACUCUGGCCAGACGACUGCUCUAGGUCAGAAAGGAGUGCAAACAUGAGGUUCUACAUCUACCUUUAGGAGUCAGACGACUGCUCUAGGUCAGAGAGGUCAGCCUGGUCGAUCUCAUACUCAGGCUCGAGUUUUUGCUUUGACACAGCAGGAGGCACGCGGUGCACCAGAAGUUAUUAUGGGUAUACUAUCUAUCCUUGGCCGCGAGGCUCAUAUUCUUAUUGAUCAUGGAUCCACACACUCUUUUGUUUCUCGUACUUUUGCUAUGCACAUAGAGCGAGAGCCUGAACUGCUAGAUUGCGAUUUAAUUGUUCGUACACCUACCAGAGAGUCAUUACUUGCUUAGAGUGUGUAUCGAGAUUGUAUGAUUGGAAUAGGUGAACAUGAAUUUGAGGCGAAUUUGAUUUCCUUAGAUAUUCAUGACUUUGAUUCUAUUUUGGGUAUGGAUUGGCUUGAAUCUCAUUAUGCUACGGUGGAUUGUUUCAAAAAGGACGUUAUGUUUAAAACGCCAAGGAAAACUGAGGUGAAAUUCUGUGGGGAGCGCAAAGUUCUACCUUCAUGUGUUAUAUCUGCUAUUAGUGUAAGAAGGUUGCUAAGAAAAGGAUGCUCAGCUUAUUUAGCUCAUGUGAUAGAUACAGAAGCUCGAGAAUUGAGAUUGGAGGAUAUUACAGUAGUUAAAGAAUUUUCAGAUGUAUUUCCAAAUGAACUUUCUAGGAUGCCACCUAACAGUUGAGUUUUCUAUUGACUUAGUCCCUGGAACAUCUCCAAUAUCUAUGGCACUGUACAGAAUGGCUCCAGUAGAAUGGAAGGAACUGAUGGUUCGAUUGCAAGAGUUGGUGGAGAAAGGGUUUAUUAGACCUAGUGUGUCCCCAUGGGGAGCUCUAGUCUUAUUUGUUAAGAAAAAAGAUGGGACUUUUAGACUCUGCAUCGACUACAGGCAGUUGAAUAAAGUUACGGUACGCAAUAAGUAUCCACUUCCGCGUAUUGAUGACUUGUUUGAUCAACUCCAAGGGCCAAAAGUAUUUUCUAAGAUCAAUUUGCGCUCAGGUUACCAUCAGUUUAGAAUUAAAGAUGUCGACGUUCCCAAAACAGCAUUUAGGACCCGUUAUGGGCAUUAUGAGUUCUUAGUGAUGCCAUUUGGGUUGACAAAUGCCCCAGCUGCUUUUAUGGACCUGAUGAAUAGGGUAUUUCGCCCGUACUUGGAUCGGUUUGUGAUUGUAUUCAUUGAUGAUAUCUUAGUGUAUUCCCAAAGCGAUGAGGUGCAUGCAGAGCAUUUGCGGACUAUUUUACAGACUUUGAGACAGAAGCAAUUGAAUGCCAAGUUCAGCAAAUGCGAGUUCUGGUUGGACAGAGUAGUAUUUUUGGGCCAUGUGAUAUCAGCUGAAGGCAUUUAUGUUGAUCCUCAAAAGAUUGAAGCAGUUGUGAAAUGGGAACGACCUACAAAUGUCACAGAGGUUCGGAGUUUUCUUGGAUUAGCUGGUUAUUAUCAUAGAUUUGUGGAAGGAUUCUCCAAGAUUGCUACUCCUCUGACACAGUUAACCAGAAAGAAUGCUAAGUUCCAAUGAGAUGAUGACUGUGAAAAUAGUUUUCAAGAACUUAAGACACGUUUGACCUCAGCACCAGUUCUUACACUUCCAUCUGGUAAUGAAGGAUUUGUGGUUUACAGCGAUGCCUCUAGGCAGGGAUUGGGUUGUGUAUUGAUGCAGCAUGGGAAAGUGGUGGCUUAUGCUUCUAGACAACUUAAGAAGCAUGAACAAAACUACCCAACAAAUGACUUAGAGCUAGCAGCAGUGGUAUUUGCAAUCAAGAUAUGGCAGCAUUACUUAUAUGGGGAAACGUGUCAGAUUUUCACUGAUCAUAAGAGCUUGAAGUAUUUGUUUACUUAGAAGGAGUUGAAUUUGAGACAGAGGAGAUGGAUCGAGCUGAUUAAGGACUACGAUUACACUAUCGAUUAUCAUCCGGGUAAAGCAAAUGUGGUAGCUGAUGCACUAAGUAGAAAGUCUUCCAGCUCUAUAGCUCACUUGCAAGUGAAAUAUGUGCCUCUGUUGAUCGAGUUGAGAUCUUUGGGAGUCGAGUUGAACGCUGACAAUCGUGAAGCUUUGAUAGCUAAUUUUUGAGUUAGGCCGACUUUGAUUGACAAAGUUCACCAAAUGCAAGCUCAGGACCCACAAUUAAUAAAGUUGAAAGAUGAUGUGCAGAAAAGUUUACGAACCGAUUUUAUGAUGGGAAAUGACGGAGUCUUAUUCAUGGGUAAUAGACUCUAUGUACCUGAUAUUAAAGAUCUGAAAGAAGAGAUUAUGGAAGAAGCUCAUUGUUUAGCAUAUGCGAUGCAUCCUGGUAGUACGAAAAUGUACCGUACCCUGAGAGAUCAUUAUUGGUGGCAGGGCAUGAAGAGAGAGAUAGCAGAAUUUGUUUCUCGAUGUUUAAUCUGUCAGCAUAUUAAAGCUGAACACUAGAGGCCUGCAGGGUGUUCUCAGUCGCUUCUUAUUCCUGAGUGGAAGUGGGAGCACAUCACCAUGGAUUUUGUAGCGGGACUUCCACUAACUCAGAAAGGACAUGAUGGUGUUUGGGUGGUUGUUGAUCGACUUACAAAAUCUGCUCAUUUCUUACCUUUCAAGACCACCUACUCGAUGGACAAGUUGGGGAGUAUUUAUGUGGCUGAAAUAGUUCAACUUUACGGAGUAGCUGUGUCUAUAGUCUCAGAUAGAGAUUCCCGGUUUACUUCUAAGUUCUGGACUAGCUUGUAACAUGCCUUAGGCACCAAGUUAAACUUCAGUAUAAUUUUUCAUCUACAGAUUGAUGGACAGUCAGAGCGUACUAUUCAAACUCUGGAGGAUAUGUUGCGAGCUUGUGUUAUGGAGUUUAAAGGUAAUUGGGAUAAUUAUUUACCUUUGAUGGAGUUUGCUUACAACAACAGUUAUCAAGCUAGUAUCAAGAUGGCACCAUAUGAGGCUUUGUAUGGUAGAAAAUGCAGGACUCCAGUAUGUUGGGAUGAAGUUGGUGAGCGGAGGUUAUUCGGUCCAGAACUAGUCCAGGAUACGAACGAGAAGAUACAAUUGAUUCGGGAUAGAUUAAAGUUGGCCCAAGAUAGACAGAAGAGCUAUGCAGACAAGCGUAGGCGGGAACUUGAAUUCGAAGUUGGUGAUAGAGUUUUCAUACGGAUAUCUCCUUGGAAAGGGGUGCUUCGAUUUGGGAAACGUGGGAAGUUAAGUCCACGUUACAUUGGGCCAUAUGAGAUCAUUGAGCGCAUCGGUCCGUUAGCUUAUCGAUUGGCUCUACCACCCGAGUUAUCCAGAAUCCACGAUGUGUUUCACGUCUCAAGGCUCCGGAAGUACAUAUAUGACCCGAGUCAUGUGUUAUCGAAGCAACCAAUUCAGUUGAAGGAAGAUUUGACUUACGAAGAGGAACCAGUAGAGAUACUAGAAGAGAAACACCAAGUUCUGCGUUCUAAGACCAUUCCUUUAGUAAAAGUGCGGUGGAUGAAUCAUACAAAGGAAGAGGCUACCUGGGAACGCGAGGACUUAAUGCGAGCUCAGUAUCCCUAUCUUUUCUUAUCAGGUACGUAAAUUUCGAGGACGAAAUUUUUAUAAGGGGGGAGGAUUGUAACAUAUGUGAAUUUCAAAAUGAAAAUGAGGCGGUUAAGGCUUUUAUAAGUAAAAGCAUAAGCUGGAAACAGGGUAAAAACAUGCACGUGAAAGCGUUUCGGCCGAACUUGGUACCAAUCUGAAGCGUAGAAGCUGACCGUCGUUCCCCUGGCCGAAAACCAACCGGAACGCCGAUGAUCGAAGCUUGAACCCGUUACUGUUUCACUUUACUCCGCCGGGAUUUUCGACGGUUUUGGAUGACACCACCGGUUGGAUCUUGUUCCCAACGACUCCCUCUUCCAUUUUGGACCAUCCAUAGGCACCUAGAGUCCACGUUACAUUGGAAAGGGGUGCUUCGAUUUGGGAAACGUGGGAAGUUAAUUCCACGUUACAUUGGGCCAUAUGAGAUCAUUGAGCGCAUCGGUCCGUUAGCUUAUCGAUUGGCUCUACCACCCGAGUUAUCCAGAAUCCACGAUGUGUUUCACGUCUCAAGGCUCCGGAAGUACAUAUAUGACCCGAGUCAUGUGUUAUCGAAGCAACCAAUUCAGUUGAAGGAAGAUUUGACUUACGAAGAGGAACCAGUAGAGAUACUAGAAGAGAAACACCAAGUUCUGCGUUCUAAGACCAUUCCUUUAGUAAAAGUGCGGUGGAUGAAUCAUACAAAGGAAGAGGCUACCUGGGAACGCGAGGACUUAAUGCGAGCUCAGUAUCCCUAUCUUUUCUUAUCAGGUACGUAAAUUUCGAGGACGAAAUUUUUAUAAGGGGGGAGGAUUGUAACAUAUGUGAAUUUCAAAAUGAAAAUGAGGCGGUUAAGGCUUUUAUAAGUAAAAGCAUAAGCUGGAAACAGGGUAAAAACAUGCACGUGAAAGCGUUUCGGCCGAACUUGGUACCAAUCUGAAGCGUAGAAGCUGACCGUCGUUCCCCUGGCCGAAAACCAACCGGAACGCCGAUGAUCGAAGCUUGAACCCGUUACUGUUUCACUUUACUCCGCCGGGAUUUUCGAUGGUUUUGGAUGACACCACCGGUUGGAUCUUGUUCCCAAUGACUCCCUCUUCCAUUUUCGACCAUCCAUAGGCACCUAGAGUCACUGUGUUGCGCCGGUCAAUUGUUGGAAUUCACGGCUGCCGAGCUCGAUUCCGGCGCCAUUGCCGCGAGUUGGAGCUUACCGCCGGUACCAUUGAACUCAGCGUGAUUGGAACUUUCAGAUUUGAGCUUCCUAGCCAGCGUUGACCAAAUUCCGGUGACCGUUGGCCGGCAAGGGCAUUUUGGUAAUUUCACACUAUGAGGGCAAUUUUGUAAUUUCUGAUCCUGUGGAUAUGUUAGUAAUUCCUAGAAUUGAGGAGUGGGUGUAAUUACGAUUUUGAGGGUAAUUCAAUGAUGUACGAUUUCAGAGUAUGUGUUAAUGAUUUACGGACUCAAGGGCAUUUUAGUAAUUUUAUGAACACGGGAGUUGUCAAUUAUGGAUAGAUGUUCGUUUCGAGUUUAUUGCAUAAAUUUUAUCGUAAUUCCGAUUUACAGAAAAUAAUUAUGUUGUUUCCUUGAUUUAGGAGGAUCCACGAGCGAGAACUGGUCUGCGGACGUGGACGAUAACCGACCGUGAACACUGUCACUGUGAGUGAAAUAUGCAAAACCUAUUUUUAUAGUUAAUUAUGAUAGUAAAGCAUGUUUGCGAAAUAAGUAUUUUGAAUGUUCUGAUUUAAUGAUUUCCUCGAACUAGAUUUUAUUCACGCAUUGGUAUAUUAUUAAAAUGUUUGGUUAAUGAUUUUGCGUAUCGACUUUGAAUAAGCAUGAUAGUAUUUUAAAGAUAAGAAAAGUGGAUUCAAAUGUGGUAUGAUUUAAAGUAUGAUUAAAAUGUAUGUGAAUAUGAGUAUAAUGAUUGUUUUUUGAAAUCAUUAGACAGUACUCUUCCCUCCAGAUACAUGUGAUACAAAUGAGAUGAGAGGCCUUUGGGGCCCGUCUGAACACACAUAGAGGCUUUGGGCCGUGUGUUUGGGCGCUUUUGCCUUUUGGGGGAAUAUGCAUGCGGUAUGAUGAGUACAGAUAUACUGAUAUGAGAUACAGACAACCAUUGAAAUACAAAUGAUACAUAUGAUAAAGAUGAGAUACAGGCCUUUGGGGCCCAUCUGAGUACACAUAUAGGCUUUGGGCCGUGUGCUUGGGCGUUUUUUUCCUUUAGGGACUAGAUUAUGCAUGCACGAAUAUGAUGAGAUAUGAGAUGGUAUUUUCCUGUCUAUCCGUGUAGCUCUGGGGCGUGACGUUACCCAGAUAGUACGUCAUUGCCCGUCCAUUGAGGUCUGGAUAUGACGAGAUUAUUUCCCUGGGUACUUGUUUGGUUAUGAUUUUCAGAUUUGUGAAUUCUAUAUGAUAUUGUGGUAUGACUUAUUACUGGUUUCUCGCUUAUGGUUUAAUGAAAUCGUGUUUGGAAAUGGUAUGAUUAUUUCUUUUAAAGUAAGAAUUAAUUUUCAAAAUUACUAUCCACUCACUGAUCUCACUGAGUUUUAAACUCAUCCCGUUUUUAUUAUAUUUUCCCCCCUCACCAGGAGGUUGCAAGUACACCAGACCGAUCCAGCGACUGUAAAUAUAUUUUGAGUCUUGGCCACGUGAUGGUGUUAGAAGAUAUAGAUGUUUUUGUUAGGACAUCUUGGGCAUCUUGUUCUUUUGGGAUUGUAUACUUUUGUUAUAUUAUUCUUUUGGGAGUAAGAAUAAAUUGAGAUAUUAAUAUUAGUUAUAAUAUUAUCUUUUGAGACUCUAGAGAUAUAAAACUCAGCAUUUUGGUUGAGGAUGUUGAGCACUAGGGUUUGUUGUAUAUUGAAUUGUAUUAGGAGUGUUAUAUUCAUAUUUAUAGAUUGGGAGUGUUAUAUAUAUAAAGGAGACUCUGCCGAAUUUUCGGCAGAAUUUUUAUGAAUAGAAUUAUUAUCAAGUCCGUUUUGAUGAGACUAGAUAGACUCGCCUGGGGGGAUUCGGGAAUUAUUAUUAUGAAAUGACUAUAAUGCCCCUAAAAUAUAUAAAAUACCUAAUUAAAAUAAAACAAGUAAUUAAAUCACAAGAGGUUAAAUACAUAAAAGUAAGGGUGUUAGUAAAACUUGAAGUGUAAAAUGACGAUUUUCUUCUUUAUAAAUAUACAUUUUCUAACACUCAACACACCCCCCAACCAGCUUAUUGCUAGUCCCUAGCAAAUAAAGCAAAAACAAAAUUUAAAUCCAAAAUGAAUUUUUUUUUCAACACUUGUGUUUAUUCAAUCAGACUAAUGAUAACAAUCAAAUAAAAGUAUAAGCAUUAUCUCUAGUCUAAAGAAACAUUACAUUCACAUCAACCAUCCACAUGAAUCUGUCCAGUAGACUUUGUCACAGCUACUUUCAAGAAGACAUGUUAAACCACAAAAUCUCAUUGGAAAUUCUGACACUCUCACAAAAAAAUUAAACCCAAUAAAAAUAGUCACUUCCAAUAAAUGGUAAUUGAGAGAAAAUAAUAAAGAAGUGUUAUCACAUGCUCUCACCAAGAUGAAAGAAAUAUGUCCUUAGCUUAGAAAUAAUACGAUCUCAAGUCAAAUAAAAAAUGCUAGUCAACCUAAUUUAUUUAUCUUUUUUUUUAUAUGCACCACUACAUAAAAAAAAAAAAUUUUAAAAUUUUUUGGAAGGCUUUUUUUUUUUUUUAAAAACAAAAAUUAAAAAGGUUUUUUAAAAAGUUUUAAAAAUUUUUUUNNNNNNNNNNNNNNNNNNNNNNNNNNNNNNNNNNNNNNNNNNNNNNNNNNNNNNNNNNNNNNNNNNNNNNNNNNNNNNNNNNNNNNNNNNNNNNNNNNNNUACGAUCUCAAGUCAAAUAAAAAUGCUAGUCAACCUAAUUUAUUUAUCUUUUUUUUAUUAUGCACCACUACAUCUUUUUAGCCCAUAUAACUAAUUUCUACUUCAGAUUAUAGUUCCCUAAAAUCAAGAAGAACUUUUAUUAGGACAUAACAUAUGUUAGGGACAUGGCUAACAAAUAAGGGAAAUAAGGAAAAAAAAGUGUAUGUUUGAGAACAAUACUGAUAUAUUUUUUUUUUAAAGUUGGAAGGUGGAUUUCACCUAUUAUUGUUUUUUUUUUCUUUUUGAAACAACAAUUUUUUUGUUUUGUUUUGUUUUUGUUUUUUUUUUGCUUUUGUUUGGCACAACGUCACUGAACAAAAUAAUUAUUUACAUUUUUCUCAAACAUAAAUAGGUAAUGGAACUUGUAAGAUAUUAGGUAAUACUCUAAAUCGGAGUGGGUCAAGAUGAUAAGUUUGACAAAGAAAAUUUUUUUUUUUUAAAGGCUCAAAAGGGUUAACUAUGGAUAUUUGAUCAAAGGGAUGGCUAGAAAGGCUCAAACGAAUCAAAGAUGACCUUUCCAUCAUUUUUUAGGGCUCUAAAUAAUCUUUCAUAUCUACUAGUUAGAUGGGCCUCCAAAUGUAGCAACACACAUUUUUUUUCUUUUUUUUUAUUUUAUAAAAUUUUUUUUAAGGGUUAACUCAAAAGAAAUCUAGAGAUCGUGUAUAAAAUAAUAAACUGCUAAGCUGUAUAAAUAAUGGGCAAAAGGGUUACUCUCCAAGAAAAAUGAUAGGUUCAAAAACUCACUUGGUACUUAUUAUGACAUGUUCAUUCCUUCAAGCAACUCAUAUUUGUCUCCGACAUAUUCAGCCAUCUUCGACUCAAAUAUUUGAAAAUGUAUAUAUUAUAAAGGUGAAAUUAAAAAGAAGAAGAAAAAUGAAUAUCAAAGCUUAAUAAAGAAAAAGAAAAUGUCUGAAUUUUUUUAAUUUUUUUUUUCAAACAAUGAAGAUGCGUUUCUAGAGUCACUACACUCCAUAUUCAGCCAUCUUCAACACUAAAAGUUAGCAACAGUUAGUUUCUAUAACAAAAAAUCGGUAAAAACUGAACCAAGAUUCCACAAUUGUCGACUAUUCCCUCCCCCCAACCAAAACGAAACAUUAUCCCCAAUAUUUUAAAGGAAAGAAGUAGAGUUUAGAAGACAUCACCUGGGUGGUGUAACACAGAAGAAAAUAUUUACAGGCAGAGAAUUAAAUCUAAUUUGUACUUCUUACUGCGGCUACUGUUACCAUCAUUAUUUGGACGCUCCACCACAAAGGUCCAGGGGUCUGGUUCUGGUUUAUAUGCUUGUAACAGAUCAAGUAACUCAUUAGCAGUGUGAGCACAAAUAAAAAGCUUUUUCGCUAUGGAAGGAAUGAAAUAGUUUUUUAUUACAUGGUUAAGAAAUGCGAUAAAGGCAUCAUAAAAGUUAGUGACAUUUAACAAACUGAUGGGUUUUUGGUGAAUGUACAGAUGGGCCCAGGAUACUAGUGUGAUAAGUGCCUCUAGUGUUGCAAGAUCUCCUGGAAGGAAAAUAAAAGCAUCAACAUGAUUAAGCAUUUCAGUUGUUCUUUCUUGCAUACCUGAGACGACUAACUCUUCUCCAGUCGAUGAGUCAGACAAACUGCCCAAAGGUUUUAGGGCUCUUGGGAUGAUGCCUAAUGUUGAGUGUUAGAAAAUGCAUAUUUAUAAAGGAGAAAACCAUCAUUCACAGCACUGUUCACAUAGACGGAUCGAUGACGUGGCAUUGACCGAUGAUGUGGCAUUGACUGAUGAGGUGUCACGAUCCUGUUGGACUAAAAUUCUUAUGUACUGUUGAUGGUGACGUGGCAGCAUAUCAGUGGACGAAAAAUCUCGCGUACGGUGCAUGCAUCACACAGGAUUAUUUUCAACCAAAUCGCGUUACUGUUCAUCCAGGUCAAACCGUGUUACUGUUCAUCUGCGUGGUCAAACCGUGGACUGUUGACUGAUGACGUAGCGCAAUCCUGAGCGUCCAAACUGUUUUUAAUCCGAUGGCCAUAAUUUACUCCAUGUAUCUAUGUAGCUGCUAGAAGUUUUGAACUAAAACCUAGUGUGCUAAAUUGUCUCCCCACAUUCUAUGGCUUAGAAAAUGAGGACCCAUAUAAUCAUCUGAAUGAUUUUCAUGCCAUUUGUCAAACAUUUAAAUAUGAGAAUUUUUCAGACGAUGAUGUUAAACUCAGAUUAUUCCCAUUUUCUUUAAAGGAUAGAGCUCGUUCAUGGUUAAAUACUUUGCCUACUAAUAGCAUCACAUCAUGGGAACAAAUGGUUACAAAAUUUUUGAAUAAAUAUUUCCCAGUGCAUAAAACCAAUGCUAUUCGCAGGGAAAUCUCGAAGUUUACCCAGAGAGAGGACGAGCAGUUUUUCGAAAAUGGCACCAAUGCCAAUACUUUUUAGAGGGAUUAUUGCCGAAUGUGCAAGAAUGGCUAAUGGCAACAAGUGGAGGAGAGCUAAUGUCAAAAAGUGCAUCAGAGAUUUGGGAAUUCUUUCAGCGACAAGCGGAUAAUUCCCAACAACGGAGUCGAUCACUCAGGAAUACUAGACGAAUUAAGGGAGUAAAUGAGGUUCAAAUUGGCGAGUCAACUUCGGGAAUCAAAGAAGUCAAGGAGAUGGUUGAAGGUCUUGCUCGACAAAUAGCAUCGUUAUCGACUGCUAAAUCAACAGAGCCACAUGACCAUGACUCAUACUCAGAUCAAGCCAAUGCCAUAGGUGUAAUGAGAAAGCCAUCAAAUUACAACCCAUACUCCAACACAUAUAACCCUGGAUGGAGAGACCACCCCAAUUUUUCAUGGUCCCAAGGAAUUCAACAUAAUGGACAAGUAGCUCCAGUUCCACCAAUUCCACAAAAUCCCCAAGCCUCUCAGCCCCCAUUCAGACCAUACAAUCAGAACCAAAACUAUGCUCAACCCAGACCAUGGGAGGAUGCAUUCCAGAAUUUCAGGAAUGUUACUCACUCCACGAUUGAGCAACAAAACCGCACCAUUGAUGGACUACGAAAUGAAUUGAGAGCGAGCUUCAACUCACAAGCCCAAUCAGUUUCAAGGCUCGAGAAGAUGGUGGGACAACUUGCUUCUUCAGUUCAGACCUUGGCAAUGACUGUUGAGAAAGGCAAAUUUCCAAGUCAACCAGUGCCUAAUCCUAAAGGAGUGCAUGAAGCAAGUACAAGUUCACCACAGCAGCAUGGAGAAGUCAAAGCAGUUAUGACCUUGAGAAAAGGAAAAGAAGUCGACAACAAAGUGGAGAUGCCGGUGACAAAAGAAAAUCAAAUUGUACCUGUGAGUGUUGAGGACUCAUCACCGAAGGAGAAAGAAGAAACCAACCCACAAGAAUAUGUUCCUAAGGCUCCAUUUCCUCAGAGGUUAGCUAAAGGAAAAAAGGGAAAAUCCACAGGUGAGAUUCUUGAAAUCUUCAAACAGGUAAGUGUUAACAUCCCUUUGCUUGAUGCUAUUAAACAAGUUCCAUCUUAUGCCAAGUUUCUUAAAGACCUUUAUACUAAAAAGAGAAAUAUGUAUGUUCAAAAGAAGGCAUUUUUAACAGAAAACAUUAGUUCUAUACUCCAACAUAAAAUUCUUUUAAAAUGCAAAGACCCAGGCUCCCCCACUAUCUCAUGUAGUAUAGGGAACCACACAAUUGAGAAUGCUUUGUUGGAUUUAGGAGCUAGUGUAAAUCUUUUGCCUUACUCUGUAUUCGUGAAACUUGGACUGGGAGAAUUACACCCAACUCCAGUGGUGUUACAGCUUGCAGAUCGGUCCACGAAAAUACCUCGUGGCAUUGUGGAGGACGUGCUUAUCCAGGUAGACAAGUUUUAUUUUCCUGUUGAUUUCAUUGUAAUUGACACUCAACCAAUACAGGACUCGAGGAAGCACAUCCUCAUUAUUCUAGGCCGACCUUUCUUGGCAACUGCGGAUGCUCACAUUCAAUGCAGAACUGGAAAUAUGCAGUUGUCCUUCGGCAAUAUGACUAUGGAACUGAACAUCUUCAACAUUGCCAAACAACCUCACAAUGCAGAUGAUGGAAUUAUUGAUGUGGAUUUAAUUGAAACAAUAGUUGAUAACACUUUUCUUUCAAACCUUAGUGAUGAUCCUUUACAAACAUAUUUAACUCACUUUGGUUUUGAUUUUGAUAUUAACAGAUCGGUCUAUGAGGUCAAUGCCCUGCUUGACUCAGCACCAUCCAUGGACACUAAUAAAUGGAAGUCAAGAGUUGAACAACUAGCACCAUCAGAGAAGAAAUUCAUCCCAUCAUCAGAAUCACCACCGAAACUCGAGCUCAAACCAUUACCCAACACUCUGGAAUAUGCAUUUUUAGGAGAAGAAAGCACUCUGCUGGUAAUUAUCUCAUCAUCCCUCAAUGACGAACAAAAAGGUAAGUUGUUGGAUGUUUUAAAAGAGCACAAAGGAGCAUUGGGAUGGACCAUAGCAGACAUAAAAGGUAUAAACCCAGUAGACUGCAUGCAUUACAUUCACCUCGAUGAAAAUGCUAAAUCUACUAGGGAAAUGCAACGUCGGUUAAAUCCUAAUAUGAAAGAAGUUGUUAGAACUGAAGUCCUUAAGCUAUUAGACGCAUGUAUCAUUUACCCAAUUUCUGAUAGUUCAUGGGUCAGUCCUGUACAAGUCGUCCCCAAAAAGUCAGGAGUCACAGUAGUUACCAAUGCUGAUAAUGAAUUGAUACCCACUAGAGUAACUACAGGAUGACGUGUAUGUAUUGAUUAUAGAAAAUUGAAUUAUGUCACACGUAAAGACCAUUUUCCUUUACCAUUUAUUGAUCAAAUGCUUGAUAGAUUAGCAGGCCAUGAAUUUUAUUGCUUUCUGGAUGGCUACUCAGGAUAUAAUCAGAUUCCCAUAGCACCAAAAGAUCAAGAGAAAACUACUUUCACUUGCCCUUUUGGCACAUUUACAUAUAGGAGAAUGCCAUUUGGAUUAUGUAAUGCACCUGCUACAUUUCAACGAUGCAUGUUAAGCAUUUUUUCUGAUAUGGUUGAACGAUUCCUUGAAGUCUUUAUGGAUGAUUUUUUUGUCUUUGGUGACUCGUUUGAUCAAUGUUUACAUCAUCUAACACUAGUUCUGCAGAGAUGUAUCGAGAAGAAUUUGGUCUUAAAUUGGAAGAAAUGCCAUUUUAUGGUAAAAUAAGGUAUUAUUCUCGGUCACAUGAUUUCGAGCAAAGGUAUUGAGGUUGACAAAGCCAAGGUGGAUCUCAUUUCUAAUUUUCUUUCACCUAAAACAGUCAGAGAAGUAAGAUCUUUCCUUGGGCAUGCUGGUUUCUAUAGACGAUUCAUUAAAGAUUUUAGCAAAGUUUCUAGACCCUUAUGCAAUUUACUUGCUAAGGAUGUACAUUUUAUCUUUGAUGAUUCAUGUCUUGUUGCGUUUGAAAAAUUAAAGCAUUUGUUGACAUCAUCACCCAUCAUUCAGCCCCUGAACUGGAACUUACCAUUUGAGCUCAUGUGUGAUGCAUCUGAUUAUGCAGUAGGAGCAGUAUUAGGACAAAGAGUUGAUCGAAUUCCCCACGUUAUUUACUAUGCUAGUAUGACAUUGAAUGAUGCACAGUUGAACUAUUCAACUACUGAAAAAGAAAUGCUAGCAGUAGUGUUUGCAUUAGAGAAAUUUCGAUCUUAUCUCAUUGGUUGUAAAAUAAUCGUGUUCACAGAUCAUGCUGCUCUUAAAUAUCUUCUCACAAAGAAAGAUGCAAAAGCUAGACUAAUUCGUUGGGUGUUACUUUUGCAGGAAUUUGACUUGGAAUUCAAAUAUAAGAAAGGGACAGAAAAUGUUGUGGCGGACCACCUCUCUCGUCUCCAUUUUGACACAAUUACAGAACCAUUAAUAUUGAAUUAGUCAUUUCCAGAUGAACAAUUAAUGAGCGUGGAAGUAUUACCUUGGUAUGCUGAUAUAGUUAAUUAUCUUGUUACAGGUAAACUUCCAGAGCAUUGGACCAAGCAAGAUAAGGCUAAAUUCUUUGCAAAGAUAAAGAAUUUCUUUUGGGAUGACCCUUAUUUGUUCAAGUAUUGUGCAGACCAAAUUGUUAGACGAUGUGUCCCAGAAAAUGAAAUUCAUAAUAUUCUUUUAUUCUGCCAUGAACAAGCUUGUGGAGGCCAUUUCAGUGCUAAGAAAACAGCGACUAAAGUUUUACAAUGCGGUUUCUAUUGGCCAUCUAUAUUUUGAGACGCUUACACUUUCUGUUCUUCAUGUGAUAGGUGUCAACGAAUUGGGAGCAUUACACGAAGGAACAUGAUGCCACUAAAUCCAAUUUUAGUGGCUGAGAUUUUUUACGUAUGGGGUAUCGACUUCAUGGGACCCUUUCCCCCGUCUUUUGGCCAUCAAUAUAUAUUGGUUGCUGUUGACUACGUAUCGAAAUGGGUAGAAGCAAUUCCAUGUAGGACCAAUGAGCACAAGGUGGUGAUAGCAUUUUUGAAAAGCAACAUUGUUUCACGCUUUGGAUUCCCUCGAGCAAUAAUCAGUGAUGGUGGUGCCCACUUUUGUAACAAAGCAUUCAAGGCUCUUUUGACAAAGUAUUCAAUCACACACAAAGUGGCGACCCCGUAUCAUCCGCAAACCAGUGGCCAAGUUGAGAUUUCCAAUCGAGAAAUAAAGCACAUAUUAGAAAAACGGUGAGGCCAGACAGGAAAGAUUGGUCAUUAAGACUUGAUGAUGCAUUAUGGGCAUACAAAACGGCUUUCAAGACCCCGAUUGGGAUGUCACCCUACAAGCUAGUGUAUGGAAAAGCUUGCCAUCUACCUGUGGAACUCGAACAUCGUGCGUAUUGGGCCAUCAAGAAAUUUAAUUUUGACAUGCAGCAAGCCAGCUCAGAAAGAAGAUUACAGCUGGCAGAACUUGAAGAAAUUCGUAAUGACGCAUACGAAAAUGCCAAGAUUUACAAGCAACGAAUGAAAGUCUUCCAUGACAAGAAAAUUAUGAGAAAAUCAUUCACUCUAGGUCAGAAAGUGCUUUUAUUCAAUUCUCGCUUGCACCUAUUCCCAGGUAAGUUACGCUCUCGUUGGUCUGGCCCAUUUAUUGUUCAUACUAUUUUUCCACAUGGAGCAAUUGAAAUUAAGGACCCAAAGAACGGUGUCACGUUUAAAGUUAAUGGUCAAAGAUUAAAGCCAUAUCUAGAAUACCAACCACAUGAAGAAGACACCGAAAUAAAUUUGAGUGACCCACCAAAUUUGAAUUGAUUUUUUUUUCUUUUCGUUGAUUUGAUUUUUCUUUAUUUCUUUUUAUUAUUAUUCUUUUGCUAAUUGAAAUUGUUUUUGCAUAAGUGUGUUUAUUUUACCAUUAAGUUUUCUCUUAUCAUUUUUAAUCAUGAGUCUCAUACUUAGACCGUUCCUUCUGAACAUUCUUAAACCACUUCAACGUGUCAAAACUCAUCUCAAAAGGCAGAUUCAAUUUUGUAAAACACAACGCAUUUGGUCUCUACAACCACCAAAGUUAGAAGCCUAUGUUGAGGGUUUAGAACGCCAACUCAGAGACAUUGAGAGAAGUGUUUACGACAUCCAGUUGGAGCUUGAGGUAAAUUCAAUAAGAGGACGAUUUUAAUUUUCUUUGUGUGUUUUAAUUUGUUUUUCUAUUUGUGUGCUUUAGUUUGUUACCCCGGUGAAGUGGCGGAUAACGGUACUCCAUGACAAUCAAGUCGGUUACUUCAGUUUCCCAUAAUAACUGAUAUUCUGAGGCGAAAGUAUGGACAGAAAUGAGAUUCUAGCGAAGCUUCACAAGCGAUUCCCUUCACUUCCUCAGAAUGCCCUCCUUACGAUCUAUAAAGCUCGGCCCGAACGCAUGCGAUUACUCAUGAGGAAUAACAUACCUGUUGACAUCCGUUGGUUAAUCGAGGCUAAAGUACGAUCGGCAGGUGAGUUACCUCCAAAAUUUAUUGCAUACAUGCCUGGUUGUGCUAAAGGAAAUUAUGCAAGAAAACGACGAGCUCGAAGAAUUUCUGUUGCUUGUCAUAAGUGUGCCAUAAUGAGUUGCAAUAAAAACCCAUGUUCUUUAGGAAUGGUGUCUGAUAACAGGGAAGAUAAGAUUCAAUUCAUUAGGGAUGGCUUGAAUAAGGAGUCAUUGGAUGAUAUCCUUUUGUCUCUUGAAACGCAUCCCAGUGGAUAUGUGCAAGGAGCGAUUCUCCAAUUAUGGCCAUUAUUCCAGAAAGAGCAUGCACGAUACAGUCUCGGGAAUCUAACUAUAAACGACCCUGUUUGCCAGUUUGUAAGAAAACUGGAUAGGAAGCCUAUCCUCGACCCAUAGAGGGCGUUCAAGCCGUUUCUGGACGUAAAACCAGAGGAAGAUGUGAGCCACAGUCGCAACUACUUGUAAAUAUCCUUUUACUUUACUGUUAUUUUAUUUCACUAUUAUUUUAUUGAGUGCAUUAUUUUCUUUAAUAAUUUUAUUACUGUUUGCUUUUUUCUUUUUAUUGUUUCCUUUUUUACUCGCGAGCCACGUGCUUUACGCGUUGACACUGACAUGUUACCUCAUAUACAACUGUGACCCACUGUCACCAAGACUCUUAAAUGUGAUUUUUUUUUUUGUCAAGCACUCACAAAUUAUUUUUUGAGAAGUAUCACAAUGGCAGCUACUCCCAAUAGACAAUUCAAGAACAUUUGUGUGUUUUCUGGAUUUACCUAUGGCAAACAUAAAGAGUUUGUGGAGGCAGCCAUAGAUCUUGGCCGAAGCAUAGCAGCGAGAAAAUUACACUUGGUGUGUGGAGGAGGUAAUCGAGGGUUAUCAAAAAUGGUCUCAGAAGCAGCUUUUAUCAGAGGCAGCCAAGUGUUAGGCAUCAUCCCAAGAGUUCUAAAACCAUUGGGCAGUUCGUCUGACUCAUCAACUGGAGAAGAGUUAGUCGUCUCAGGUAUGCAAGAAAGAAUAACUGAAAUGCUUAAUGAUGCUGAUGCUUUUAUUUUCCUUCCAGGAGAUCUUGCAACACUAGAGGCACUUAUCACACUAGCAUCUUGGGCCCAUCUGCACAUUCACCAGAAACCCAUCGGUUUGUUAAAUGUCAAUAACUUUUAUGAUGGCUUUAUCGCAUUUCUUAACCAUGCAAUAAAAAACUACUUCAUUCCCUCUAAUGCGAAAAAACUCUUUAUUUGUGCUCACACUGCUAAUGAGCUACUUGAUAUGUUACAAGCUUAUAAACCGGAGCCAGACCCCUGGACCUUUGUGUUGGAGCGCCCAAAUAAUGAUGGUAACAGUAGCCGCAGUAAGAAGUACAAAUUAGAUUUAACUCUCCGCCUGUAAAUAUUUUCUUCUGUGUUGCACCACCCAGGUGAUGUCUUCUAAACUCUACUUCUUUCCUUUCAAACAUUGAGGACAAUGUUUCAUUCUGGUUGGGGGGAGGGAAUAGUCGACAAUUGUGGAAUCUUGGUUAAGUUUUUACUAAUUUUUUGUUGUAGAAACUAACUAUUGCUAACUUUUUGUGUUGAAGAUGGUUGAAUAUGGAGGGUAGUGACUCUAGAAACGCAUCUUCAUCGUUUAAAAAAAAUUAAUUAAAAAACAAAAAAAAUUCAGACAUUUUCUUUUUCUUUAUUAUGUUUUUAUGUUUAUUUUUCUUCUUUUUAUUUUCUCCUCUAUAAAUAUACAUUUUCCAACUUUUGAGUCGAAGAUGGCUGAAUAUGGAGUGUAGUGCCUCUAGAAACGCAUCUUCUUUAAAAAAAAAAUCAUUUUCUUUUUCUAUCAUUUUAAGUGUAACUUUUCUAAUUAAUUUUUCUACAUCAUUUUCACAUUUCUGCAUGCAUAUUUUUCUUUUAUGUUUAGAAUAGGUUGGGGGGUAGAAUGUUGUUUUAAAAAAAAAAAUUUGUGUGGUUUGUUUUAACAUUGGAUGACAUGAUUAAUUUUAAAUUUUAGUAUUUGUAUUAUCUUUGGUCUUAAGUGAUGUUACACUAUGUUUGCUACUCUACAUGUUGAUGUCGAAGACAAAUAUAAGUUGCUUGAAGGAAUGAACAUGUCAUAAAUAAGUGCCAAAUGAGUUUUUGAGCCUAUCAUUUUUUUUGGAGAGUAACCCUUUUGCCCAUUCUUUAUACAGCUUAGCAGUUUAUUAUUGUAUACACGAUCUCUAGAUUUCUUUUGAGUUAACCCUUAAAAAAAAAAAGUGUGUUGCUACAUUUGGAGGCCCAUCUAACUAGUAGAUAUGGAAGAUUAUUUAGAGCCCUAAAAGACGAUGGAAAGGCCAUCUUUGAUCCGUUUGAGCCUUUCUAGCCAUCCCUUUUAUCAAAUAUCCAUAGUUAACCCUUUUGAGCCUUUAAAAAAAAAAAAAAACUUUCUUUGUCAAACUUAUCAUCUUGACCCACUCCGAUUUGGAGUAUUACCUAAUGUCUUAUAAGUUCCAUCACCUAUUUAUGUUUGAGAAAAUGUAAAUAAUUAUUUUGUUCAGUGAAGUUAUGCCAAAUAAAAGCAAAAACAAAAAAAAAACAAAACAAAACAAAAGUUGUUGUUUCAAAAGAAUAAAAAUAACAACAAUAGGUGAAAUCCACCUCGCAUCUUCUUAAAAAAUAAAUCUCCGCAUUUUUCUCAAACAUACACUUUGUUUUCCUUAUUUCCCUUCUUUGUUAGCCAUGUCCCUAACCUACAUUACGUCCUAAUAAAAGUCAUUCUUGAUUUUAGGGAACUAUAGUUUGAAGUAGAAGCUAGUUAUAUGGGCUAAAAAGAUGUAGUGAUGCAUAAUAAAAAAAAAAGAUAAAUAAAGUGGGUUGACUAGCAUUUUUGUUGGACUUGAGAUCAUAUUAUUUCUAAGCUGAGGGCAUAUUUAUUUCAUCUUGGUGAGAGCAUGUGGUAUCACUUCUUUAUUAUUUUCUCUCUCAAUUACCAUUCAUUGGAGUGACUAUUUUUAUUGGGUUUAAUUUAUUUGUGAGAGUGUCACUACUUCCAGUGAGAUUUUGGGGUUUGACAUGUCAUUCUUGAAAGUAGCUAUAACAAAGUCUACUGAGCUGAUUCAUGUGGAUGGUUAAUAUGGGUGUGAUAUUUCUUUAGACUGGAGAUAAUGCUUAUACUUUUAUUUGAUUGCUAUCAUUAAUCUGAUUGAAUUUGAAUUUUGUUUUCGCUUUAUUUGCUAGGGACUAGCAAUAAACUAGUUGGGGGGUGUGUUAAGUGUUAGAAAAUGCAUAUUUAUAAAGGAGAAAACCAUCAUUUUACAUUUCAAGUCUUACUAACAACCCUUACUUUUAUGUUUUUAACAUUCUUGUGAUUUAAUUACGUGUGUUUUAUUUUAAUUAAGUAAUUUAUGUAUUUUAGGGGCAUUAUAGUCAUUUCAUAAUAAAGGAGAGAUCAGACGGCAAAACGGACAUCACUUUUGAACUCAGGACGAUCGAAAACCUUAGGAGGAGCAUAAAAGGAAAAAUGGCACUAUUCACAUGUACGGUACUAUUCACGUAUACGGUAUUGUAUACGUUACUGUUUACAGCACUGUUCACAUAGACGGAUCGAUGACGUGGUAUUGACCGAUGAUGUGGCAUUGACUGAUGAGGUGUCACGAUCCUGUUGGACUAAAAUUCUUAUGUACUGUUGAUGGUGACGUGGCAGCAUAUCAGUGGACGAAAAAUCUCGCGUACGGUACAUGCAUCACACAGGAUUAUUUUCAACCAAACCGCGUUACUGUUCAUCCAGGUCAAACCGUGUUACUGUUCAUCCGCAUGGUCAAACCGUGGACUGUUGACUAAUGACGUGGCGCAAUCCUGAGCGUCCAAACUGUUUUUAAUCCGAUGGCCAUAAUUUACUCCAUGUAUCUAUAAAAAGGGGGCCUUCCCCCCCUAAUUUGAUAGCUCUGAAUCCAUUUUUGGGAUCCAUUUUCUGUAGUUCCUUCUCCAUCUUGUAUUUUCUUCUUAUUUUAAUAAAUUCUCAUUUUACCCCUAGUUCAAUUAUGAGUGGCUAAUUUUCUUUCAAGCUUGGGUUGAAGGUGAAGUCUCAACAUGUGUCAUGGGCUUAAUUUGGUAAAUUUAUUUUCUUUUCCCCUCUAGUUUUUGUGGAUAUUUGACUUCUCGUCGACAAAUAAUAAUAGUCUUAUCUAGAUACCACCUUGGUUACACCGGCCCUCUAGUACAAGGUUAUUAUUAUUUGGCACAAUAAGCCCUUAGUACCAUAUUGAUUAGAGCGUGGUUCAUGAGGUGUGGAUUCCCCCCUCAUGAUUUAAUUGGCAUUAAUAUGGAUUAUUUAGCCCAUGAUGCAUGUUGAUACGGAUCCAGAUACCCAAGUACGACAUUUCAAUAGAAUUCUCUUCAAUUUAUUCUCGCCAUUUCAAUUUUAAUUUUAGAAUUUAUUCUCGCCAUUUUAAUUUAAGUUUUAGCAUAUUCCAAAUCUUUUCCACCACAAAUCUAACUACUCAUUUCCAAAAUUAAUUCUACACACAAUUAAAAUCCACCUCCUCGUGGGAUCGACACUCGUCACCAUUGAUCUAUUCUACAAUAGAUUCGUGCGCUUGCGAGUACAUUAAAAUUUGCACAACACCUAACACUUGGCUUCUGCUGACAAAAGCAACUUCUGAGACCAAUUUUGAUUACCCUCGAUUACCUCCUCCAUACACCAAGUGUAAUUUUCUCUCUGCUAUGCUUCGACCAAGAUCUAUGGCUGCCUCAACAAACUCUUUAUGUUUGCCACAGUUAAAUCCAGAAAGCACACAAAUGUUCUUGAAUUGUUUAUUGAGAGUAGCUGCCAUUGGGAUACUUCUCAAAAAUAAUUUGUGAGUGCUUAACAAAAAGUCAUAUUUAAGAAUCUUGGUGAUAGUGGGUCACAACUGUGUAUGAGGUAACAUGUCAGUGUCAAUUAACGCGUAAAGCACAUGGCUCGCCAGUAAAAAAGGAAACAGUAAAAAGAAAACGAAACAAUGAUAAAAUAAAAUUAUUAAAGACAAUAAUGCAAAUGAUAAAACAACAGUGAAAUAAAAUAACAGUGAAGUAAAAGGAUAUUUACAGGUAGUUGCGACUGUGACUCACAUCUUCCUCUGGUUUUACGUCCAGAAACGGCUUGAACGCCCUCUAUGGGUCAAUGAUAGGCUUCCCAUCUAGUUUUCUUAUAAACUGGCAAACAAAGUCAUUUAUAGUCAGAUUCCCGAGACUAUAUCGUGCAUGCUCUUUCUGGAAUAAUGGCCAUAACUGGAGAAUCGCUCCUUGCACAUAUCCACUGGGAUGCGUUUCAAGAGAUAAAAGGAUAUCAUCCGAUGACUCCUUAUUCAAGCCAUCCCUAAUGAAUUGAAUCUUAUCUUCCCUGUUAUCAGACACCAUUCCUAAAGAACAUGGGUUUUUAUUGCAUCUCAUUCUAGCACAUUUAUGACAAGCAACAGAAAUUCUUUGAGCUCUUCGUUUUCUUGCAUAAUUUCCUUUACCACAACCAGGCAUGUAAGCAAUAAAUUUUAGAGGUAACUCACCUAUCAAUCGUACUUUAGUCUCGAUUAACCAAUGGAUGUCAGCAGGUAUGUUAUUCCUCAUGAGCAAUCGCAUGCGUUCAGACCGAGCUUUAUAGAUUGUAAGGAGGGCAUUCUGAGGAAGUGAAGGGAAUUGAUUGUGAAGUUUUGCUAAGAUCUCAUUUCUGUCCAUACCUUCGCCUCAAAAUAUCAGUUAUUAUGGGAAACUGAAGUAACCGACUUGAUUGUCACGGAGUACCGUUAUCUGCCACUUCACCGGGAUAACAAACUAAAGCACACAAACAGAAAAACAAAUUAAAACACAUAAAGAAAAUUAAAAUCGUUCUCUUAUUGAAUUUACCUCAAGCUCCAACUGGAUGUCGUAAACACUUCUCUCAAUGUCUCUGAGUUGGCUUUCUAAACCCUCAACAUAGGCUACUAACUCUGAUGGUUGCAGAGUCCAAAUGCGAUGUGUCUUACAUAAUCGAAUCUGCCUUUUGAGAUGAGAUUUUACAUGUUGAAGUGGUUUAAGAAUGUUCAGGAGGAACGAUUUAAGUACGGUACUCAUGAUUAACAAUGAUAAGAGAAAACUUAAUGGUUAAACAAACACACUUAUGCAAAAAUAAUAUCAAUUAACAAAAGCAUAAUAAAAAGAAAGGAAAAAAAAUCAAAUCACCGAAAAGAAAGAAAAAAAAAUCAAUUCAAAUCUGGUGGGUCACUCAAAUUUAUUUCGGUGUCUUCUCUAUGUGGUUAGUACUCUAGAUAUGGCUUUAAUCUUUGACCAUUAACUUUAAAUGUGACACCGUUCUUUGGGUCCUUAAUUUCAAUUGCCCCAUGUGGAAAAACAGUGUGAACAAUAAAAGGGCCAGACCAUCGAGAGCGUAACUUACCUGGGAAUAGGUGCAAGCGAGAAUUGAAUAAAAGUAUUUUCUAACCUGAAGUGAACGAUUUUCUUAUAAUUUGCUUGUCAUUAAAGACUUUCAUUCACUACUUGUAAAUUUUGACAUUUUCGUAUGCAUCAUUGCGAAUUUCUUCAAGUUUUGCCAGUUGUAAUCUUCUUUCUGAACUAGCUUGCUGCAUGUCAAAGUUGAAUUUCUUGAUGGCCCAAUAUGCACGAUUCUCGAGUUCCACAGGUAGGUGGCAAGCUUUUCCAUACACUAGCCUGUAGGGUGACAUCCCAAUCGGGGUCUUGAAAGCCGUUCUAUAUGCCCAUAAUGCAUCAUCAAGUCUUAAUGACCAAUCUUUUCUAUCUAGCCUCACUGUCUUUUCCAAUAUGUGCUUUAUUUCUCGAUUGGAGAUCUCAACUUGGCCACUGGUUUACGAAUGAUAUGGGGUCGCCACUUUAUGAGUGAUUGAAUACUUUGUCAAAAGAGUUUUGAAUGCUUUGUUACAAAAGUGGGCACCACCAUCACUGAUUAUUGCUCGAGGGAAUCCAAAGCGUGAAACAAUGUUGAUUUUCAAAAAUCCUAUCACCACCUUGUGAUCAUUGGUUCUACAUGGAAUUGCUUCUACCCAUUUCGAUACGUAGUCAACAGCAACCAAUAUAUAUUGAUGGCCAAAAGAAGGGGGAAAAGAUCCCAUGAAGUCGAUACCCUAUACAUAAAAAAUCUCAACCACUAAAAUUGGAUUUAGUGGCAUCAUGUUCCUUCGUGUAAUGCUCCCCAUUCGUUGACACCUAUCACAUGAAGAACAAAAAGUAUAAGCGUAUCGAAAUAUAGUUGGCUAAUAGAAACCACAUUGUAAAACUUUAGUCGUUGUUUUCUUAGCGCUGAAAUGGCCUCCACAAGCUUGUUCAUGGUAGAAUGAAAGGAUAUUUUGAAUUUCACUUUCUGGGACACAUCGUCUAAUAAUUUGAUCUGCAUAAUCCUUGAACAAAUACGGGUCAUCCCAAAAGAAAUUCUUUAUUUCUGCAAAGAAUUUAUCCUUGUCUUGCUUGGUCCAAUGCUCUGGAAGUUUACAUGUAACAAGAUAAUUAACUAUAUCAGCAUACCAAGGUAAUACUUCCACACUCAUCAAUUGUUCAUCUGGAAAUAACUCAUUCAAUGGUAAUGGUUCUGUAAUUAUGUCAAAAUGGAGACGAGAGAGAUGGUCUGCCACAACAUUCUAUGUGCCUUUCUUAUCUUUAAAUACCAAGUCGAAUUCCUGCAAAAGUAACACCCAACUAAUUAGUCUAGCUUUUGCAUCUUUCUUUAUGAGAAGAUAUUUAAGAGUAGCAUGAUCAGUGAAUAUAAUUAUUUUACAACCAAUGAGAUAAGAUCAGAAUUUUUCUAAUGCAAAUACUACCGCUAGCAUUUCUUUUUCAGUAGUUGAAUAGUUUAAUUGUGCAUCAUUCAAUGUCAUACUAGCAUAGUAAAUAACAUGGGGAAUUCGAUCAACUCUUUGUCCUAAUACUGCUCCUACUGCAUAAUCAGAUGCAUCACACAUGAGUUCAAAUGGUAAGCUCCAGUUUGGGGGCUGAAUGAUGGGUGAUGAUGUCAACAACAGUUUUAAUUUUUUGAAAUGCCACAAGACAUGAAUCAUCAAAGACAAAAGGUAUGUCCUUAGCAAGUAAAUUGCAUAAGGGUCUAGAAACUUUGCUAAAAUCUUUAAUGAAACGUCUAUAAAAACCAGCAUGCCCAAGGAAAGAUCUUACUUCUCUGAUUGUUUUAGGUGGAGGAAGAAUAUAAAUGAGAUCCACCUUGGCUUUGUCAACCUCAAUACCUUUGCUCGAAAUUAUGUGACCGAUAACAAUACCUAGUUUUACCAUAAAAUGACACUUCUCCCAAUUUAAGACCAAGUUCUUCUCGAUACAUCUCUGCAGAACUGGUGUUAGAUGAUGUAAACAUUGAUCAAACGAGUCACCAAAGACAGAAAAGUCAUCCAUAAAGACUUCAAGGAAUCGUUCAACCAUAUCAGAAAACAUAUUUAACAUGCAUCGUUGAAAUGUAGCAGGUGCAUUACAUAAUCCAAAUGGCAUCCUCCUAUAUGCAAAAGUGCCAAAAGGGCAAGUGAAAAUGGUUCUCUUAAUCUUUUGGUGCUAUGGGAAUCUGAUUAUAUCCUGAGCAACCAUCUAAAAAGCAAUAAAAUUCAUGGCCUGCUAAUCUAUCAAGCAUUUGAUCGAUAAUUGGUAAAGAAAAAUGGUCUUUACGUGUGACAAAAUUUAAUUUUCUAUAAUCAAUGCAAACACGUCAUCCUGUAGUUACUCUAGUAGGUAUCAAUUCAUUAUCAGCAUUGGUAACUACUGCGACUCCUGGCUUUUUGGUAACAACUUGUACAGGACUAACCCAUGAACUAUCAGAAAUGGGGUAAAUGAUACCUGCAUCUAAUAGCUUAAGGACUUCAGUUCUAACAACUUCUUUCAUGUUAGGAUUUAACCGACGUUGUAUUUCCCUAGUAGGUUUAGCAUUUUCAUCAAGGUGAAUGUAAUGCAUACAGUCUACUGGGUUUAUACCUUUUAUGUCCGCUAUAGUCCAUCCUAAUGCUCCUUUGUGCUCUUUUAAAACAUCCAACAACUUACUUUUUUGUUCGUCAUUUAGGGAUGAUGAGAUGAUUACCGGUAGAGUGUUUUUUUCUCCCAAAAACGCAUAUUCCAAUGUGUUGGGUAAUAGUUUGAGCUCGAGUUUCGGUGGUGAUUCUGAUGAUGGAGUGAGUUUCUUCUCUGAUGGUGCUAGUUGUUCAACUCUUGACUUCCAUUUAUUAGUGUCUAUGGAUGGUGCUGAGUCAAACAAGGCGUUGACCUCAUCGACCGAUCUGUCAAUAUCAAAAUCAAAAUCAAAGUGAGUUAAACAUAUUUGUAAAGGGUCAUCACUAAGGUUUGAAAGAAAAAUGUCAUCAACUAAUGCUUCAAUUAAAUCCACAUCAACAAUUCCAUCAUCUGCAUCAUCUGCAUUACGAGGUUGUUUGGCAAUGUUGAAGAUGUUCAGCUCCAUAGUCAUGUUACCGAAGGACAACUGUAUAUUUCCAGUCCUGCAUUGAAUGUGAGCAUCCGCAGUUGCCAAGAAAGGUCGGCCUAGGAUAAUGGGGAUGUGCUUCCUUAAAUCCUGUAUUGGUUGAGUGUCAAUUAUAAUGAAAUCAACAGGAAAAUAAAACUUGUCUACCUGGAUAAGCACGUCCUCCACAAUACCAUGAGGUAUUUUCGUGGACUGAUCUACAAGUUGUAACACCAUUGGAGUUGGGUGUAAUUCUCCCAGUCCAAGUUUCACAUAUACAGAGUAAGGCAACAAAUUUACACUAGCUCCUAAAUCCAACAAAGCAUUCUCAAUUGUGUGGUUCCCUAUGCUACAUGAGAUAGUGGGGGAACCUGGAUCUUUGCAUUUUAGAGGAAUUUUAUGUUGGAGGAUAAAACUAACGUUUUCUGUUAAAAAUGCCUUCUUUUAAACAUGAAUGUUUCUCUUUUAGUACAAAGGUCUUUAAGAAAUUUGGCAUAAGAUGGAACUUGCUUUAUAGCAUCAAGUAAAGGGAUGUUAACACUUACCUGUUUGAAGAUUUCAAGAAUCUCACCUGUAGAUUUUUCCUUCUUUCCUUUAGCUAGCCUCUGAGGAAAUAGAGCUUUAGGAACAUAUUCUCGUGGGUUGGUUUCUUCUUUCUCUUCCGAUGGUGAGUCCUCAACAUUCACAGGUACAAUUUGAUUUUCUUUUGUCACCGGCAUCUCCACUUUGUUGUCGACUUCUUUUUCUUUUCGCAAGGUCAUGAUUGCUUUGACCUCUCCAUGCUGCUGUGGUGAACUGGUACUUGCUUCAUGUACUCCUUUAGGAUUACGCACUGGUUGACUUGGAAAUUUACCUUUCUCAACAGUCAUUGCUAAGGUCUGAAUUGAAGAAGCAAGUUGUCCCACCAUCUUCUCGAGGCUUGACACUAAUUGGGCUUGUGAGUUGAAGCCUGCUCUCAACUCAUUUCAUAGUCCAUCAAUGGUGCGGUUCUGUUGCUUAAUCGUGGAGUGAGUAACAUUACUGAAAUUCUGGAAUGCAUCCUCCCAUGGUCUGGGCUGAGUGUAGUUCUGGUUCUGAUUGUAUGGUCUAAAUGGUGGCUGAGAGGGUUGAGGAACUUGAGGAAUUUGUUGCAUUCGUGGAUCUGGAGCUGCUGGUCCAUUCUGUUGGAAUCCUUGAGACCAUGAAAAAUUGGGGUGGUCUCUCCAUCCAGAGUUAUAUGUGUUGGAGUAUAGGUUGUAAUUUAAUGGUUUUCUCAUUACACCUAUGACAUUGGCUUGAUCUGAGUAUGAGUCAUGGUCAUGUGGUUGUGUUGAUGUAGCAGUCGUUAACGAUGCUAUUUGUAGAGAGAGACCUUCAACCAUCUCCUUGACUUCUUUGAUUCCCGAAGUUGACUCGCCAAUGUGAACCUCAUUCACUCCUUUAAUUCUUUUAGUAUUCCUGAGUGAUCGACUCCGUUGUUGGGAAUUAUCCGCUUGUCGCUGGAAGAAUUUCCAAAUCUUUUAUGCACUUUUUGACAUUAGCUCUCCUCCACUUGUUGCCAUUAGUCAUUCUUGCACAUUCGGCAAUAAUCCCUCCAAAAAUUAUUGGCAUUGGUGUCAUUUCUCGUACCCAUGAUGUGGACACUUCAAGAGUAGCCCAUUGAAUCACUCCCAUGUUUCGAAAAAUGCUCGUCUUCUCUCUGGGUAAACUCUGAGAUUUCCCUGCGAAUAGCAUUGGUUUUAUGCACUGGGAAAUAUUUAUUCAAAAAUUUAGUUACCAUUUGUUCCCAUGAUGUAAUGCUAUUAGCAGACAAAGUAUUUAACUAUAAACGGGCUCUAUCCUUUAAAGAAAAUGGGAAUAAUCUGAGUUUAACAUCAUCAUCUGAAAAAUUCUCGUAUUUAAAAGUUUGACAAAUAGCAUGAAAAUCAUUCAGAUGAUUAUAUGGGUCCUCAUUUUCUAAGCCAUAGAAUGUUGGGAGACAAUUUAGCGCACUAAGUUUUAGUUCAAAACUCCUAGCAGCUACAUUUGGGUAUCUUAUGCAUGAUGUGCUCAAAUUAGCUAAGGGACUGAAAUAGUCCUUAAAUGGCCUCUUCUGUGGUGCUUGUUGUUGUUGCAAAUCCAUUUCAAAUUUAUUUUUAACGUGCUUGUGUGUGCGAAGUGUUUUUUCUAGUUUAAGGUCUAUAGGUUCAAGAUUAUGUAAUAAUGACCUACGACCAUGCAUGCAAAGAACAAAAAAAUAAAUAAAUAAAUGGGACAAAACGAAUAAAAAUAAAGAAAAAGGAGAAAUUACAAUACUAACCUUAUCGCGUCAUUACAACCUUUUUAUAAAAAAAACACACUUAAAAAAAUACGUGAAAUAAAUUAACUAAAAAGAAUUAGUAAGAUAAACAAAAAUUACAAAGAAAAAUAAAUUGAAAAUUAAAUUACAGAAUUUUAAAGAAGAGAGAAAAAGAAAAGAAAUACUAAUCUCCAAAUGCAGAUUCAUUUUUUUUCUUUUUUUUCUUUUUUUAAUAAAAAAUACAAGAAAAUAAAUAAAAGAAAUUAUUCACAAAAAUUAAUUCUAUGAAUUAAAAUUACUUACCUCCCCGGCAACGGCGCCAAAAAAUUGUUGUGCAAAUUUUAUUGAACUCACAAGCGCACGAAUCUAUUGUAGAAUAGACUAAUGGUGACGAGUGUCGAUCCCACGAGGAGGUGGAUUUUAAUUGUAUGUAGAAUUAAUUUUGUAAAUGGUUGGUUGGAUUUCUGGUGAAAUUGAUUUGGAAUAUUCUAAAACUUAAAUUAAAAUGGCGAGAAUAAAUUGAAGAUAAAUCUAUUGAAAUGAAGCACUUGGGUAUCUGAAUCCGUAUCAACAUGCACCAUGGGCUAAAUAUUCCUUAUUAAUGCUAAUUAAAUCAUGAGGGGGGAAUCCACUCCUCAUGAACCACACUCUAAUCAAUAUGGUGCUAAGGGCUUAUCGUGCCAAAUAAUAAUAACCUUGUACUAGGGAACCGGUGAAACCAGGGCAGUAUCUAGACAAGAGUAUUAUUAUUUGUCGACGAAAAGUCAAAACAUCCACAAAAAUUAGAGGGGAAGAGAAAAUAAAUUUACCAAAUAAAGCCCAUGACACAUGUUGAGACUUCACCUUCAACCCAAGCUUAAAAGAAAAUUAGUUACUCAUAAUUGAACUAGGGGCAAAAUGGCAAUUUAUUGAAAUACGUAGAAAAUACAAGAUCAAGUAGGAAUUAUAGAAAUUAGAGUCCAAAAAUGGAUUCAGAGAUAUCAAAUUAGGGGGGGAGAUCCCCAUUUUUAUAGAUACAUUGAGUAAAUUAUGACCAUCGGAUCAAAAACAUUUCGGACGCCCAAGAUUGUGCCACGUCAUCAGUCAACAGUACGCAGUUUGACAACGCAGUUGAACAGUAACACGGUUUGACCCAGCUUGAACAGUGACGUAGUUUGGUUGAAAAUAAUCCUGUGUAAUGCAUGUACUGUACACGAGAUUUUUGGUCCACUGAUAUGCUGCCACGUCACCAAUCAACAGUGCAUAAGAAUUUUAGUCCAACAGGAUUGUGACACCUCAUCAGUCAAUGCCACAUCAUCGAUCCGUCUAUGUGAACAGUGUCGUAAACAGUAACGUAGACAGUACCGUAUAUGUGAAUAGUACCGUACAAGUGAAUAUGCCAUUUUUCCUUUUAUGCUCCUCCUAAGGUUUUCGACCGUCCUGAGUUCAAAAGUGAUGUCCGUUUUGCCAUCUGAUCUCUCGUUUAUUGUGAAAUGACUAUAAUGCCCCUAAAAUACAUAAAAUACUUAAUUAAAAUAAAAUACACGUAAUUAAAUUACAAGAAGGUUAAAUACAUAAAAGUAAGGGUGUUAGUAAAACUUGAAGUGUAAAAUGAUGAUUUUCUCCUUUAUAAAUAUACAUUUUCUAGCACUCAACACCAAUGACAAGAAAAUUGAUCAGAAGUAGAGAGUCGUGUUUCUAAAAGAUCUGAUAGUUGGCAAUGUAGAGAAAAAUGAUUAGUCUCAGUCAUCUCCAGAGAUUCCUAUUAUUCCAACAUCAGUUUCUCCACUUGUAAUUGAUAAUGAUCAUGAUCAGUUGGAGAGGAAAAUAAUGAUGGUCCAGUAGAACCAGUUGAAUAGGCACCUCUAGAACCACUUGCACCACUAGUUGAGCCAGAAUUAAGGAGAUCCAUCAUACAACGGCGACCUUCCACCGGAUAUCCUCCAUAUGAGUGUGUGAUGCCUACAGAUGAAGGGGAGCCAGAAUAUUUUGAAGAAGCCAUAUCUCACUGGCAUAAAAGUGAGUGCGUUAAAGCCAUGCAAGAGGAAAUGAAAUCCUUGAAUAAAAACCACACUUAUAACUUAGUAAAGCUUCCUAAAGGAAAGAGAGUAUCGAAGAACAAAUGGGUUUAUAGGUUGAAGACUGAAAAUAACUCACAACAUAAGCUUGCAGAAAGCGUAUUUACUCAUAAAGCAGUGGAUUAUUACCUAGUGCUUACAUUGGCUUCACUAACCCAAAAUCAGAUCCAUAACUUUCUCCAUGGGUCGACCCGUGCAAUGCAUUGAGCACUCAUUCGGACCACUGAUCACUCUUGAUCUAAGCACUGAUUCUUCCAUAUCAUUAGAUUUUGACCAAAUCGUUGAUUAUGUUCAUCCAUAUUUUACCAAAUAUUGUUUACCCUUAGAUUUGCCUAUUUUGACCACGAUCGAAUGCUUUUAAAGUAGCCACAUCAUCUAAAUUUUGAACCUUUGAUUAUGGAUGAUCCAACAUCCAUAUCUGCUCCAAAUUUAAUAUAUAAGCUAAUCAUAAUAAGCCCUAAGAGAUGAGCCGGUCUAGCAAAAAAGAAGAAAAAAAAGGGGCUAUGGUUUCAAUAUUGAAUUGAAGACAUACAAUUAGCUUGGGCAUUUAUUUUGGGGAAGAUUUUAGUGAGUGGCUAAUAUUUUUAUUCCCAAAUUUUUUUUUUAGGUUUUAAACAAAUAUUUUUAAGGGUUAGAGGCUAUAGUUUAGGUUGGGAUUUUCGAGUGAAUACUUAUUAGUUUUAAUUUUAAACACCAAAAAUCAAAUAAACCUUAAUUUUCUUCGCUCAUUUUCUGCAUUAGUCAAGCUUUGAGAUGGUAUUUUUCUUUUUUUAAACUUGGUCUUGCUAAAUUUGUGAGGACCAUGAGCUUGACCCAACGAGAUUUUGAUGUGAGGUGCUUACAGGUGCAAUGCCUUGCAAGUAUUCUUGAUCCAUUGUAAAAUUACAUUAUUUUCAUAGUGAAUUGUUUCAUCUACACUUGGAUAUAAUCACUUUGAUGUAGGAUGGUUGCAUAUUAUGAUCGGGGUGUCUACCUGAGGACAUAACUCGGGCAACAAGUGUUUGUUCUACCCCAUGGUCAAGCAAAAAAUUCCACUUCUUUAUUGGUCAUUCUUCAAUUUUAAGACAUUAUCCUAUUUUUCUUAUUUCUUCUAGGAUUUGUUUUUAUAUUUGGAUUCAUACAUCGUGUAUUUUCCUUUUCUUAUUUAGUUUAGAAGAAUUUUACUAUAAAAUAAUAUUUCAUAUUUUCCUAUUUUGCUAAAUUCGCAAUAUUUAGGGUUAGGAAUAAUAUAAAGGGUUCAAAACCCUAGCUUUAUUAAUUCAGACUUAUUCAAUAAACUUCAUUAUUCAAAAACUUUUGUUUCUUUAUCUUUCAACCUUAAACGUUUUCGUUUCGUUAGUUGGCAUCAGAGCAUGUUCGCUUGUCAUCAUGGUAUGACCACACGAACAAUAGAGCAACCGCCUUAAAGACGAUGAUCAAGGGAUGCAACCACAGACCAUGGAGGCUAUUAAACAGGCUGCCAUAGAAGUAGCCUUGCAUGCAAUGAAUGAUGUCUAUAACUCAAGAUUAGUGGUGAUAGAGCGGACAAUCGAGAGUCUUAGGCUUUCUAUAGAUAAAAACUGAGAGGGAAGUCAAUAGCAAAGAGUUAAUCACGAGGAAGAAUUUAAGGGUGUCAGUCAUGGUGAACAGCCUGAAGAUUUCAACCAUGUAGAGAUACUUUAGGGGAUCAAUCAUGAAAAAAAACCUCAAGGCAUCAAUGGCAAAAUAGUGCCUCAAAAUUUAGGCCAUGCGUAAUGAAUGUAGUGCACAUGCGUGAAGAGUUAGGAAGCGAUUCGUAAGAGGAUUAAUUUUUGGACAGAGAUAGGACAUGCAUAAAGAGUUUAUAUUACAAGAUUAAUGUUAAUAUUCUAGAUUUUUAGAUUAGGAUGCAUGUCAAGAAAUUUGUAGAUUGGAUAUUGAUAACUCUAUAAAAUGAGAGUUAUCAUGGCACUUUUAGACUUAAAUCAAUAAUACUUAGAGAGUAAAUGAGGUGUUUUCAUUGUAUUUUUGUUACAUUUUACAUAAACAUUCAUUUUAAUUUAGUCUUAAUAAAAUUUGCUUGAUUUAGAGUAAUUCGUGCCCAAAUUGUGUGCUUAAUUGUAGGUGUCUAGAAGCUUAUCUUUCACGAAAGGGAUGCUAUUGCAACAGGCUCACAAAAAUGAGGAAGAACAUGGCUACAUAAGAAUUGAAACAAAAUCUGGAACAAUGUGGUGAUGUAGCCGUUGCUGGAGCAGCCAUUGCUGUAGCAAUCCUGGAACAACAACAUAGAAAAUUUAACACGGGAUAUAUAUAGAAUCGAUAUCUGCAGUUUCCUAAUAUGACUUAUGCGUGUCCUAAGCUUCGACUUACCCUAGUUUUCAAAUAUAAAAAGAGCACGCAUCAUACGAAAAAAGGGCGGCAAAUUAACAUUGGAGAAAUCAAAGGGAAAAAGAGAACAAAAUCAGAAUUGACGGGAAAGCAAAUCUGCACCAGUGAAGAUAAACAAGCAGAGCUAUUGUGGAUUCAAUUUUCAUCGUUCUUUACUUAUUCCUUUACUUACUCUUUGAUUGAACCGAUAUAUUUCAUGGAUGAUAUUUUGCUGUUUGUUUUUCUUUUUCAAAGUAUGAACUAAAUUUGAUUGUAGUUGAGUGACAAACAAUCUAAAUGGGUUUUUGAUUGUUCUUAUGAGUUGCUGCAAGAUUGCUAUAGCAUUUUACUCUAAUAGCUAUUAUUAUAAUCAUUAUUUCGGUUGACCACCCAUUUAAUGGUUCAAGUUAAGAUAAAGCCGCAAAUGGGCUUGUGUUAGUAGAAAUUAUUAGAGUAAUACUUGAUCUUAAUUUAAGUUUCCUGUACUAAGAUUACUUGAGUCCCAAAAGGACUAUAUUUGAGUUAAGAUUUGUGAAGAACUAGACAUAGGAAUUCACCUUGUAGGGUAGAGAGAGUGUAUGCUCAUAAUGUCAUACCGUAGGUGGGUUAACAACUGGUCAUUGUUAGGGUGCUUAAGGGUAUGAGAAAUCUGAUAAGCGACAGCUGACGAUGCAAAUUAAUUAUGCCCAGUGCUGUAGGAAUUGUUGUAGCAACUGGUAUUAAUUUAGACAAAACAGUAAGUCCAUGAAGAGAGUUUAAUCACUUAGCUACCUCAUUCCCAUUGAAAUCUUUUUACGCAAUUUAUUUAAUUUAUUUUAUUACUGCAUUGAUUUGUUUUAUUUUUCUUUUAUUGUCUAUUUCGGUAGUAAUUCACUUUUAAUUAUAAUCUUUUUAGAACAAAGGAAGUUUGCACUAUCGUGAUUGCUGUAGCUUUUCUAGUAACAUCAAUCUUUGUGGAGACAAUCUCAAAUAUUCAUCACUUUAUUAUUUGUUGUGUUCACUUGCACAUUGACAUCAAUACCAAUUGAGUUAAAAAAUAACCAAUAAGUUUUUGGCACCGUUGCCGGGGAUUGAUUGUUUAUUUUCGAAGUGUAAAGUCAAUCUUGACAGUGCUAACUUGAUCUAAUUCGUUCUAUUUAUUAACAUAUCAACACUUCCAUGCGCAAAGACAGAUCUAUGGAAUUUUAAAUUGAUCCUGAGAUUGAAAGGACUGUAAGGAGACUGCGAAGAGAGCAAAGAAAUUCAAAAAUUGUUUCAAAAAUGGAUAAUUUACAGGAUGUGGGAAACUUGGAUCCUCAUGGGCCACUACAACCUAUCAAUGUUCAAGAGGGGCAAAAUGAGCAUGUUAAUUAGAGAUAACCAGGCAACAACAAUAUCAUUUACAUGGCAGAUAACAGAGGCAGAGCUAUCAGAGAUUAUGCCGUGUUAACUCCUCAAGUUGUACAUCCUAGAAUAGUCAAACCUGAAGUGGAAGUUGCUUAUGUUGAACUUAAACCAGUGAUAUUUUAAAUGCUGCAAACAGUGAGCCAAUUUAAUGGCCUGCCAUCUGAAGAUCCUCAUCUCGAUCUUAAGUUGUUUUUGGAAGUGAGCGAUGCUUUUAAAAUUACUAGAGCAACACAUGAUGCUUUAAGACUAAGGCUUUUUCCUUACUCCUUAAGAGAUCGAGCUAGAGCAUGGUUGAAUUCAUUACCCUCUGAUUCCAUCACUACAUGAAAUGACUUGGCUGACAAAUUCUUAAUGAAAUAUUUUCCACCAACCAAGAAUGCAAAAUUACGAAAUGAGAUCACUUCCUUUCACCAACUUGAAGAUGAGAGUUUGUAUGAGGCUUGGGAGGGAUUUAAAGAGUUGCUCAGAAGGUGUCUUGAUCAUGGCAUUCCCUGUUGUAUACAGCUAUAAACCUUUUACAAUAGGUUGAAUCCAAGUACGAGAUUGAUGGUUGAUGUUUCAGCAAAUUGAGCUUUGCUAUCUAAACUUACACUUAAGCUUAUGAAAUUUUGGAGAGAAUUGCCAACAAUAAAUAUCAGUGGCCAUAAACUAGACAGAUGGCAGUGAGAGGAGCAACAGGGGUACAUAAUAUAAAUGCAAUUACAACAUUAUCAGCACAAUUAACUUCAUUGACUAACAUGGUAAAAGCCAUGACUUCUACUUCUGCAGUAGUAAAGCAAGUGCUGAACUGUCUUGCGUGUAUUGUGGUGAGGAACGUGUAUUUGACAAAUGUCCAGGAAAUCCAGCAUCAGUAAACUAUGUGGGCAAUUUCAACCGACAGCCUCAAAAUAACCCAUACUCAAAUACUUACAACUCUGGAUGGAAGCAACACCCAAAUUUCUCAUGGAGCAAUCAAAAUUAAAAUACUCCAGCACUGAGUGGACAGAACAGAAAUACUCAACCGCCAGGUUUUCAUCAGUAGAAUCAAGGGCAAAAACACACUAGUCAUGAUCCACUUACUUCAUUGGAAACACUGAUUAAGGAAUACAUUGCAAAGAAUGAAGCAAUUAUGCAAAGUCAAGUUGUAUCUCUAAGAAACCUGAAAAACCAAAUUGGACAGCUUGCCACAGCAAUGAGUAUUAGAUCUCAGGGAAGCUUACCCAGCAAUACAGAAGAUCCAAGAAGAGAGGGAAAAGAACACUGUAAAGUAAUCAACUUAAGAUCUGGAAAGAAUGUUGAUAUCCCUGUUGAUGUGACUAAAAAAAGGUUGGAACUUAACUCCUCACAAGAAUCACCUCAAGAUGAGAGCAUGUUACAGCAACCCAGCCAUCAAGAUACUGGAGUUAGUGGUCAAGCUACAGCAACUAUGGAAGGGGAUCAACCAAUAAAUACUGAAGAAAAAGUUGUAACACCAGUGGUGACAACUUACAAUAAAUCAAAUGGUCAGAGAUUGGUACCUCUUGAACCUGCUUAGCAAUUUAGGCAUCCACCUCAUUUCCCACAAAGAUUCCAGAAACAAAAACAAGACAAAUUUUUUAGCAAAUUCCUGGAAGUUCUAAAGUAGUUAUACAUCAAUAUACGUUUCGUGGAAGAAUUAGAGCAAAUGCCUAAUUAUGUGAAAUUUUUAAAAGAUAUCUUGGCAAGAAAAAGAAGGUUGGGAGAAUUUGAAGCUGUUGUUUUAACACAUGAAUGCAGUCACAUGCUUCAAAGUAAGAUCCAUCAAAAAUUGAAGGAUCUAGGAAGCUUCACAAUACCAUGUUCCAUUGGAAUUAGGUACAAUGGCAGAGCACUCUGUGACUUGGGAGCCAACAUUAAUCUGAUGCCAUUAUCUGUAUUUCAGUAAUUAAGAGUAGGAGAGUGCAGACCAACAACAGUCACUAUGCAAUUAGCUGACAGAUCCCAUGCAUACCCUAAAGGAAAGAUUGAGGAUGUAUUGGUGAAGAUUAACAAAUUCAUCGUUCCAGUGGAUUUCAUUGUACUAGACUUUGAGGCUGAUAAAGAGGUACUAAUUAUACUUGGGAGACCUUUCCUAGCAACCGGGAAGACUCUGAUAGAUGUACAGAAAGGGGAGCUCACAAUGAGGGUAAAUGACCAACAAGUCACCUUCAAUGUAUUAGAAGCCAUGAAGAACCCUGAUGAGGCAGAAGAUUGUAAUUUCCUGAGUGUUGUGGAUCUUGCUGUAGCAGACAGAAUAAAUAGAUGCUGCAGUAACGUGGUUAACGAAGUUGCCACCUUUAAACGCAUUGAAGAAGAAGAUGUUGCAGCAAUUCAGAUAGAUUGGAUGGGAGAAAGACAAUCUAACAGACAUAGCAGAUUUAUUGAACCUCUAAAUCUUUCAGACAGGGAAGUAAAUGCAACUUUACCAUCUAUUGAAUCACCUCCUACUCUUGAAUUAAAAUUGUUACCUUCACAUUUGAAAUAUACUUAUAUUGGUCAGAACAAUACACUUCCUGUAAUCAUUUCAUUUACUUUGGAUAUAGAUCAAGAAAGGAACCUGGUAGAUGUGCUUGGGAAAUAUAGAAAAGCAAUUGAAUGGACUAUGGCAGACAUUAAAGGGAUCAACCUAUCCAUAUGCAUGCAUAAAAUUCUAUUAGAGGACUGCUGCAGCAAUUCAGUAGAGCAACAUAGAAGGUUAAAUCCCAUUAUGAAAGAAGUUAUGAAAAAAGAAAUCAUUAAAUGGCUGGAUGCUGGGAUCACACACUCAAUAUCAGACAGUUCAUGGGUAAGCCCAGUUCAAUGUGUUCCAAAGAAUGAACUUAUUCCUAUAAGAAGAGUGACUGGAUGGAGGGUUUGUAUGGAUUACAGGAAGCUCAAUAAAGCCACACGAAAGGAUCACUUCCCACUUCCAUUUAUAGAUCAAAUGUUGGACAGACUUGCUGGAAAACAAUAUUAUUGUUUCCUAGAUGUGUAUUCAUGUUACAACCAAAUCGCUAUAGACCCAGAGGAUCAGGAAAGGACUACAUUUACCUGUCCUUAUGGAACUUUUGCCUUCAGAAUGAUGCCCUUUGGUUUGUGCAAUGUGCCAGCAACUUUCCAGAGAUGUAUGGUGUCUAUUUUUUCGGAUAUAAUGGAGCAAACAUUAGAAGUCUUCAUGGAUGAUUUCUCAGUCUUUGGAAAGACAUAUACUGAUUGUUUACACAACUUGGAAGAAGUUCUUAAAAGAUGUGUGUUGACUAACUUAGUACUCAAUUGGGAAAAAUGCCACUUCAUGGUGCAAGAAGGCAUAGUGUUGGGUCAUAAGGUGUCCAAGAGUGGCAUUGAGGUAGAUAAAGCGAAGAUAGAAGUGAUAGAUAAACUGCCACCGCCCACUUCAAUCAAAGGGAUUAGAAGAGUUUUGGGUCAUGCUGGAUUUUACAGAAGAUUCAUAAAAGACUUUUCCAAAGUAGCUAAACCAUUAUGCUCAUUGUUAGAACAUGACAUGCCUUUUCAUUUUGAUAAAGAUUGUCUUCAAGCCUUUGGAGAAUUGAAGAAAGCUUUGAUCACUUCACCAGUGGUUAUAGCACCAGAUUGGACUCUACCAUUUGAGCUGAUGUGUGAUGCCAGUGACCAUUCUGUUGAGGCAGUGUUGGGGCAGAGGAAGAAUAAAGUUUUCCACUCUAUAUACUAUGCCAGCAAAACUCUUACUCAAGCUCAUAUUAAUUACACCACUAUAGAGAAAGAGUUGCUAGCGGUAGUAUUUGCUUUCGUCAAGUUUAGAGCUUACUUAGUGGGUACUAAAGUGACAGUGUACACAGAUCAUGCAGCCAUCAAGCACCUAAUCUCAAAGAAGAAUGCUAAACCGAGAUUAAUGCGAUGGAUCUUAUUGCUUCGGGAGUUUGAUUUGGAAAUUAAAGAUAGAAAGAGGACUGAAAAUCAAGAAGCAGACGCAAGCACAUUGACAAAAAAGGCAUCACUGAAACUUUUCCUGAUGAACAACUGUUAAUAAUACAACAGGCACAGAUGCUGCAGCAAUCAGGAUCUCCAUGGCAUGUAGAUUUUGUUAACUACUUAGUAAGUAGAUUGCUACCAUCUGAGUUGAAGUUUCAGCAGAAAAAGAAAUUUCUUCAUGAUGUUAGAAGCCAUCAGUAGGAUGACCCAUAUUUGUAUAAGUUAUGCUCAGAUCAAGUAAUACGAAGAUGUGCUUCAGAGGAAGAAAUUCCGUAUAUACUGGAAUCUUGCCAUGUUGCAGCAUAUGGAGGACAUUUUGGUGGUCACAGAACAGCUGCUAAGAUUCUGCAAUCAGGUUAUUACUGGCCUUCUAUUUUUAAAGAUGCUUAUGAGUUUGCUAAAUGUUGUGACAGGUGUCAAAGGACAGGAAACAUAACUCAAAGACAUGAAAUGCCAUUGACGAACAUUCUGGAAGUAAAGAUUUUUGAUAUAUGGGGAAUAGACUUCAUGGGUCAUUUUCCACUAUCCUUUGGGAACUUAUAUAUCAUGGUUGCUGUGGAUUAUGUGUCCAAUUGGGUAGAAGCUGCAGCAUUACCUAUCAAUGAUGCUAGAGCAGUAGUGAACUUCCCUCAGAAAAGCAUUUUUUCUAGGUUUGGCACUCCACGAGCAAUUAUUAGUGAUGAUGGUACUCAUUUCUACAACAAACUAUUUGCUGCAGCUAUGGUGAAAUAUGGAAUCAAGCAUAAAAUAACAACAACAUAUCACCCACAAUCCAAUGGCCAGGCAGAAGUGUCUAAUAGGGAGAUUAAGAAGAUCCUUGAAAAAGCAGUGAAACCCAUCAAGAAAGGAUUGGUCCUUGCACUUACAUGACUCCCUAUAGGCUUACAUAACAAUAUACAAGACACCACUAGGCAUGUCUUCCUACCAAAUUGUGUAUUGAAAAGCUUGCCACUUGUCACUCAAGCUAAAGCACAAAGCAUACUAGGCACUGAAGCAAUUAAAUUAGGAUAUACAUGUUGUAGAAGAGCAAAUGAAACUUCAACUAUGUGAGCUUGAUGAAUUGCGGCUAUUCUCGUAUGAAAAUGCAAGAAUCUAUAAAGAGAGAACAAAACACUGGCAUGACAAACACAUUCAACACAGGAAAUGAAUCCCUGGUCAACAAGUUAUGCUCCAUAAUACGAGGUUAAGACUAUUUCAGGAAAGUUGAAAUCUAGAUGGUCUGGACCUUUCAAGAUGCUCAGAAUUUACCAUCAUGGGGUUGUUGAUCUCCUAGAUGAAAAGACAGGCCAGGACUUCAAAGUUAAUGGGCACAGAGUUAAGCAUUACAUGCAUUCAGCUACAGAUUGUUCAAAGAAGGUCUUACUCCUUAGAGAACCGGCAUUAUGAGCACUCAAGUAAGGUAUGACUGGAGGACCUUAAAUCAAGCGUUCGAUGAGAGGCAACCCAUUGAUGAGGCAGUCAUUUCGAAUGAGAUGGACCCUCCAUGGUUUUGUCAUAGAAUUUUUUUAUUUAUUAUUAUAUUUAUUCAGCUACAGAUUGUUCAAAUAAGGUCUUACUCCUUAGAGAACUGGCAUUAUGAGCACUCAAAUAAGGUUAGGCUUAAGGACUUUAAAUUAAUUGCUCGAUGGGAGGCAACCCAUUAUUGAGGCAGUCAUUUCGAAUGAGAUGGACCCUCCAUGGCUUUGUCAUAGAUUUUUUUUAUUUAUUAUUAUCUUUAUUCAAGAUGGUUUAACUUUACCAAAGGAGAAGUUGUCUACCACUCUUGUGUUAGCCUUGCCAAACUUUGAUAAGUUGUUUGAAGUUGAGUGUGAUGCUUCUAAUAAAGGUAUUAGGGUUAUUUUUUCCCAAGGGGGGUGACCAAUUGAGUAUAUGAGUGAGAAAUUGAAUGGAGCACGACAGAAGUGGUCUACUUAUGAUCAAGAGUUUUAUGUGAUCCUUUGGCCAGUAAAGUCAUGGGAGCAUUACUUGAUCCAAAAGGCAUUCAUGUUUGGCAGUGAUCACUAAGCCUUGAAGUACUUCAACAACCAGUAAAAUCCAAGCAAAAUGCAUGCAAGAUGAGUAAACUAUAUGUAGAAGUUCACUUUUAUUGUGAAGCAUAAAUCUAGGCAGCAAAAUAAAGUGGCUAAUGCACUCAUUAGGCGAGCGACUUCACUGGUAAUUCUGGUUAAUGAAGUUGUUGAUUUUGAAUGCCUGAAAGAUUUAUAUGUGAAGGAUGAAGACUUUGUACAAAUUUGGGAUCACUGUUUCGACCAUCAGAAUGCAAAGGAUUUUCUCAUUUAAUAUGGGUAUCUAUUCAAGGCCAAUUAGUUGUGCAUGCCACGAAGUUCUUUAAAGAAGCAAAUUAUUAUUGCAUGGAGGAGGGUUAGGUGUUCAUAUUGGUUGAGAUAAGACAAAGCGCUUGUGGAAGAGCGAUAUUGUUGGCCAUAGUUGAAUAACGAUGUGUGCGAGAUUGUUCAAAGGUUUCAAAUUUGAUAAUAAGGCGAGGUGCAUGUACAUAAUAUAGGUUUAUACAUGUUAUUACCUAUUUUAAAGAAUUUUUGGUUGGAUCUGUCCAUAGAUUAUGUGUUGGGGUUGCCUCGCACAUGGUUUGGGUGCGAUUUUUUAUUAGUCGUUGUUGAUAGGUUUUUGAAGAUGGAACAUUUCAUUGCAUGUCAAAAGACUAAAGAUGCUACCUUAGUUGUGUUAGCCUAUAUGGCUAUAAAUAUUGAUUUUGAUGAUAACAAACCACAUGUAUUUAUUAAGCAAAGAUUUAUGAAUUGUGCUUUUAUAAUAAGAAAAUGAUGUUAUGGAAUUAAAGUAUUUUGGACUAAAAAAAAAGUAUUUUUAAAAUCCUUGAUAGUGUUUUUAAAUUUCAGAUUUGGACCUAUUUGAAACUAUUUAAAUAUUUUUGGGCCAUUCUAUAAUUUCACAAAGUUUGGGCAAAAUCAUAAUUUCAAAAAUUUUUGGGAUUGAGAAAGCAUUAUUUAAAAUUCUGAAAAUGGACCUAUUUGUAAACUUUUAUAACUUUUGGGCCAUAGUACAGUUUUAUACAGUUUUAGGGUCAAACUAAAAUUUUAGGAAACAUUUCACUGUAGCAGGUUACUGUAGCAAGCGGCUAUCCAUAUUCUGAAAACUGGAAAUCCGGAUACGGGCAGUAAGCGUCCAGAACAAAAACGGCUUACCGGAUUCCGUAACCAGCAAGCCAGAUAGGCAAAAUUUAAAUUUUUGCCUUAACGGUAACAUAAAUCCGGCUUACCGGAUUCCAUAAACGGCAAACCGGAUACGCCUGGAAUGUGAGUAACGGCUAGUUUUUGAGCUCAAACUAUAAGAACUCAAAUCCAACUCAUUUUGAAGCUCUCUAACAAGCAAAAAUAAAAAGCACACGAGAUAUCUUGAGCCUUCAAACUUGCAAACUACAUACAUUGAAUCAUUCAUUGUUCUUCAUCUUUGAAUAUCUACUCAUUGAGUGAGUUUCAUUGUAACUUUCAUUUCUUCAUUUCAAUUGUAAGAAUUUGAGUGUGUGAGACACUUGAGUGAAGAGAUUGGGAGAUAAUUUCUUCGUUGUAAAGGUUUAUUGACACCUCGAAGUCAAUUGUAAUCGGUUGAAGCCUCGGAAAGGCUUGGAUAGUGAAAUCCUCAAGCUUGGAUUGCUUGGAGGCGUGGACGUAGGCGGGGAUUGCCGAACCACGUAAAAAUCCGUGUGUUUGUUUCUCUUCUCCUUUACUUUUUAAUUAUUGUGCCUUUAUUAAACUUAUUGCUUUCAAUUUUUAUUAGGGCAUUAGAUUGUUUGUUGUGUGGAUUUGCUAGGAUAAUUUUUAAAUUUCCAAUUCACCCCCCUCUUGGGUUGCACACUUAUAUUUCAUUUGGUAUCAGAGCAAGGUGCUCUUAUUUAGAUUUAACCAUCUAGAGCUAAAGAUCAAUGGCAACUCAAAAUGAUUCCACAUUUAGAGAAGGGCAGUCCACCACUAGACCACCUUACUUUGAUGGAAACGAUUACCCAUAUUGGAAAACUAGGAUAAGAAUUUACUUGCAAGCCUUAGAUUAUGAGAUUUGGGAAAUCGUUAAUGAUGGUCCUUUUAUGCCUUUAACUAAAAAUGAAGUAGGAGAAGAUAUUCCAAAACCUUCACGAGAUUGGAAUGAUUUCGAGAAAAGAAAAGCUUCUCUAAAUUCUAAGGCCAUGAAUGCCUUGUUUUGUGCUUUAGAUAAGAAAGAGUUUCAUAGAGUGUCUAGUUGCGAAAGUGCUAAUGAGAUUUGGCACAAACUUGAGGUUGUCUAUGAAGGCACGAACCAAGUGAAAGAAUCUAAAAUAAGUAGGUACACUCGACAAUACGAAUUGUUCUAAAUGGAACAAAAUGAAAAUGUAUACUCUAUGUAUACUAGAUUCACGGACAUAGUGAACACUCUAGGAGCCUUAGGAAAGACUUUUUCAAAUAGCGAAAAAGUCAAGAAAAUCAUUAGGUCACUACCUAAGGAAUGGAGACUAAAAAGGACUGCCAUUGAGGAAGCCAAGGAUUUAAAUAUAUUACCUAUUGAUGAUUUAAUUGGCUCUCGUAUUUCAUAUGAAGAAGAUUUGGCAGCUGAAAAAGGGCAUGAGGAAAAGAAGAAAAACAUUGCUCUCAAGGCUUCAAAACAUGAGAGUGAUGAGGAAAGCGAAAUGGAUAAUGAGGAGCUGGCUAGAAGAUUCAGAAAAUUUUACAAAAAGAACAAUGAGCAAAGAAAAUUCAGAGGCUACAAGAAUAAGAAGGAGAAGAAGGAGCCAAUCACUUGUUAUGAAUACAAGAAGCCCGGACACAUACGACCGGAAUGUCCUUUUCUCAACAAAUUCAAGAAAAAGGCUAUGGUGGCCACAUGGGAUGAUAGUGAUGAGGAAACAAGUGACGAUGAUGAGCAACAAGAAAUGACAAACUUAGCUCUCAUGGCUAUUGGGGAAGAAUCAUGUGAUGAACUUGAUGAGGUAAUUGUUCUUCCUACAUAUGAUGAAUUGCAUGAUGCUUUUAAGGAUUUGCAUGAUGAGCUAAUGAAGAUUGGUAAAAAGAAUAUAUGUCUUAAAAAGAAGAUGAUAGAGCUUAAGAAUGAAAAUGAUUCAUUUAGUGCAAAGAUUACAUGCCUAGAAUUAGAAAAUAAAACAUUGCGUGAUAGUAUUACAUUAUUUGAGAAUUCUAGCACCUCACAUGAGCACUUAGAGUCACACAUGAAUGACUUGAAAAAUGAGAAUGAAAUGCUUAGAAAGAAGAGCAAUGAACUAAAUGAAAUUGUGCUAAAAUUCACAAAUAGGCAAAAGAUGUUGGACAAUUUGCUAAACUCACAAAAAUGUGUAUUUGGCAAAAGUGGCAUAGGUUAUAAACCGAAUUUGAAACAAAAAUUUUACAAGAGUUAUUUUAUGAAGAAUACAUCUAUUAAAAAUAAAAUUGUAUGUCAUUAUUGCAAUCAAGAUGGCCAUAUGAAAAAUAGAUGUGCAGUGAAGAGAAAUGCAUAUUAUGGUAUGAAAUGUGUUUGGGUUCCAAAAGGAACCAUUGCUAACUCUCAAGGACCCAAAAAGGUUUGGGUACCUAAAACUUGAGAUUUUUUCUACAGGGCUCAAAGAAGAAGAAGAAUAAGUGGUACUUGGACAGCGGUUGUUCAAGACACAUGACAGGGAAUUAUUCUUGGUUUUCAAGCUUUACCUAGAUCGAAAAUGGUGGAGAUGUUUCGUUUGGGGAUAAUUCAAGAGGAAAAAUCAUUGGGAUUGGAAAUGUCGGUAAUGUAUCCUUUACUCUCAUUGAAAAUGUGUGUUUGGUUGAAAACUUGAAACACAAUUUGCUUAGUAUUAGUCAAUUAUGUGAUAAAGGAUAUAGAGUUAUUUUUUAUGAAUCAAAGUGUGUUAUUGAGAAUGCAUGUGAUGGGAAAGUCUUGUUUGUAGGAAAUAGAUGUGUUAAUGUCUAUACCAUUAUUAUAGAUUGUGCAUCAACAAAUGAGAAAUGUCUCUCUGUAUUGCAUGAUGAUGGUUGGUUGUGGCAUAGAAGAUUAGGUCAUGCAAGCAUGGAUUUGAUUUCAAAAAUCGUGAAAAAUGAUUUAGUAAAAGGUCUUCCAAAAAUCAAUUUUCAAAAAGAUAGAACUUGUGAAGCAUGCCAAUUUGGAAAACAAAUUAAAACUUCCUUUAAAAGCAAGAAUCAUGUCUUCACUUCAAAACCACUUCAAUUGCUUCAUAUAUAUUUAUUUGGACCUUCUAGAUAUGCUAGUUUAAGUGGCAAAUUUUAUGCAUUUGUAAUUGUGGAUGAUUAUUCUAGAUACACAUGAGUAUUGUUCUUGGCUAAUAAGGAUGAUGCCAUUGAUGCAUUUCGAAUUUUCUAUAAAAAAGUUCAAAAUGAAAAAGGUUAUUCUAUUUCUUGUAUUAGAAGUGAUCAUGGUGGAGAAUUUGAAAAUCAUACAUUUGAAAAUUUUUGUAAUGAUUUUGGCAUUGAACAUCAAUUUUCAUCACCUAGGACUCCACAACAAAAUGGAGUAGUAGAGAGAAAGAAUAGGUCUAUUUAAGAAAUGGAUAGGACCAUGUUGAAUGAAAACUCUUUGCCUAAGUAUUUUUAGGCCGAAGCCGUCAACACCGCUUGUUAUGUUUUAAAUCAGGUGUUGAUUAGACCUAAUCUUAAUAAAACUCCAUAUGAGCUUUGGAAAGAUAGAAAACCCAACAUUGGUUAUUUUAAAGUUUUUGGAUGUAAAUAUUUUGUUUUGAACACAAAAGAUAAUCUUGGUAAAUUUGAUCCAAAAUCUGAAGUUGGCAUUUUUCUUGGUUAUUCAAAUUCAAGCAAAAGCUUAUAGAGUUUAUAAUAAAAGAACUUUAGUUGUGGAAGAAUCUAUGCAUGUUACAUUUGAUGAGUCUAACCCCUCCUCUACGGAGAAAGUUGUUGUUGAUGAUAAUGCAGAAGAAGAACAAUAAGAAGAAGCAUCGAAUGACAACAAAGAAGAUGCGCCACAUGGAAUUCAAGAGGAACAUCAUGAAGAAAUAAAUGCAGAGCAAAAUGAAGGUACUUCACAAACACUCCCCAAGGAGUGGAGGUAUGUAUCCUCUCACCCUAAGGAUGUAAUUUUAGGAGAUCCCUCACGAGGUGUUACCACUAGGUCAUCCCUUAGAAACACAUGUGAGCAUGCUGCAUUUAUUUCUCAAAUUGAACCAAAAUCCUUUGCGGAUGUGGAAAACGAUGAAUCUUGGAUUAUAGCAAUGCAAGAGGAGUUGAAUCAAUUUGAGAGAAACAAUGUUUGGGAGUUAGUUCCUAAUCCGGAACAUCAAUCCAUUAUAGGUACUAAAUGGGUAUUUAGAAACAAAAUGGAUGAAUCCGGUGUGAUUGUAAGAAAUAAAGCUAGAUUAGUGGCUCGAGGUUACAACCAAGAAGAAGGAAUUGAUUUUGAUGAAACUUUUGCACUUGUAGCAAGGUUAGAAUCCAUUAGGAUGUUGUUAGCAUAUGCAUGUCAUAAGGAUUUUAUUUUAUUUCAAAUGGAUGUCAAGAGUGCUUUCUUAAAUGGAUAUAUUAUGGAGGAAGUCUAUAUGAAACAACCUCCUGGUUUUGAAAAUGAAAAAUUUUCAGAUCAUGUGUAUAAGUUAUCCAAGGCUUUGUAUGGUUUAAAACAAGCACCUAGAGCUUGGUAUGAUAUGCUUAAAAAUUUCUUGUUAGAUAAUGAUUUUUCAAUGGGAAAAGCGGACACAACUCUUUUUGUUAAGCAUAAGAACCAAGACAUACUUAUUGUUCAAAUUUAUGUUGAUGACAUUAUUUUUGGUUCUACUAAUGUGUUGUUGUGUAAAGAUUUUUCAUCAUGUAUGAGCCAAGAAUUUAAGAUGAGUAUGAUGGGAGAGUUGAAGUACUUCCUUGGACUUCAAAUCAAACAAAACGAGGAAGGAAUUUUCACAAACCAAGCCAAAUACGUGAAAGAUCUACUCAAAAGAUUUGGCUAUGAUAAUGGAACGACAAAAAGCACUCCUAUGAGUACUACCAUCAAGCUGGACAAAGAUGAGAAAGGUAAGGAAGUUGAUAUCAAGACAUAUCGAGGUAUGAUCGGAUCCUUACUCUACUUGACUGCUAGUAGGCCUGAUAUUAUGUUUAGUGUUUGCUUGUGUGCUAGAUUUCAAUCUUGUCCUAAAGAGUCUCACAUGCUUGCUGUCAAAUGCAUUUUUCGAUAUUUAAUUGGCACUAUUAAUCUUGGCCUUUGGUAUCCUAGAGGAACUCAUAUUGAUUUAACUUGUUAUUCGGAUGCCGAUUUUGCUGGGUAUAAGGUUGAUAGAAAAAGUACCAGUGGAACAUGUCACUUCCUAGGCCAUUCUCUUGUCUCUUGGUUUAGUAAGAAACAAAACUCGGUUGCGCUUUGAACCACCGAGGCAGAAUAUAUUGCCGCAGGUAGUUGUUGUGCACAAAUUCUAUGGAUGAAACAAACUCUUAGAGACUAUGGUAUUAAGCUUGAUCAAAUUCCUAUCUUAUGUGACAAUACUAGUGCCAUAAAUCUCUCUAAAAAUCCUAUUCAACAUUCUAGGACUAAGCAUAUAGAAAUUAGACAUCAUUUCCUUAGAGAUCAUAUUCAAAAAGGAGAUGUGGUAAUUAAAUUUGUUUCCACUGAAAAUCAACUUGCGGAUAUCUUUACAAAACCUCUUAGCGAAGAGCAUUUUAUAAAGAUAAGACAUGAGCUUGGAAUUCGCGUGCAUGCUUGCUGGAACAAAACCGGAUUUCCGGUUCAAGAUAAUCCAAAAAACCGGACUUUUGGAGGCUCUCAAAACCAGCCAACCGGUUAAGGAAACCGGCAAGCCGAAUUGCCUCUUGCUGCUCUCGGGUCCAUAUCCGAUUUACCGAAUUUCAAAUUCGGAAAGCCAGUUUCGGCUUUCUCCAAUUCUGCCCGCUAACCGACUUGCCAGUUAGGAAAUCCGGCAAGCCGGAUUCGUGACCCUUUUAAGUUGUUCAUCCUCUUCCUCAUGCAUUCGGAAAACUGGUUCUUCAUCUCUCUAAAAACCGUUAUCAUUCUCUCUCUUUUUCACGCCAAAAUCCUUCAUUUUCUAUCCUUUUCACAUCAAAUUGAAUCUAAAAAAUCAUUCCCCAUCUUAUUAAGAACUCAAAACCAUCCUUGGAAUUCAUUUUGAACAUCUAAAUCUUUAGAUCCCAUUUUCAACCUAGGUUUUGAGCCAUUUUUUUCUCUCUCUAGAUUUCUCCCUCUCAAGCCGUUUUUGAUCCAAUUUUCUUCUCCAAAUCACUCUCAAUCUUCAUCAUCAUCAUUCUCCUUAUCCUUUUUAACUCAAAAUCAACCAAAUCUAAAUGUCAAGCUUCCGAUGAUGACCUGGACAUUUUUUCUCUUAGGAAACCUCCUGAUAUUGAUGACUAUGUUCAUGUUGAUGCCGUUCGAAAUAUUUGUCGGCGUAGUGAUCUUUCUGUUGAAGACUGUACCAUUCAUUUCCAUACUCAGUGUCUUUGUCUUCAAACUCGUUUUUUGCUUCGUAUCAUCCAGUCCAUUGUACUUCCUAGAUCAGGACAUUUGGAUGAGGUUUCUCACAUGGAUGUGGCCAUGAUUGACUAUAUUCUUAGAGGUCGCCUGGUUGACUUGGGCUAUUCAAUCAUCCGCACCAUGUUGAGCAUUCCUGCCUUGAUUACCCGCUCUCUUCCUUAUGGUCACUUCAUUACCCGAAUUCUUAAAUUCUUUGAAGUGCCGAUUCUAGAACCAUCUUAUAGGCCGUCCAAGGGUAUUGGGGAUGAGGUUAUUGUUGGAUUAGGCUUUGAGUGGAAGGAUGGCACUUGGGUCAAAUACAGCGAUAACAAGUUUACCUUUCUAGCCCCAAGUGAUGAUCGGCCACUUAAUGCUGUGAUUCCAACUGAUCAGCUUCCAGUAUUCUCACUCUCUUUUCGAGGGCAGCGUAGACGCCGAGUUUCUUCUACGGUUGCUUCGGCUCCUAGUGCAUCUGCAUCUGUUUCAUCACCUCCACGGCCUCCUAUCUCUGGAGAUGUUACUCUUCAGCAGCUUGUGGAUGAGGUGCGGACACUUUCGGUGCGGCAGACUGAGCUUUAGCAGCAGCAGCUCAUUCAUGGACAGCGCCUCCUCUUUGAGCACUUCGGCAUUCCAUAUCCAUUUCCACCUCCUUCACCUCCAUCCUCACCACCUGAGUAGUAUCUUAUGCUUGUACUUGGACACACCUACAUUUCAUUUGCUACAUUGUGUGUUCUUUUAUUUUCGACUCUAUGGAUGGUUAUUAUGCUUUUCGGUUUAUGCAUUUGUUUUGGAUGAUAUAGAUUUGUUGUGACUAUUUAUGUUGGAUGUAUGGAUUUGUUUUGAUUGAUCAUUAUGGAUUAUAUGGAUUUUCUUAUGCUUAUGGAUAUUUUUUUUUACUAAUGUGCUCAUGUUGCGAUUUUGAUGAUUGAUAGGGGGAGCCUUUAUUCUUUUUGAUGAUGAAGGGGGAGAAUGAUUUAAUAUAUGUUAUGAAAAUAUGUGUUAUGAAAAUAUGCAUGUAUCUAGGGGGAGCAUGUAUGCAGGGGGAGUUUUUGUUAAAGAAUUUUCAAAUCAUUUUUUUUAACUUGCAUUGAUUAAGGGGGAGCUUUUUCAUAACAAGAUUAAAGGUUUUAAUGUGUUUUGUCAUCAUCAAAAAGGGAGAGAUUGUUAGCCUAGAUGGCUAUAAAUAUUGAUUUUGAUGAUAACAAACCACAUGUAUUUAUUAAGCAAAGAUUUAUGAAUUGUGCUUUUAUAAUAAAAAAAUGAUGUUAUGGAAUUAAAGUAUUUUGGACUAAAAAGAAAGUAUUUUUAAAAUCCUUGAUAGUAUUUUUAAAUUUCGGAUUUGGACCUAUUUGAAACUAUUUAAAUAUUUUUGGGUCAUUCUAUAAUUUCACAAAGUUUGGGCGAAAUCAUAAUUUUAGAAAAUUUUGGGAUUGAGAAAGCAUUAUUUAAAAUUCUGAAAAUGUACCUAUUUGUAAACUUUUAUAACUUUUUAGGCCAUACUACAGUUUUAUAACGUUUUGGGGUCAAACUAAAAAAUUUGAGAAACAUUUCACUGUAGCAGGUUACUGUAGCAAGCGGCUAUCUGGAUUCUGAAAACCGAAAAUCCGAAUACGGGCAGUAAGCGUCCAGAACGAAAACGGCUUACCGGAUUCCGUAACCGGCAAGCCGGAUAGGCAAAAUUCAAAUUUUUGCCUUAACCUUAACAUAAAUCCGACUUACCGGAUUCCAUAAACGGCAAACCGGAUAUGCCUGGAAUGUGAGUAACUGCUAGUUUUUGAGCUCAAACUAUAAGAACUCAAAUCCAACUCAUUUUGAAGCUCUCUAACAAGCAAAAACAAAAAGCACACGAGAUAUCUUGAGCCUUCAAACUUGCAAACUACAUACAUUGAAUCAUUCAUUGUUCUUCAUCUUUGAAUAUCUACUCAUUUAGUGAGUUUCAUUGUAACUUUCAUUUCUUCAUUUCAAUUGUAAGAAUUUGAGUGUGUGAGACACUUGAGUGAAGAGAUUGGGGGAUAAUUUCUUCGUUGUAAAGGUUUAUUGACACCUCGAAGUCAAUUGUAAUCAGUUGAAGCCUCGGAAAGGCUUGGAUAGUGAAAUCCUCAAGCUUUGAUUGCUUGGAGGCGUAGACGUAGGCGGGGAUUGCCGAACCACGUAAAAAUCCGUGUGUUUGUUUCUCUUCUCCCUUACUCUUUAAUUAUUGUGCCUUUAUUAAACUUAUUGCUUUCAAUUUUUAUUAAGGCAUUAGAUUGUUUGUUGUGUGGAUUUGCUAGGAUAAUUUUUAAAUUUCCAAUUCACCCCCCCUCUUGGGUUGCACACUUAUAUUUCAAGUUGUGCAUUUGUUCUUUUAAGAGGUACCUCAUUUGCAUGGUGUUCCAAAGACCAUUACUUCUAAUAGGGGCGUAAAAUUUAUCAGUAAAUUUUCACACCAUCUCUGGGAUAAGUUUGGUACACAAUUGAAGUUUAGUAGUGCUUUUCAUCCGCAGACAGAUAGUCGAAUGGAGGUAGUCAAUUGCUCUUUGGGCAACAUGUUGAGUUGUUGUUGUAGUGAUAAGUAAUAACUUGGAAACUUCCUUGCCUCAAGCCAAGUUUGCUUAUAACAGCAUGGUCAAUAGAUCUACUGGCAAGAACCUUUUUGAGAUUAUAUAUACUUGUUUCCCAUGCCAUGUUUUUUAUCUAGUUAUCAUGCCAUCCACAACUGGAGGAAGUAAAGCAACGGAUAAUAUGGCAAAAAAGGCUCUGCAAAUUCACGCUGAGGUUUGAGCUCACUUAGGGGCUCCUAAUGCCAAGGAUAAGUCAAAGGCAGACAAGCACUGACUCAAGAAGGUGUUUCAGGAGGUGAUUUGGUGAUAGGGCAUUUGUGGUGUAGUCAUUUCCUUGGUAUUCGUGCCAAGUUAGAGAAGCCAAAGUAUAAUCUAUUUCUAGUGGCACGAAAGAUUAAUGAUAAGGUUUAUGUGCUCCAGCUGCCUCAUGAUUAGAAUAUCUCUCACACGUUCAAUGUGGCUGAUCUGUUUGAAUAUCAUCUAGACGAUGAGGAGUCGAGUUCUUUUCCAAGUGAUGGGGUCUUAUGUAGGAUGGAUGUGUAUUACAAGUGGGGUACAUUCUCGAAGGCAUAACUUAGGCUCCAGAUGUCCGUUUUCGGCAUAUAAUAUACCAAUUCAAAGCUUGCGAUAAGACGAAUGAAAAUCAAAACUACUUGUGUCAUUCCAUCUUGUGGUUAAGUUGGAAAUUCCACUUCUUUCUUAGUCAUGUUUCAAUCUUGAGAUAUUUUUCUAUUUUUUCUGUUUCUAGGAUUUUUUCCUUUUUUUUAGAAUUCAGAUUUGUAUGUUGUUUGUUUUCCUUUUCUUAUUUAGGCUAAAAGAAUUUAUCAAAAAAUAAUAUUUCAAAUUUGCCAAUUUACAAAAUUACAAUAUUUAGAGUUAACACACAAAGGGCUCAAAACCUUCGCUUUAUUAAUUCAGACUUAUUUAAUAAAUUUCAUUAUUCAGAAACUUUUGUUUCUUUAUCUUUCAAUCUUAAACAUUUCUAUUUCGUCACAAUUGCCAAGGUUUCUACCCUAGAUUGUGAGGAUAAGAUGUUUCUUAAUAAAAAAACUCCAUAUUGUAGAUGUUGGGAUUUGACAUAUUUUGAGAUUAUUGGAAAUUCCUAUAUUGAAUAUUUGUUGAGAUGAAGUUAUUAGAAUUAUUUUUUUUGAUAUAUUAGAAGUGUUAAUAUUUUUCUUUUAUGAUAAUUACUUGCUUAGUUGCAUUUAGGUGCAUUUCAGUGUGUCAUAUCAAUUCAAGAGAGUUCUUCAUUUUGUUUAGGAAAUUUUUGUUUCUCACUUCAUGUGGUUUAAUUUUAGGGAAAUUAUCACUGCACCACCUCUAUUUUGCCUUAUGUUCAUCUAACCACCAAAAAAAUUCUAACAUGUUCUCUACACCACUUUUUUUAAAAACAAUUGUAUCAAUUAGCCACUUUUGCACUAACACCAUUAAGUAAUUUAAAUAAAAUGAUAAUUUUACCUCUAAAUAAAUUAA